rnacentral:lncRNA from 1 species
UCCCUUAAUGAGAGUUCAACAAGGUUCUUUCCAUGAAAAUUCAUUGGCAAAGAUUCUAAAGGGUAUCCAUCCCAAUGCAGAUAUCUUAACUCAUAAGAAGAGAAUUCAAAGUCCCUUGGAAGGUGGUUUUCAAGAAAUAGCUUUCUACGCGGGUUAUGGAUUUUGAGCAAUCUAAGUCUAUUCAUCUCUUUGAAAGAUUCUGUAGUAAGCUGUAAUGGAUUAAAUUUACAUCCAUCUAAGAAUAGUCCUUCAAUUGCUCGUGUCCCCUGAAAAAUAUAAGACGAGUAGGUGAAACAAAAGAUGCAUUAGACUUAAUUGAGUUAUACACACGACUAAUUUCUGAAAAAAUAAUAAUAGUAUUGAAGCUUGCAUACACACGUAUAAACAAGUUUAUGCAUUUGACUCUUACUAUAUUUCUUAUUAGCACAUGAUAGGCAUCAUAAUCCCACAAUCUACUCCUUCUUCCAGGGUCUUCAGGGCAUUCUUGACGAAUAAUCUCCCAACCCAUUUGUUGUAUUAAAUCAUGCAUAUCUAGCAUGUUUUUUGAAACAGUUAUGAGACAUCUAUCAUCUAGAGUUGUUAUUGCGUGCUUUGCAUGAGGGCCCAAUAUUCUUGAAACAAAAUCUGUAUUAUAUCCUUUGAAAAAGCAUGCAACAUCCAAAAAUAUCCCCUUGUCUAUAUCAUCGAGUCCAUCAAAGCUUAUUCUAAGUACAUUGUGAAUUUCCAUGUGGGGCAUUAUUUUUAGCUUACACAGUGCACUUUCCCAAUUACUUAUUUUCUUUCCAAAAAGAGAAGCACCUAAAACUUUAAGUGCUAACGGAAGGCCAUUAGCAUAAUCUAUGAUAUUGUAUGAGAGGUUUUUAUAAACUUCUUGGGGACGAUUUUGUUUAAAGGCCCACAAACUAAAGAGCUCAAUAGCUUCUUCCUUGUUUAAUUCUGAAACCUCAUAUGGUACAUCCGCUCCAUAUUGAGCAAGCACGUGUUUGUCUCUAGAUGUAAUGAUGAUUGUACUUUUUGCAUGAAACCAAUCUUUCUCUUCAGCCAAAUAUUCUAGUUGUUUCAACUCAUCCACAUCAUCAAAAAUAACAAGAACUCUAUUGGAGCUUAGACACCUCUUUAUCAUACUAAUUCCUUCAUCAACAUUGUUUAUUUUAAAAAAAUUUCCCCUUAGGAUACCAUGAAGAAGUUCUUGCUGUAACUAAAGUAUAUUAUCACCUUUGGAUCUCUCUUUGAUAUUUAUAAGAAAGCUACUACCAUCAUAUUGAGGUGAGAUCUCAUUAUAAAUAGCCUUGGCGAUAGUAGUCUUCCCAGCCCCACCAAUUCCAUAUAUCCCUACGACGCUAACCAUAUUUAACUCAGUGUUCAUCAACGAUUUCAAUUUUUCCAAAUGAACACCAAUUCCAACUAUGUUCUUUCCCACACUUAAAGGUAGAUGGUUUAAUCUUCUAAUGAUUGUAUCAACAAUUUCCUUGAUAACCUCAGUCUCAUACCUGCCAAUCAUAUAAAUUAAGUAAAAUGAUGAGUUAGAAUGAGUUGCAAAAUAUAAUAAAUUUAAAAAAAAUUUAGUCGUGUAUGGCCGUGUCCAAUAUUAUUGAAUUAGUAGCAAUGGAAUGAAAAAGAAAGGGGUCAAGCCAAUUUACUUACAUAUUUAAGCUUCAAAUUUGUAAGUAUCAAACUACUAAUGUGCCAAGUUGCAAAUUUUCAAUACUCUUACUGUUAGAGCAUUGUGUAGGACUCCUCUAUGAACAAGCUAAUGCCUUCUUUCAACUUUUAUUUCACAAACAACUUGCUUAUGAUUCCUCAAUUUCACUUGUCUUUAGGUUUUAUUAACUUACCAAUACUUACCAAUGUUGCAAAGACUCUGUUUUUAGCCUGCCAAUUAAUUUUGCAUUUUCAUAGAGGAAUCAGGAAACGAGUGAAUGUGGAGAAUUUCAUGAUUUGCUUGUUGAUUGGGAACUUAAAUAUGAUUUGCUUUUGAGAAAAUUAUAAAAGGGUUAAAUUUUGAUACUUGUAUUUUUGGACCAACACAAGGGAAAAAUGAAAGUUAGAUUUUGUUAACAAUUUCAUACUUACUGGUCAUUCACAUGGCAUCCAGAUAGAUUAGCUGCUUCUCUCAAUGCAAUCCUCCACUUUUGUAUCAUCUCCAUCUUUUCUUGAUUUGCAUCUCUUUCAUGGUAGGCAAGUGCGUCUCCGAAACUUCCCCUUUGGUUUCGUACAUCAGAUGGAUCCACAUGGUAGAAAAUUGGUAGAACCACUGAUUCCUUUUGGCUCUUGCGUUCAAUGAUCUUUACGAGUUCAUUUAAACACCAUCUGGAGUAAGCAUAAUUUUUUGAGAAAAUAAUAAUAAAAAUCCUCGAUUCUUCGAUAGCUCUGAAGAGAUCAGAUGCAAUAUCUCCUCCUUUCUCAAGUUCCUCAUCAUCUCUGAAAGUUUGAAUUCCAGAUGCAGUCAAUGUGGUAUAUAGAUGAUCAGUGAAAUUUCUGCGAGUAUCGCCACCUCUAAAACUCAAGAACACAUCAUAAUUACGAGAAAUAGAAGUAGUCGAGGAAGAGGCUCUAUGGGUGCUGGAAGAAGCCAUUUUUGGAUGGCUUGAACCAAAAUUACAAGGGAGUUUGGAGGGUCCUUGGAUGCUCAAUGACUAUUGGCUUCAGACCUCUUCACCAUGAACAAAAAUCCAAGCUGGGAGGGAGGUUCAGCUGAAAAGUUUCAUCUGCAGUCGUAAAAGAAAAGAAAAACGUAUAUAAAGCCCUCUUUGAGAAAUUUCUUUGUAUAUAAAUUCUAAGAGAAACUCACACAUAUUUUACCUUUUGGUUGGGGAAGAUCCUUUCUCCAUUCCCUUUGUGUUGGAGACUGCAGUUAAGGGAUGUAGAGAAGAUGGCGGGGAAGACGGUGUGCAGGAUAGACAGGGGUUGAAGAAGAGGCGGUGGGUAGCAGAGGUCUCGUUGACUAGUGGAUGGAAUUCUAAUCUUUUUUUUUUUUUUUUUUUACCACUUACCUCCAACGGCACUGUAGAAUUUUCCAUAAUAUGAAUAUAUAUAUAAAAGAGAAUCUUAGUUGUACAACUUGAUCCUUAUUUAGUCUAUAUUAGUUCCUUUUCUAUGUAAUAUUUAUUUUGAUAUUUUAUAACUUGAAUUUAUAGAAUAUCUUUUGUUCAAUAAUUUUUUGUUUUAAUUUUUAUGAAAAAUAUCAAUUUUUAUAAAUAUAUCAAUGAAUCAAUUUUACGAAUAUAUUGAGAUAUAUCAAAAAAUAUUGAUGGAUAUUCUGAAAUAAAAUAUGAAUAAGACAAAAAUUAUUCAAAAUUUAUAAAAAUAUUUAAAACAAUUAUAAAAAAUGCAUAUAAGAAGUGACAAUAAAUACAUUGAUGUUGUUUUGUUAAAGAAAUGAAUAUAAGUAUGAUAUAAUUUAUAGCAUUCAAUAAUAAUAUUUAGAAUUUAAAAGUAAAUUUUAUAUAAAUGUAUCUAAUUUGAAUGUUUUUAAUAACAUAAAAGACAUGAUGAUAAAAAUAUUAAUAUUUUUUAUUUUGAAAUAUUAAUAAUUUUAUUUAUAAAUAAAAAUAUAUAUAUUAAUUUAUGCACAUGAAACAUUAUAUAUAUAUAUAUAUAUAUAUAUAUAUAAAAGAGAAUCUUAAUGUAAUGUACAUAAAUAAAUAUUAUAUAUAUAAGUUAUACAUAACGUUAUAAUAUUAACAAAGUUAGCUUGGUGGCGUGGUGCUCACUCUAUGCCUGAGGUCAUGGUUUCUCAAACCCAUCCUUCCACAAUGAUUUAAAUCCCUUUUUAAAGGUAAGAGGUGGGAUCCCACAUCGGUCAGCCACAACACUUAAAAACCUGCUCAUAGACCCUUUGGCAGGUAGCAAUGUUUGAAUGCGUGUGGUUGGCUGGGCCGACGUACACGUAAAAUCUUCCAAAAGGGCAAUUUAUCUCUUUGCCGAGAUAUCCACCUACCGCGCCCUCGUUUGGUGUAGGUAUAAUUUUACUGAAAAAUAUCGAUAAAGAAGAAUAUAUUGAUAUUAAUAAUUUAUUAUUUGUGUUAUUAAAUUAAUUUAUUUUAUAAAAUAUUAUAAUUUUAUUGUUUUUUAUUUUUUAUUUUAGUAAUUUUUGAAUAAACUUAUACUUCUAAUAUUUUAAAAUAAAAUUAUUUAAAAUUAAAUAGAAUUAAAAGGAUAAAUAUAUAAAAUUUAAAAGUAAAGUGAUAAUAAUUUUUUAAAAUAUAAUUAAUGAAAUAAAUGAUGAUAUAUUUAAUAUUAAAAUUAUAAUUUAUUUAAUUUAAAUAAAUUUAAUAAUGUAAAAUAAAUAUUGAUGUAUAUAUGAUUUUUUUAAUAUUCAUAUUUUUUAUAUUUAAUUAUCAUUAUUAAGAAAAUUAUAGAAAUGGUUUUUUUACUUUUAUUAAUUAAUUAAAAAAAUUUAAAUAAAAUAAUUAGAAUUAAUUGAUUUAUUCUUUUAAUAAUAAACUUUAAGAUAUUUAUUGUGAGUAUAUAUUAAGUAACAUAAAUUUAGCCCAGUGGUAGCUGUGCUCAUAUCCAAGCCUUUUGCUUGGGUUGGAAUCCCUUUGGCACAGGUGUUGGUAGAAAAAUUUCCUCCAUUUCGGGGAAAAACUCACCUUUUGGUGUGAAAUACUUUCAUUUAUGUAUAUAUGAUAUUGUUCUAUAUAAAAUAUUCAAGAAAAGUUUUUUGUUUCUUGUUUUCCUUACUUUUCCAACUAUUUAAUUCUUUUUAAAUACACCUUUGAGCCACUUCAAGGCAACAAUAAUCCAUGUAAUUAUUUUUAUUUUUUGUUUUUAUAAUAUGUGUAUGGCAUAGAUAAUGAAAUUUACAUCGAAAAAAGCAAUCAAGCCUUGCAUGUAGGGGUCUCCAAAAAGCCCGCGGCCCGCUUUAGGCCCGGCCCGGCCCGACGGGCUAAAGCCCGGCCCAAGCCCGCCGGGCCCGAGCCCGUUUAUGGGCGGGCCGGGCCGCGGGCCUAAAUUUAGGCCCGGCCCGUAGGCUUGGCCCGUAGGCCCGCCCUUAGGCCCGCCUUUAAUUUUUUUUAAAAAAAUAAUAUACUAUAUUUUUAUAUAUAUAUAACUAAUUCAUUUAAUAAGCACAAAAUAAAUGUAGCUCAGUUGGUUAGAGCCUUGAAAUUUAAGCUUGAGGUGAGGGGUUCGAAUCCCCCCCUCUUCCUUCCUUUAUUUAAAAAAGCCCGCGGCCCGGCCCGUCGGCCCGGCCCGCCCAGCCCGCCAGCCCGCUAGCCCGCGGGCUCAUAGGCCGGGCCGCGGGCCUCCUAUUUACGGCCCGGCCUGGCCCGGCCCGCCCGUUGGAGACCCUUACUUGCAUGUGAAGUUUCAUUUUCACAUUUUUUAUUUCUUUUCUAUUUUUAUGUUUUCCCCUAAGGCAUUAUCUAUCUAUCUAUAUAUAUAUAUAUAUAUAUAUAUAUAUAUAUUUAUACACAUCUCAUAUUUACAACUUUUUAUUUUUGCUUAACUUUCUUUUUCUUUUUUUAUUUGUAUUUAGUAACAAUGGGUUCAUUUGACAUUCAUUCCAAAGCCUCCUUUUUUGUCAUCAAAUUAUUCAAAUGAUGAUAUUAUAUAAGGAAUUUCAAUUUAUAAUACUUUUAUUCUUAAAAAAUAUUAUAUCUUUUUCUUUAAUAUUUACCCUUUAAUCAUUGUCGCAAAAUGAUAAGAUUGAAGUAAGUGCAAUUAUGCUUUAUUUGAUACUAAUAAGAAUUUCAAAAUCCCUUCACCUCAAGAUAUUGAAGUCUAGGUAAAAAAAAUAGAUGGAUAAAAGUGUGACAUAAAACUUUUCUUCUUUUUUCUUUUCCCAUUUGAAAGGUGUUUGUAGUUGAGGUUAAAAAAAUAUCAAGUGGCAUAACAAAAAUAUAGGAUUCACGAAAAGAGUCAAAUUAAAGGUUUUUGAUGACUAUCUUUGGCAUUUUGAUUUUUGUUUUUCUCCUUUUAACAUACAACAACCACUCUUCUCUUUUAGUACUUGUCUUGAACUUUGAUGACAAUUGUGCAAAGCCUUUUAUAGAGUUUGCUUGAAGGCAUAUUACCAUCAAAAGUUCAAUAAACCUAGGAAAUUUCAUGAAAAUAUUUUAUAUCAUUUCUUCAAAUUUAGAUCUUGGUAAGAAAUUGGUUUAAAGGGAAGCUACUAUCAAAGUUUAGAAAAUAGAAUGUCUUCCAUACUAUAUCUCAUGUUUAGGUAACAUGAAAAGAAUAAUACUUUUUUUUUUUUCAUUUUUCUUUUGUUCCUCUUCUUUUUUGGCAUUCAUUGGUGAUUAGUUAUAUACACAUAAUAUAAUUUUUAAAAGGAUUUCUUUUAUUUUUAUUUUUUCCAAAAUAAUAUUUGAGGAACCUUGAUUAUACCCUUUUAUUAUAUUUUCUUCAUUAAAAAAAAAAUUCUUUUAUGCAUGUUGUUCAUAUUAUAUAUGAUAAUUUAAUUAAAUUUUAGUUACAACUUUGAGCUAGUCGAAGCCCACAAAAUCCAUUUAAUAAUGUUUUUUUUUUUCAAAAUAUUUAUAUAGUUUGAGGUGCCAAAUAUAACAAUAAAAGAUCAAUGGAUAUGAAUAAAAAAAUGACUAAAAGUAUACAAUAGUUUUCCCUUUUACGUACUUACUUUCUAAUUUGGUAGCUCUUUUGCACUCUUAUGAAAACUUUUAUAAAUCUUUAUGUCAAAUUUGUAUGAAGGUAAUCUAUAUACAUGUGUGUAUAUACAUAUCACUUAAUGAUAGUUGGCUUCAUAUGGAAAAAGCAAAUAUUGCCUCCUAACUUUAUUAUUAUCGUAAUGUGAUAUUUUAUCUUCCAAUUUUACUUUCAUCCCUUGGCAUUUAAUACUAUGCUAUUUAUAAUACUUUCUCUUUUUUCUUAAAACGUUUUUUUUUAUUUGAAUUUAGUAACAAUGGGUUAACUUGACAUUCAUUCCAAAGCCUUCUUAUUUGUUCUCAAAUUAUUCAAAAGAUGAUAUUGAAUUUAUGAAAUAGAUGUUUGUAAAAUUUAUGUUAAAUGAUAAUAUUUUUUAAGAAAAAAUAUCAUCUCCUUUUCUUUAAUAUUUAUCCUUUUGUCAUUACUACAAAGUAAGUGCAAUUAUGCUUCAUUUGAUGAUUAAUGAAGAAAAAAGUUACUUUUUUGAUAUUAAAUAUUUAUCCUUUAAUUAUUUUUGCAAAGUUAAAUUAGAGUUUCAUGAAUGCCUUUUCUACUACAAUUAUGAAAUUCGAAAUUUAUUGGCUUGGUACAUUGAAAUCUCUCAAAGAAAUUGAGUUCAUGGAAAAGAUAAGUAUCAGUAUUGAAAUUCAAAUUAAUAUUUGUAACUUAAAGAUUUCUUUAAGCAUUAAAGUUUAGUGUUAUAUUAUAAUAGCAACUAAAAAGACAUUUUUUUGCUCAUUUUCCCCAUUUAUUCUUUUGAAAGUAUAAAAAUAUUAAGAAAAAACUUCAAAAUAUGACAAGAUAAAAAUACUUUGAAAAAUAUAAUACGUAUAAUAUUUUUUGUGAUAUUUUGUGAUAGUAUAUAGAAUUUAAAAACAUAUUAUUAUUAAAAUUAUAAUAUAUUUAGUUUGAUUAUAUAAAAUAAAUGAUAAUAUAUGUAUAAAUAUUUUUAUUUAAAAAUAUUGAUAAUUUUAUUUUUUAUUUAAAUAUUAUACAAAAGAUACUAAUAUAGUUAAAAUUGAUUUUUAAUUUAUAAUAUAUUUAUCUAUAUAUUUGUAUUAUAUAUAGUUUAGACGUGUAAUAUAACCAAAGUAGUAGUUUGGGUGGUGCACGAUUACUGCGCCCUCAUGGGCUGGCUUUAUAUAAAGCCCAAUAGGAGAACUUUUUUAAAGUAAAAGUGAUGCUGACAUUCGGAGCGUAUUUUCAACAUUGGUGGGAUGACUUCAAGCACUCUUUGCUUUUUUCAUUUUAUAAGUCAAGAAUUUGAUGAUUAUCUUUCACUUUUUUUUUUUAUUGCUUUUCUCAUCUCUACAUUCGACAGCCAAUCUUAUUGCUUCUAGUGGUUUUCUUAAGCUUUGAUGAAAACUACCAUCCUAAGCAUCCAAAGUUCAAAGAAUCGGGAAACUCUACAUGAAUUUCACAUAAUCCCUUGAAAUUUAGAUCGUGCUAAGAAAUUGGUUUCAAGGCAUGCUACUACUAAAGUUUAAUAAACCAAGGAAAAUGAAAGACAUUUCACACUAUUUCUCGAAAUUUGGAUCCUGGUAGAAAAUUUCUAUCAAGAUAGGCCAAAAACAAAAUUGAAUAAAUCAAGGAAAUUAGCAUGAUGACAUUUCACACUAUUUAGUUACAUGAUUGCUGGGUAUUAUCCAAAAUUCAAAAGACCAAAGAAAAUUUCCUUUCUAUAGUUGGCUUUAUGUAGAAAAAGCAAACAUUGUCUCAAUUUUUAUAUUGAUGUAAUGUUUAUUUGUUGUUGUCAUGCAUUCAAUAUAUAAACUACUACAACUACUACCACGUUUCCUCUCUAUCAUUGGCUUAAGUUAAAAGAAGCAAAUCUUGUCUCAUUCUUAUACAAUCAAUAAUAUACACUACUACUACUACUAAUAGCAUACUACUAUUACUACUACUAUACUAUUUCUACUACUAGUAGUAUACAUUCUAAUUCUUUAUAGUAAUGUAAUAUUUACUACCACUAACUACACAUUCUAAUUCUUUACACUACUACUACUACUACUAAGCGUCCUACUAUAAUUACUAUUAGUAGUAUAAUGCUAUUACUACUGCUCCUACUAUUAGUAUACUACUAUUACUACUAUUAGUAGUAUAUUACUACGCCUACUACUAGUACGCAUUCUAAUUCUUAAUAAUAAUGUAAUAUUUAUUCUAAUUCUUUAUAGUAAUGUAAUAUUUAUUUAUUUUUAUCAUGCAUUCAAUAAUAUAUAUUCAAUAAUAUAUACUACUUCAUUACUACUACUAGUACUUCAUUUGACAUUUAUUUCAAAGCCUCCUCAUGCAUCCUCAAAUUAUUCCAAUAUAUAUAUAUAUAUAUAUAUAUAUAUAUAUAUAUAUAUAUAUAUAUAAAAUAAUAAAAAUUUUAUAAAAUUAAUGCGUACAAAAAUUAUAUGAAAAUAUUCAUUAUUUAAAAAAAAAAUCUCACCCCAUUUUCUUUAAUAUUUGAUGACAAAUAUAAUAUAGUUAAAAAGAGUACACUAUUGUACAAAUCAUGUAACUUUUAAAGUAUCUCUAUUUAGGCCUUGCUUGAAACCAUAGAAUAAAGCAUAGGAAUGAGUUAAUGUGCUUGGGUUGUUUUUAGAAUAAGAAUAGGAAUAAAAAAUCAUUGUUGUGGAAACCAAAUUCCAUUAUCACUAGGAUUUUGAUUCCUUUAUCUUAUCUUACAUGGGAUUAGGAUUCAUCCUAUCCUCAUUCCUAUUUUCAUGUAUCAAACGAAACCUUAGGCUAUGUUUGGCGUGUGGGAAUUGAGAUGAGAAUAAACACUUUGUUUCCAUUCUAUUUAAUCUUGAAUAAAAAUAAAUUUGAUAAUUUCAAUUCUUGUAUUUGGAUGCACUUAUAAAUGGAAUGUUGGAAUGAUCAUUUGUUUUCAUUUUAAUGUUUGAUAACAUCAUGUAUGAAAUUAAUUUUCUCAUUAGAACAACAAAAACCUUAGUUAUAGUAUAAUGAAAAGUUUAAUAAAGUUGAAAGGAGGAAAUCAAUAAAGAAAUGAUAUUUUAACUUUCUUAAGUUUUGUACACUUCUUUUUAUAUUAAAUUCAAUUUUUAAAUUUGUAAUUAUUUAACCAAAUCCAAAACAAUAUACUUAGCUUCAAUUUAUGUUUCCAACUUGUAUAUGUUAAUAUAAGACUUAGUGGUAGUAAAGUAUUUGAACCAGUAACCUAUAGAGCAAAUUUGUCUACUUAAACUAGUACAUUGACAAUCUCAUCCUUUGAAAAUUUUGGAACAAUACAAAAUAUUGCAAUACAACCCUCUAAAACUCUAAAAUUCAGAUCCUAAAGUCACUCGACCUAAUCCUUACCAAAGAUCACUCACUAUAAAUAACACCUUCUUAUAUUUCUUUUUUUUUUUGCAUGAAUAUGUCACCGCAUAACACCUUCUCCUCUUGAAUUUGAUUCCUUGUUCUUAAUUUGACAUUCUUUUUCCCUUUUAGAUUUGAAAAAAAAAAAAAUCAAAUGGAAUAGCAAAUUAAAAAAUGGUGUGAAUUCAACUUGAUAAGAGUUUAAUCAAAAUUGGAAAUUUGCUUGUAAUAUCUAACUUGCCUUAAUGAAUAAGGAUGUAUGGGUUGAUCAAUUGAGCUUUAGGCCCUUGAAUAAUCAUCUCAGCUUUCACUUUCAAUUGCUUGAGAUAUUUCAUUUGGAUAUCAAUCAAACCCAAGGUUGAGACAUUAAAUUGUACGUGUGUUAGUUUUUAUAAUAAACUAGUUUCACAAAAUGGUUGAUGCUUCAAAAGUGAUAACUUAGUUAACAAAUGCAAUGCCAUAAUUUUAUAUUUUUGCUCAUUUGAUGUAUGUGGGAACAAAAACUAACAUGGAUCUUAAAGUAUUCCAAAACAAAAUACUUGAAAUUGAAAUAUUCUUUUCCACCUAAUUUGAUUGCUCAUUCUAGAUUGGAGAUUCUAUCUCUUUACACCAAGAAUUAUAUAUAGUGCAAGAGUGUGAGUUUAAAUUGGCAUCACUUUAAUCAAAAUCUAAGAUUGGGUUGAAGUAUUUGACUUGCCUUGAUUAAUAAGGACACCCAUGGCUCAACUGAUGGAGGUUGGUGUGUACUAACUUAUCCAACAAAAUGUUUAAUCUGCAAAAAAAUUAAUACAAUCAAGCUUGUCCUAGAAAUGCCCUAAAAUGAGUCCCAAUAAAAAUAGGUUUUGAAAAAAAAAAAAAAAAAAACAAAAAUUCAGUAAAAGGAAUUUCAGCCCCUUGGAAUCAGCAAGGCAUAUAUAAUAGAAACUAAGAAAAGGAGGACGGCUUAAUUAUUACCAAAAAGUUGAGAUAAAUGUUUGGUCAACAUCAACAAUUCUCUUACUUGAAAUUAGUGUCUUGUACAGCAUAUCCAAUGAACAAAUUUGCAAAGAAGCUCCAGCCACCUGUGCAUAUGGUCCAUUUCAUGGUCUUGGGCAUCAACACCAAUACCAUCAAUCAGGGUGGUGCCAUCACAGUGUCUCUCCACAUCAGUAUUCGUAUCUUCUACAGUUGAUCUCGUGUCACAGCUUCUCUGAGAAUGAGUACUAUUGGUAUCUUGUACAGCUGAUCUAUGGCCACCCAAAUCCACAUGAGAAGAACUGCUACCUUGUACCAUUGUGAGAUUGUUCUCACAAUAAGAGAACAAUCUCAUUACUUUCAGCUGAUCAUCACAGUGUCUCAAGUGGAACAAUAAGAGAGCACAGAACAACGCCCAAGAAGUCAUCAUUUUCAUACCAACUCCAAGGAAGUUUCAUUGUUAUUUUGAACCCGCUUUUCUGAUGGCUUAUCCACUCCGGAAUCCCAUUACUUUCAGCAAUAAAAGUUGUGACAUUUCUAUAUUUACACCCCUGCACAAAAAUUACCCUCUGAAUUUUGUGUCUCCUGGAAAAGAAAGGUUAAAUGAUACAUGAAAACCAUACCUGAAUUUUGGAUUUAAAACAUUUGAAUAAAGAAGACCAGAGAAGAUUUGAUUGACUGGAUAAAUUUUCCAGGGAUGGGCAGUGAUGGGCAUCUAGACACCUUACACCUGAUGGAAGUUCUGGAAUAUGUUGAAGCAUCUUGCAGUGACUCAAGUCAAGAAAUGUUAGGUUGUAAAGUUGACUGAUCCCAUCAGGUAUGCGACUAAAGUGGUUCCCCGCCAGACAUAAUCUUUCCAGUGAUGAUAGGGAAAAAAUUUCACUGGGAAUUUCCCUUAUAUUGCAGGCAUGAAGCAUUAAUGUCCUCAAGGAGCAUAAACCGGACAAAGACGGUAAUUGAAAAUUCAUUGAAUCUAAAUGCCCAACACUAAGCUGAAGUAAAGAUUGUAGUCUCCCCAAGUUGUCUGGCAAUUUCCUGAAGUUUGGACACCUUUCGACUCUGAGUUUUCUAAGAGAUGUCAAAUUACAAAUACUAUCGGGAAGAUUCACGAGGUUUAUACAGUUUGUCAGAGUGAAAUGUUGAAGCCCUCUUAGACGUUCAAUUGAUGAUGGUAUCUCUUUUAUGGCGGUUCCAUCUAAAUAAAGGUUUCUCAAGCUCUCCAUAUCUUGCAGGAUAUCUGGAAAGCUUUCUAGUUGUGAACAGCCAGAGCAACAGAGAGUUGCAAGGGAUUUGAAAUUACAAAUGCCACUGGGCAGACUCGUAAGAUUUUUGCAACCCAACAGACAUAAUCUAUCAAGUUCUAAGGGAUUCUCGAUAAUGGGCACUUCAGUCAUGUCACUGCACCCAAAACACCGCUUUCGUCGCGCCCCAUCGCAUUGGCAUUCGUUGCAUAUUCUAACAUCUGCACCCUUUGUCUGUGUUGUUAAUGGAUGGCUUUGAUGAAGGUCUUCGGAGUAUAUAAGGUGGAAUCCACACCUGUUCACUUCCAUGGUUUUCUCAUAAUUAAAGACAGGAUCGAGAAAUAAAGACAUAUUUUCAGUCAAUUGACAAGGGUGAAACAUUUCUGGAAUAGCCGCCUUGGAAUAGCAAACCACCAACGUUUCACCUGAUACACUCUCAUUAUCUUCGUCCUUGUCUUCUUUAUAGCAAAAACAAUUGGAUUGAAAGAAGGGAAAAUCUACAAUUCCAUCUACACUUUUAUCACCAUUGAUCUGCAGAAGACAAGAAUGUGUAUGUGUAUGUUCAUUCUUACAAAAAGAUUCAGCCACAGAUUUAUCAUCUGUUUCAUUCUCCCAUGUACGAGUAGAUUCAUCCCCAGAUUUAUUGUCUGAUUCAUUCUCGGACCCAUGUGCAGAUUCCUUUUCGGGUAUGUCCUCAGAUUCAUCAACAAGUGGAACAUAAACACAGAAUAUAGCAAAUCCCAAAAACUCAUUAUUUUGGUGCCAAUUCUGAGGGAGCUCUGUUCUUUCAAAAUGUCUAUUUGUCCGAUCCAUAAUCCCUUUAGGAAUUACAUCACCUCCGGGAAGAAAAAUGCAAGUUCCCUUGCCAUGGUAGAAAGAAUCACUAAAACUAGUGCGUUUCGAAUCCUGCACCAAAGCACCAUGUAAAUAUAGAGUCUGCAUAUAACUAGUGUGUGACAUGAAAAUCAUACCUGUACUCGACUGAAGCAAUUGACCAGAGAAUGCAAUGGCAAAAACGGGGCUCUUGAUGAAGUGCGAUUUGAACCGUGUGCAUCUAAAAGCCGUAGACGUGAUGGAAGCUCUGGAAUUUGUUCAAGAUUGCUGCAGUGACUAAGGUUAAGGACUUCCAGCCUGGAAAGCUGAUUGAUGGUAGUAGGUAUGCUACUAAAAUGACCCCGUUCCAGAUUUAGUUUCUGUAAUGAUGAUAAAUGGCAAAUAUCACUAGGAAUUCCUCCUUCCAUUAUGUUGCAGUGACCUAGGUCCAAUACUUCCAAUGAUGAUAAGUGGCAAAUAUGAAUAGGGAUUUUGUGGAGCUUUGCACACUCUUGAAGUAGGAGAGUUUGAAGACCAUUUAGAUGUGUAAUUGAUGAUGGUAAGUCCAUUAUAGCUGUUCCACUCAAAUCAAGCACCCUUAGCUCUCUCAUAUUGCCCUUGAUUUCUGGAAAUCUCUCUAGCUUUGAACAGCCAUUGCAAGACAAAGUUUGAAGGUGUUUCCACUUGUAAAUGCCUCUUGGAAGACGCUCCAGGUUUACACAUCCUGCAAGAUUCAAGGGAAAAAAUAAAAAUAAAAAACAAGUUAGUUUUAGUAAUUAUAAUACUGUUGCACCAAUCUUUUAAGUACCAUGCAUUGUACAACCUUCUAGAGUUAGAAUCUCCAAGUUUGGCACACUUGAGAAGUCUGGGAUUCUGAUGAGAUGGACAGAGUAACUGAGAUCAAUAACCCUCAACUUGUCAUGAAGCUGUAACAAAAUAAUUUUUUUCAAUAGAUAAAUUUAUAUAAAUGUUAAAAAUUAAUAUAAAAUUAAACUGUAACUAAAUAAUAAUAGCAAUACCUUAUUCCCUCUCCAAAGUUGCUUUAUAUUGCUGUUCCUCAGUAAGAGUUCAACAAGGUUCUUUGCAUGAAAAUUCAAUGGCAAAGAUUCUAAAGGGUAUCGAUCCCAAUGCAGAUAUGUUAACUCAUAAGAAGAGAAUUCAAAGUCCCUUGGAAGGUGGUCUUCAAGAAAUAACUUUCUGCGAGGGUUAUGGAUUUUGAGCAAUCGAAGUCUAUUCAUCUCUUUGAAAGAUUUUGUAGUAAGCUGUGAUAGAUUAAAUUUACAUCUAUCUAGGAAUAGUCCUUCAAUUGCUCUUGUCCCCUGAAAAAUAUAAGAUGAGUAGGCAAAACAAAAGAUGCAUUAGACUUAAUUGAGUUAUAUACACGGCUAAUUUCUGAAAAAUUAAUGAUAGUAUUGAAGCUUGCAUACACACGUAUAUAAACAAGUUCAUGCAUUUGACUCUUACCGUAUUUCCUAUUAGCACGUGAUAGGCAUUAGAAUCCCACAAUCUACUCCUUCUUCCAGGGUCUUCAGGACAUUCUUGACGAAUAACCUCCCAACCCAUUAGUUGUAUUAAAUCAUGCAUAUCUAGCAUGUUUUUUGAAAUAGUUAUAAGACAUCUAUCAGCUAGAGUUGUUAUUACAUGCUCUGCAUGAGGGCCCAAUAUUCUUGAAACAAAAUCUUUGUCAUCUCCUUUGAAAAAGCAUGCUACAUCCAAAAACAUCCCCUUGUCUAUAUCAUCGAGUCCAUCAAAACUUAUUCUAAGUACAUUGUGAAUUUCCUUGUGGGGUAUUAUUUUUAGCUUACACAGUGCACUUUCCCAAUGACUUAUUUUCUUUCCAAAAAGAGAAGCACCUAUAACUUUAAGUGCUAACGGAAGGCCAUUAGCAUAAUCUAUGAUAUUGUAUGAGAGGUUUUUAUAAACUUCUUGGGGACGAUUUUGUUUAAAGGCCCACAAACUAAAGAGCUCAGUAGCUUCUUCCUUGUUUAAUUUUGAAACCUCAUAUGGUAUAUCCGCUCCAUAUUGAGCAAGCACGUGUUUGUCUCUAGUUGUAAUGAUGAUUGUACUUUUUGCAUGAAACCAAUCUUUCUCUUCAGCCAAAUAUUCUAGUUGUUUCAACUCAUCCACAUCAUCAAAAAUAACAAGAACUCUAUUGGAGGUUAGACACCUCUUUAUCAUACUAAUUCCUUCAUCAACAUUGUUUAUUUUAAAAUUUUUUCCCCUUAGGAUACCAUGAAGAAGUUCUUGCUGUAACUGAAGUAUAUCACCUUUGGAUCGCUCUCUGAUAUUUCUAAGAAAGCUCCUACCAUCAUAUUGAUCUGAGGUCUCAUUAUAAAUAGCCUUGGCAAUAGUAGUCUUGCCAACCCCACCAAUUCCAUAUAUCCCUACGACGCUAACCAUAUUUAACUUAGUGUUCAUCAACGAUUUCAAUUUUUCCAAAUGAACACCAAUUCCAACUAUGUUCCUUCCCACACUUAAAGGGUGAUGGUUUAAUCUUCUAAUGAUUGUAUCAACAAUUUCCUUGACAACCUGAGUCUCAUACCUGCAAUCAUAUAAAUUAAGUACAAUGAUGAGUUAGAAUGAGUUGCAAAAUAUAAUAAAUUUAGUUGUGUAUGGCGGUGUCCAAUAUUACUGAAUUAGUAGCAAUGGAAUGAAAAAGAAAGGGUUAAAUUUUGCAUUUCCAUAAAGGAAUCAGGAAACGAGUGAAUGUGGAGAAUUUAAUGAUUUCUUUCUUGAUUGGGAACUUAAAUAUGAUUUGCUUUAGAGAAAAUUAUAAAAGGGUUAAAUUUUGAUACUUGCAUUUUUGGACCAACACAUGGGAAAAAUGAAAGUUAGAUUUUGUUAACAAUUUCAUACUUACUGGUCAUUCACAUGGCAUCCAGAUAGAUUAGCUGCUUCUCUCAAUGCAAUCCUCCACUUUUGUAUCAUCUCCAUCUUUUCUUGAUUUGCAUCUCUUUCAUGGUAGGCAAGUGCGUCUCCGAAACUUCCCCUUUGGUUUCGUACAUCAGAUGGAUCCACAUGGUAGAAAAUUGGUAGAACCAUUGAUUCCUUUUGGCUCUUGCGUUCAAUGAUCUUUACGAGUUCAUUUAAACACCAUCUGGAGUAAGCAUAAUUUUUUGAGAAAAUAAUAAUAAAAAACCUCGAUUCUUCUAUAGCUCUGAAGAGAUCAGAUGCAAUAUCUCCUCCUUUCUCAAGUUCUUCAUCAUCUCUGAAAGUUUGAAUUCCAGAUGCAGUCAAUGUGGUAUAUAAAUGAUCAGUGAAAUUUCUGCGAGUAUCGCUACCUCUAAAACUCAAGAACACAUCAUAAUUACGAGAAAUAGAAGUAGUCGAAGAAGAGGCUCUAUGGGUGCUGGAAGAAGCCAUUUAUGGAUGGCUUGAACCAAAAUUACAAGGGAGUCUGGAAUCCAAGAAAAUCAGAGGGAGGGUCCUUGGAUGCUCAAUGACUAUUGGCUCCAGACCUCUUCACCAUGAACAAAAAUCCAAGCUGGGAGGGAGGUUCAGCUGAAAGCUUCAUCUGCAGUCGUAAAAGAAAAGAAAAACGUAUAUAAAGCCCUCUUUGAGAAAUUUCUUUGCAUAUAAAUUCUAAGAGAAACUCACACAUAUUUUACCUUUUGGUUGGGGAAGAUCCUUUCUCCAUUCCCUUUGUGUUGGAGACUGCAGUUAAGGGAUGUAGAGAAGAUGGUGGGGAAGAUGGUGUGGAGGAUGGGUAGGGGUUGAAGAAGAGGCGGUGGGCAGCAGAGGUCUCGAUGACUAGUGGAUAGAAACCUAAUUAAGACUAAAAGUAAUGCUUUUCUUUUCGGGAGAAUUUGUGUUUUGUAUCGGCCCAAAAAUUAAUAAAAGAUCCUCUAAACACCUAUAAUUAAUUACAAAGAUAUAAAAUUGAAAUAGACAAAAAUACCUCCUUUGAAUUACACCCAUUAUUUUUGUCUUUAUACCGUCACUCUUUACAUGCCCCCAUUUAUAAAAUUCUCCUUUAUUUAAUCAUUUUUUUAUUUUUCAUUAUUUUUUAAAUUCUUUUAAAAAUAAUUGAAAAAUCAACAUUAUUUUAUAUUUUUAAAUUAUAAAUAAAUAAAAAUUAUAUUAAUGAUUCAAAAAUUAUUUUGGAACAUACUUUAGAAAAAAAUAUUAUUUAAAUGAAUAAAAAUUAUUUUUUACAUUUUAGAAGUAAAUAAUUUAAUGAUUAAAACAAUAUUUAAAUUAAAUAUAUUUACUAUUUUUUUUUCUUUUAUACUAAAAAGUAUUUUAAAGUUUAUUUUUUUUUUAUUAUAAUAGAAUAAAAAGUUUAAAGUUUUUUUUAAAUUUUUUUCCUUCCAUAUUUUAAUAAUUUUUUUAACAUAGACUUUUGGCAAUAAGUUAUAUGAAUGUUCCAAAUUUGUUUAUUAAGGAAUUUUUUUAAUGAUUUGAAUUAAUUAAAAAUUUAUUGAAAUAAGAAAAAAGAAAAAGAGAGAAAGAGGAUAGAUAAAGAGUUUUUAUUUUAAAUAUCCAACAAAAAUGUUUUUGUAUUUAGAAAUGGAUUAUAUCAAUACAUAGUAUAGUAGAUAUUGAUUUUUUUCUCAUGCAAAAGGGCUAAAUGAUAUAUUUACUCAUUUUAAAUGAAAACAAGUAGUUAAAAAUUAUAUAGAUUAUGUUUGAGUUUGGUUUUAAAAUACUUUUUCUAGUUUUAUUUUUUUAUUUUUAAAAAUUAUUUUUAUUUUCUAUAUUGUCUCUUUUUGAAAAUACAUUUAAUUAAAAAAUGAAAAAUAUUUUUAAAAAUGAAAAUUGAAGACCUUGUUUAAUACUAUUUUUUUUUAUAUGAAGGUAAUAAAAAUAAUUAAAUUUCAUUUAUUGAUUAUUCUUUUUUAUUUUUAAAAUAUAAUAUGUUCACAAUUAAAUAAAGGAAUUGGUCAAUUGUAUAUUUUUUACACAAAAAUUUAAUAUGUUCAUAAAAAAAUUGGAUUGAAGUUUUUCGUCAUUUUUUUUAAUCAAACUACUAGAAUCAUGUUUAAUACACAAUAGGCAUACAUGCAUUACGGGGUUAUGAAAUUUGUGUCACUAUACAAGAGUAUUUACUAACUAUAUAAGGGAAAUGUACUGUGUACAAGCAGUGUAUAAGAUUACCAUUUAUAAAAAAUUUCAAUCUAUUUUGAACCACUCCUUUAUUUUCCUUGUCACCCACAAAUUGCAUACUCAUAUCAUGGACUUUAUUUAACUCCCACAUGGAAAUUCUGAUACUUUCCCUAGUAAUGAUGUUUGGGAAAAAAAAAACUAACCCUAGUUCAUCCAUCCUUUUAUUAGUUAAACCAUUAGAAAUAUGAUUAACACACCUACAUGGGCACAUUACUUAGGAGAGAUAUAUUGCACCAUUGUACAAUGGUAUUACACUAAUUAUACAAGAGAAAUGUGCUAAGUGUACAAGGAAAAUGUACUAAGUGUACAAGGAAAAUGUACUAAGUGUACAAGGGUGUACAAGACUACCAUCUAUAAAAAAAUUUAAUCGAUUUUGAAUCACUUCUUCUUUUUCUUUGUCACCCACAAAUUGCAUACCUAUGUCAUGCAAUUUAUUUAACUUUCACAUGAAAAUUUCGAUACUUUUCUUAGUAAUAAUGUUUGGGGAAAAAAAAUUUAAUCCUAAUUCAUCCACCAUUUUGUUAGCUAAACCAUUAGAAAUAAGAUUAAUAUACCUACGUGGACACACAAUUUAAGAAGGAUAUAUUGCACCAUUGUACAAUGAUGUUACACUAACUGUACAAAGAAAAUGUACUAAGUGUACAAAGGUGUAUAAGGCUACCAUUUGUGAAAGAUUUUAAUCGAUUUUGAAUCAUUUCUUUAUUUUCUUUGUUACACAUAAAUUGUAUAUGAAAUUGCACUAUUAUAUAAGGGUGUUACACUAAUUAUAGAAGAGUAUUACACUCGCUGUACAAGACAAAUGUACUAACUGUAUGAGGUAAAUGUACUAAUUAUACAAGGGUGCAUAAGGUUAUCCUUUAUGCAAGAUUUCAAUCAAUUCUAAAUUUUUUUCUUGUAUAAAGGCCAUCCCUUACUCCAUUCAUGCUAAAUGGAUUGAACACUUUUCCCCCACACAUUCCUUCACCUAAAAAAUGUUUUAAUUUUAAAUUUUAAAUUUCAUCAUCCAAAAUUUGUAAUUGCAUAUUUCAUUUAAGUAGUUUUAACAAUAUUUUUUCUUACUACAUUUACAUCUUAUAUAAAGAAAAAUUAACCAUAAUAUUAGGUAUUACCUUUUUUAUGAAAUCAAAGUAAUAUAAAUGGAUAACACAUUAAUGUCAUUGUUUCAAAUGAUUUAAGACAAUAUAAAUAACAUAUAAUAAUUGUUGAGAUUAUGAAUAUUUUUUACCAAACUGUGUCAUUUAGAUCUUCCCUACCAAAAUUAAAACAUAGGAAAUAAAAUUAAAAUUAACCACAUUUAAAGUGUUUAUUACAAGUAAACCGAAUGAAAUAUAUAUUUUUACUAUUUUACCUUUAUAAACAUAAUGUCAGCAGAUAUUAAAAAAAUCAUAUUUAAAUAGAAUUAAAAAGGAUAAAAAAUUGUCUUUGUAACAUUUGUAAUUUUUUUUUAUAAAAAAUCAUUAAUUUAAAAAAAAAAAUUGUUGUAAUUAUAGUUUUGAAGAUUCUAUGAUUUUUAUAUUAUUACUUUUAAUUAUUUUCUUUGAUUUUUUAUUUUAAAUUUCAUCUAAACUUGUUUUUUCUUACAUUUACAUGUUUUCUAUUAUAUCCCUAUUUAAAGUGAUUUUCAUUUAAUUUGUGUUCCAUUAUAUUCUCUUUUCAAUUUUAAUGUGUUGUUAUACCUCUUUACAUAACAAAAGAUUUUGUUAUUUUUCAUCUACAAAACUUUGUACAAAAGAUAUCAUGUACGAGGAAAAAAAAAUAAAAAAGAGAAAAUUAUGAUAUAAUUUACAUACACAUCUCUUAAUAUGAUACAUUUGCUUGACUUAAUGACAUCAUGCUUUAAUAAUUUAAAUCAUGUCAAGUCCACAUCUAUUUUAGAUUUAAAAGGGUAUUUGAAUAUUUUUCAAAUUAUUAAGUUAUAAUACAUUAUUCAAUUAAAAAUUAAGUAUCACCAUUAGUUAAAAGAUGAUUAUGUUACAAAAUAAUGUAUUAAGAUAAUAUCAAUGUAUUGUCAAUAAAAUAGAGAAAAUAUUCAAAUAAUUGUCUACAACCUUAAAGAUAUUUAUAUAUAUAUUGGAUAAAAAAGAAUAAUAAUAUUUUUUAAGGUGAUUAAAAAAUAUUUAUUAUAUAUUUAGUAAGUUUUAAAAAAAAUAUUUUAUGAGGUGUUUAAAAAAUAUUUACUUUAAAAAUAUAGUAAUAAUCAUUUUCAAUCAUUGAUUUCCAAUAUUCAAUUUAUUAGACAUGGUUUCUGGGAGAAAAAUAAUUGAUAGAAAUAGUAACACUUUCCUAGUAAGGAAUUAAUUUACAUGUCCCACCAAUUAAUAUGUGAGAGAAAAAGAUAAGGUGAAUGAUGAAAGAGAGAGGAAAAAAAAAAUGAAAGAGAAUGGGAAGUUAGUUGUUUUCUUUUUCUUUUUGACAGCAAAGGGUAUUUUUGGAAAAUUGAACUUUCCAUAUCAUUCUUCUCAAUUUAUAGACUUUCUUUAGGUGUUGGGCUUAAAUAUGGAACUUACAUGGACCAUAUCUUAAUUUUUGGACCCAGUUGAGUCCAAAACACAAUUUUCCCUUUCUUUUUUAUUAAACAUAUACUUAAUUUUUUUUCUUCAAUUUAAGUAUUUUGAUAAUAUUAUUUUUUAUGAAUAUUGAUGGCAAAAUUCUAUCAUCUUUCUAAAAUAUUUAUUAGAUUCUAGUAGGAAAUCAACGUCAAAGUAGGCCCCUAACUAAAAGUCAAGAGAGCUUUAUGACCUUUCACAUUAGAAAAUAGUUGGAUUCAUGUAGAAAAGGCAAACCUUCCUUCCACACCCAGUGUAAUAUUCCAUUGUUUUUUCUAAUUUUAUUUUUCCCUCUAGUUCCAAUAUUUGUACAACCUCAUCCUUAUUUAGUUUAGCUCCUUUUCUAUGUAAUCUUUUUUUUGGUAUUUUACAACUUGAAUUUAUAGAAUAUCUUUUGUUCAAUAAUUUUUUUAAUUAAUUUUUAUGAAAAAUAUCAAUUUUUAUAGAUAUAUCGGUAAAUCCCUUUUACGAAUAUAUUAAAAUAUAUCAGAAAAAUAUUGAUAGAUAUUUUGAAAUAAAAAUAUGAAUAAGAAAAAAAUUAUUCAAAAUUCAUAAAAAUAUUUAAAAUAAUUAUAAAAAAUAAUAUAAAAAGUAAUAAUAAAUAUCUUGAUAUUGUUUUGUUAAAGAAAUGAAUAUAUGUAUAAUAUAAUUCAUAGUAUUUAAUAAAAUAUUGAUAAUUUUAUUUGUAAAUAUAAAAAGGCAUAUAUUAAUUUAUGCACAUGUAAUAUAUAUAUAUAACGUUAUAAUAUUAACAAAGUUAGCUUGGUGGCGUGGUGCUCACUCUAUGCCUGAGGUCAUGGUUUCUCAAACCCAUCCUUCCACAAUGAUUUAAAUCCCUUUUUAAAGGUAAGAGGUGGGAUCCCACAUCGGUCAGCCACAACACUUAAAAACCUGCUCAUAGACCCUUUGGCAGGUAGCAGUGUUUGAAUGCGUGUGGUUGGCUGGGCCGACGUACACGUAAAACUUCCAAAAGGGCAAUUUAUCUCUUUGCCGAGAUAUCCACCUACCGCGCCCUGGUCGGAGUAUGGAUAUUUUGAUUCAAAUAUCAUGAAAUUAUUUAAAAUAUAUAAAAAUAUUUUAAAAAAAAGUUCAAAAAAUAAUAAUAAUAAUAAUAAUAAAGGUAAGAGGUGGGAUCCCACAUCGGUCAGCCACAACACUUAAAAACCUGCUCAUAGACCCUUUGGCAGGUAGCAGUGUUUGAAUGCGUGUGGUUGGCUGGGCCGACGUACACGUAAAAUCUUCCAAAAGGGCAAUUUAUCUCUUUGCCGAGAUAUCCACCUACCGCGCCCUGGUCGGAGUAUGGAUAUUUUGAUUCAAAUAUCAUGAAAUUAUUUAAAAUAUAUAAAAAUAUUUUAAAAAAAAGUUCAAAAAAAAAAAAUAAUAAUAAUAAUAAUAAAAAUGACUUCAUUAUUUUUUUAUUUUAUAUUUUAGUAAAUUUUUUAAUAAAUUUAUACUUUUAAUAUUUAAAAAUAAAAUAUUUAAAAUUAAAUAAAAUUAAAAUGAUAAAUAUACAAAAUUUGAAAGUAAAGGGAUUAUAAUUUUUUAAAUAGAAUUAAUGAAAUAAAUGAUUAUAUAUUUAAUAUUAAAACUAUAAUUUAUUUAAUUUAAAUGCAUUUAAUAAUGUAAAAGAAAUGAUGAUGUAUUUAUAUUUUUUAUAUUUAAUUAUCAUUAUUAAGAAAAUUAUAAUAAUAGUUUUUAUACUUUUAUUAAAUAAUUAAAAAUUUUAAAAUAAAAUAAUUAGAAUUAAUUGAUUUAUUAUUUUAAUAAUAAACUUUAAGAUAUUUAAUGUGAAUAAACAUAUCAACUAAUAUAAAUUUGGCCCAGAGGGAGCAAGGCUCAUACCCAAGCCUUUUGCUUGGGUUCGAAUCCCUUUCGCACAAGAGUUGGUAGAAAAAUUUCCUCCAUUUCGGGGAAACACUCACCUUUUGGUGUGGAGUACUUUUAUGAUUUUGUUCAAUAUAAAAUUUUCCAAAAAAGUUUUCUGUUUCUUGUUUUCCUUACUUUUCCAAUUAUUUAAUUCUUUUUAAAUAUACCUUUGAGUCACUUCAAGGCAACAAUAAUCCAUGUAAUUAUUUUUAUUUUUUGUUUUUAUAAUGUGUAUGGCGUAGAGAUGGCAAGCAUGAUAAUGAGAAAUCUUAUGUUAAAAUUAAACUAUGCUUUUUUUUAGUAAUUGAUUAUCUACUUUGCCUUUCAUUUUGAUGUUUUACUUCUAAUAUAUAUGAUAUUUUAGUUUGGUGUUCCCCUUGGACUUUAAUUAUGGAGCUAAUUCUUAUAAUUAUUGGUAGAAAAUUUCUUAUGACCAUCAAGAAAUUUAAAGCUUGUUACAAAAAUUGAUAUGAAAGUAGGCUAUUAACAAAAGGUUAAUAGACCCCAAUGUUCUUUCACAUUAAAAGAUAGUGAAAUUUACGUAGAAUAAAUAACUAAUGUUACAAAAAUUUGUAUGAAGACAAUGUUAUUUAUAAAAGGUCAAUAGAAGUACUUUCACAUUGAAAGAUAGUGAAAUUUACAUAAAAAAAAGCAACCAAGCCUCGCAUGCGAAGUUUCAUUUUCACUUUUUCUUUUCUUUUCUAUUUUUAUGUUUUCCCCUUGGACAUUAUCUAUCUAUCUAUAUACAUGUAUACACCUCAUUUCCACAACUUUUUUUGCUUAACUUUCUUUUUCUUUUGUUAUUAGUAUUUAGUAACAAUGGGUCAAAUCAUUUGACAUUCAUUCCAAAGCCUUCCUUUUUGUUCUCAAAUUAUUCAAAGGAUGAUAUCAUAUAAGGAAUUCUUAAAUAGAGCUUGUAAAAAUUACAUCAAAUUUAUAAUUCGUUAAAAAAUAUAUAUAUCAUCUCCUUUUCUUUAACAUUUAUUCUUUAAUCAUUGUUGCAUAAUGAUAAAAUUGAAGUAAGUGCAAUUAUGCUUUAUUUGAUACUCAUAAGAAUUACAAAAUCUCUUCACCUCGAGAUAUUGAAGUCUAGGUAAGAAAAUAGAUGGAUAAAAGUGCGAUAUAAAACUUUUCUUCUUUUUCCUUUUCCCAUUUGAAAGGUGUUUGUGGUUGAAGGAAAAAAAUAUCAAGUGGUAUAACAAAAAUAUUGGAUUCGGGAAAAAACUCAUAUUAAAGGUCUUUGAUGACUAUCUUUUGCAUUUUGUUUUUUGCUUUUCUCCUUUCAAGUUCUAACAUACAACAACCAAUCUUCUCUUUUAGUAGUUGUCUUGAACUUUGAUGACAAUUGCGCAAAGCCUUUUACGAAAUUUGCUUGAAGGCAUACUACCAUCCAAAGUUCAAUAAACCAAGGAAAAUUGCAUGAAAAUAUUUCAUAUCAUUUCUUGAAAUUUAGAUCUUGGUAAGAAAUUGGUUUAAAGGUAAGCUACUAUCAAAGUUUGGAAAAUAGAAUGUCUUUCAUACUAUUUUUCAUGUUUAGGUAACAUGAAAAAAAUAAAUUUUUUUUUUCAUUUUUCUUUUGUUUUUCUUCUAUUGGCAUUCAUUGGUGACUAGUUAUAUACACAUAGUAUAAUUUUUAAAAGGAUUUCCUUUAAUUUUUUUUUUCCAAAAUAAUAUUUGAGGAACCUUGAUUAUACCAUUUUAUUAUAUUUUCUUCAGAAAAAAAAAUCUUUUAUGCAUGUUGUUCAUGUUAUAUAUGAUAAUUUAAUUAAAUUUUAGUUACAACUUUGAGCCGCUUGAAGCCCACAAAAUCCAUUUAAUAAUUUAUUUUUUUCAAAAUAUUUAUGUAGCUAGAGGUGCCAAAUAUAAAAACAAGAGAUCAAUGGAUAUGAAUACAAAAAUGGCUAAAAGUAUACAAUAGUUUUCCUAUGUAUUUACUUUCUAAUUUGGUAACUCUUUUGCACUCUCAUGAAAACUUUUAUGAAUCUUUGUGUCAAAUUUGUAUGAAGAUAAUCCAUAUACAUAUGUGUAUUAUAUAUCACUUAAUGAUAGUUGGUUUCAUAUGGAAAAAGCAAAUAUUGCCUCCUAAAGUUAUUAUUAUCGUAAUGUGAUAUUUCAUCUUCCAAUUUUAUUUUCAUCCCUUGGCAUUUAAUACUAUGCUAUUUAUAAUACUCUCUUCUUUCUUAAAACAUUGUUAUCAAAUUAUUCAAAAUAUGAUAUUGAAUUUAUGAAAUAGAUGCUUGUAAAAUUUAUGUCAAAUGAUAAUAUUUUUCAAGAAAAAAAAUGUUAUUUCCUUUUCUUUAAUAUUUAUCCUUUUGUCAUUACUACAAAGUAAGUGCAAUUAUCUUCAUCAUCUCUGAAAGUUUGAAUUCCAUAUGCAGUCAAUGUGGCAUAUAGAUGAUCAGGGAAAUUUCUGCGAGUAUCGCCGCCACCUCGAAAACUCAAGAACACAUCAUAAUUACGAGAAUUAGAAGUAGUAGAAGAAGAGGCUCUAUGCAUGCUGGAAGAAGCCAUUUUUUGGAUGACUUGAACCAAAAUUACAAGGGAGUUUGGAAUCCAAGAAAAAUCAGAGAGAGGGUCCUUGGAUGCUCAAUGAAUAUUGGCUCCAAACCUUUUCACACCAUGAACAAAAAUCCAAGACGAAAAGCUUCAUCUGCAGUCGUGAAAGGAAAAAAAAAAAGACAUCUAUAAAGCCUCUUUGACAAAUUUCUUUGUAUAUAAAUUCUAAGAGAAACACACAUAUUUUACCUUUUGUUUGGGGAAGAUUCUUACUCCAUUCCCUUUGUGUUGGAGACUGCAGUUAAGGGAUGUAGAGAAGAUGAUGGGGAAGAUGGUAUGGAGGAUAGGCAGGGGUUGAAGAAGGGGCUGUGGGUAGCAGAGGUCUCUUUGAUUAGUGGAUGGAAUGGAGGUAAGGAAUUCUAAUAUUUUGAAAUGAAGUUUCAUUGAAGGUGUUGUUUAUAGUUUUUGUUUCCAUAAUAUUUGUGCGGCAGCUAACGGACAUAAUUAUGAUAAUGAGAAAUCCCAAAUUAAGACUAAGUAAAGCUUUUCUUUUUAAUUAAUCAUAUACUUAAUUUUUGUCCUUCAAUUUCAUAUUCUAAUUGUAAUUUGUUUUAUUAUUGUUUUUUUUUGUCUUGUAUUUUGAUAAUGUUAUUUUUUAUAGAUAUUGAUGGGAAAAUUCUAUCGUUUUUCUAAGAAAUUUAUUAGAUUCUGGUAGGAAAUUGUCAAAGCAGGCUUCUAACUAAAAGUCAAUAGAGCUCUAAGACCUUUCACAUUAAGAAAUAGUUGGAUUCAUGUAGAAAAGGCAAACCUUCCCUCAACACCCAAUGUAAUAUUUUAUUAUUUUUCUAAUUUUAUUUAUUUUCCUCUCUAGGUCCAAUAUUUGUACAACUUCAUUCUUCUUUAAUUCCUUUUCUUUGUAAUAUUUAUUUUGAUAUUUUUACAACUUAAAUUUAUGGAAUGUCUUUACUUAAUAAUUUUUUUCUUUUAAUUUUUAUGAAAAAUAUCAUUUUUUUUUAUAGAUAUAUCAAUAAGUUGGUUUUACAAAUAUAUUAGGAUAUAUCAGGCAAUAUCGAUGGAUAUUCUAACACAAAAUAUCGAUAAAAUGGAAAUUAAUCAAAACUCAGAGAAAUAUUUAGAAUAAUUUUAAGAAAUGAAUAUAAAAAGUAAUAAUAAACAUUUCGACGUUGUUUUGUUAUAGAAAUCGAUAUAUGUAUGAUAUAAUCUAUAAUAUUCUCUCAUAAUAUUUAGAAUUUAAAAGUAAAUUUUAUAUAAAUAUAUCUAAUUUGGAUGUAUUUAAUGAUAUAAAAGAAAUUAUGAUAAAAUUAUUAGUACUUUUUAAAAAUAUCGAUAAUUUGAUUUAUAUAUAUACAAAAAAACAUAUAUUAAUUUUUGCAUAUAUAAUAUAAUUUAUAAUAUAUAUUAUAUUUAUAAUAUGAAUAUAUAAAAAAGAGAAUCUUAAUAUAAUAUACAUAAAUAAAUAUUGUAUAUAUAAGUCAUACAUGACAAGGCCUGCACAUGGAGCUCUUGGCCAUGGAUAUGGAGAGUUGGAACCUCUUGGUGUGUGCAUGCAAGGUUUUGAACCUACUGUGCUUGAAGAUUGGCAAUUGGAAAACCAUUCAAAUGGAUGUGCAAUAUAUAGAAAUAGAUGGCAGGAGAAAUUAAUGGCUUUUGACAUUUCCAUGAGGGGCCUUCUUUGAUACAAUGGAAUUAACUUGGCUAUGCAUAGUGAAGAAGACAGGCUCAACUGAUUCACCUUUCUUCAGAUAUGACCCCUUCAAUGAUGCUCACCAUCAUGACAUAGAGGGUAAUGGUAUGAUUUGUGCAUUUGUGGACUUUCUCCCCACAGAAUUUGCAAACAUGAGGCUUUUAGCUUGUUAAGUUAAUUGAUUCCUCCCAUGAAAGAGAACCCAGUUGUGAACUUGUUACAACUGGAGAAACCAACCUCAUUCUCUCUUGACAGUGAAACUUCUCAACCACACCACCUAACCCAGCCUUAGCUCAUUUCCUUCCACUUUCCAUAUGCAUGAAUUCCUUAUGGUGUGGCCACCUUCUUGGGCUUAAGAAGAGGAGUAGAAACUUCAUUUUUCAACCAGCUUGAUAUGAGUGGCCCUUUCAUUCACCACGUGGUGCAUUACUAGUCGUUCAACUAUAUCCAUGUAGGGCUACCUUUGGCAUGCAAUCCCAAAGGCCACCCGUUUUCAUCCUCUUAAUUCUUCAUCCUUGCUUUCAAACAUCAAUUUUCAAAAGUCCGAUUUUCAAAUAAUUUAAAUUUCACAACUUUUCAUUAUUCCUUAAAGUUUUAAAUCACCAAAAAUCCAAUUUUAAUAAACAUUCGUUGCCAUUUUCCCCCCGACAAGUAUCUUUCACAAAUUUCCUUGUUUUUUUAAACAGUUUUAUGAUUUUCUUGAUUUUUAAUAAACAUGAAUGAAUUUUUAUAAUUCCAAAGUAAUGGAAUUUAUGGAAUUAAUUCAUGCUAUAUUAAAUAAGGCAUUGGUGGGGCCCACCAUAUGAGACAUUCGUCAUUCGAUUAUUGAUUCUGAUUGCUAUAUUUGAUCGAAUAUUGAUUGAUUUUUGCCUUGAUCUGUGGUAUGCAUGCAAUUAUUCUGUACUUGUCCACUAACCUUGUUUCCAUGAUAGCACAUUAUUGAUUCAUUGCUCAAGUAUGCAUCCUAUCUUCUCUUAUUUGCUUGGUCACUUUCCAUUGCUAUUUUGGCCAUAAUACAUCUUUGAUCAUUGUUUGAUAUCCACGAUUAAUCGAUCAAUUGUCACACUUGUCUUUGCUUAUUUAGUAAAGACCCAUUUUUAAGGGCUUAGAAGGGUGCUACAACUUAUUAUCAUACCUUUCCGAUAUGUAACUUAACCCUCGGGCCCAACUUGAUUUUUCAUAGACCUGUUUUUCCUUUUUAAGAGUCACACUUAGAGUUUUUUUUUUUCUUAUUUUUUUCCCUUUAAAAAUAAAACAAAAAUAAGUGGCGACUUCGAAAACAAAUUUUCAAGUGUGGAAUGCAUGUGAGAAAUGUGGGGUCUACAAAAUAGCGACUCCAUUGGGGAUCACUAGAGGGUUAAGCUUGAACUUAGGUUGAGACAAAUGUGACGUUUGAUUGGUUGAUCAGUGGGUACCCUUCUCUCUUUGUGCUUUUGUAUGCUUGAGUGUUGAUAGCACAUUAAGAGCUUUGAUAUGAUUAUCCUUGAUGCAUGUUUGGCUAUUGUGUUCAUUUGAAGCAUUGACAUGCUGAUUAUAUUGAUUGAUCCUCUUGUUUGUCCUCACAUAUUGUAUUUUCUUGUUGUAUGAUUACUCUACUCACCAUGACUUGUAUAUUCUUAUUGUUGCUUAUCUCGUUCAUUAUGGUAUCUUGAUUUUUUUUUUCUGCUAUAUACUAUCUAGAUCACCUUUGAGCAUGCUAUUCAUUUUUAUUGGAUACUCAUCUCAUCUAUCAUGUUUCUAGCUUCGCUUGCACAUAGAUUUGGAUUAUAUAUACCUGUUUUGCAUGACUGCUUGGAGCAUGAUUGCUUUUCUUCUGUGUGAUGCAUGUGUUGCUUGUUUGUGUGAGGCACACACUUAUCCUCUUAUCUCCAAUUCCCUAGUUUUGGUUGAACUUGUUUCCCUGGAUCUCGUAUUUCAUAUGACACUUCUUAUCUUGUUUGCUCUUUGAUUGAGCUAGUGAUUUGGAGUAAGGUCUAGUGAUGGACUACAUAUAUCUAUGUUUGAGAGCAUUUUGGAGAUGACCAACACAUUGAUGCCAAUUGGAGUCCGACCUUUGAAGAAUUGUAUAAGAGCUAGAUUUUAGGAUAUUUGUGUAGCUAGUGUGUUUUCUUCUUAGUUGGAUAGGAUUUUUGGAUGCAACCACACCAUUCACUGUGCCCUUUAUAUCACCAUUGAGCGCUAAGAGAUGCAAGAACCUUCAUAAUUAGGAAACCUCCUGGGAUGGGAGGUAAUGCAUGUGUGGAGGUGAUGACCACCUUGCAUCGAAGCACCCCAUCUCUUUGAAGGCGUGCAGAGGGUUGCAUACUGCAGGAGUGUAUGAUUGCUUCUGCUAGGAACCCUUUAAAGCCUACCUUUCUCUUUUUAGAGCCACCUUCACCUUAUAGGAUGAGCUUAGAUCAUUUUAUUAGGAUUCCUUAUUGACACAUGGGUGCAUUUGAGAGCCUUCAGGGCGCGUUUUAGUUACCACCUAGACCCAGUGCUUUCUUAUUUUGUUUCUAAUUGAGAGUGCUUAGAGAUUAGUACGAGUUUGAGUAUCUGUUGGAUUACCUUUUGCCUUGUUGCAUUAGAUUCUUUCUCCUAUUUGAUGAGUUUAGCUUGCUUUCUCCCUAAGGCUUUCCUCUCUCUUUCUUGGUUUGGUACAUCCUUUCACUUUGCUAUCACUUGCUUAAUGCUUUGGGAUAUGUUCGUUGAUCAUGAUCACCUUUUUACACCGUACACCUAUCAUGGGCCUAGUACCCCAUUCUUUGUUCAAUUCUUGAUUCAACUUUCAACUCGAUGUUCACAUUUUCAUUAUGGAAAGGUGAAAGGCAUGUUUUCACAUUCAUAUUUUUUUAAGGGAUUUGCCUUGAUCACCUUAUUAUUUUUCUUCGUGGAGCUUGGAUUGAAAGUUGAGUCAAGGAUACAUAGUUACAGAUGGAGUAUCAAUCUCAUGCUAGUGUGUUUUUCACACUUUUUUAUUUUUAUUUUAUUUUUUUAUCUUGGAUUAUUGAUAUGAAUUCUCUAGUCACAUUUGUAGCCAUCUCAUAGUGGAUACCUUUUUUUACUCCAAAGUUCUCGUCAUACAUCCAAAUUUUAGAUUGCCAUCACUAAACCAUGUAUACCAGGCAUGUGUCAUACUUUUGACUAUAAGAAAUCUUUCACUUAUAUAUCAUGAUCACUUAGACCUAACCCAUCAUGGAGGAUUUUGAGCUUGUUGACCUAGGACCAGGAGAUUGGCCUAAAGAGUUCAAGACUAUGACCUAUCCCACUUCCUAAUUAGAGCAGUACCAUAUCCACAUCUAUACCUUGACCUUUUGGACUUCAUGACCUAUCCAUGAUGAGUUUUGUAUAGUAUUCUUCCUUUGAUACCAUUGCAUGACCCUUUCUUCCCCAAGUAUCCUAACCUAGUACAUUCCUUCGUUGAUUCAACCAAGUAUGGUUUGAGAUGAUUAGACUUAUGGUGGGCUUUGCAUUAUGAUGAGGGAGUUAUGGCGAGAGAUCGAUUUGAUUGCUUUAUAAGUUUGUUGACCAUUCUGCGGUUGAGAUGAGUAGAGAUACCAUUACAAAGCAUCCAGAUCUUAGCCAUUGCAAAUGAUUUCAAAGAGUUGGGAUGACUAGAGAUGAUGAUUUUAUGAGAUGAUGAGUGUUUUGUGAUGAAACAUGGGUUGGUCGCUUGAUGAGAUUGUUGACUAUCCUAUGUUUGAGAUGGACAAAAAGGUUGCACAAAGCAUUUGGAGUCAAUUUUCACAUGAUUAUAAAGGGGUUGGCAUGGCUGUGUUGGAUGGAUAUUGAUAUUUAGUGUUGACCAUGUGAGAUCAUGAGGGCAAGAUGUUUGAGGUUUUGGUCAAAGGAUGGGCCAUCGUUUCAUGAUCCUAUUUACUUGAUCACCCUUAUAUAUGGAGUUACCCGUUGCAAGCCCUUUGAGUCUCACACAAAUAUUAUAACAUUUUUUGUCUCAUCACCUGAUUUACCUUUUGCGUCGGGUUAGGGGCCCUAUAGUGCUUCCAUGCUUUGAUUAGAUAUCUCAUGAGUUCUAGACUUGAUAGACAUAUUUAGUCUUCAUCUAUCACUCUUCAUUGUGAUAUUUUCCACUUUGACAUCGUCUCAUCACUUUUUUCGAUAUCACAUAUCACCACUUGUGAUGUACAUCAUCUUUCUUUUCCCUUAUCAUUGCUUAUUUUGACAUUCUCUUUGCUUAACCUAGAGUGUUGGUUUUCCACACACCAUUGCAUGGAAGACGGUCACAUCCUUCCCCUAGUUCACCUCAUGGGCAGUGGUUUAGAGAUCUUAGUUUGAGAGGUUGUCUUGUUAGUAAGGAUUCAUGUUACAUUAGUAUGUGGGGAGAGUUUGAUCAUUUGUGGUAUGCGUUUUCAUUGAAGAUUGCCCAUUAUUGAUUAGAGUAUGCAAAAAAAAAAAAAAAAAAAAAAAAUAGAGUGCAUUGUUCAUUGUACCAUUCUCCAUUGAGCACAUGUAUAGACGUGUCGGUUUACUUCAUUAGGUUCAUAUGUCAGUGAGAGUUCAUAUGUGAGCUCUUAGAGAUUUUCCUUUUACUCAAUCCUAUCUUUGCAUGUAUUUCUAGGUGAGAGUAUGAGUCGCUUAUUCGAUUUUUUUGAGAGAGUUGAGCAACCUUUCUUUAGGAUCUCUGGAUCUUUGCCCUAUUCAUCACUACAUCCAUUAUUUUAUGUGACUUGUCUCCAUGCUUUGAUGUGGAUUGAUCGGUACUCAUAUAUAUAUAUAUAUAUAUAUAUAUAUUUUCUGAUUGAUUUCAUUUUGUUACUCUCUUUGACUCUGUUAUAUUUGCUUAUUCUUUCUUUUCUUAUCUCGCUUGAUGUUGGAUUUGGAUUUAACAUUCACAUACUUUUGUUCAUCUUGUGGAUAUUGAUGUUCAUUCCUUUAUCAUGUGAGAGCCUCUAGGUCCAUCACUCAUGAGGUUUUCUAUGCAUUACAUCUUAUGCAUAAGGGAUAUGGGGAUUGUAUCAUUAGGAUUAUUUGAGCCUAGUUUCCUCUCGUUUCUUUCACCCUAUUACCUUAGCCUACGUUAUGUCUCAUGUCUUAAGACCACCUUGAGAUUAUGACUUCACACAUUGUGUUUGAUUGCUCACACAUGGAUGAUUCUUGAGUUUGGUUGGAGAUUUUUGCUUGGAGCAUGAUGGAUGAGGAGCUAUGAUAUGAUUUACAUUAGAGCAUACCCUUCUUAUCAGUGGUGGAUAUUUGGGAUGAUGUGAUCUACACUAGGGCAUACCCCACUCAUCGGUGAUAAAUUUUUUGAGAUGAUGCCUUACAUUGGGGCAUAGCCAAUUUGCAUCUUCACUUGGAUUAUGACAGAUUAGUAGUUAUGGCAUGACCCUACAUUGGGGCAUAACCAUUUCAGAGAGCACUUUUAUUAAAGAUAUACUCAUUCUACUUGAUAUUCUACAUUGGAAUACAUUUCUCUCAUCAAUGGUUGAUUUUUGAGAUGACGGUUUAUUUUGAGACAGUUGCUUGAGAGAUUGUGCAUGGUAGACAUAACCACCUUAUUUCCUUCUUGUGGAGCAUGGGGUGAUUAGGGUCUGUUGAAAUUAUAUUGGUGUAUUCAUUUUCAGCAUUGAAGGAUGAGUUUAACUUUGUUCUGAUGACCCAUACUGAGACAUAACCCUCUCAUUGGCGAUGUAGUUUGAUUUGUCUUAAAGCAUAGCCACUUCAAAUAGUUUAUAUCGAGGCCGACUACUUCAUUCAUUCUCAUGGAGUAUGUGGAUCGGAAGUCUUUGGAUCAUGUUAAGAUGUUUUCAUUUUCAGCAGUGGGAGUUGAGAUUAAUUGAUUUGUUAACAAACACUAGAACAUGGUUUCUCUUAGUAGUUGUUGAUUUGGAUACACUACUUUAUACUAGGGCAUAGCCGUGAUGGAGAGUAUUUUUCAUUAAAGCAUAGCCACCCUAUUGAAUCCUUUACAUUAGGACAUAUCCAUCUUUUGGAGCGAGAUUAGAUUGAUUCUUUAUGUUAGAGCAUCUAGAAAGUGAUAUGGAGAUAUUUGGAUUGUUCCAUGUUGUCCUCAUUGUAUAUAGGGGCAUAGCCAUAUUAGAGGACAUCAUUUUAUAUUGGGGCAUAGCCACUUUGCUGUUCGACAUUGAGAUUUGACUUUCUGUUUAUGAUUACUACUUUCGAUGGAUUAUGGAGCUAUUGACACCUUAGGUUUUUUUCUUUUCGGCAUACUUGGAUGAACUCGGAACCUACCUACCUUUCAUUUCAUACUCAGAUAUUUCACCCUUGAUACUUUCAUGUUUUACUGUCUUACUAGAGCCUAAUCAUUACCUUCUUUUGGCUCACACAUUUCACCAUGACAUAUGACCUCACACCUUACUCUCUAGAUUAGAGGAGGAUGUAGAAUAGUCCUUGACUUCUCUAGUUGAGCUCUCAUACAUAUUUUGGACUUUAAGUUCAACAUCUUACAUGAUGGUAGGACCUGACAGAUUACCGAUUUAUUAGUGAUGAUGUUUUCAUUUCUGACAGUUGACAUGUUGAGUUUUGAUUUACUUACACUAUACAUGUUAAGUAUUAGCCACCAUUAUUUUUGUCCACCAAUCAGUUUCAUUUUUUUGGUGUGGUAUCAUCAUGCAUGACCCCAUUUGGCAUUCGCAUUUGAGGUUAGACAUCUUCAUUACAUGGUUGAUGAGCAUAUUCUAGAGUACAGUAGUUUUAUGGCAUUCAUAUCUUAGUUUGUUCACUAUCACAUGCUUGGGCAUACCCCCUUCUUUGAGAUCAUCAAACUUUUCACAAGCUUCAUUGCUUUUUGAUCUAGUUGUUAACCUUGUAAGUUGCAUACUGGGAACCUUUCAUAAGCUUCAUUACCUUUUGACUUAGUUGUUGACCCUGCGAGCUGCAUACUAGGGCAUACCCCUUUCUUUGAGAUUAUCAAACCUUUAGUAGAUUGCAUUGCCUUUUGACCUGGUUGUCAAUCCUUAUGAGUUGUCAUACUGAGGCAUAUCCCCUUAUGUCGAGUUUGUUUGCAUCGUUAUCUCAAUUAUGCUUUGCUUUUAAGCCACCUGAUUAGAUCAUUAUCAUAUCAGUAUUGUUUUGCUUUGGUGUAGACCACACCCAUAUUGAUCAACCAUCUUCUUAUUAGUCUAUGGCAGUUUAUGUUGGGACUGCACCUAUAUCGAUCAAUCAUUAUCUUGCUAGUUUGAGUUUUUAGAACUGUACCUACAUUGAUCAGUCAUUCUAUGCUAGUUUGAGUUGAGAUUACACCUAUAUUGAUCAGUCAUUGUCUUAUCAGUUUUAGUUUGACUUUUUGGGUUGCACUUAUAUCGAUUGAUCAUCUUCCUAUCAGUUUGAGUUUUUGAGACCGCACUUAUAUCAAUCAGUCAUUAUAUUGUCAGUUUGAGUUUUCAAGACCACACCUAUAUUGAUCAAUCAUUGUCUUGUCAAAUUGAAUUUGAGUUUUUGGGUUGCACCUAUAUUGAUCAACCAUCUUCUUAUCAAUUUGAGUUUAGUUUGAGUUUUUGGGACCAUACAUAUAUUGAUCGCUCAUUAUCUUGUCAGUUUGAGUUUUCAAGACCACACCUAUAUCGAUUAGUCAUUGCUAUGUCAGUUUGAGUUCAAUUUGAGUUUUUGGGACCUUACCUAUAUCGAUCGAUCAUUUUCUUAUCCAUUUGAAUUUUUAGGACUGCACUUAUAUUGAUCAGUCAUUUCUAUGUCAGUUUGAGUUAGGACUAUACUUAUAUCAAUUGGUCAUUUUCUUGUCAAUUUGAGUUUGAGUUUGAGUUUUGGGGCAGCACCUAUAUCGAUUGACCAUUUUCCGAUCAGUUUAAGUUCAGUUUGAGUUUUAGGUACAUCACCUAUAUCAAUUGGUCAUUUCUAUGUCAGUUGAGUUUGAGUUGGGAUCACACCUGUAUCGAUCAGUCAGCUUAGUUUUGAGUCUUGUUCGACUUUGAGCUGCGCCUAUCCUUUCAAGUUUCUUCGGCUUUGAAUCGCGCCUUAGUUUUGAGUCUGGUCAUCCUUAAGUAACACUUUCUUCUUCCUUUGAGUUCUUUUUUUGUUUGUUGAUCACUUCUUAUCUUGGUCAUCCUUGUGUUGUUCAUUGUAUCACAAUCUGGUGCUAUUCAUUGCAUAUGCACUCCUCACAUUAUCUGUAUCUUUAUGCUGAGCUUGUUCCCCCUUAUCUGACCUCGAUCUUGAGCUUAUUGUGUUGUGUCAGGAUCAAAAUUUGAGAUCUUUUCUAUUUUUUGGUACAGUUCACUUUGUUCCAUUCAUCUCUCACGUAUUCGUAAUCCAUUCAUUACACUUAUAAUCUUUAUCGAAGAGGAACAUAUUUAUAGACUCCUGAUUUUGGAUCUUGGGAGAGGCUUUUUUUUUUUAAAACACUUUUUUUUUACCACUUUCUAAAGGCUUCCAAAAGCCAACUGGAGAGUGUGAGCUGUCAAGAAAGUGAGUGGAGUAGUGGUGGUUUUCUUGGAGCCGCAGUUUGGCUAGGACAGGGGGAUAUUCUAUAGUAUGGUGACACGUAGCAGAGGUGCAGGAGGUUGCUUUUUGGUAGCUGUUUUUAGAGAGGCUUGGAGGAGCAACGAGAGUGAGGUGGGUUUUUUGGGAAAGAGAGCGAAGGAUGUUUUGGAGAGGGGAAGGAGUACAGAAGAAAACGAGCAGAGUGUAGAGGAGUAUUCGAGGGGACUGUCUCAGGUAGCAGAGACUGUUGGUUUGAGAUUGUGAGAGAUGGUGAGCUGAGCUUAGACAAAGAGAGCUGAGAAAAAGCUGUGAAAUAGAGGAAAAACUAAGAAGAAAGGUAGGGAGCUGUAGAGGGAGGUGGGCUGGGUGAAAUACGUUUGAGGAGAGGAAUACUAAGUAAGAGGGAGUUAGAGCAAAGGAGAAGAAGCUGAGAGAGAUCUUGCUGAUUCGUGGGAAGGAAAGUAGAGCUUGAAGCCAAGCAACUCUUUGCUUGAGGAAAGCUUUCCAGGUAUGCCUACUCUGAGCUUCUUGUCUCUCAUUUUCACGCUAUUUUUCUCUUAUUUUCUGCUGUUUUUCUGGACUUCUUCUUAUUGAUUGGUGUAGACAUGAAGAGUUAUUUGAUUGUUUUUGGCUGAAUUUGAUCCUUUGUAUACAUGCUCUGUUUUGGGUUUUCUUUGCUUUCCCCUGUACAAGACUAAUGCAUGGAUUUAUUUCUGAACUUGAUAUCAUGGCUCUUGUUCCCCGAUAAUUCCACCUGUUUUUAACCCAUGGAUGCUACCUGAAAUGAGGCUCUAUACGUUCAUGUUUUGCUUGAUUUCUUAUUUGCUCUUCCCUCAGUAUUUACUCUGGCUCCUAUCCUCGCUUUUUAUUCCUCUGUUUCUGGUAAGUUGGGGUGCUGGGCAUCUAAGCUUGGGUUGUCCAUCUUGAUUGGGAUUUUUUCUGGGAGAGCCUCUUGAGGGCAAAUUCUAUACAAAUGGGUAUUUCUGGAUACCUGUGAGCCAUGUGGUCCACAUUGAAAUGCCUAAGGAUGCAAUGGAGGGAUACAGAUGAGGAUAAGUAAAUCUCUACUUGAUGCUCUGGACACGGGUAAGGCAAUCAUGUAGAAUGGGGUACUGUCGUCUAUGAAUCUUUCACUGUGGGCAUGGGUGGAAUUCCUCAUGCACUAGGGUUACAGUGCUUGCAAGUUUGUGAUAGCAAGGUGGAUAAGGGUGUUUGCAGUUAUGCAGGGAAGUUGGAUGAGGAUCUAUCAUGCAUUCAUUCUUGUUAGAGAACUCUUGAAAGAUGGGAAUUGGAAAAAUGGAAAGUUUCAUGGGGAGUGGAUUUUUGUGUCUUGGAAGAUUAUGAUAGAUAGGUAUUUCAGAAAUGGAUGUAUCAAGGAGGCAUUAACAGUUUUUGGUUUAAUGGUGAAAAUGAUGAUAGUGAUUAUUGAAAAUCUGGGGUUCUUACCCCAAGGAACCCCAGAGAAGACAAAGACCCUACUUCUGCAGAGCUUGAGCAUAAUUUUCUUGACACCAACCUUAAUCCAGCAGUUUAGAAGCGGGUUCUCCAAAUAACAACUUAGGUUUGAGCUGAAUCAAUUGAAAGAGGAAUCAAUUAUGGUUGAAUGGUGGGGAUUAUAAUUUAAAAGAAGACCUCUCAGAAACACAAGCAUGCUUACCCAAAGUUUUAUUUAGUUCCAAUGGUGAAGAUCUCAUUCUGAAGGCUAACACUCAGCUUACGAGUGAGCCACAUAUGUCGCAUGACAAUCAGAGCACAGGGUUUUCAAAUUCCAAUGCAUUCUUUCGGGUUCGGGACGGAUAAUGGGCUUUCAGAAAUUACAAGGAAAAGACAAUAUUUUAUGGACGCUCUGCCUGUUUUGCUUGGCCUAGAUCCCUCUAUUUUCGUAUUGCCGAGGGGUCUUCCUCACACACCCAUCCGAAUGGUUUUCCAAUUGCCAAUCUUUAACCAUAGUAGGUUCAAAACCUUGCAUGCAUUCACCAAGAGGUUCCGGGUCUCCAUAUCCAUGGCCAAGAGCUCCAUGUGCAGGCCCUGUCAGUAGUGAAGUUCUGAUGAUUAUGAGUCAAGUAACCCUUGCUUAGAAUCAGUCACAUGGAAGUCAUACUCUCAUGAGUGCACAUCAACAAACAAGCAUGAUCACAACUGAUUGAAGGGAGAAUCAAUCGAAAUUUUUGUCUUAACAGAUGCUUAGUUUUUGAGGAAAGGCUAAAGGUGUCAAAAGAUGAACUAUUGAUUUCUGGAAGAAAGGGUCAUUCCGGUGGUGAUAGUGAAUCCCCUGAUAGCCAGAUGGAUGUGCAACAUACAGAAAUAGAUGGCAGGAGAAAUUAAUGGCUUUUGACAAUUCCAUGAGGGUCUUUCUUUGAUACAAUGGAAUUAACCUGGCUAUGCAUAGUGAAGAAGAAAGGCUCAACUGAUUCAAAUAGACUUAUAACAAAUAGACUAAUUAGAGUAUUAUUUUUUGAAGCUUUAUCACACAGCUUUCUAUAUAACAAAAAAGGAAGUAUUUUGAAAACUUGCUACAAAGCCUCCAUCCUCAUAAUUCGAUUCGGAAGGUUUAUUGAAUUAAACUCUCCCUAAAGCGUUUCGAGUGUGCCCACAAUUUCUGACGAUCAGGAAGAUUUUCUUUGAUCACUGGAACCUGCUUAAAAUUCUGAAUCCAUGCUUGCAAUCGAGGGAACGUGGUGGAAUUCAGCAAUUUUGUGCCUACGGCUUCUUCUAUGCCCUCAAACCAGUAAGCCAGCCAACCAAAUGCUAUGUCCACCAGUCCUAUAGCUUCCCCUCCGAAAAACUUCUUAUCCCCAAGGCUUUGCUCUUCUAUGAUUUUCAGUAUUUCCACUGUUUCUUUUAUGGCCUUCUCUUGCUCUUCCCCAGCAGCAGAUUUAAAGAAUUGAAAAAAAGUGGCAUUCUAGAAGAAAUUAAGCAACAAGUAUAUAUAUUUAGAAUGAACUGUUGAAAAACAACAGUAAGGUGAUCUCAAAUAUCAAUAAAAAUUGAAGUUAAUUAUUAAAUUAAUUAAAAGAGGAAAAAAAAAGAUUUAAAAAGCCUACAAAUUCUUUUCAUUUUAAUCAUAGGUAUUAAUCGAAGAUUUCAAUUUAAUUCAUCUUUCCCCUCCUAAUUCCUUACUGCAAGACCUAGACAGGGUUAGAGAAAUUUGAUAGAGUUAAAGAAUGCUUAAAAGUAUCAUGGCUUAUUUUGUCUGAUCACUUAAAUAAAAUUCUACAUAUAGCUUAGGAAUUUAUUAGUGAAUACUUUCACAAAUGACUGAAAACAAGAAAUGGGUUAUGAAAGCUAGAUGGAGAGCUUUCAAAUAUUUCAGGUCUGUAAAAGAUUCGGAAAUUAAAUCAUAGGAAUUGAUAAUGAAAGCAAGAUUAGUGAGUUAAACCUACCUUUGAUUCUCCAAAAUUGAUCCAAAACCGAGCCAUGGCUCUCUCAUAAGCAUCUGUCGGCAGCAGUGGAUUCUCCGGCCAUGUUUCUUCAAUGUAUUCGAGGAUUACAAGGGACUCGGCUACUGCUCUGUCACCAUGAAGAAGCACCGGAACCUUCUUGUGAACUGGAUUGUGGUGUAACAACAACUGGCUCUUGCUACGAAGGUCUUCCUCAAUAUACUCAUAGUUUAUGCCCUUGAGUUUUAGGGUCCAUAUCACCCUGUAAGCAAAAGAGCUUGCCCAAAACCCUAAUAGCUUCACUCCUGCCAUUGUUUUCUAUUAUGCCAGCUCAAUUUGCUUGGGGAUGAGUUUCAAAUCUUUAAACUUGGAGGAAGAUGUGAUCCUUUCUCUUCAACCAAGGAUUUCAGCCUGUGUAAGGAGGAUUAUUCAUUUAAUUAGAUCUGUAAUAAUAUUUAUGUAUGAAGGGGUAUUUUCAAAUUAAGAAUCUUCACAAUGCCCUUAGCUAAGACUAUAUUAAUUGUUAUUAUUUUCUAUUAACAUGAAAAAGAAAAAAGAUAUAUUGACUAGUGACUCUUAAAGGUCAAUGAGUUAGGUAGAUUUUUAUUUCUGCCACUAAUAUAACAUUGCAGGUAGGUCCAUUCCUGGUUAUAAAUAUCCAAUUAGAAGAAGCUCUACCUUUUUCAUGGAAACGACAAAAAGGAAGAUUGAAAAAUCAAAGAAGUAACAUCAAGUGUUUAUAAAGCAUCAAUCAUUUCACUUGGACAAGAUGUUAAUUGCCAGAGUCGGUCAAUAGAAGAUAAGAUCUAGGAUGAAGACCCCGAAUAAGAAAGAAAAGGUGUGAGAAAAUUUAUGUAACAAUUAUUUCGAAUUCUAAAGCAAGUUUAGCAAUGAAAUAACUCCCUUAUAACCAUCAAUAUAUAUAUAUAUCAAUCGGGUGGUACAUUAGGUCAGAGUACUCACCAGCUCACAUCACCCAAGUCAAUGAAAUCCAAUACCUCAAUCUUAGUUCAACUAAAUAUACCUUCAUGAUUGGCUUAAGUAUGGGUAGCAUAUUGUUAUGAACUUUAAUGUAUAUUCCUUUAUUAUCUCCUAAAGGUUAGGAUUAGAUAAUUAUUUUAAUCUCCUCUCAUUUAUUUCCUUCGUAUAUAUGUAACUACUCUUCAAAUGAAUAAGAUGAGCCAUUAUUCCAUACUUUGUUAUAUGGCAUUAGAGCUCUUUCUACUCUUAUUGAGUUUCUUAAUUUGCCAUGGCUAACAUUUCUAUCACUAAUACUUCAAACUCAUCUAAUUUAGAUUUGUUAGCUUUUGUACCCAAUGUUUCAACUUCCAUUAUUAGCUCCUCAACUAGUUUCAUUUCCAUCAAUGUCAAUGCCAAACUUCUUUAAAAUUAACUUUUCAUAAUUAUUCUUCAUGGCAUGUCUAAUUUUAUGCAAUUCUCUUUUGCUAUAACCUUUUCGGAUAUGUAGAUGACUCUCUAUUGUGUCUUCCUAUUUUUGAGGCUUCUUCUCAUUCUUUUAGGCCAUGCCAAGAUCAACUCAUUUUUCAUGCAUUUUUGCCCCACUUUCAAAAUCUAUCAUGCCGCUCAUAAUUGCCUCAACCAAAACUUCAUGAAGCAUAGUUAAAAUUUACCAAACUUUAUGUUGGUCACUCUUAAAGUCACAUCCUUCAAUCCAAAGGAAAAAUUUCCUCAAGCACCCCUAGAGAAAAAAUUUUCUUAGAGUUUUUACAAAUAUUCAAAAGCCUUUGCGAUCAACUCACCCUUUGUCAUUCAACUUUGGAUGAAGAAGAUUUGUUUGUACACUCUCCGAAUGGAAUGGGAAAAAGAAUAAAAGGAAGUUGUUGUUGCCAUUCAAUCUAAAGAAAUUCCCAUUUCAUUGGAAGAACUUUAUCAUCAACUCAUAGAUCAUGAAGAGUUUAUGCAACAAGACUCUCUUAGCUCUGAAUUUGUUCCUAUGUCUACAAACCUAACUUGCUAUCAUAAACAAUCUCAUAUGUACUAGAAACUUCUAUUCUCCUUUGUUUUGCCUUAUUGAAAAACCUAGUUCAUAUCCGAAUUAUCUCACCAAUCAACCAUCAAAAUGAAAGCAAUCCAACCUAAAUCCUAAUGUCUGCCAAUAUUGUGAAAACUGAGUUUAGAUUGCCAAGAAUUGUUUGAAGCUCUUCCCUAAUCAACAUCUUUUCCAUGCCAGUACCAACUAUAGUAUCCCAUACCUCAUGAAUACCUUUCCUUAACUUAUUGAUUCAAGCACUUCGCACCAUGUUAUUAUUGAUUUAAGUAAUUUGGCCUUGCAUUUUGAACGUGAGAGUUAUGAUGAUACAGUCCUUAGUGAUGGUGAAGAUCUCGAUGACACACACUGUUAUGCUAAUUUCUCAAUUCUUUAUUUUACCAAAACCUUCCCUUUACAAAUGAUCUUUGUAUCACAUCAAUGCAAUUGUUUCUAAAUUUUGUUUAUCUCAAAAUUCUUCCAUUGAAAAUUUUUCCUUCAUAUUUUUACGUUAAGUAUCUUCAAAUGAUAGCACUACUAUUGCAAGGGUUAGGAUAAAGAUGGUGUUUACGAAUGCCACAACUUACAUAUGCUCUUAGAAAUUGCAUUCAUGCUCUUGGCACACUCAAGGAACCUUAGGUUUUCCAUUAAUAAUUGGGUCAUCUAUAGAAGCUCUUUAGAAGAUGACAAGAAAAAUUGAAACCCUAACCCCUAAUAGGGGUAUUUAUAGGGCUCCUUAUGAGCUGAAGUGAUUUCAGCUUAAAAUGGGCUUAGGUCCUAAUUAAUUAAUUAACUUUAAUGGGAUCUAAUUAAUUAAUUAGUCCUUACCAGAAAGAUAAUUCAUAAGAUCUAGUGCAACCUUACAUUUUGAUUAAAACACCCUUAUACACACUUAUGAAUCAAAACUCAAAUCCCUUAAAAUAAACGUGUACCUUUAUAAAAUAGAAACUCAAGCGUGGACCAUUGGGACCCAUAGGAAAAUAUUAGUUCCUUUAUAAUUUAAUUCUAAAGUUGAUUCAAUACUCCACUAAAGAUCAUCAAUUGCACUCUAAUAUUAUAAUAGCAUAGCUCAGGUUCAUGCCUUACCAUCCAUAGCAUGCAGACUCCUUAUGACUUGGUGUCUAUAAUCUAACAUGGUAUUGCUAUCAUCUUUAAGAUUACCUCUCCAAUCCUUCUGUUAUAGAUCCCACUUAUUAUGUGAUCAAUUAACAUACUUUAACUCCAAGGAACAUAUGUCAAAUUUCUACUGAAGGAAAUGAUCUGACCAUAGGCUUCUAAAUCACAUGUUCUUUGGAUCACUUAAGAAGAGACACUAUCUCAAUUUAAUGAGAAAUUGUGGUGCCUCUAUUGAGAAUAUCUAUUGCCAUUAGGCUUCAUCAAUAGUAACCCAAUUCAUAGGGACAUAUGGUCACUUUAAGAUCUCACCCAUAAGUCAACGUCUCCUAUUGAUUUUGGCACAGACUUAACACCUUCUCAAGGUUGAGAGUCCAUGUAGUAUAAUAGCUUAGUGAAUUGUGAUAACCGAUAGCCUUAUGUCAUGAUUCACUAUAGGUCAUGUCCAAUGUGCAUCACAUACACUAUUGCACUCACUAUGAGAAAAUCAUCCCAAUGACCAAGAUAAGUCAUUCCUUUAAUUACGAGAUAGUGCAUUACAGUCUCAAAUGAAUUGCCUAAAUCUAUGAACCAACUGUGAAUUACUCAUCACUCUACAAGGUACCCAUGACUUGGAUCUUCAAUGCAGUUCCUAAUGCGCCCAAGUCAUGUGCAAUGCAAGUAAUGUGGGUAUGUAUGUUUAGAUAACCAAUUAAUGCUCAUGUAACUAAAAAACAUAGAUAAAUAAUUUUAUAAAUGAAUCUCAAUUUGUUAGAUCAUUUCAUUUUUUCUAAGGCUUAAUCCUAGCAAUAUAUUCCUUAUGAAUUUGGUCACUAAUGAUGGAGGUUAGUUGUAAUAGAUAUCUUCAAUAAAGACACCAUGAUAUCUCAUGGUAUUGAGACAAUGGGUCUUCUUAAAACUAAAGUUGCAGUAAUUUCUUAAGUGGAAUUUGACAUAUAUUCUUUAUGAGUUAAAGUAUGUUAAUUGAUCACAUAAUAGGGGGAUCUGUAACUCAAGAAUUGAAAAGGUAAUCUUGAGAGGUUGAUAGCACAUAUCUCCUUGAUUACAAAUACCAAUUCACACAGUCUAUGUGCAAUGGGUAGUAGGUUAAAGACCCAAGCUUUAUCUCAUUAUAAUAUCAUUGGAUACUAGAGUGUAGUUAGCUCUCUUUAGUAGAGUGUUUAGUAAUUUCAUAAUUAGAUUAUGAGGGAACCAAUAUUUUCUUAUGGGUCCCAAUGGUUCCUGUUUCAGCUCUUGAUUCAUGUUGGCAUGUUUGAUUGAGAGAAUUAUGGGUUUUUAAUUCCUAAGUGUGCAUAGGGGCAUUUUGAUAAAAAUAUAAGGUUGCACUAGAUCUUAUGAAUGAUCUUUCUAGAUUUGGCUAAUUAAUUAAUUGAAGUCUAAUUGAGUGAAUUAAUUAAUUAGGACUACAAUGGACUAGAUUAAGUGACCUAAGCCUAAUUUGGGGUAAAGUCACUUAAGCCCACAUGGAACCCUAUAUAAAUCCCCUUAAAGGUUUAGGAUUUCAUUUUUUGCAUCCUCGUCUUUCAAACUUUGGAAAAGAAAUACCUUGCCUCCUUUUAGAUAAGUCCAUCGUUAUCUUGUGCCAUAGAUAUGUGAAAUGAGUGAUAAAGUAGAAGAUCUUUAGAUCUACAAGAUCUACGAUGCCAACCUAGAUCUAUCCAUUAAGACUUAAUGAUCCACCACUAAACAUGAUUUAACUAAAAGCGAAUGAUGCAUACCUAACUUUUUCUUUAGGAAUUCAAGGCUCUCCUUUUUCUAGUGGCUUUUCUUUUCAGAAAGGAAACACUUGCCCUUCCCAUUGCUCUUCUUACUCAUUUUCUUAAACUUUUGCUUUUGUUUGAUGUUCUUUGAAUUGUUCUUCUUCUUCUUCUUCUUUUUAGAAGAACCUGAAAAACCCUUGAUUAUCAUAUGACUACCUUCUUAGUCGUUGAGAAUCCCCUCAGUCAUCCGAGUUCCCUUAUAAUUUUAGGUAAGCUCAUCACCAAUUUAUGCAUAGUAUAGUUGAACUUGAACUACCUGAAGGAAUCCAACAAGGUUCGAUCUAAAACUCAAACAUCAUCUUUAUGUUUCUGAGUUUAGAAAGAAUUUGAUUCCAGUUUCUAGUUACGUAAAUCGAAUUGUUCAAUGUUUUUUAAUAAACAAGUUAUUAUUAAAAUGAAUAAUUCAAUUAUAUGCUCAAGACCAUUGAUUAAUAAUCUUUAUCCUAUGACUGCAUUAUCAUUAUUGUUAAGUAAUGAGAAUAAUCAUAUCUCACUUAAAAGAAAGCAACCCAUCACUAAUCAAAAACACUUUUGACACUUAAACUUAGGUUAUACUAAUCUAAAUAGGAUCCAAAGGCUACUUAAAGUCUAGAAUAUUGCACUCUUUCAUUCCAAAGGAUCUUUUAGUCUGAAAAUCCUAUAUGGAAGGUAAAAUAACUAAGAAGCCAUUUACUACUAUAGGAUACAAAGUCAAAGAAUGUUUGGAGUUAAUGUAUAUUGAUAUGUGUGGACUUUUGAAUGUCGAUGCAUGGUGAGGGUAUGAGUACUUCAUCACCUUUACAAAUGAUUACUCUAUAUAUUUACCUAAUGCAUAGAAAAUCCAAUGCCUUAGAUAAAAUUCAUUAGAUUUAAGGUGGAAUAAAAAAACCAAUUAGGUAAACAUAUCAAGGCACUUCAGUCUAAUUGCGACGGUGAGUAUACAUCACCUGGUUCAAUUAUUUCCAUAAGGAGCAUGAGAUUAUAUCUUAAUUGAGUGCAACUAAAACUCCAUAGUAGAAUGGAGUAGUGGAAAUAAGAAAUCAAACUUUGAUGGACAUAGUGAGAUUUGUGAUGAGUUUUUCAUCACUUCUUGUAUCCUUGUGGGGAUAUGCCUUAUUUUCCUAUGGGUACUAGCCCAUUCAAGCUCCUGAUUCAUUGUGGCAUGUUUGUUUAAGGGAAUUAUGAGUUUGUAAUUCAUAAGUGUGCAAUGACAUUUUGGUAAAAACACAAGGUUGUUUUGGAUCUUACGAACGGUCUUUUUGGAUUUGCCUAGUUAAUUAAUUGGAGCAUGGUAGGUCUAAUUAAUUAAUUAAGAUCCAAAUGAGCUAUAUUAAGUGGCUUAAGCCCAAUUUAGACUCAAGUUACUUAAGUCUACAAGGAAGCCUAGCAUCCUUAGACUCAAUAGGGCUUUAGUUUUUACAUCAUUGUUUUCUAGUUUCUAGAAAAGAAACUCCUAGCAUCCCUUUAGAUAACCCACCCUUAUCUUGUGGUAGAGAUCUAUGAAAGUAGUGAUUCGAUGGAAGAUCCAUAGGUUUACAAGAUCUAUGAUACCAUCAUAGUUUAUUUCAUUGGAUUGGAUUUGUUCUGGGAAUAUCUAGAUCAUAGUAUGACAUCUAAUCGUAGAUCUAUGAUCAUUAUGGUGUUGUUUACCAUAUUUCUUCAUUGAGUUAGAUUUAGAGAAGGUUAGGCAUAGUUGCAUGCACUCUACAAGAUCCAGGGCUAGAGAAUAGAGUAAUUCAAGGUUCCUAGCAUCCUCUUAUUUCAAGAAUUUAAUAUAUAGAUAUUUAGGAUAAGAAAUGUUAAGAUAAAGCCCUUAAGAAUAUAUUAUCAUGUAACAAAAUAAGAUUCAUUAAUAUAUUUAAUUAUAAUUUUAGUUUCCACUUUUCUAUCCAUGAUUGUAUUAUUACUCAUGGGAGUAUUUAGGCUUGCAUCACUUGGAUUGCACAUGAAUUGAGUGCAUUAGAAGAUUGGUGGAAAAUUUAAGUCAUUGGUUCUUUACAAGUUGAUGAGUUGUUCACAACCAAUUCAUGGACUUAGGCAAUCCAUUAGAGAUAGUAGUGUGCUACCUCUUAAUUGAAGGGCUGACUUAUCUUGAUCAUCAACAUAGAUUUCCCAUGAUGAGUGCAAUAAUGUGUAUGGUUACACAUUGGAUAAAACCUAUGACAAAUCAUUACAUGGGAUAUCGUAUGGUUAUGACUUCACCAAGUUACAAUGUUGCAAGGACUAUCAACCUUGAGAGAAUAUUGAACUUGUGUUGAGCUCUGCAAUGACUUAAACUUAUGAGUGAAACUCUAAGGUUGUCAUAAAUUGUCUAAGAAUUGAGUCCCUGAUGUUUAAGGCAAGUGGUAAUAGGUGUACUCAAGGUAGACAUCAUGAUAUCUCAUGGGACUGAGAUAAUGUCCCUUGGGGUGAUCUUAGGGACUUGUGAUCAUUAAAUCUAUGGCUGCAACAAUUCCUUAAGUGGGAUUUAACAUAUGUCCUUUGUGUAUUAGAACAUGUUAAUUGAUCACAAAAAAUAAGGAUUUGAAAUUCAAGAAUUAUAGAGACAAUCUUGAUAUGUUGAUAGCUACUAUCUUAUUAGAUUGUGCACACUAGUUCAUAAGAAACUUGUAUGUAGUGGAUUUAAUAAAUGUUAUCUCAAUGUAAUAUCAUAGGGUAUUUAAGUGAAAUUGACUUUUUUCAGUGGAAUAUUGAGUUAACUUUAUUAUUGGAUUCUAAAAUAGUUAGUUUUUUCCAAUGUUCUUAAAAUCCAACCGGACUGACCAAUUUGACUGAUCGAACCAUAGACUGGAACUUGGUUCGGUUCAUUCCAACCUAUGGCCCAGAGUACAUAUUGAACCAGGCUUAAACUGAAUGGAUUGACAGUUGGACCAUUAAACCUGUGAAUUGAUCAUUCGGUUCUGGGUUGACAUUUUUUUUCCUCGCUAAAGGGUGGUUAGGAGCCCAACCUAGUUCACCCUACUUUAGCCUACCAUAUAAGGCUAGUGGGCCAAGGACCACAUAAAGCUACAAUACGAUACAUGGGACAAAGAAUUUAAAGGAGUGUUCAUCCUCCUCUGCUUCCACAACUCCCAAUGUGGGAUGAGAUAUAAAAUCCAUACAAUUUUCCACAACUUCUCAUGUGGGAUGAGAUAAAAUACAUAAGCUAUAAUGCAAUUGGCAAUUGACAACCAGAUGAUUUGAACCAAUUUGUUACUAAUAAUUGAUAUUUAAAAAUUGUAAACUAAAAAACCAAUAACAUAAUUAUUUAAAAAUUGUUUUGAUAAUAAAAAAAAUAUAAGUAAAAUAAUGUAAUAUAGGUAAAAUAAAUUAUAAAUAAAAGAAUUUUCUUCUAUUGUAAUACAUAUUUUAUUUAUAAAAUUUAAAAUAUUAAUAUUUUUAGAUUUACUCAUGAUUUAAGUUUGAUAAUAUUAAAGACAAUAUAUAUAUAUAUAUAUAUAUAUAUAUAUAUAUAUAUAUAUAUAUAUAUAUAUAUAUAUAUAUAUAUAUAUAUAUAUAUAUAUAUGCUUUAAAAUUUUAAAAUUUAUUUUUAAUUUUAAUAAUAAAUAAAUUAUAUAUUUAUGACAUCAUCGAUUCGAUUGCAGUUUGACCAUUGGUUUGACCAUUGAAUCGUGAACUGGUAACUUUUUUAGUUCAAUGACCGAUCCAAUUAUGAAAAAAUUGGUUUUUUCUUAUAAGCUUUAGUGGGCCUUGCUUGAACUCGUAAUCUUUGUUAGAACAAAGACUUGAGGGAAAUUGGGUUUAUUUAAUCAUAUGUCUGCAUAAGAGCAAUUUGAUAAGAAUGCAAGGUUGCACAAAAACUUAUAAUUAUUAUUUUAGGUUUCCUAAAUUAAGCUAAUUAAUUAAUCGGAGUCCAUCAGUGCUAAUUAAUUAAUUAAGAUCCAAUGGUCUAGAUUAAAUGAUCUAACCUCCAGUGGGCCUAAGUUACUUAAGCCCACAAGAGUGACUAUAACUUCUUAGGGUUUAGGGUAAGCUAACAAAGAAAUCCAUCUAUUCAUUCUUUAUUCUUCUAAAGAAAACCUUAUUCAUCUUUUCUCUCUCAAGGUUGUGUAGCCACUUUAGACACAUGACAAGGAUCAAAGACAAAUCUUUUGAGUGGAACACACCUAGUUUUUGAGAUCUCUACAUUAACUUGAAUUUGAUCUAGGAAAAUCCAUGUUGAAUUGUAUGUCUUUUAGCACCUAAAUCUAAGUGUAGACCCUUCAUUUUGUCUCCUUAGCACAUGCCCUAUGAGGUGUUCUUUCAAUAUUUCACAGUAGUUCUCUAGUUGCCCAUUGCUACUCAUGCAACUUUUCUUUUUUAACCACCUUGGAGACUUUGAAUGAGGGAUUUAUCUAGCCCCUCAUUGUGACCCUUGGCAACCUUGAGUUAGAUCUAAGUUUUUUUUUUCUUUUUAGGAUAACUCAUUUAGGUACACUUUCACUUAGACACAUCCUAGGUCACCUAGCCACUUUUCUUAUCACCCUAGGUCACUUAGGCACUUUUCUAAUCAUCCUAGGUCACUUAGACACUUUUUUUAAUCACCUUAAGUCACUUAGACACUUUUUUUUUUUUUUUUUUUUAUCACCUAGGUCCACUUAGAUUCAUUUAGGCCCACCUUAGACCCAUCUAAGCCCACUUAGCCCACUUAGGUUCACUCAAGCCUAUUUAGGCCCAUCAGAUCCACAUUAGGCCCAUCUAGGCCCACUUGACCCAUUCAGGUUCACUCAAGCCCAUUUAGGCAGAUUUAGGCCCACUUAGGUUCUCAUUUGGCCCAUCUAGGCACACCUAAGGCCAUUUAGGCCAUUUAGGUCAUUUAGGUCCAUCUAGGAUCACCUUAGCCCAUUUAGGUAACUUAGGCACAUUUUGGUACACCUUAGGCCCAUUUAGACUCACCCUAGCCCAUUUAGACACAUCUAAGCCCAUUUAGGUCAAUUAGGCCCACUUAAGCAUGCCUUGACCCAUUUAGGUCACUUAGGCCCAUUUAGGCAUCUCAACCCAUUUAAGCACACCUAGGCCCAUUUUGGAACCUUGGCCCAUAUCUGGCCCAUUUAGGCAUACCUAACCUAUUUAGGAAUACCUUGACACAUUUAGGCACACUUAGCCUAUUUAGGAACAACUUGGCCUAUUUAAGCACAUUUGACUCGUUUAGGCACACCUUGACCCUUUUAGGCAUACUUGGCUUAUUUAGGCACAUUUGACCCAUUUAGGAAUGUCUUGGCCUAUUCCAACCAAGGAUGAAAGUAUCAGUAAUUACGAAUAUAUUGGUAUUUCCGUUUAUGGAUAUAUCUGAUAUAUCGACGGAUAUUUUGACAUAAAAUAUCGGUGAACUUAAAAUUGAUCAGAAAUUAUAAAAAUGUAAGAAAAAACUAUUAAAAAUAAAAUUACAAGUAUAAUAGAUAUUUUAAAGUUGUUUUAUUCAAGAAAUUGAUAUAUGUAUGAUAUAAUUUAUCAUAUUUGAUAAUAAUAUUAUAUGUGCUAAUAAAAAAAAAUGAAUUUUAUAAGUAUACAUUUAUUAUUAAAUUAUAUCAAAUAUUAUUCGAUAAUAAUAUUUGUGAUAUUUGAUUAUAAUAUGUCUAAUUUAAAAAUGUAUUUAAUAUUAAAAUUAUAAUUCGUUUAAUUCAAUUGUAUUAAAUGAUAUAAAAUAAAUGAUGAUAUAUGUAUAAUUUUUAAUACUUAAUUAAUAUAUUAAUGAUAUUAAAAACACUAUGAAGAAAAUUAUCACAAUAAUUUUUAUAUUUUUAGUAUUCAAAUAGAUGAAAUUUUUUCAUUUAAUUAUAAUUAAUUUGUUCUUUAAAACAUUUUUAAAAAUUAUGUUUAUACGAUGAAUUUGAGUUUAUAUAUAUUUGGUGCAACUUAUAUAACAAGGGACAAACUUGCCCUACUGGUUGGCUUAAUGCAUAGUAAACCUUUUGGUUGGGGUUAACAUUCAAGUUCCAGCUCAUGUUAGCUCAUUUAGUCUCACUUAGAUCACUUAUGUUCACUUUAAGUACACUUAAGCUUAGUUUAUCUAGUUCAUUUUAAGAAGUUUUCUCUAAGUUGCACUUUAGAAUAAUUAUUUUAGAGGCAUAUUUAGUUCAUUCUAGUUUAGGUACACUUUAGGAUAGUUCUCUUAGAUGCAUAUUUAGUUCACCUUAGUUUAGAUGCACUUUUUCAUUUUAGUUGAACUAAUGUUCAUGCCAUUUAGGAACACUCUAAGUUAGUUCAUCCAUUUCUUAUUUAGGUAUAUUAUCUAGUUACAUUUUUUUAGAAUUCGUUUUAUAUACAUUUUAAAAAGGAGAGUGAGAAUUUUUUUAAGGAAUAUGAUAACUUUUUUUUUAUUUAUAUAAAAAAGGAAGAUAUGACAAUUUUUGAAGAUGGCAUCAAUUUUUUUUUUUUUUUAAAAAGAGAUGAAAAUUAUUUUGAAGAUGACAACAAUUUUUUUUAAAGGAGAAGGAAAAUAAUUAAAAGGAAUAGAAGAUAAGAUUUUUUUUUUUUUUUUCUUUUAAGAUGGUACCAUUUUAAAAAAAAAAAGGAUAGAAGAUAUGAAUUUUUUUUUUUAAAAGGAAAAGGAGAAUUUUUUUUAAAAGGAAUAUGAGUAUUUUGGAAGAGGAUAUCAUAAUUCUUUUAUAGAGGAUAUUUGAGUUUAGAAAAGAAGGACACAUAUAAGGAUUCAUGGACUAGAGGACCCGACCAUAUUGAGAAGAAUAGAGAUUCAUGCAUUUUAGAGAAGACUACUCACCAUCUUGGAUUAGGAAAAGUGUGGUGGUUGUCAUUGACUUGCCAAAACAGAUUUCAAGCAUGCAUUUGAGGAAAAGAUUGGGGGGACAUCAUUAAGGAAGAGAAAAACCUAGACAUGAAUGGAGAUUGAUUUUUUCUUUUUUCUUAUUUUUUUUUUAAGAAAAAAAAAGAAAAGAAAAGAAAGGAAAAGAGAUUUUGGGGAAGAAAACAUGAUGAACAGUCGAUGAAAGGAAGGGGACAUUUAGGAAGAAGAAGAGAUCGCCUUCUUUUGAGAGUAAAAUGAGACGUUUUGAGGGAUUCAGAGGGGUUUUAAGGGAUUUUUUUUUUUUUUUAGCAAUUUGGAGAGGGAUCAAUAGCCUUUCGUGGGGGUUCUCAAACUUUAUCUUCAUAUCAUAAUUUGAAGAAGAAGGUGAGUAAGUUUAGAAAAUGUUGGGAUUUAUUUUUUCUGGUUGUUAUGUAUUAUUCUGGGUUUUGUAUAUUGUUUUAUGUUAUUGAAGUUUUGAUUUUUAUUGAGUGCUUAGAAAAUUGUUAGCACUGUUGUGAAAUAAGGACAAAUACAAUGCAAAUCAAAGUAGUAAAGAUGGAAUAUAUUUUACUUUGAUAUAUAAUAGGGAAGAAGAAAUCAGAUACGAGAGUUGAGAAAGUUGAGAGAAUGAAAAACAGAGAUAAUGAGAUGAAGAAAAUUUCUUUCUUUUUCUCGGGAUGUAUAUUGCAGGAGAUGGGAAGCCCUUUUAUAGGCUUUCCAAAUGGCUUCCAUUAAUAUCCCCAUUAAUGAAACUCAUAAAUAACAUUAAUGGUUUCUAUUAAUGAGUAUUAAUGGAAGUCAUAAAUAAUACUUAAUUAACAUUACUGUGGUGACAUUCAUUACUUCAGUUAUAACACUCCCCCUUGGAUGUUCAUCACAUUGAAGAAUAUGCCUCAUUAAAACCUUACUAGUAAAAAACCCUAUAGGAAAAACCUAGCAAAGGAAAAAGAGUACAAUAUUCUUUUCUAGGUAUAUUAGGAUUGCCUCGUUAAAAACCUUACUAGUAAAACCCAGUAGGACAAAACUUGGACGAAGGAAAAAGAGUACAGUACACUAACACCCUUUUACAAGCAUACUUCCCUUAAGUCGAUAUCAUUGAGUUGACGUAUUCCAAUCAUGUGUAUUAACUUCUUGAAUAUUGAGGUUGGCAAUGAUUUUGUGGUAAAUCUGCUAGAUUAUCACUUGAGCAUAUUUGUUGCACAUCAAUUUCACCACUCUUCUGGAGUUCAUGUGUAUAAAAGAAUUUUGGUGAAAUGUGUUUAGUUCUAUCUCCUUAAUAUAACUCCCUGUUAUUUGUGCAAUGCAUGCUGCAUUAUCUUCAAAUAAUAUUGUCGGGUCACCUUUGAUAGAGGAGAGUCCACAUGAUUCCCGAAUAUGCUGGAUCAUAGAUCUUAGCCAUAUACAUUCACGACUUGCUUCAUGAAUUGCUAGUAUUUUUGAAUGAUUUGAUGAUGUGGCCACCAUUGUUUGUUUGACAGAUCUCCAUAAAAUAGCAAUACCAUUGCAAUUAAAUACAUACCCUGUUUGUGACCUACCUUUAUGUGGAUCUCAAAGAUAUCCUGCCUCUGCAUAUCAAGCAAUUGUUGCUUUGAUUCCCUUGAGUAAAAUAAAUCCAUAUCAGUAGUUCCACGAAGAUAACGCAAUAUAUGUUUGAUACCAUUCCAAUGUUUUUGAGUUAGAGCGGAACUGUAUCUUGCUAAUAAAUUGACAGAAAAAGCAAUGUCUGGAUGUGUACAAUUGGCAAGAUACAUAAGUGCACCAAUAGCACUAAGAUAUGGUACUUCAGGACUAAGUAACUCUUCAUCUUUUUCGCAAGGACGAAAUGGGUCAUUUUUCACAUCAAGUGAUCGGACAACCAUUGGAGAACUUAAAUGAUGCACUUUAUCCAUAUAAAAACGCUUCAAAACUUUCUUAAUGUAUGUUGAUUGAUGUACUAAAACUCCAUUUGAAAAAUGCUCGAUCUGUAGGCCAAGACAAAAUUUUGUUUUUCUAAGAUUUUUCAUCUCAGAUUCUUUUUUCAAGUAAUUUGUUGUUCUUGUGAGCUCUUCAGGAGUUCCAAUAAGAUUUAAGUCAUCAACAUACACUGCAAUAAUUGCAAAUCCGAUUUCUGAUUUCUUAAUGAAGAUGCAUGGGCAUAUAGGGUUAUUCACAUACCCUUCUUUUAGCAAGUAUUCGCUAAGGCGAUUGUACCACAUGCAUCUAGAUUGCUUUAAUCCAUACGAGGAUCGUUGUAACUUGAUUGAGUACAUGCUACGAGGCUUUGUACUAUUUGCUCAAGGAAAUUUAAAUCCUUUAGGGAUUUUCAUGUAUAUAUCAUUAUCCAUGGAUUCGUAUAAAUAUGUUGUAAUAACAUCCAUGAGACACAUAUCCAGUCCUUCUGAGACUGCCAAACUAAUUAAGAAAUGAAUUGUGAUUGCAUUCAUGACGGGAGAAUAUGUUUCCUUGUAGUCAAUACCAGGUCUCUGCGAGAAACCUUGUGCUACUAAUUGCACUUUAUAUCUUAUGAUCUCAUUUUUCUCAUUACGCUUUCGUACAAAUACCCAUUUGUACCCAACAGGCUAUACAUCUUUAGGUGUUUGGACUACAGGUCCAAAAACUUCUCGUUUUGUUAAUGAGUUUAACUCUGCCUGUAUAGCUUCUUUCCAUUUUGGCCAAUCAUUUUUAUGUCGAUAUUCUUCCAUAUUUCGUGGUUCGGGAUCUUCAUCAUUUCCUAUGAUAUCAGAGGCCACUUGGAAAGUAAAAAUAUUGUUAAUAACAAUAUUAUUUCGAUCCCAUUUUUCUCCUAUGUGUAUAUAACUUACUGAGAUCUCACAAUUUUCAAGUACCUAUGCCUCUUCAGGGGCUUCUUAUUCAAUAUGUGCCUCUUCGGGGGCUUCUUGUUCAAUAUAUGCUUCUUCAGGGGCUUUUUGCAUUAUUUGUGCCUCUUCUAGGGCUAUAGAUUUAUCAAUUUUAAACUGAUCAGUCAUUUUGAUGGCCUAUUUUAGAGUGCCAAGUUUUUCUUGGGUUCUCCUCUUUCGGGGAGUUACAUCCUUUGAGUCAACAGGUCUACCACGCUUCAGGCGUAUCUUAGAUUCAUUUGUUAACUGUCCUAUAGGGACAUCAAUCCUUGCUGGAGUAUUUGCAGCCGGGAUAUGUGACUUUGUCACUUUCUUUGUAUCAAUGAAUGCAUCUGGUAAUUGAUUUGCAAGAUUUUGCAAAUGAAUGAUCCUUUGAGCUUCUAGUUCAAAUUGAUUUGUACGAGGAUCAAGAUGAGUCAUAGUAGAUGCCUUCCAACUAAUUUCUCAUCGAUCUUCAUGAAUCGACUUUUCUCUCCCCUAAUGAUGGGAAAACACUCUCAUUAAAAUGACAAUCCGCAAAGCGGGCUGUAAAAACAUCGCCUGUCAAAGGUUCAAGAUAUCUCAUGAUAGAUGGAGAAUCAAAACCUACAUAAAUCCCAAGUCUUUGUUGGGGACCCAUUUUAGUGCGUUGUGUAGGUGCAAUUGGUACAUAUACUGCACAACCAAAGAUUCGUAAGUGAGAGAUAUUUGGUUAUUUUCCAAGCACAAGUUGUGAAGGGGAGUAUUCAUGGUAAGUUGUAGGUCGAAUACGGACUAAAGUUGCAACAUGCAUAAUAGCAUGUCCCCAGGUGGAAGUAUGUAAUUUGGUUUUCAUUAUUAAUGGUCGAGCUAUUAAUUGGAGACGUUUGAUGAAGGAUUCUGCUAAACCAUUUUGGGUAUGAGUAUGAGCAACAGGAUGCUCAAUAUUUAUCCCUACUGACAUGCAAUAGUCAAUGAAUGUUUGAGAAGUAAAUUUGCCAGCAUUAUUAAAACGUAUUGUCUUAAUUGGAUAAUCUGGAAAUUGUGCUCGUAAUCUGAUUAUUUGUGCAAGGAGUUUAGCAAAGGCAACGUUACGUGUAGAAAGGAGACAAACAUGUGACCACCUAGUAGAAGCAUCUAUUAAGAUCAUAAAAUAACAGAAUGGUCCACAUGGUGGAUGGAUAGACCCACAUAUGUCCCCAUGUAUUCUUUCUAAAAAGACUGGUGACUCAGAUAUGACUUUAGUAAAAGAUGGUCUGAUUAUCAAUUAACCUUUUGAGCAAGCAGCACAUGAGUAUUCAUUGGGCGUAAGAAUCUUCUGGUUCGUUAAUGGAUGACCAUGUGAGUGUUCGAUUAUUUGAUGCAUCAUUGAAGACCCUGGUUGACCUAGCCUGUCAUGCCAAAGGACAAAAACUUUUGGGUCGUUGAACUUCUGGUUCACGACAACAUAUGAUUCAAUAGACUUUAUGGUUGUAUGAUACAACCCAGAGGAGAAAGCCGGGAGUUUUUCCAUUAUAAGCUUCUGACCAGAUAUAAUGGAAGUAAUGUAAAGAUAUUCUACAUUAUCUUCAUUUAUAGUUUCAAUAUGAUAUCCAUUUCUGCGGAUAUCUGUAAAACCGAGCAAAUUUCUUCUAGAUUUGCUAGAAUAUAAAGCAUAAUUUAUAUGAAAUCUAGUUCCAUUUGGUAACAUUAUGUUUGCUCUUCCAGAACCUUCAACUAAGUUUGUAGUACCAGAUAUGAUACUUACAUUAGCUUUUAUUAAUGUCAAUUCGAGAAAAUAUAUUUUAUCUCGAAGAAUUGUGUGCGUGGUCGCACAGUCUGCGAGACAUACAUCAUUCUCAUUCAUCUUGAGACCAAAUAACACAUGGAUUUCAGAUAUAACAAAAAAAAACAAGGCAUAAUGUAAAUAACAAAAGAAAAUUAGAUGUAAAUAUAAGACAUAAUAAUAUAUUAUUUCAUAUACAAAGUAACAUCAAUCAAUGUUAAUUUUCUCAUCAUUUAUCAAAUGGUUUGUUUUUUCAUUGGGACCUCCAAAGAAAUCAAUGUCAUAGUAGGUUAGGUCCAAUCCAUCUCCAUCGGUAAAGUUCAUCUCUAUCUCUUUUCCUUUUACUUUUAUUGAUGCUUGGUAGAGGUCAACCAAAUGUUUGGGCGUACGACAGGUACGCGACCAAUGCCCCUUCAUAUCACAUCUAUAACAAUUAUUCUCAUGGUUCUUAGGAGGUUUAUCUUGUAAACGCUUCCCAUUUUCAUAUUUUGCCUCAGUAUUGUUCCAUUUCGUAUUGUUCCACUUCUGGUGGUGCAAUGAGGCUUUCAUUUUAUGAGAAUUAUUAUUACAAGAACCAUGGUAUCGGGGAUUUCUUCCAUGACCACAACCACGUCCUCAUCAACUCCACGAGUUUGGGACAAUAUUGCAUUCAUUUUAAGGAAUGAUUCAGAUCCAGUUGGAUGAGAUUAGUGAUUUCUUAUCAAAAACUCUUUUUUUUUUUUAAACCUUCAUGGAGAUGAUUGAUUCGUGCCCACUUGGUGUCUCAGCUGAUUCAUGUCCAGCUGGUGCUCCUUGAUUGAGGGAGUAAUCAACAAAAUUUAUAACCUAUUACACCAUGUACUAGGGCAGCAAAGACAAAACUACUAUAGCAUAGUGGCUCUAGGAUCGUUCACUGGGAUGAGUUUUCACUUCACAAAUGAUAUUAAUUCAAAGUUGAAUUGGUGCCUUUUCAUUUCAAGGUUAGCUUUAAAAGAAAACAUAAACUUGAGUUGGAAAAUGUUUGGUUUUAAACUAACCACAAAUAGUAACUGAUUUUACUUACAAAGAAAAGUGUUUCUUGGAGCUCAAAUCACUAGGCUCAGGUUCCUCAUACAAAAAGGGGAGUUCCGGUCACUUGUUUCUUUUCCUCGCAUUAGAGAAUUAACAUAUAGUUCCUUCUCUAACCGGUGUUGUACAGAUGCUUCCUAUUAAUGGGUUCAAACACUAAAUUCCUCUCACUGAUGCACCUUGCAAUGGCUCAUGCCUCUCACCUAGCACUUGCCAUUCAAGAUGAUCUUUAACCUUGGACUUCCCUUCAAAAGCUCGCAAGAGAUAACUAAUGGAUGUCUCCUUGGAGUCCAAAAGCUUACCAAGUGUUGGCUAUUCUAGAAAAUCCUACCUUCAAACCACCUCCCAAAGGCUCGCAAGAGAUAAACUAGUGAAUCUCCAUGGACGGAGAUCACUUGCCUUACCAAGUGUUGGCCCAGGUGAUUUAAAGGCGUUUUAAGUUAACUAAAAAGAUAAAAACCAUUAACGGGUCACACUUUCUCUUCAUUAAAAACUAAAACAACAAAACUUCCAAAUUAUGCAUGUGGAAACUUACCCGGAUUUCGUCACUCCAAGAGACGAAAAGCCUAGCCUCUCAUCCUCUGAGGAAAAAUCCUUAGAGUUUGGUUAGCAAGAAAAUGAAAAUGAAAGAGAAGGAAAAAAACAGAGCAAGGCUCUGUAUAUUCUAUAUAUUUAUAUAUCUAUAUAUCUAUAUAUUUUACAGUGGAUGCAAGGGAAUAUAUAUAGAGACGUUUUUCUAACCUUCCUAACUAAGAAAUCUUAUGGUUGGUGGAUUACAAGGAGAAGAAUGGAAAUUUAUACAAAAAUAUCUGAAGAAAAAUAUCCAAAAGUGUCGGUCGCAACUAUCAGGAAGCUUCAGGAGAACACCCGUGCACUGUGCAAAAUGGCUGCGAAAUUCUUGCAGCAAAAGGGUGAUUUCGCAGCCGUGCAAAAUUCUUCCUUCAGCUUGGAGUGAUUGGGUUCCAAUGGCUGUAACUCCUUCAUUUCAACUUCAAAUCGCGCACCGUUUGAAGCAUUGGAUUCUUGACUUCCUGAGCUUUGAAAUGGUAUAUAGCAUGUAGAAAAUGGACUUCAGGAAGUGCUCCAAAAGUGCGAAAGAAGACUGCAGCUGCUAUCCUCUAUUUUCUUCACUCUGUUUUUCCUCUCUCUGUUGUUCUUUCCUUGCAUACUUUGAACGACUUUGGCAAAGGGCUAUGGAGCUCCAAAGCUUGGUUCUUCAUGAAUUUGAGCUUCCAAAAGCUUUGCCAUGAACUAUAUACAACUCUCCCUCAUUCUUGGAUUGCUUUGGUGUAGCUAAAAGCUAUCAAAAACACCAAAACUUAACACAAUUUGAUUAGAAACGAUUGCAAGGGUCCUUAACAUGUCAAUUGAGUUAAAAGGUAAUAAUUACUACUCAAGAGUGUUUAAAAGAGUUAAUUACAAGCUAUGAAAUAACACUUUUUGAGUAGUAAUCAAUGAUGACGAAGGAAAAUCACUGUUUUUACGCGAUCCUGCAAGGAUGCUUGAUUUCCUUCUUUGAUCACAGCUCCAAGAUUCAUUGCAUUAAGAUGUAUUUUAGCAUCAAAGAUCCAAGAAUGAUAGUUAUUUCCCGAAAUGUCAAGUGCCACAAAUUCGAGUUUUGUGAUAUUCGACAUUGUCAAAUAACUUCAUAUAUAUGACAAAACAAUAUUAUUAAAAUCAAUUAUAAUAACUUGAUAGCAUUGGUAUAACUUUGAUUAUAAACAAAAUCAAAUAAUUUGUUUAUAACUUUUAAGAAUAUGUAACAAAACAAAUGAACAAUAAUAUAAAUAUGUAAAAUUUUAUUCUAUAUAAAUAACUUCAAGUUUAAGAUACGAGAAUUACCUUUAGAGCAAUUCGUGCUGAUAACGUGUUGUGAAAUAAGGACAAAUACAAUGCAAAUCAAAGUAGUAGAGAUGAAAUAUAUCUUACUUUGAUAUAUAAUAGGGAAGAAGAAAUCAGAUAAGAGAGUUGAGAAAGUUGAGAGAAUGAAAAACAGAGAGAAUGAGAGGAAGAGAAUUUCUUUCUUUUUCUCCGGAUGUAUAUUACAGGAGAUGGGAAGCCCUUUUAUAGGCUUUCCAAAUGGCUUCCAUUAAUAUCCCCAUUAAUGAAUAUUAAUGAAACUCAUAAAUAACAUUAAUGGUUUCCAUUAAUGAGCAUUAAUAGAAGUCAUAAAUAAUACUUAAUUAACAUUAAUGUGGUGGCAUUCAUUACUUCAAUUAUAACAAGCACUUAUUUUUCUAGUUAUGUAUUAUCCCUGAUUUUGUAUAUUGUCUUAUGUUAUUUAAGUUUUGAUUUCUAUUGAAUGCUUAGAAAGUUUUUAGGAUUUAGUUUUUUUUUUUUCUAUUGAAUUCUUAGAAAGUUCUCAGGAUUUAGUUUUUCUUUAUCUUCAUGUCAUUUAGCAUGUUGUACUAUUUAUCUAAUUUUAUUAAAAAUCAAAUUUUGAAAAGUUUUGGUUUAAUUUAAUUUUCUCAACACUAUUCAUUUCAUUAGAAUUUUAUUAAAAAUAAAUUUUGAAAAGUUUAGUUUGAGUUUUAAUUUUUCGGUAAAAUCAAAUUUUAAAAAGUUAGUUUGAGUUGUAAUUUUCUAGUACUAUUUAUUUCAUUAAAAUUUUAUUAAAAAUCAAAUGAAAGGUAGGUUUUGGGAUCCAAGUUCACCUUUUCUCUUUUUUUUUUUUAAAUACCUCUAGGAAAGAAAUAAAAAAUCCUUAUUUUGUCUAUAUUGAUUGAAAUUUACUAAUUCACAUGGUCUCUUUUUUGUUUGCCCUAAAAUUAUUUUCAAAAGUAUUUAAAUCAUCAAAAGGCUUUAAAAAAAAAUUAUCCAUUCAAGGUUUAAGCAAAGAACAUAUUUUCUUUUAAAAUCAUGCAACUCAUUUCAUCUAAGUUGCAUUCUUUAUUUUUCGGUUUUUUGAAACUUUGUUUUCAUUCACAUAAGUUUAAACUUGUGCUCUCAAGCUAAUGAGAAUACUAGGUUAAACUUAUGAAUAUUCAAUGGAGACUUGAUGGAACCCUUACAUCAAAGAUUUUUAAAACUCAUGUUUGCUAUCAGUUUCAACUCAGCCACCGACCCUUUAUUAAAAAAAAAAAUUUGUUCUUGAUUGCUUGGAGUGUUUUUUUUUUUUUUUCAAAAAUAGUAUGAUGUUCCUUAUUCUUUGUAGUUGAUUUUGGAAGAAUGUUUCAACCAAAAAGCUUUUCUCAAAGUUGAGUUAUGAUAUUUUCUUUCCACACAUUAUAUUUAGCUUGAUACUAUACACACCGUGCAUGCUAGGAUUUAGAAUUUUACUAUUUGAAAUUGUUAUUUACUCUAGCCUCAUUUAUCUUAUGGAAGCACUUUGUAAAUUACUUUUGCUAUUCAAGUACGCCUCCUCACCAUUGAUCUCUUAAUUUAACAGUUGUGUAUGAUUCAUGUGUGAACGUCCCUUGCUAACUCUACUUUAUGUUUGUGAUUAACAAAGCUUACAUGUUUGUUUAAUAUAUUAUUAUAAUUUAGGUUAACACCUUAGCCUUUCCUAGUGUCCCUAAUCAAUUAGCUCAUUGUUAUAAUUUCCUCAAUUUAGUAAGUAGAGACCUUUUUAGGGCCUAGAGGGGUGCUUCCUCUGUGAGGUACCUUCCCAAUAGGUAACUAGAUUCUCGGACCAAGACUUGGGUUUUUCAAAGACAUGCUUUUCCAAAACUUAAGGCGUCAUUUUUUUAAGGGCUAUAGUUUCUUAUUUUAUUUAUUUAUUUUUAAAAUAAUAAUAAUAAUAAUAAGCAACGAAUCCAAUUUUCAUACAAAUAAUAGUUUUUUCACAAAAAAAAAAAAACAAGUAUUGUUGACGAGUGGGGACACACAUGAGAAAUUUAGGUCCACAAUAAGACUUUUUUUUUUCCUUGAAAAUUGUAUUUACUUCAUCUUAUGCUUAGAUCUUGUAGCCAUAAGGUCUUAGAUGCAUGCACUCAUGAUCCCAUCCUAACAAGUGGUGUGAGAGCACUAGGAUAGGAUUGACCUACUCAUUAGGAUUGGGCCUCUAAAAGCAAGACAUGGUAUAACAAAAUUAGACUUAACCACCCCCUUGUUAUCCUUUUGGUGUAUUAACAUUGAUUUGAGCAUUCAACCUAUGUCUCUUACUUUGUACAUAACUUAUGCACAUUAGGAGUUGCAUAGAAGAUACAAGUUGUGGGUUCCUUAUAAGUAGAUAAGUUGUCCACAGUUGGUUCAUAGAUUUAGACAAUCUAGUAGAGACUGUAGUGCACCACAUUCUAAUUUGAGGGAUGAGUUAUCUUGACCGUUGGGAUGGGUUUCCCAUGGUGAGUGCACUAGUGUAUGUGAUGCAUACUAGACAGGACCUACAGUGAAUCAUGAUAUAAGGCUAUCAAGUGUCAUGAUUCACCAAACUACUAUACCACAUGGACUCUCAACCUUGAGAGGAUAUUGAGCAUGUGCUGAAAUCAAUAGGAGGCUUUAACCUAUGGGUGAGACCCUAAAGUGGUCAUAUAUCCCUAUGAAUUGGGUCACUGUUGAUAGAGGUUGGUGGCAAUAGGUAUCUUAAUAGAGGCACCAUAAUAUCUCAUGGGAUUGAGACAAUGUGUCCCCUUAGGUGAUCCAAAUGACAUGUGAACAUGAAAUAGAUGGCCAUAGUAAUUUCUUUAGUGGAAUUUGACAUAUGCUAGCUUCUAGGAGAUGGAGUAUGUUAGUUGAUUAGAUAAUAAGUGAGAUAUGUAACUCAAGGAUUUGAGAGAUAAUGUUGAUAGGUGAUAACACUACCUUGUUAGAUUACGAACACCAAUUCAUGAAGAGUCUUCAUGUAGUGGAUAGUAGGUCAUGGACCCAAGCCUCGUCUCAUUGUUAUUUACGUUGGGUACUAGAGUGCAGAUGAUUCUAUUUAGUGAAAUGUUGAAUCAACUUUAGAAUUAGAUUAUAAGGGAGCCAAUACUCCUAUGGGUCCUAGUGGUCCCUGUUUUAAGCUCAUAUACCAUGAUGAUAGGGCUUAUGAGGGUUAGAUUGACUCUAGGUUCAUUUUGGUGCAUAAGGGUGUUUUGAUAAUUAUGUCAAGUUGCAUAGGGGAUAGUGAACAAGAUCUUUGGUUUAGGUUAAUUGAUUAAUUAGAUUGCUCUAUGUGGUUAAUUAAUCAAGUAGGACUCGUUUUGGGCUAGAUAAAGUGGCCCAAGCCUUGAUGGACUUAAGUCACUUAAGCCCAAUGGGUAAUCCUAUAAAUACCCCUCUAUAGGUUAGGAUUUCCUAAUGACUUGUGGUGAGAGUUGUCUUCCAACCCUAGAGAGAGAGAUCCAUAACCUCCUCCCUUAUAAAUCCCACACUUUGGAAUGCCAAGAUCGUGGUUCAAGUCAUCAAGCAGAAUAUCUUGGGUGUACAAGACCUUGGAGGUAGGGCUACAACACUUGGACGUGCAUAGGCCGUGUGCACAAAAAGCGCAUGGGACACACACAAACCGUGUGCACGGGAAUCGCAUGGGACUCGCACAUGGGGAGCAACAUGAGGAAAGACUCUCUGGUUUUUCUAGACAUGUUUUUCACCACAAAAAUUUGAUUUGGGAACAUCCAAAUCUAGGUAUGAGUAUUUUUUUUCUCUAGAUUUUUAUUGUAAUAUGGUUUUUAUAGUCAUAUGUUUCUACUAUAAUAAAUUUAGAGAAGCCUAGAAUAGUUUACAUGCAUCCUACAAGAUUUAGGGUAUGGGAACAAAGUAAUUCAAGGUUCCCAACACUGUAAACUUUGUUUAUAGGAGUGUUGAUUUAUCCCAUGGCCCAUAAGGGUGAAUACAUGGACAUUUAUUUUUAAUAUGAAUGAAUGAAUGAAUGGAUGCAUGUAUUAUUAUUAUUAUUAUUAUUAUUAUUAUUAUUAUUAUUAUUAUUAUUAUUAUUAUUAUUAUUAUUUGUAUCUCUUGGGUUGUAAACUUUAUAAGGAGAAUAGAAUUUUAGAUUUCUCUAUAAAAUCUUUUUCUUUUAAUGGAUGGGUUGUAAACUCCAUUUUGAGAGCAUAAUGGCUUGUAUUCUUUGUAAAAAUUUUAACUUUGGUCCAUCUAUAGUGACCCAAAAGAAAGGAUCAAAGCUUGUGAUUCAUUUAGGGGCAUUCAUAUAGAAAAACCAAUCAAGAAAGGUGAGUUUUUUCGGGACAAAAAUGAAAAAAAAAUUGAGAAUCAAGCUCUCAGCAUAGUAGUCCAAGUGAUAAUGCUCAAGCGCUACAAGCCACACCUUAAGCACUUGAGUGCUUCUGAAGGUGGCUCGAGCACUCGUAUUAUGGUAGCUACAAUUUCUCCAACAUGGGUUUAUUUUUUAUUUUUUUUUAUUUUAAGGUUUUUCUAGAAUUUUAGGUCUUUUUGUUUCUGUAACUUAAUUUUGGUUGCAUGGGUAUUUAGGCAAUUUUUUGAAUAAAUUAAAUUUUAAAUAUUUUGCUAGCUACCAAAAUUUGGGACAAGAUCCCUAAGGCUGGGGGAAAUUAUUUUAAUUUUCCUUUUUAUAUUCUUAAGCUAUAUAUAUAUAUAUAUAUAUAUAUAUAUAUAUAUGGCAUGUUGUGCAUGAAAAUUGGAAUUUUAGUAAUUUUUGAUAGAAAUAAAUUUCCUUGGAAAUUAGAUUUCAAAAGUAUAUUUUUAUUAAAUUGGAAAAGUGGUGACUAAAGAAAGAACUUUUUAUGAAAAUAAAAUUUAAAUUAAAGAGAGCAAAAUUUCAUUUUAUAAAAUCAUUUUGAAGGAUUUUAAAAUUUAUUGACUUAAAUUUAUUUUAUGAGUAUUCCUGAAAAAUAAAAGUUUUCUCUCUAGAUAAGGUGCUCUCUAUAUUUUAUUUUAUUUUAUUUUUAGAAAUUUUCUUAUUUUGAGAAUUUUGAAUUAGAAUAAUAAACAAUUUUGGAAAAUUUUGAGAUAGACAAUAAUAAGAUAUUACUAAAAAGUUUUGGAAAUUUAGUAAUUUAAUGGGAAAUAAAUUUCUAUGAAAAUAUUAAUUUCAAGAUAGGACAUUUAUUAAAUUGGAGUAGUGUAUGAGAAAAGAGAAUUUUUAAAAUUUGAAAGCAAUUUUGCUAUCAAAUUAAUUUAGGAUAAAAUUCUCUUAUGAAAAUUUUAUCAUUUUCAAAGUUCCAUUCUCUUAUCUCCUUAUGUUUCUAAUUAGGAAAUUAAUAAUUUUGAAAAUUUUUAUAGAAGAUAAUUAUUUAUCAAGGGAAUUACCAAGGAAUUUAAAAGCUCCAAUUAACUCAAAAGAUAAAGUGGGCAAGGCCUUAGCAAAGCCCACAACCUUCAUUAUCAAGUCCAUCUUGAUUUUUUGUCAUUGUCACCCCAACGGUGAGUUGGCUAAGAAAUCAAAGGAUAUGAACUUUCCAAUUGGCGAGACUAGAUAUGUUAGUAGAGUAACCACCUCAACAAUGGUUUUUUUUUUUUUUUUUUAACUUGGUAACGUUAAUAUUAAAGACAAUAUUCAUACACUUAACUUAGAAGUGGUUGAAUAAUCCAAUAUGGUCCCACUUGCAUAAUAAAGGGUUAAAUAAAAGGAUAUGUUAAUCUUGCCUUAGAGUUUUAAAAUAGAAAGAUUAAUAUGAGAAGGUCUCUACCUAGUAAUAAGAUUAAAAUAUUAAAGACAUGUUGUUUAUUUUUGUUACAUUAAUCAUGUCUUUUAAUCCAAUUACUCCCAUUCUCACAACAAAAAUUAAUUAAACAUAAUUAUGUGGAUUAGAAGAGAAACUUGGAUAUAGUGCUUACAUCAAAGGAGCUUGAAUGGGUAACUCAGGAAUUUGCUCUAAAUAAUCCUAAUAAGUAGCCCUCAAAAGAACAUGGAGAGGCAUAUAAUAGAUGGCAUAAGGCGAGAUGAGAAUGCCAAGUGUCUUAUACUUAGGUCUUUGGAUAAUUUGUUGCAACAGCAACACAUGUCUCAUGCAAAAAGUUAUGAUAUUCUCUUUAUCUAGGAAGAGAUGUUUGGUAAUAAGAAGAGUUAUGAUAGACAAGCUACCCUAAUGACUAUCAUGAACACCAAAAUGAUAAAGUGAAUUCCCAUAAGAGAUUAUAUGCUAUGUAUAAUUACACUCUCAUAGAGUGGAGAUUUUUGGAUCUAGCAUUGUCAAGGAAACCAAGGUUAAUAUGAUCUUAGAGACCUUAUUAGAUUCCCUUAGGUAGUUCAAACUCAACUAUUUUAUGAAUAAGAUGUAGAUGAACUUGUCAGAACCUAUGAGGGAACUCUAAUUGACUAAGGAAAUUCUAAAGGAUUAAAAGGAUAUUCAUAUGGCAAUCAAUCAAAGGUUUUUCAAGUUCUUCUACCAAGAAGAAGAAGAACAAGAGUAGAAGUACCAAAUAGAAGGGAAAGUUCAAGGCUUGGGAAAAGAAGAGCAAAGGAAAGGGCACAUGCUUUGGUUGUGGUAAAAAAAUAAAAAAAUAAAAAAUAAAAAAUAACCAUUGAAAAAAGGAGGAUCCUAAAAUAUAGAACAAAAAACAAGGUAUGCAUCAUAUUCUCAACUAAAUCAUGUUUAGUAAAUUUCACCAAUUUUUGGUAAGAUUUUGAGGUUAAUGACUAUAUUUGUAAUUCUUUAAAAGGGUUUCACAUAAGGAAAAGGUUGAAUGAUGGGAACAUAUAUUUGACUCUAGAUUCUAAUGUAAGGAUAGUUGUGCAAGUAGUGAAAGAUGUUACCCUUCUUUUAAAGAAGAAAUGUCUUUUAUACUCAAAGAUUGUCUUUAUAUUCCUAACUAUAGAAAUAAUUUGAUUUCACUUUCUAGUUUAAAUAAAUGUGUCUCUUUGGUUUCUUUUAAUAAAGAUGUUAUUAUUAGAAAGACUGUUGUAUUGUAAAUAUUGACACUGACAUGAGAAGAAAUAGUGCAUCAUCAACAUUAGCACCAUAUUACAAUUGAGAUCAUGUACAACAAAAAGGUUCAUUACAACUUAAAAAAAGAUCCUAUAAUUAAAGUUGUUUUUUUUUUUUAAUUAUUGAUCAUGAGAAUGAACAUGAGGACAUUUUUAAUGAGAUGUGGAUGUAUCCAUGAUUUUACUUGGUUGGUUAAUAAAACUUUACGGGUCCUUCACAAAUUAAAAGAAUUUAAUUUUUAUUUAUGCCUUAUUUUUCACAAAUGCAUUCCUAAUUGUUUAUAUAAGGGUUUAAAUUUCAUUACUUUUAUUUGAAUAUUAUGAACACACUAGUUAAUUUAUUGGUCAUUUCUAGAAUAGCAUAAUUUACCUGAUGAGCAUAGAAAAGAAGUUAUAAUAUAUGUAUUAUGUGAAUAUCAAUAAUCAUAUUUUGGUGGUUCACUUAUGAUCCCUACUUUUCUCUACUUGUAAGUUGAGGCUAAUAUAUAAGAAUAGCUCAUCCAAUGUGUUUCUAAAUACUCACACUCAAAUGUGAAAUCAAGAUGUUCUCCUUUUGAAUUUGAUUGCUUGUUCUUCAUUUGUCAUUCUCUUUCCCUUUGAGAUUAAAAAAACAAAAGAAUAAAUGGAGUAGCAAAUUAAAAAGAGUGUCAAUUCAACUAGAUAAGAGUCUAAUCAAAAUUGGACAUUUCCUUGUAGCGUCUAACUAGCAUGAAUGAAUAAGGAUGUAUGAGUUGAUCAAUCAAGUUUUGGGCCUUUAAAUAAUCAUAUCAAAUUUUCACUUUCAAUUGCUUGAGAUAUUUCACUUGGAUAUCAAUCAAGCUUGGGGUUAAGAAAUUAAAUUAUGUAAUUUUCUAUAAUAAGCUAGUUUCACAAAAUGUUUAAUGCUUCAAAAGUAAUAACUUAGGAACUAAAGAAUCAAUCCCAACAUCAGCUUUAGUUAACAAAUGCAAUGCCCUAAUUUUAUAUUUUUGCUCAUUUGAAAUACAUAGGAACAAAUACCAACAUGCAUCUUAAAGUAUUCCAAAACAAAAUACUUGAAAUUGAAUUGUUCUUUCCCACCUAAUUUGAUUGCUCGUAGCUUGGAGAUUCUAUCUUUUAAGACCAAGAAUUAUGGAUAGUACAAAAGUGUGAGUUCAAAUUGGCAUGACUUUAAUCAAAAUUUAGAAAUUUGUUUGAAGUAUUUGACUUGCCUUGAUUAAUAUGGAUAACCAUGGUUUAACUGGUGGAGGUCGGGCAUUUGACAUUAUGUAUUUAGCAGCUUGGAAUAUCCCAUCAAAACUUGAUGUGCACUAACUUAUCCAACAAAUUGUUUGAUCUUCAAAAAAAAUUAACAAUGCAAUCAAGCUUAUCCUACAAAUUGUUUGGUCAACAUCAACAAUUCUCUUACUUGAAAUUAGCGUCUUGUACAGCAUAUCCAAUGGACAAAUUUGCAAAGAAGCUCCAGCCACCUGUGCAUAUGGUCCAUUUCAUGGUCUUGGGCAUCAACACCAUUACCAUCAAUAUUCUGCAUUGCGCCAUCACAGCUUCUCUGGGCAUCAGUAUUAGUAUCUUCUACUGCUGAUCUGGUAUCACAGCUUCUCUGAGAAUGAUUACUAUUGGUAUCUUGUACAGCUAAUCCCCAUGAGAACUGCUGCCUCGUACCAUUGUGAGAUUGUUGUGUUCUUAAUCAUGGGCAUACAGAAAGUGGAAGCCACACCUCUCCACUUUCCCUGGUUUAUUACUGGAGUGGCCAUAAAAUGAAGCUUUCAAGGUUCUCCAUUCAUUUGAGUGAUAUUUCUUUGGAAUAUUUGACUUAGAAUAAUAUAUCAACCACCCUUGAUUUGAUUCAUCUUCAUCGUAGCAGCAUUCACAAGAUUGUUUAAACCGGAUAACAUCCAACAGAAAAGAUGCACUGUCAUGAUCGAAAUUCAAUUUACAGUUGAAACUCCUAUGUUUUGCGGUCUCAGUAUCAAGUGGAACAUGAAGAGAGCACAGAACAAAGCCCAAGAAGUCAUCAUUUUCAUACCAACUCCAAGGAAGUUCCAUCGUUAUUUGGAACCCGCUUUUCUGAUGGCUUAUCCACUCGGGAAUCCCAUUACUUUCAGGAAUAAAAGUUUGGACAAUGGCUCCAACUUCAACCCCCUGCACAAAAAUUACCCUCUAAAUUUGUGUGUCCAUGAAAAGAAAUGUUAAAUGCUAUAUGAAAAUCAUACCUGAAUUUGGGAUUUUAAACAUUUGAAUAAAGAAGACCAGAGUAGACUUGAUUGACUGGAUAAAUUUUCCAGGGAUGUGCAGUGAUGGGCAUCUAGAUACGUUAAACCUGAUGGAAGUUCUGGAAUAUGUUGAAGCAUCUUGCAGUGACUCAAGUCAAAAUGUUUUAGGUUGUAAAGUUGACUGAUCCCAUCAGGUAUGCGACUAAAGUGGUUCCCUCCCAGAUAUAACAUUACCAGUGAUGAUAGGUAAUAAAUUUCACUGGGAAAUUCCCUUAGAUUGCAGGCUUGAAGCAUUAAUAUCCUCAAGGAGCAUAAACCGGACAAAGACGGCAAUUGAAAAUUCAUUGAAUCUAAAUACCCAACAAAAAGAUGUUCUAAAGAUUGCAGUCUCCCCAAGUUGUCUGGCAAUUUGUUGAAGUUUGGACAGCGACUGACAACGAGAGUUUUAAAAGAUGUCAAAUUACAAAUACUCUCAGGAAGAUUCACAAGAUUUUUGCAUUGUGAUAGAAACAAAGAUUGAAGCCCUCUUAGACGUUGAAUUGAUGAUGGUAUCUCUCUUAUGGCGGUUCCAUCUAAAUAAAGCUUUCUCAAUCUCUCCAUAUCUUGCACGAUUUCUGGAAAGCUCUCUAGUUGUGAACAGCCAGAGCAGGAGAGAGCUGCAAGGGAUUUGAAACCGAAAAUGCUACUGGGCAGACUCGUAAGAUUUUUGCAAUCCCGCAGACAUAAACUAUCAAGUUCCAAGGGAUUCUCCAUAAUGGGUACUUCAUUCAUAUCACUUCCCUUAAAACACCGCUUCCGUCGGCAUGUCACAUCCUGUUGGCAUUCACUGCAUAUUCUAACAUCUGCAUCCUCUGUCUGUAUCGUUAGUGGAUGGCUUUGUUGAAGGUCUUGGGAGUAUAUAAGGCGGACUCCGCACUCCUUUACUUUCAAGGCUUUCUCAGAAAUAUUGAAAAAGUCCUGAAAUGAAGUCCCAAUGAGAGUCCAUUGAUCAGAGUGAAACCACUCCUGAAUAGCCGCCUUGGAAUAGCAAACCACCCACAUUUGACCUGAUACACUCUCAUUGUCUUCGUCCUUGCCUUCUUUAUAGCAAAAACAAUUGGAUUCAAACAGGGAAAGAUCUAUCAUUCCAACUCCAUCACCAUGGACACUCAAAGAACACUUCAGGCUACAAGAAUGCGUAUGUUCAUAUUCAUUCUUACUAAAAGAUCCAGCCACAGAUUUAUCAUCUGUUUCAUUCUCCCAUGUAUGAGCAGAUUCAUCCUCAGAUUUAUCGUCUGAUUCACUCUCGGACCCAUGUGCAGAUUCCUUUCCGGGUAUGUCCUCAGAUUCAUCAUGAAGUGGAACAUGAACACAGUAUAUAGCAAAUCCCAAAAACUCAUUAUUUUGGUACCAAUUAGCUCUGUUGUCACCAAAUAUCCAUCUCUACGAUACAUCAUCCAUUCUGGAAUUCCAUCACUUCUGGGAAGAACAAUACAAAUUCCCUUCCCAUGGUAGGAAGAAUCGCUAAAACUAGUGCGUUCCCAAUCCUGCACCAAAACACCAUGUAAAUAUAGAGUCUGCAUAAAACAAGUCUGUGACAUGAAAAUUAUACCUUUGCCCAACUGAAGCAAUUGACCAGAGAAUGCAAUGGCAAAAACGGGGCUCUUGAUGAAGUGCAAUUUGAACCAUGGGCAUCUAAAAGCCGUAGACUUGAUGGAAGCUCUGGAAUUUGUUCAAGAUUGUUGCAGUGACUAAGUUAAGGGCUUUCAGCCUUGAAAGCUGAUUGAUGGUAGCAGGUAUGCAACUGAAAUGGCCCCCUUCCAGAUUUAGUUUCUGUAAUGAUGAUAAAUGGCAAAUAUCACUAGGAAUUCCUCCUUCCAUUAUGUUGCAGUUUCCUAGGUCCAAUACUUCCAAUGAUGAUAAGUGGCAAAUAUGAAUAGGGAUUUUGUGGAGCUUUGAACAGUCUUCAAGUAGGAGAGUUUGAAGACCAUUUAGAUGUGAAAUUGAUGAUGGUAAGUCCAUUAUAGCUAUUCCACUCAAAUCAAGCACCCUUAGCUUUCCCAUAUUGCCUUUGAUUUUGGGAAAUCUCUCUAGCUUUGAACAGCCAUUGCAAGACAAAGUUUGAAGGUGUUUCAACUUGUAAAUGCCUCUUGGAAGAAGCUCCAGGUUUACACACCCUGCCAGAUUCAAGGGAAAAAGAAAAACCAAGUUAGUUUUAGUAAUUAUAAUACUGCUGCACCAAACUUUUAAGUACCGUUGUACAACCUUCUAGAGUUAGAAUCUCCAAGUUUGGCACACUUGAGAAGUCUGGGAUUUUGAUGAGAUGAACAGAGUAACUGAGAUCAAUAACCUUCAACUUCUUAUGAAGCUAGAACAAAAUAUUUUUUUUUCAAUAGAUAAGUUUACAUAAACAAUGAAAAUUAAUAUAAAAAAAGUGUAACUAAAUAAUAAUAAUAAUACCUUAUUCCCUCUCCAAAGUUGCUUUAUAUUGUUGUUCCUUAGUAAGAGUUCAACAAGGUUCUUUGCAUGAAAAUUCAUUGGCAAAUACUCUAAAGGGUAUCCAUCCCAAUAAAGAUAUGUUAACUCAUGAGAAGAAAAUUCAAAAUCUUUUGGAAGAUGGUCUUUAAGAAAUAGCUUUCUAUGAAGGCUACUGUAGACCCUCUAUUUUGUCCUCCUAGCAUAUGUCUUAUCAGGUAUUUGUUCGAUACUUUACAGCUUCCCUGGUGACCCAUUACUACUCGCAUAGCCUAUCUUUUCUAAGUCACAUCGGGGACUUUGGUUGAGGGGUUCAUUUAAUCCCAUUAUGACUCUUGGCAGCCCUAAUUUAGACUUAGGCUCACUUAGCCACCUUUGGCCCAUUAGGCACCACCUUAGACACCUUAAACCCACUUAGGCACCUUAAGUCCACCUAGGCACCACCCUAGGCCCAUUAGAUACACCCAAGGUCCAUUAGACAUUCUUUGCAUGGCUUGAGUUGCUCACAUGAUUGCAUGGUUGCAUAGAUUGCAUGACACUUUACUAUUAUUAUUAUUAUUAUUAUUAUUAUUAUCAUUAUUUACUUAAUUAUUUUGUUAAUUUAAUUUGUUUAUUUAUUUUAUAAUUUUCUAAAACACCUUUGGAUUCAUUCAUUAAGUCUAAUUUUCUUUAUGUUUUUGUAGAAAAACUCGCCAAAGAACUCAUCACUGGAGAGAAAAAGGAAGGUUGAAAACGUGUAUUGGCAAGGAUAUUCAGGCGUGAGUCUUUCGGGAAAUAGAGGAUAUUCAGUUGGAAAAAGAAAGAGGAAUUUUCAUGUGUGAUUAUGGAAAGGAAAUAUUCAGCGGGUUGAAGGAUGGAUUCAAGGUGGUUGGAAGAGGAGCGGAGUAUGGAAGGAAAUGAACUAAGAAGGCAAGCAAGUAUGCACCCAUGCAUGUGUUGAUUGUGCUUCUGAUGGAAGGAAAUGAACGAAGAAAGAAAAUUACCAAAGCUGUUUUGGCAUGGAAAAAGGAAAGGUUCAGUGUGUAUUUGGACGGAAUAAAGACUAUGUUCAGGAAGGAGAGUCCUGAUGAUGCUGGACUGACGUGGAUGAUUGAGGCUCUCCGGGCUGGUGAGUUGUCUUCCCAUGUUGGCAGAGUCCUGAAAGAGAUGAGGUGAGAUUAAAGAUGGGAGAGAAGAUCAGGUGGAGGUGUGGAAGAAAGGCAUUGGAAAACUGUGGUUCAUUGGAUGAAUACGAGAAGAAAACAACCGAGUGGGUUUGAAAAGCUUGGGUUUCUUUCAAUUGAUUGGAAUGGGAGACACAAGCUGGUGGUCUUUUGGGGGGGCAUUCUGUUUAUGACCCGGAGCAUUCUGGAGAGAGGAGCUAGAGGAUCAAGAAAGACAACGGUUCUUCUCUUUCAGGAUGGUUUUCAAUCUUUGUUUCUUUUAACGUUGAAAAAUGGCUUUGAGUGUGAGGCCACUUUACCUUCCUCUCAGAAUGAUGGCCUCUCGUUUCUAUACAUAUCCUUCCUCUCCCAUUCUCGUUUUGAUCAUUCCUCGUGGGUUCUGUUUGGUUUCCAAGAAGAAAGUGAAGGAAUAGCACGCUGGUGAGGAAGAUUGAUGCGCCAACCGCAGAACAAAGGGAGAUCUCGACCACGGGAGGAAAAUGGGGGUGGCAUGUCAGAUUUCUCCAGGAAUACGCCCCCAUCAGAAUUUUGGAAGAACAGACAUGCACCAUCAGUUUUCUUCAAGGAUGGCGGACAUGCUGGGGUGGGAUCAGACUCUGUUAUGGAUGCCAUUCAACAAAGAAACCAGCCACAAGAGGUCUCUUUCACACACUCAGUACGCUGUCAAAGAACGGGAAGGCUACCAAUCGGUCCUAGAGAGGAUUGAGGACUGAUCAUAUUGUUCUUUGAGUGGAGAAUGAACAUUCAGCAUGGGUUUGGAAAAAAACAGUAUUGUAACUCAGACGUUUAUGAAGGUUUGUGGAAAGAGGGAGUACAUGAAGGUUGUGGUAAGUAUGCUUGGAAUUCGGGAAACAUUUAUAUUGGAAAUUGGAAAAGGGGCUGCCACUUUGAAGAUCCACAACACGCACUCCACUUGGAAAAGCGGUCCACAAGGGAGACCUUCGCGGGCUGCAUCCUUGGAUCUGCACAUGCACUAUAGGAGAGAGGGCGUGACCAUCCAAAAUGAGGAAAAGAGAUUUUUAUUAAUCUCCAUGGGCGCACUAUGAGUUUGAUGAAAAGAAAAGUGACAGAAUUCAAUUUUUUUUUUUUUGGAACACAACCGUACAGUGGGGAUUCUCCAAGGCUGCCACUUUAGGGUGAAAUUUUUUUUUUUGAAAGAAAAGUGGCAACAAGCUGCUACUUUAGGGUGAGUUUUUUUUUGAAAGGAAAGUGGCAGCAUGCUGCUAGGGUGAUUUUUUUUUGAAAGGAAAGUGGCAGCAGGCUGAUACUUUAGGGUGAGAUUUUUUUUAAGAAAAGUGGCAGCAGAUUGCCACUUUAGGGUGAGAUUUGUUUUAAAAAAAAAAAGUGGCAGCAGGUUGCACUUUGAGGGGUGAGAUUUUUUUGAAAGAAAAAUGGCAGCAGGUUGCACUUUUAGAUGGUGAGAUUUUUUGAAGGAAAAGUGGCAGCAGGUUGCAUUUUAAGGGGUCCACGCCUCAAUUUCCAUAAAGAUCUUCAUGGUAUCUUCAAGAGAACCAUGAACGCCACUGAUCCCCAAAGCGAGUAGGCUGCAUCUUCCAAAGGUAAGUGAGUUUCCUUGUUCUUGAGUUUUUGAUUUCUUUUUUAUCCAUUAGUUUAUUAGUUUUUUUAGAUUGAAAAUUAGAGCUUUGUUUGCUAAUUUUUUACUUUAUUAAGUUUUCGAGUCUCUAAAGUUUUAGUCGAUUAAUUUAUUUGGUUUUAUGUCAUCAUCAUCUUGUUUUUAUUUAAUUUUAGUUCAUGGGUUCGUCCUAAUUAAUUCGUGUGAUGCCUUAAAAUUUUAAUGGAUUAAUUUAUUUGAUUCAAUGUCAUUAUCAUCAUGUUAUUUUAUUCUUUUUUUAUUUUCAUCUUAGUUGAUUCAUGUGAUGCUUUAGGUUUUUAGGUGAUUAAUUCAUUUGGUUCUAUAUCAUUAUCACUAUGUUUAUUAAUUUCAGUUAUUUUUUUUUAUUGAUCAUAUUCGGUUUAUGAGUCUUUAGAAUUUUAAUUAUCUAAUUUAUCUGACCCCUUGUCAUUAUAUCCAUGUUUUAAGUGUGUUAAGCUCUAGUUCCUGAUUGAUCCUUACUCAGUUCGGAUGUUUUAGAAUUGUAAGUUCUUAUGGUACUAUAUUUAACAUUACCUUAAUCAUAGGUUUGUGUGUUCGACUAAUCUGAUUUAAUUAUUGAUUAUAUCCUCAAUUUAUGCGCUUGACUAAUCUUUGUUUGUUCUUGAUUGAUAUCUGGUUUACUUUAUUUGAUCUAAGGCCAUUUAGUUAUUUUCUUUGACAUUUGUUCGUUUAUAUUUAAUUCAUGGAGGCCAUCGGAAAAUUGUGAAGAUUGGCCUCCAUUCACACCAUUUCAGUUUGCUUGGUUGCCAAAAAUUUUACUUUAUGAUUUUGUUUCCGUUUGUUUUGCUUGGUAUAUUGUUUCUCAUACGUUUUAUUGUUCUCAAAUUAAUUUCUCUUAUUUUAAAAUAUAACACUUUUCUCGAAAGAUUCCUUUAAAAAUCUAUUUUUAAAAAAUUCAUCUAGAGUUCUUAGAAUCAAAAUCUCGUCUUCUUAAAUAACAUGCAACCAUGUUUUGAUCGGUUCGCAUCUUUCUUAAAUUUCAAAUAAAAUUACAGUUUUAAGUAAGACAUGAAUCCAAGCUUGUGGUCCCAAACAAAUGGGAUAAUUCCAGGCUAGAUUUGUGUAUAUCAAUCGGGGAAUUGGUGAAACCCCUACAUAAAGAAAAUUUUCAAAACUCAUCUUUGUUGCCCCCUUUGUUAUUUGAUGAACUCAUGUCUAUUUAUUUUUUUAGGAAUUAUAUAGAAGAUAUAAGUGAUAAUCAAUGGUUUCGUAUACUGUGAUAAUUUUUUUUUCUAUGCUAAUUAGAUAACAAGCAUGCUAGGACUUCUUAUUUUAUUGUUUGUUAUCUAACCUCUCAUGUCUUGUGGAAGCACAUUACAAGUUAUCUAUGCUAUCUAGGUACGUCUCCUGUCACCUACCUUCUAAAUUUUGUAAAUAUGAUUGUCAUUAUGAAUUAUACCUAUGUUUGAGAAUGCUUGGGAUGUCUUGAUAUUUGCUACAUUGUUUGAUCAUUCAUGAUAAAACGCAUGUUGAGUGAUAUAUUAUCUAAACUAACCAUUGAUGUUUUAUGAUAGCACUUAAGAAGUGGUCCAGGUACGCAUCCUAACUCUCCUUUAUGAGCGUGAUUGGUUUUUCUUGUUUGGCAUGCUAGUUUUGAGAUCACCUACCUAGGUACCCUCAAUUAAUCAAUUGAUUGCCACAUUUCCUUCAACAUAGUCAAUAGAGACUUUUGUAGGGCUUAGAGGGGUGCUACCUUCUAGAGGUACUUUCCCAAUAAGUAACCUGAUCCCCGACCCUAGACUCGGGUUUUUCAAAGACAUGCCUUUCCAAAAACUAUGGAGUCAUAGGGUUUUAUUUCUUGUUUUAUUUUCCCUUUAAAAUAAAAUAAAAUAAGUGGCGACUCCGACUUUUCCAAAAACAAAAUUUUCACCAAAUAAAAGCGAGUCUCGCUGAUCGAGUGGGGGCGCACGUGAGAAAUGCGGGUCCAUAGCUACGGAUUUUAAGCAAUCUAAGUCUAUUCAUCUCUUUGAAAGAUUCUCUAUUCAGAUGUGAUGGAUUAAAUUUACAUCUAUCUAGGAAUAGUCCUUCAAUUGCUUGUGCCCCCUGAAAAAUAUAAGACUGUAAGUGAAGCACAAGAUGUAGAAAACUUAAAUGAGUCAUAUAUAUGGUAAUUAUUUUCUUAAAAAAUAAUAAUAGUAUUGAAGCUUGCAUACAGACACAUUAAACUAAGUUCAAGCAUUUGACUCUUACCAUAUUUCUUGUUAGCACAUGAUAGGCAUCAGAAUCCCACAAUCUACUCCUUCUUCCAAGGUUUUCAAGACAUUCUUGACGAAUAAUUUCCCAACCCAUCUGUUGUAUUAAAUCAUGCAUAUCUAGCAUGUUUUUUGAAAUGGUUAAGAGGCAUCUAUCAUCUAGAGUUGUUAUUCCAUACUCUGCAUAAGGACCCAAUAUUCUUGACACAUAAUCUUUGUCAUUCCCUUUGAAAAAACAUGCAACAUCCAAAAAUAUUCCCUUGUCUACAUCAUCAAGUCCAUCAAAACUUAUUCUAAGCACAUUGUGAAUUUCCAUGUGGGGUAUUGUUUUUAGCUUACACAAUGCACUUUCCCAUUCACUUCUUGUCUUUCCAAAAAGAGACCCACCUAAAACUUUAAGUGCUAAUGGAAGGCCAUUAGCAUAAUCUAUGAUAUUGUAUGAGAGGUUUUUAUAAACUUCUUUGGGAAGAUUGUGUUGAAAGGCCCACAAACUAAAGACUUCAAUAGCUUCUUUCUUAUUUAAUUUUGAAACCUCGUAUGAUAUAUCUACUCCAUAUUGAGCAAGCACUUGUUUGUCUCUAGAUGUAAUGAUGAUUGUACUUUUGGCCUCAAACCAAUCCUUCUCUUCAGCCAGAUAUUCUAGUUGCUUCAACUCGUCUACAUCGUCAAAAAUAACAAGAACUCUAUUGGAGCUGAGACACCUCUUUAUCAUACUAAUUCCUUCAUCAAUAUUGUUUACUUUAAAAUUUUUCCCCUUUAGGAUACCAUGAAGAAGUUCUUGUUGUAAUUGAAGUAUAUCACCUUUGGAUCUCUCUCUGAUAUUUUUAAGAAAGCUACUACCAUCAUAUUGAUAUGAGAUCUCAUUAUAAAUAGCCUUAGCGAUAGUAGUCUUACCAACCCCACCAAUUCCACAUAUCCCAACCACGCUAACCUUAUUCAAGUUAGUGUUCAUCAAUGAUUUCAAUUUUUCCAAAUGAACACUAACUAUGUUCUUUCCCACACUUAAAGGUUGAUGGUUUAAUCUUCUAAUGAUUGUAUUAACAAUUUCUUUGACAACCUCAGUCUCAUACCUAUCAAUUAUAUAAAUUAAGUACAAUGAUGAGUUAGAAUGAGUUGCAAAAUAUAAUAAAUGUACAAUAAAUUUAGUUGUGUAUGGUAGUGUCCAAUAUUACUGAAUUAGUAGCAAUGGAAUGCAAAAGAAAGGGGCCCUGAAGCCAAUUUACUUACAUAUUUAAGCUUCAAAAUUUGCAAGUAUCAAACUACUAAUGUGCCAAGUUGCAAAUUUUCAAUACUCUUACUGUUGGACCAUUGUUUAGGACUCCUCUCUGAACAACCGAAUGACUUCUUUCAACUUUUAUUUCACAAAGAAGUUGCUUAUGAUUCCUCAAUUUCACUUGUCUUUAGGUUCUAUUAACUUAUCAAUACUCUUACGAUUGUUGCAAGGACUUCAUUUUUAGUCUGCCAAUUAAUUUUGCAUUUCCAUAGAGGAAUGAGGAAACAAGUGAAUGUAGAAAAUUUCAUGAUUUGCUUGAGGAUUAUGAACUUAAAUAUGAUAGAAGAAGUGUCAAAGUACACUUUAUAGAAAAUUAAAAGUUAAAUUUUGAUACUUGUACUUUUGGACCAACACAGGGAAAAAUUGAAGUUAGAAUUUGUUAACAUUUUCAUAUUCAUGAGGAACUAAAGCUUCAUUAUGAGAAUAAACUUACAAGUAAAAUCAUUCCAAAAGAGAAUGAUAGGAAUGUUAAAGGGCAGAGUUUAGGGUAAAUUAAUCCAAACGAGCUUGAAAGGUCAAAGGGACAAAAUUGUUACUCCCUUCAAACAUAAUAAAAAUCCAUCAUGAAGAUUAUAGAACAAACUUAGCAUUGAUAUUUUUGCAGUGAGUAUGCAUUGAGUGCAUGGGAAUUAAGACUUUUUGAAGAAUAAACACAAAAAAAAAAAAAAAAACAAGCAAAAAUAUAAAUUGAAACUUAGGAAAUCGAGGGAGAUGCAUGGGAAUCCUUGCAGUAAGUGAGCAUGGAAUUUAAAGGGAUUAUGCAAUCACUGUGCCUUAUAGCAAAAUAGGAUAUUGAUUAAAAGGAUUUAAAAAUUGCACAUAAAAUCCCUAAAGAAAUAUUCAAUGAAAAGAAAUAUCAAAUAACUUCCAUGUAUUGAAAAUUGCACAUGUAACCUCCUUUUGAUACGUUAUUAGUUUUUACUAACUUUUAUCCAAAAGUGUUUGAUGUGAGAUUGAAAUUAAAAAAUUAGUUAAGGGCAUUUUUGUCCAAAAGAAGUUAUAUUUCAUAUUUUUGAAAAAUGAAAGUUAUUCUUCCGAAUUUGCAUUUUCAAUAUUCCAUUUAAACAGAUAACCCAUUUCUACACAAGAGGUGAAGAGAAGCAUACUUACUGGUCAUCCACAUGGCAUCCACAUAGAUUAGCUGCUUUUCUCAAGGCAAUCCUCCACUUUUGUACCAUCUCUUUCUUUUCUUGAUUUGCAUCUCUUUCAUGGCAGGCAAGUGCGUCUCCGAAACUUCCCUUUUGGUUUCGUACAUCAGAUGGAUCCACAUGGUAGAAAAUUGGUAGAACCAGUGAUUCCUUUUGGCUCUUGCGUUCAAUGAUCUUUACAAGUUCAUUUAAACACCAUCUGGAGUAAGCAUAAUUUUUUGAGAAAAUAAUAAUAAAAAUCCUCGAUUCUUCUAUAGCUCUUAAGAGAUCAGAUGCAAUAUCUCCCCCUUUCUCAAGUUCUUCAUCAUCUUUGAAAGAAUGAAUCCCAUAUGCAGUCAAAGUGGUAUACAGAUGAUCAGUGAAAUUUUUGCGAGUGUCACCACCUCUAAAACUCAAGAACACAUCAUAAUUACGAGAAAUAGAAGUAGCAGAAGAGGCUCUACGGGUGCUGGAAGAAGCCAUUUUUGGAUGGCUUGAACCAAAAUUACCAGGGAGUUUGGAAUCCAAGAAAAUCAGAGAGAGGGUCCUUGGAUGCUCAAUGACUAUUGGCUCCAAACCUCUUCACCAUGAACAAAAAUGCAAGCUGGGAGGGAGGUUCAGCUAAAAAGGCUCAUCUGCAAUCAUAAAAGAAAAAAAAAACAUAUAUGAAGCCUCUUUGACAAAUUUCUUUGUAUAUAAAUUCUAAGAGAAACUCACACAUAUUUUACCUCUUGGUUGGGGAAGAUCCUUUCUCCAUUCCCUUUGUGUUGGAGACUGCAUUAAGGGAUGCAGAGAAGAUGGUGGGGAAGGUGUUGAAGAAGAGGCGGUGGGUAGCAGAGGUCUCGUUGACUAGUGGAUGGAAUGGAGUUGAGGAAUUCUAAUAUUUUGAAAUGAAAUUUCAUGGAAGGUGUUGUUUUUAGUUUUUGUUUCCACAAUAUUGGUGCGGCAGCUAGAGGACAUAAUUAUGAUGAUGAGAAAUCCCUAUUUAAGACUAAAAAGUAAUGCUUUUCUUUUUAAUUAAUCAUAUACUUAAUUUUUGUCCUUCCAUUUCAUAUUCUAAUUGUAAUUUGUUUUAUUUUUGUCUCUUGUAUUUUGAUAAUAUUAUUUUUUUAUAGAUAUCGAUUGAAAAAUUUUGUCAUCUUUUUAUGAAAUUUAUUAGAUUUUUUUUAUUAAAAAUAUAGAUUUUUAUAAAUAUAUUAGUAAAUCGGUUUUAUAUAUAUAUAUAUAUAUAUAUAUAUAUAUAUAUAUAUAUAUCAUAAUAUAACUGAAAAAUAUUAAUGAAACAAAAAACAAUUAAAAAUUAUAUAAAUGUCUAUAACAAUUCUAAGAAAUGAAUAGAAAAAAUAAUAAUAAAUAUUUUGAUGUUGUUUUAUUAAAAAAAUUAAUAUAUAUAUAUAUAUAGAUAUAUGAUAUAAUUUAUAAUAUUUAGAAUUUAAAAAUAAAUUUUAUAUAAAUGUAUCUAAUUCGAAUGUAUCUCAUGACAUAAAAGGAAUGAUGAUAAUUAAAUUAAUAUAUUUGUAAUAAUUUUAUUUAUAUACAUAAAAAACAUAUAUUAUAUUUAUAAAUAUGAAUAUAUAAAAAUGAGAAUCUUAAUAUAAUAUACAUAAAUAAAUAUUGUAUAUAUAAGUCAAACAUAACAAUAUAAUAUUAACAAAGUUAGGUUGGUGGCGUGCUGCUCUCACUCUAUGCCUGAGGUCAUGGGUUUAAAUAAUUUAUUUUUGAACCAUCGGCCAGCCGUAGCACUUAAAGUUUAAAUCUUUUCUUAAAGGUAAAAGGUGGAAUGCCACAUGACAUCGAACCUCGUAGAUCAUUGGGCAGGUAGCGAAGUUUGAAUGCGCAUGGUGGGCUGGGCCGACGUGGGCCGAGAUAUUUCCGAUACCUUCCAUCCUUUAUCAUACCCAAUAAAUUAUGCACGCAAAAACCUCCCAUAUAAAAUUUUAGAGAAGAGAUUUCCUUGCAUUUCCAACCAUUUAAUUAUUUUUAAAUACACCUUUGAGAAAAGGGGUUUGCUCUGACAACCCAGGCAGGAAUUCCUUCUUGUAGGUGUGCUUGCCGCUUGCCGCUUGCCGCUUAUCUCAACCCGAACAACCCCAGAGCACAGUUAGACCAACCAGCACUAACACAUUUGACAUUCAUUCCAGAGCCUCCUUAUUUGCUCUCAAAUCAUUCCAAAGAUGGUGUUAUAUAAGGAAUUUCUUAAAAAUGUGCUUGUCAAAGUUAUAUCAAAUUAUCCUUUGUUUGAUACCAAUAAGAAUUUAAAAAUCUCUUAACUUGAAGAUAUUGAAAGGAUUUUGUGGACCCCGCAUUUCGGCUCAUGCGUUUCCCACUCGAAAGCGAGCUCGAUUUUUAUUUGAAAAAUUGAUUUUUUAUUGAUUAAGAAAACUGACUUGGAGUCGCCACUUAUUUUUGUUUUAUUUUUAAAAGGGUAAACAAAAUAAGAAAGAAAAACCCUAAGUGUGACUCCUUACUUUGGAAAAGGUGGUCUGUGAAAAACCGGAUCGGGUUCGGGGGUCAGGUUACUUAUCGGGAAGGUACGGUAAAGACCGUAGCACCCCUCUAAGUCCCUAAAGUCGGGUCUCUACUAAUAAAAUGAAGCAAUCAAUGGCAAUUGAUGAGGGAAUCAAUGAAUACUCAGAGUGAUCCUGCACAUGUGGGAAUCUAAACAUGCAUACAGAAAAUGACCCAAGCGGGUGUGGAUGCGUACCUGGGCAGUGAUCCAUAAAGCGCUAUCAAGAAGUGAGGUUAGCGCACAAUUAAAGAAUAAUUUCGAGCAUGUCAUAGAGCGAAAUAAAAUCGAUCAUGCAUGACAAUUAAAUCAAACAAACAAUCAAUCAAUCAUAAGGGAAUCACAUAUGUUGGGCCCCCACCAAAACCCGAUUUAUAUUGCAUGAAUUAAUCCUACGAAUCCCAUUAUUUCGGAAUUAUGAAGAUUCAUCAUUCUUGCUUGUGUAAAAAUCAAAAGAAAUAGAACAUUAUUUAAAAAUCGGAGUGAAAUUAAAACUAUUCGAGAGAAAACUGGGUUUUUGAGAUUUAUUUGGAAAUUAGAGUUUCGAAAAUUAUUUGAAGAUUGGAGUCUUGAAAAAUUAAAUUUAAGAAUUGGGAUUUUGGAUAUUAAAUUUGAAAGAAAUUAGAAUUUUGGAAAUCGGAAAUUAAGUUCAGAAAUUGGAAUUUUGAAGAAUGUUUAAAAUGGAAUUUCAAAAUAAAUAACUAAAAUAAUAAUAAUUAAAUAGAUUAAUGUGAAUAUCAGAAUUUUCAGAAUUAGAAAUUAAAAUCGGAAGUUGGAAAUUUUAAUGAAUUGUUUAAAAUUGAAUUUUAGAAUAAACAAAUGAAAUAAUAAUAAUAAUGAAAAUAAUAAAGAUUAAAUAAAUAAAUAUGGAAAUUGGAAUUCCGGAAAUUAGAAAUUGAAUUUAGAAAUCGGGAUUUUGAAGAAUUACUUAAUGAUGGAAUUUUAAAUAAAUAAAUAAAUAAACAAUAAUAAUAAUAAUAAUAACAAAAAUAAUGAUUGAAUAAAUACAUAUGGAAAUUAGAAUUCCGGAAAUUAGGAAAUUGAGUUUGAAAAUCGGGAUUUUGAGGAAUUGCUUGAUGAUAGAAUUUUAAAUAAAUAAAUAAAUAACAAGAAUAAUGAUUGAAUAAAUAAAUAAGGAAAUUAGAAUUCCGGAAAUUAGGAAAUUGAGUUUGGAAAUCGGGAUUUUAAGGAAUUGCUUGAUGAUAGAAUUUCAAAUAAAUAAAUAAAAUAAUGAUGAUUUAAAUAAAUUGAUGUGAGAAUUUAAAAUUUCGGAAAGUGGAAUUUAAAUUUAGAAAUCGGGAUUUUGAGGAAUUGUUUGAAGAUUGAAUUUUAAAAAUAAAUAAAUAAAUAAAUGAAAUAAUGACGAUUAAAUAAAUUGAUGUGAGAAUUAAAAUUUCAGAAAUUGGAGUUUAAAUUUAGAAAUCAGAAUUUUGAGAGAUUAUUAAAGGUUGAAUUUUAAAAACGAACAAAUAAAUAAAUAAAUAAAAUAAUGACGAUUAAAUAAAUUGAUGUAAGAAUUAAAAUUUCGGAAAUUGGAAUUUAAUUUGGAAAACGGAAUUUUGAGAGAUUAUUAAAGGUUGAAUUUUUAAAAAAUGAACAAAUAAAUAAAUAAAUAAAAUAAUGAUGAUUAAAUAAAUUGAUGUAAGAAUUAAAAUUUUGGAAAUUGGAAUUUAAUUUAGAAAAAGGAAUUUUGAAGAUUCUUAAAAGGUUGAAUUUUUAAAAAAUGAACAAAUAAAUAAAUAAAUAAAAUAAUGAUGAUUAAAUAAAUUGAUGUAAGAAUUAAAAUUUUGGAAAUUGGAAUUUAAUUUAGAAAAUGGAAUUUUGAAGAUUCUUAAAAGGUUGAAUUUUAAAAAUGAAUAAAUAAAUAAAAUAAUAAUGGAGAAUUAAAUUUUGAUAUUGAGAAUUAAAAUUUCGGAAAUUGGAGUUUAAAUUUAGAAAUCGGAAUUUCGAGGAGUAGUUUAAAGAUUGAAUUUUAAAGAUAAGCAAGUGAAUAAAUAAUGGUGAUUAAAUAAAUGGAUGUGAGAAUUAAAAUUUCGGAAAUUGGGAUCAAAUUCGGAAGUCAGAGAAUUAAGAUUGUUUAAAGAAGGAAAACUUGAAAUAAAUAAAUACAAUAAUAAUAACGAAUAUAAUGAUUAAAUGAAUGAACGAGAAUUUUGGAAUUUCUUCAAAUCGGAAAUUGAAUUUAAAGGUUGGAAAAUUGGAAUUGGAUAAGGAAGGAUAUUUUGAAGUAACUAAAUGGAAUAAUAUUAAUAAGAAUGAUAGUUGAAGUUUUUGAAAACUAGGUUUUAAAGAUUGGAGCUUUGGCAACUAGAUUAAAAUUUUGAAUCUUGACAAUUAACUUUGGAAAUUAAAAAAAAAAAAAUAUUCUAAAAUGGAAACUUUAAAAAUUAGAUUUAAAAAGAGAACUUUGGACAAUUAAACUAUGAGAAUAUGGAUUUUGAAAGUUAAACACUGGAAAAUUGAAAUAAUAAUAAUAAUAGUAAUAAUAACAACUUAAUAUUGAGAACUUGAUAUUGAGAAUAUGGAAUUUGGAUAAAUGAAUAAGCAUAUAAGUGAAUAAUAUAGUGUACGUGUGCAUGAAAUAAAAAAGAAUGAAUAAAAGAAACUAAAGGGCUUUAGAGAGGGGUUUAGGAUAAAGGAUAUGCAGAUUUGGGCCUUUAGGAAUGGACCUUGGGCUUUGAAAAGGGGCUAAGGGUUGGAAAUGGGCCUUGGGCUUCAUCUUCAUCCUAGUUCCUCCACAGCCCAACAGCAUCCCCUCCAGCUGGGCAACUCCUUCAGGAUAUCUCCACCAGCACCGACGUAGAGAGAGACUUCACCACCGGUGGCAAGAUGGAGAGAGGAGCCAUGGCGGCGGUUCGGCGGCAACCUGAAGGUGCAGCCGUCAAGGUGGCUGGUGCGAGUGCUCGCCUGGCCGGGGCGGGUGGUGGCGGCUGGCGAGGUGAGCAAGCACCUCGCCGACGCGGUACACGCAGCGAGAAGGAGCGGGGAGGGGCGGCACGCGUGCAUGGAAGGUUGUGAAGCUCCCCAGGCCUCCGACAAACGCGUCUCUGAUGAAGACGGUAGGAGCGAUGACGGGUAUGAGGAGGAAGAUGGUGGAGGCGACUUGCAUGUUUGGACCCCAUGUGUGCAGAAGGGCGGCUUGGGGAGUCCUCGUGGAGAUGGGUAUGGCGGUUAGAGAGAGAAAAGGUGGCAAAUAUACAUGGGUAUGAGAUGGGAGAGAUAUAGGUGACGCAGCGGACUAGACGAUACAAAUCAGGUUUGAACUGAGGAUUCGGUGAAUUGGAAACUUUAACUAAAAGCUACAGGGGACUUUCUUAAGCUAUGCAUGAUACAAGGGAAUGAGUUGUGAGUUGUUGAGGGCAGCGAUGGAGUGAGAAUCUGGUGAAACAUGAAUAUAUCUAGCCUCAUUUCAAAUAUCAUCCAUGGGCCGAUACAGGUGAAUGAUAAAGAGCAUCAACGUGAUUCAUAACGAACCCAUGUACUCGAUGGCCUCUAAAGAAAAUCACAAAAAUGAGAUAAUAGCAUAGCAAACAUACCCAAGCAGUGAAUGAAAGCUUAAACGAUCGAGACAAGUGCAUGAAAAAUAAUACGAUAAGAAAAUAAUGAACAGAAAACCCACAAAACUUAUACCUGGGAGUGCUCUUUCUUAGCGAAAACCAAUCAGAAAAACCAUGAGUCUCCCCCGGUUCAGCAACUCUGCCUCCCUCCUAGAUAGCUCACUCUUUUCUUCUUUCCUUUUUUCCGAAACUCUGUUUUCCUUUUCUCCUUUUUUUUAGCUUCCUCUCCAAGCCAUCUCUGUACCCCAUCCCAUCUGCCGUCCCAGAGCCUCUCCUAUCAGUCUCCUUUUUGCUACCCCAAAAACAGCCCCUGACCAUCAUGUCGAGCGGCUCCGGAAAAAAGGUAGGAAAAAGAAAAGAAAUAAAAUAAAUCCAAAGAAAACUCUCUGCCUCCGGGGGGUCUACAAAUAUGCCCCUCUUUGAUAGAGUUCACGAGUGUAAGGAACGUGAACACUGGAGUGAAAAAGAAGUGUGAAAAGCGAGUGAAAUGAAGUGAACUCUAUCGAAGAACAAAGAAAGACCCCCGAACCCAAAAGGUACAAGUAGAACACAAACUCACUCAAGGCUCUAAAAUUCUAAGAGGCUCAAGGCACCUCUAAAGCUGCAUCAAGGACCCAGACUCCCUCUAAGAUGUCUCUAAAAGUGACCCAAGAGAUCAACAUCAAAGAUGAGUAACGGUCGAACCACCCUGGAGUACGAGCAAGAAUGCGCCCAAAGGGGACUACCCUAUGUGGACUACGAGAUGAAUAGGCGAUAAGCGCAGGAUAACGGAGUGAGGAAAAAAACCGAGGAAGAAUGUAAAACCAUGAAGGCAAGAUGCGCAAAGCCAGCGGAUAUGAACGUCAGGAGUUGUGACUCUGGAUGACAAGGCCGACUCUAAACACUUAAACCAAGAAAAUAAAAGCUCUAGAAGCCAAACCAAAAAGCGAACCCUAAAAGCUAAACUGAAAAAAUAAUAGUUCUGGAAGCUAAAACAAGACGAUAGUGAUGGCUCUGGAAGCCUAAACGAGGCGACAGUGAUGGCUCUGGAAACCUAAACAAGAUGACGGUAAUGGCUUUGGAAGCCUAAACGAGACGACAGUGAUGGCUUUGGAAGCCAACCAAAAAGCGAACUCUAAAAGCUAAACUGGAAAAAUAAUAGCUCAGGAAGCUAAAACAAAACUAACUCUAAAAACUAAACUAGAAAAUAAUAGCUCUGGAAGCCAAACCAAAACGACAGUGAUGGCUCUGGAAGCCUAAACGAGGCGACAGUGAUGGCUCUGGAAGCCUAAACGAGGCGACAGUGAUGGCUCUGGAAGCCUAAACGAGAUGACAGUGAUGGCUCUGAAAGCCUAAACGAGACGACAGUAAUGGCUCUGGAAGCCUAAACAAGACGAUAGUAAUGGCUCUGGAAGCCUAAACGAGAUGACAGUGAUGGCUCUGGAAGCCUAAACGAGAUGACAGUGAUGGCUCUGGAAGCCUAAACGAGAUGAUAGUGAUGGCUCUGGAAGCCUAAACGAGAUGACAGUGAUGGCUUUGGAAGCCUAAACGAGAUGAUAGUGAUGGCUCUGGAAGCCUAAACAAGAUGACAGAAAUGGCUCUGGAAGCCUAAACGAGACUACAGUGAUGGCUCUGGAAACCUAAAAGAGAUGGCAGAAAUGGCUCUAGAAGCCUAAACAAGAUGACAGAAAUGGCCCUGGAAGCCUAAACGAGAUGACAGUGAUGGCUCUGGAAGCCUAAACGAGAUGGCAGAAAUGGCUCUGGAAGCCUAAACGAGAUGGUAGUGAUGGCUCUGGAAGCCUACACGAGAUGGCAGAAAUGACUCUGGAAGCCUAAACGAGAUGGUAGUGAUGGCUCUGGAAGCCUAAACAAGAUGGCAGAAAUGACUCUGGAAACCUAAACGAGAUGACAGAAAUGGCUCUGGAAGCCUAAACGAGAUGACAGUGAUGGCUCUGGAACCUAAACGAGAUGGCAGAAAUGGCUCUGGAAGCCUAAACGAGAUGGUAGUGAUGGCUCUGGAAGCCUACACGAGAUGGCAGAAAUGGUUCUAGAAGCCUAAACGAGAUGGUAGUGAUGACUCUGGAAGCCUACACGAGAUGGCAGAAAUGGCUCUGGAAGCCUAAACGAGAUGGUAGUGAUGGCUCUGGAAGCCUACACGAGAUGACAGUGAUGGCUUUGGAAGCCUAAACGAGAUGGCAGAAAUGGCUCUGGAAGCCUAAACGAGAUGGUAGUGAUGGCUCUGGAAGCCUACACGAGAUGGCAGAAAUGGCUCUGGAAGCCUAAACGAAAUGGUAGUGAUGGCUCUGGAAGCCUACACGAGAUGGCAGAAAUGACUCUAGAAGCCUAAAAGAGAUGGUAGUGAUGGCUCUGGAAGCCUAAACAAGAUGGUAGAAAUGACUCUGGAAACCUAAACGAGACGAUAGAAAUGGCUCUGGAAGCCUAAACGAGAUGGUAGUGAUGGCUCUGGAAGCCUACACGAGAUGGCAGAAAUGGCUCUGGAAGCCUAAACGAGAUGGUAGUGAUGGCUCUGGAAGCCUAAACGAGACGACAAUGAUGGCUCUGGAAGCCUACCAAAAACUAACUCUAAAAGCUAAACUAGAAAAUAACAGUUCGGGAAGCCAACAAAAAAAAACUAACUCUAAAAGCUAAACUAGAAAAUAACAGCUCUGGAAGCCAACAAAAAAAAAACUAACUCUAAAAGCUAAACUAGAAAACUAAUGGCUCUGGAAGCCGAACCGAAAAUCUAGUUCUAAAUGCUAAACUAGAAGGCCCACAGGUGAACUAACAGUAGGGGAAUGCCUUAAACAAAGUAAACAAGGGGGAUGCCUCAAACAAGGCGACAGGAAAGGGGGAUGCCCUAAACAAACUGAAAGUAGGGGGAUGCCUUAAACGAACUAAAGGUAGGGGGAUGCCGUAAACAAAAGCGACAGUAAGGGGGAUGCCCUAAACAAAGUGACGAUAGGGGGAUGCCCUAAACGAGCUAAAAGCAGGGGGAUGCCCUAAACAAAGUAAAGGUAGGAGGAUGCCCUAAACAAACCUAAAGUAGGGGGAUGCCCUAAACAAAGUGAUGAGAACGGGGAAUGCCCUGAACAAAGAUGACAGUGGGGGAUGCCCCAAACGUAAAUGACAGUGGGGGGAUGCCCCAGACGUAAUGACAGUGGGGGGAUGCCCCAAACGUAAAUGACAGUGGAGGGAUGACCCAAACGUAAAUGACAAUGGGGGGAUGCCCCAAACGUAAAUGACAGUGGGGGGAUGCCCCAAACGUAAAUGACAGUGGGGGGAUGCCCCAAACGAAAAUGACAGUGGGGGGAUGCCCCAAACGAAAAUGACAGUGGGGGGAUGCCCCAAACGAAAAUGACAGUGGGGGAUGCCCCAAACGUAAAUGACAGUGGGGGGUUGCCCCAAUAGAAAAACGCUAAAAGGGGGUAUGCCCCAGUAUGACGACUCGCAAAGAUCAAGAAAUGGACUGAGUAAUGAGAAAGAUGUGCAAAACAACCGAUGUACUCAAAGACGGGGGUAUACCCCAGUGUGGCAUGCCACUGCAAAUCUCAAUCCGCUGGAAAUGGCUGAAAGGGACUCUACGAGUCUCAAACGACGCUCCGCUGAGAGCUCAGGAAUAAUGGUCAGUGAGGCGAAUACAAUAUAUCUCGAUCGAGUGAUGAAAACUGUAACGGAUACGUGAGAGAACGAUCGCCUCCAGGGCUAAAUGAAGGCAAUAUACCCCAGUAUGACAUCAAAUGUACCCAAUCUGUCCUGAUGACCCGAGAAUAACACCAAUGGGAUGCGUAACGGAUCUGAUAUGUACCCCUCUGAAAUGAUGACGCGGGAAAUCCAGGCACCAGAGACAACUCCAUCCAGGAAUCACGACUAUAUCAAAGGGUAUGAAUCUGGCUGAAUGACUCAAGAGAGGCUCCUCGGAGUAUCUAGACAAAAUAAAAUCAAACAUCGACCUGGCGUGUAUCUCAUAACCGUGGAUGAUCAUGUAAACCAGUGGGGAUCUAUAAAUCUCGAUCAAGAUGGGGAAUGUGCCCCAAUGUGGCAUCGAGAAUGCAAUACAUCAAAAAAUCAGAUGAGCUCAGGUCAUCCAUGCCUGGCUAGAUGGCUCUCGAUAGGCUCCACUAAGGAAUCAUCGUGAGGAUAGCGAAUAUAUCAUCAUCUCUGCAUACAUCUCGCCAAAUAAGGAUAAGCACGCGACUCCCUCAUGAUCUGUAAAUCUCGUCCGAAUCGAAAUAUGCCCCUGUAUGGCAUCGAAAUGUAUGAUAGGUCGGAGAUCAGAUAGCAUGGAAUCAUCUAUCCUCGAACAUGUGACCUCUGCGAAGAUCCAUAAAGAUCCUCCGAAACGGAAUAUGCCCCAGUAUGGCAUCAGGUGCGCGACAGGUCUGAAGAACAAAUGUCAUGAAAACAGCCAUCAUCGCACAUGUGAUACUGGUCAUCCGAAUCCAUAACUGAAUCAUGCACAUAUAUCCAAGAUGACCUCCCAGAUGGAGAGGCAUGAUGGCAUCCAAGCGUCGAGAAGUGCGGAACUAGCAGGAUGGAUCUCAGGGGCUCCGUAAGGUAACGACCAUGUCCACGUCUCAGUGAGCAUCCAGUAAGUGGUAAUGAUCGUGUAGAUCUGUGAGGAUCCAUAAACCUCCAAAUGAAAUGGGAUAUGCCCCAGUGUGGCACCAGAGGUAUGAUAGGUCAAAAAUCAGGUGACACCAAAUCAAUCGGCAUCAAACUCACGAUCCUGGUAAUCCGAACACAACUGAAUCAGACCUACACAUCAAAGAGGCGACUCCCAGAAGAAGAAGCAUGACAAUAUCUAAAUAUCAACCAGAUCUCAAUCACCUGUCCAAGUAGAGGCUGCUGAAGACGACAUCUGAUCCCAUGGCCUCAGGGUGGUCUUAAGACACGGGACGUAACGUAGGCCAAGGUGAUAGGGUGAUAGAAAUGAAAGAAAACUAGGCUCAAAUACCCAAUGAUCAAAACUCAUGCCCUCAUAUAUGAAAUGCAACAUGUAUAGUGAACCUCAUGAGCCAUGGACCUGAGGAUGCCUAAUGUGAAUAUGAUAUCGAUAAGGAGACAAAUGAAACAGGAUGAACUGAUAGUGAUAUGUGUAAUGAUGAUGCGAAGUGAGCAUCGAACCUGAGAUGGGUCGCUGUAAGGAGAGAAUGAGACGCGAAGGGAAUGAGAUGAAUCACAAGCAAUGAUAAAAACGAUAGCGAAACAAUGAAUACGUGAAGAAAAGUGGUGAUCGACCCAGAUCAAACAUGAAGUGAAGUCACAUCAAUAAUGAAUGUAAUGAUGGAAAGGACAAUGACUCGGAGUCCUUAGGAGAAGGUCACUCAUAUCUCUCACAAAUAGAUAUGACGAAGCAAUACAAAUAACAUGGGAUUUCAGAGAGCUCACAUACGAACUCCCAAUAACGAACAUACUCGAUAAAAAUGACCCCCAGACAUCAAUAUACAUACCCAAUGAUCGAGAAUACUAUGCACAUACACACAUGUGCUAAUAAUAAUAAUAAUAAUAAUUUUCUUUUUCUUUUUCUUUCUUUUUUCCUUUUUUUUUUUUUUUUUUUUUUUUUUUUUUUUUUUUUUUUUUUUUUACAUAUAUACAAAUGCUCGUACCCUGAACGUGAGCAAAUGAACCCCAAAGAUGAUAUCAAUAACAAAUGGACACACCCCCAAGUGCUAAGGUAACCAACAAACUCUCUCUAACAAGAUGACCUUCUCAAACUAAGGAUCUCUAAACCAAUGUCCGUGAGAUAGAUGGUGGAAAUGAUGUGACUAUCCUCCAUGUGAUGAACUGAGGAGGCUCACCACUCAGGGUGGAGAGAAUAUGAGACAAACAAAUAGUAGAUAGGAUAAGGAAGAAGAGAUGAAUAGCAUAACCAAUAAGAUGAGAUGAAAAUGCAGAGGUGUAGUGAUAGGAAAAGAUAAUGAGAAAAACAUGCCCCUAGGUCCAAAGCUCAUGAAACUACCAAACAAUGCAUGCAUACAUAAAAGGGCCCCUAUCCCGGUGUGAAAAUGUGAGCAAGGCGAUAAGAAAGAAAGGCUAUAAUGCGCAUGCGAGGCUCAAUGGGCUAGCAACGGACUAUGUAUCAUAAAGGAAUAACAAGGUAAUGGCUAACCGAAAUGACGGCCACCCAUCCUGCGACCAUGGUCUCAAACAUAGUACCUCUUUAGCUGAUCCACAUUGGUUGGCUCUGAGAAUCGGUUUCCAUCUAAAUCCAUCAACCAUGCAGCGCCCUCUGGGAUCAACUCCCUGAUGAAAUAAGGUCCGCUCCAGUUGGGUCUGAACUUCCCUCUAGGAUCUCUGAUCAAUCCCCUGAUGACUUUCAAGACUAAGUCACCUACAUGCAGUGGUCUGGGCUUGACCCGCUUUUUGAAAGCGCGGGCCAUCUUCCUCUGAUAUGCACGAACAUGGUCUACUGCUCUCAAUCUCCUCUCAUCUAGGAGAUUGAGCUGAUCAAAUCGAGCCUGAGCCCAAUCUGUCUCGGGAAUCUGCUGCUCUAGUGCUACCCUCAACGAACCCAUCUCAAUCUCAACGGGUAGCACCGCCUCCAUGCCAUAUACCAAUGAGUAGGGUGUGGCGCCUGUAGAGGUGCGAAAAGAGGUCCGAUAAGCCCACAAUGCAAAUGGGAGCUUCUCUGACCAAUCCCGAGAAGUCUCGACCAUCCUCCGUAAUAUCCUCUUGAUAUUCUUAUUCGCGGCCUUUAUUGCCACAUUCGUCUGCGGCCUGUACGCAGACGAUCUAUGAUGCCGGAUGCUGUAUCUCUAUACUAAGGUAUCAACCUCUGCUCUGAAAUGUACUCCUCUAUCUGAAAUCAACUCAUGAGGGACUCCAUAGCGACAGAUAAUGUGUGAUCUGAUGAAACUAGCGACUCCAGCUGAUGUCAACCUCGCAUAUGAGGCGGCCUCCACCCACUUGGUGAAGUAAUCGAUGGCGACCAGGAUGAACUCAUGACCACUGGAAGAUUUCGGUGAAAUCUUCCCGAUGAUAUCAAUACCCCAGACGGAAAAUGGCCAUGGUGAAGUCAAAGCGUGCAGCUCGGAGGGCGGCACGUGAAUGAGGUCCCCAUGUAUCUGACACCCGGGACAUCUCUGAACAAACUGGCAGCAAUCCGUCUCCAUGGUCAACCAGAAGUAACCGGUCCUCAUGAUCUUACGGGCCAACAUAUGUCCUCCCAUAUGUGGUCCGCAGACUCCCGCAUGAACCUCUCUCAUCACUCGAUCGGUGGAGGCACGGUCCAAGCACAAUAAUAGCAUCCCAUCAGCUGAUCGUCUAUAUAAUGUCUCACCACAAAUCACGAAUCGGGCUGCUAACUGUCUCAAUGCCCUCCUAUCCUUGGCCGUGGCUGCCUCAGGGUACACGCCAAGUCUCAAGAAGUGAUAUAUGUCAUGGUACCAAGGCAGACCAUCAUCUGGCUCUACAUCAUCGAUCAGGCAACAGUAGGCAGGAGCAGAUCUCGACUCGAUCAACAAAGGUCGAACAGUGGCGUCAACGGGAAUAUCGAUCAUGGAAGCUAGAGUAGCUAAAGCAUCAGCAAACUGGUUCUGCGCUCUAGGCAGAUGGGUAUAUCUCAAAUCAUCAAAUCUCCCAACCAUUAGCUCCAAAUAUACAUGAUAAGACCUAAGCUUCACAUCUCUAGUCUUCCACUCGCCCUGAAUCUGUCUCAACACCAGAUUGGAGUCACCAAACACCUCUAUCUGUCUAAUCCCGAGCUCGAGGGCUGUCUCUAAUCCCAAGAUACAAGCCUCAUACUUAACAAGGUUGUUCGUGGCAGGAUGUCGAUCCGAGAAUGCCAACCGAACAGAUCUGGGAAUGUGAUCACCAUGAGGGGAUAUCAACAGGACGCCUAUCCCGUAUCGAGAAUGGUUGGCUGCACCAUCAAAGUACAUGCGCCAACCUGACAGACUAGUCACAGCAGCGACAUCCUCGUCUGGAAAAUCAUCGUCAAUAGCUCUGGCAUCAGAAACUGGUAAUGAGGCUAGAUGAUCUGCUACAAUGCUCCCUCUGAUGGACUUCUGAGUGACAUAAUGGAUGUCAAACUCAGUCAGAAGUACCAACCAUCUCAUGAGGCGACCAACCAGAGCGGGUCUAUCAAACAAAUAUCUCAGAGGAUCCAAGCGAGAUAUCAAAUGCACGGAAUAUUCGGUCAUGUAAUGUCUCAACCGGCCAGUGGCCCAAACCAAUGACAAACAAUAACGCUCAAUCAUGACAUACCUCGUCUCGUAGUCUAACAUCCUCUUACUCAAAUAGUAAAUGGCUUGAUCCUUGCCCGAAUCAUCGAGCUGAGCUAACAUGCAACCCAAGGCCACGUCUGAUACGGACAAGUAUAAGAGCAGAGGACGGCCUAGUGUAGGAGGCGCCAAAACAGGAGGUGACAACAAGUACUCUUUGAUCCUCUCGAAGGCACGCUGGCACUGGUCAUCCCAAACAGUAGGUUGACUCUUCCUCAAGAGUCGAAAUAUGGGCUCACAGAUGUCUGUCAAUCUGGCUAUGAAUCUACUGAUGUACUGAAGUCUGCCCAGGAAGCCUCUGACCUCUCUCUCUGUCCUCGGCGCAGACAUGUCAAGAAUGGCUCUAAUCUUGUCCGGAUCUACCUCUAUGCCUCGCUCACUGACCAUGUAUCCCAAGAGUUUCCCAGAAGUCACUCCGAAAGUGCACUUCUUGGGAUUCAGUCUCAACCUGAACUGUCGGAUCCUCUCAAAGAAUCUCUCCAGAGCUGCUAAAUGAUCUGAUCUACCUCGGGAUUUCACUAUCAUGUCGCCUACAUAAACCUCGACAUACCGAUGCAUCAUGUCAUGGAAGAGGGUGGUCGCUGCUCUCUGAUAGGUGGCUCCUGCGUUCUUCAAUCCGAAUGGCAUGACUCUAUAGCAAUAAGUACCCCACUCGGUAAUGAAGGACGUCUUCUCCAUGUCCUCUGGAGCCAUCAAGAUCUGACUGUACCCGGAAAAUCCAUCCAUAAAGGACAACAUCGAAUGACCUGCCGUACUGUCAACUAGCAUGUCGAUGUGUGGAAGAGGAAAAUCAUCCUUAGGACUGGCCUUGUUGAGAUCUCGGAAAUCAACACAGACUCUCACUUUGCCGUCCUUCUUGGGAACAGGGACGACAUUGGCCAGCCACUCCGGGUACUCAACCACUAAUAAGAAUCCUACACUGAGCUGCUUCUGGAUCUCCUCUUUCACCUACAAGCUCCAACGAGGGUGCAAUCGUCUCAACUUCUGCUUAACCGGUCUGGCAUGGGGCAGAAGUGGCAAACGAUGCUGGACGAUAGAUGGAUCAAAGCCUGGCAUGUCCUCAUAGGACCAUGCGAAAACGUCCAAGUAGGAUCUGAGUAGCUGGAUGAGGCUAUCUCUCUCAUCUGUAGACAAAUCCGAUCCGAUCCUCAACUCCCUAGGCUGAUCUGACGUGCCAAAGUCAACAAUCUCGGUGUCCCCUACAGCAGGUGAAACUCUCUGAUCAACGGGGUCUGAGUCGGAAGUAGAAGACGAGUCAUCGUUUGAGUCGUGCUGUGCAAUCUCAUCAUCAAUGUCAAAAAUCUGUGAUGUGGGUGAAGAUGGUGCAGAUAAAUCAAUAACAUGAGAGACAGGCAAAUACUCAAAGGUGCUCAAAUCCAUAGAUGAAAAGUCAGAAACAUAGUCAUGACGGGAGACAAAUCCCGAUAAAACAUCAAAGGUGAGAGGUGGGUCCACAAGGUCGGACGCUCCCUCAACUAGGCCAACAGGGCCAUCAAACAAAUCAACAGCAACUAUAACAUCCUCGACGACCUCUGGAGUGGGGGCAACCUAGAUCUCCUCGGCGAUCUCGAGGACGGACACCCCGAAGAGAUCAAAUGGUGAAGCGAGCUCCGGCGGGGCUAUCUCCUCGGUCUGGCUCAAGCUCAUCGCGAGCAUCUCAUCAACGUACUCGUCACGCGGCACGGCUCCAUCCACUACGUCUCCAAUCUCGGCAAAAGUCCCGUGAUCAUCGAUCUCAUUCCGGAAGCAAAGCGUCAUAAGGCUCGUGCGAUCUGGGGAGGGAGGAGCAAUCAACACAGAAGCCGAAGGGCCAGGGGCUCCGUCACUCAACUGUAAUUGCUGGACGAGGCGCUGAAGCUCGGCCUCCUGGGUGGUGCUGAGUCCUCCGAUGAUCCCAUCAGAUGGUGCAUGUGACUCCGAUGCCCUCACAAAGUAAUCAGAUAAGCUCCUGGUGUAUGGGCGAAGAGGAUAGUCGAAAGGCGUGUGGGUCAGCCGAGCCCUCACUCUCUCCUUGCGCAAACGCGCCAUGUAUCGAUAGUCAACCUCGGUGGGGAUGAACCCAAGCCCAAAUGGUACGUCAUGAUCAGGAAUGGUGAUGAACUCGCUCGGUCCAUACUGACGUCGACCCAACCCCAUGCCGGGUAGAUAGGACAUGCUCCGCAUAAUAUCGAGCACCACUGUGCUCCUAUGCUCGUCAAAGGACAUGGCCACAAAAUCCCGGCAGAAAUCCUCCAUCUCCACGGUCUGCACCUCAGCGAAGGUGAAUCCAGUCAGAAAGAUAUCGUCAUCAGUGUGACUAAUCUCGAGCACAGGCUCGACAGCAAUGAACAUGUCCCCCACGGACUGCACCACGACGACCUGACCAUCAUGGAUGAACUUCACUUUCUGAUGAAGUGAAGAAGGAAUGGCUCCAGCUCGGUGAAUCCACGGUCGGCCCAAAAGCAGGUUAAAGGAUGUAGGAAUCCUCAAAACCUGAAAGAUAGUGAUAAAUGUGGUCGGACCUAUCAGGAGCUCAAUCUCCAGUGUACCCAUGACCUCUCUACGGGUGCUGUCAUAAGCUCGAACGGUCUGAGUGGAUGGACCGAAAUCGGAUGGUGCGUACCCAAGAGCGAUGGCGGUGGCCAGAGGACAUACAUUCAGGGUCGAGCCAUUGUCCAGAAGGACAGAUGGAACUCGGCGACCUGAACAGCCAACAGAUAUAUAGAGAGGACGCGUGUGGCCAAAACCCUCUGGUGGCAAGUCGUCAUCGGAAAAGACGAUACAAGUGGCUCUGCCAACCGUCAUCAUAUGAAUGAGUCCCUCAGGAGUGGUCGUGGUAUCAACUCUAAUCUGGCUCAGAGCUCGAGUCAGUGCAUCCCGAUGAGUACUGGAGGACGCUAAAAGGCUCCAUAUAGAAAUACGAGCCUGAGUGCUCUGCAACUGCCUCAAAAUCUCGUCAUCCUCUACUCUGACCUCCUCCUGGGAUGAUGUACCCCCUAAGGGUCUAGCGGCAGCGGCUGGAGGUGGCUGUCUCAAUACUCUCCCUCCCCAGAGGAUAUACUAAACGUCCGGAGUCUGAAGAUCAUCACUGUGUGGAGCCUGAAACUCCUCAACAUCGGGGACUAAGACGAACGGCGUCUGAACACUAUAGCGCGUGGAAGUCGGAGGCUCGACAAUGGACGCAUGUACUGAGGCUGUCUCAGGAAAUAACCCGAAGGGAGUGGGCACCUAAGGCCCCAAAGACAUGCUGCUCAUCCCGUAAAUAUCCCCCAACUCUAUGGGCUCUGGAUCUAUGUCAUCCCAGCUCAUCAUGCAAACAUGGUCAUCAGAAUCAGCAAAAUCCAGAAAAUGAAUACCCCUGUCUGGUGGAGGAACUGCAUGCGUGGAAUGGGCCGAUAGUGGGUUUUGGGCUAUACUCGGCUGACCCAAGUGAACCAAACCCUGAUCAAUCAAGUCCUGGAUGGCGUGCCUCAAUGCGGUGCAUCGAUCAGUCUCAUGUCCUAGCCCCUGAUGAUAGGCACAAUGCAAAUCCAUCCUAUACUGAGGAGGUAGAGGCUGUGGGGGCGGUCUCGGAGCGAGUGCAGUCAACAAACCAGCCUCUAUGAGCUUCCGAAGAGCCUGGCUCAACGGCAUGCCUAUCUGUGAAAACUGUCUCUACGUCCUCAAAGCAAAAGGUGCAGAGGUCUGCUGAGCUCGAGGCCUAGGGUAUGAAGGUGCGGGCCUCGGAGUGAACUGUGCAGCGUAGCAUGGCUGUCCAGUGGCCGUGUACGAAACAAGAAGCCUCUCAAUGCCCUGAGUGGCAUAGUAAGGUAGAGCCAAUGGCCGAGCCUGAUAUGUCUGAUCGAAAGUCGGGCAAGGUGCCUGUGGCCUGAACUGUUGAGGUGCGUAAGACGGAUGAGUCUCAAUGAGCUGUGGGAUCGGCUGAUGACGCCUAGGAGGCCUCUGACUGGAUAAACUGAUAGCACUAACAUCUGUCGACCUCUGUCCUACGAAUGGUUUCUUCCCCUUAACAUCACUAGGGGAAGAAUCUGUCCAUAAACCUCUCGAGAUGCCGUCCUCGACAUCAUACAAAGCCAUAACUAGAGACCCAAAAUCCGUGAACGGGGCCCCUACCACAUGUCUGGCGAUCCGCGGCUGCAAGCUCCUCAAAACCAUCUGAAUCUGGUCCCUCUCUGAUGGUCUAUUGAUAAUCUCAGCUAUCUUCCCGCGCUAGCGGGAAAUGAAAGAAGAAACAGACUCCUCUGCCCUCUGUCUCAAAGCCUCGAGCUCCCUCCUCGAUACAUCCACGACAGUGUUAAACGAAAACUGUCGUAGGAACUCCUGGGCCAAGUCGUCCCAUGUGCGGCGCCUCGAGGCCUCCAAAGAUGCAAACCAACGCUGGGCCGCCCCACUCAAAGAUAGUGGGAAAAGAGUAAUCAUCUGAGGCUCGUCCAGUCCAUGAGCCCUCAUCACGGUGCUGUAUAAUCGGAGAUGGAGGCGUGGACAACCAAUGCCAGUAUACCUCUCAAUGUCAGGCAUCCUGAACUUAGCCGGCAAGCUGGCUACCGGCACUCCAUCAAAACCCUCCCAAGUAGUGGCUCUAUCUGAAGUCCUCAACUGCCUCAAACCCUGCUCAAGCCUAUCCAUGCGAGCAUGUGGGUCCUCUGAGGUCGGGGUGGGCACGGUGAUGGGAGGCGGGACAACCCCGGUCUGACUAUGCAGAGUGAACGGCAUGGCCUGUGGCGCUGACUGACUGGGUGGAGGAGGUGGUGGCACUGUAGGGUCAUACUGGGCACCAUCCUGGGGCGGGACCUGCUGGGCCUGCUGCCCAUCCAUCCUCCGACCGAGGCUAGCUAUAGCCUCCUGAAUCGAAGCCAUGGCCUCAGCAAACUGAUCGACGGUAACUACCUGUGAAUCCAUAUCUCUCUGAUCUGAUCUUUGGUCUGACUGGUCCGAUACCCUGAUCAAUCUACCCUCAACUCUGAUCCAAGAGGGUGUAUCCAGGCUGUGAACAAAAUCCGAUCCUGACAAGACUCCUCCUCUACUCUAUCCCACGAAGGUAUAUCCAAAUGAAGAACAAAGGUCCGAUCCUGAGAAAGCACGAAGAACGGAAUAAGGAUAUGGCUCUGAGAAUGUACAAAAGAAAAGGUAAUCUAAACGGGAACCAGCAAAGCAUCCAAAUGAAGAUGAACGGUCCGACCGUACUCAAAACUAGCACUGAUCUCUGUGCAUUCUCAACUGGAGACUAAAGAGGGAGCGUCGAAUCCAAAAUGUGACCACAGAGGCGCCGAAGGCCCUCAGAUGCACCCACGUGUAGGGAGGGAGUCCUAAUCAGAGGAUCUACGGCUCAACCUACAAGGUCAAGGUGGUUCUAAAUAGAUAUGGGUGGACUUUAAAAGAUCCCUAGCAGAAGCGAUCGUACCCUCCGACAGUACGCAACCCUUUGCACGUCUCCGAAGAGACGGGGCGCUUCCAUGCAAGGUGGUCAUCACCUCCACACAUGCACUACCUCGACAUCCCAGGGGGUUUCCUAUGGUGAAACCUCUCAAACUCUCAACGCUCAAUGGUCAACUAAAGUGCACAGUGAAUGGUGUGGGUGCAUCCGAAAACCCUAAGAAUCUAGAGCAGAAGAGGAAACACACUGGUCGCACGACUAUCCAUGAAACCUAGCUCGGGGCUAUACAGGUCUUCAAUGAUCGAACUCCAAUCGACAUCAAAGUGUCGUCCUCCUCCUGAAUGCUCCCGUACAUCGAUAUAGCCCGUCGCUAGACCCUACUCCUAAUCUCUAUCUCAGUCAGAGUACAAGCACACACAAGGCCCCACACUUGCAAAAGUGAGAACCAGAAUGAAGGAAAUGACCGAGACUAGAGGGUCGGAGAUAAGGGGAUAGAUGUGCUACCCACAUAGACAGGCGACAUACAAUCACGCAGAGGAGGGCAGUCAUGCAUCAUACAGUCAGGCAGAGCAGAAUAUAUCACUCAUGUACACACAAGAUAAGCGAGAAUACGACAAUCAAGAUGAAUAGUGAUACCAACAUCAUGCUCAAGGACGAUCAAAAUAGUAUACAAGUUAGAGAAUCAAUAUGUCAAGCCGAGUGAUAUACAAUGGUGAGUGUAUGCAUGUGAAGUGAUCAGAACAAUCAUGCCAAAAUCAGAAUCAAUACGCUGAGCAAUGCAAUAAGAUCAAUCAUCAAUAAUCCAACAUGUCAAAAUCUCAAAUGAAUACGACAUCUAAGCAUGCAUCAAGAAAUCCUCAAUGUGCAAUCAAGAGAUGAGCAUCCACUGAUCGUCCAAUCAAAUGCCACAUUUGCUUCACUCUAAGUUCAAGCUUGACCCUCUAAAAAAAAAAUCCCCAGCGGAGUCGCCAUUUUGUGGACCCCGCAUUUCGGCUCAUGCGUUUCCCACUCGAAGGCGAGCUCGAUUUUUAUUUGAAAAAUUGAUUUUUUAUUGAUUAAGAAAACUGACUUGGAGUCGCCACUUAUUUUUGUUUUAUUUUUAAAAGGGUAAACAAAAUAAGAAAGAAAAACCCUAAGUGUGACUCCUUACUUUGGAAAAGGUGGUCUGUGAAAAACCGGAUCGGGUUCGGGGGUCAGGUUACUUAUCGGGAAGGUACGGUAAAGACCGUAGCACCCCUCUAAGUCCCUAAAGUCGGGUCUCUACUAAUAAAAUGAAGCAAUCAAUGGCAAUUGAUGAGGGAAUCAAUGAAUACUCAGAGUGAUCCUGCACAUGUGGGAAUCUAAACAUGCAUACAAAAAAUGACCCAAGCGGGUGUGGAUGCGUACCUGGGCAGUGAUCCAUAAAGCGCUAUCAAGAAGUGAGGUUAGCGCACAAUUAAAGAAUAAUUUCGAGCAUGUCAUAGAGCGAAAUAAAAUCGAUCAUGCAUGGCAAUUAAAUCAAACAAACAAUCAAUCAAUCAUAAGGGAAUCACAUAUGUUGGGCCCCCACCAAAACCCGAUUUAUAUUGCAUGAAUUAAUCCUACGAAUCCCAUUAUUUCGGAAUUAUGAAGAUUCAUCAUUCUUGCUUGUGUAAAAAUCAAAAGAAAUAGAACAUUAUUUAAAAAUCGGAGUGAAAUUAAAACUAUUCGAGAGAAAACUGGGUUUUGAGAUUUAUUUGGAAAUUAGAGUCUUGAAAAUUAUUUGAAGAUUGGAGUCUUGAAAAAUUAAAUUUAAGAAUUGGGAUUUUGGAUAUUAAAUUUGAAAGAAAUUAGAAUUUUGGAAAUCGGAAAUUAAGUUCAGAAAUUGGAAUUUUGAAGAAUGUUUAAAAUGGAAUUUCAAAAUAAAUAACUAAAAUAAUAAUAAUUAAAUAGAUUAAUGUGAAUAUUAGAAUUUUCAGAAUUAGAAAUUAAAAUCGGAAGUUGGAAAUUUUAAUGAAUUGUUUAAAAUUGAAUUUUAGAAUAAACAAAUGAAAUAAUAAUAAUAAUGAAAAUAAUAAAGAUUAAAUAAAUAAAUAUGGAAAUUGGAAUUCCGGAAAUUAGAAAUUGAAUUUAGAAAUCGGGAUUUUGAAGAAUUACUUAAUGAUGGAAUUUUAAAUAAAUAAAUAAACAAUAAUAAUAAUAAUAAUAACAAAAAUAAUGAUUGAAUAAAUACAUAUGGAAAUUAGAAUUCCGGAAAUUAGGAAAUUGAGUUUGAAAAUCGGGAUUUUGAGGAAUUGCUUGAUGAUAGAAUUUUAAAUAAAUAAAUAAAUAACAAGAAUAAUGAUUGAAUAAAUAAAUAAGGAAAUUAGAAUUCCGGAAAUUAGGAAAUUGAGUUUGGAAAUCGGGAUUUUAAGGAAUUGCUUGAUGAUAGAAUUUCAAAUAAAUAAAUAAAAUAAUGAUGAUUUAAAUAAAUUGAUGUGAGAAUUUAAAAUUUCGGAAAGUGGAAUUUAAAUUUAGAAAUCGGGAUUUUGAGGAAUUGUUUGAAGAUUGAAUUUUAAAAAUAAAUAAAUAAAUAAAUGAAAUAAUGACGAUUAAAUAAAUUGAUGUGAGAAUUAAAAUUUCAGAAAUUGGAGUUUAAAUUUAGAAAUCAGAAUUUUGAGAGAUUAUUAAAGGUUGAAUUUUAAAAACGAACAAAUAAAUAAAUAAAUAAAAUAAUGACGAUUAAAUAAAUUGAUGUAAGAAUUAAAAUUUCGGAAAUUGGAAUUUACUUUGGAAAACGGAACUUUGAGAGAUUAUUAAAGGUUGAAUUUUUAAAAAAUGAACAAAUNNNNNNNNNNNNNNNNNNNNNNNNNNNNNNNNNNNNNNNNNNNNNNNNNNNNNNNNNNNNNNNNNNNNNNNNNNNNNNNNNNNNNNNNNNNNNNNNNNNNNNNNNNNNNNNNNNNUUUUUAAAAAAUGAACAAAUAAAUAAAUAAAUAAAAUAAUGAUGAUUAAAUAAAUUGAUGUAAGAAUUAAAAUUUUGGAAAUUGGAAUUUAAUUUAGAAAAUGGAAUUUUGAAGAUUCUUAAAAGGUUGAAUUUUAAAAAUGAAUAAAUAAAUAAAAUAAUAAUGGAGAAUUAAAUUUUGAUAUUGAGAAUUAAAAUUUCGGAAAUUGGAGUUUAAAUUUAGAAAUCGGAAUUUCGAGGAGUAGUUUAAAGAUUGAAUUUUAAAGAUAAGCAAGUGAAUAAAUAAUGGUGAUUAAAUAAAUGGAUGUGAGAAUUAAAAUUUCGGAAAUUGGGAUCAAAUUCGGAAGUCAGAGAAUUAAGAUUGUUUAAAGAAGGAAAACUUGAAAUAAAUAAAUACAAUAAUAAUAACGAAUAUAAUGAUUAAAUGAAUGAACGAGAAUUUUGGAAUUUCUUCAAAUCGGAAAUUGAAUUUAAAGGUUGGAAAAUUGGAAUUGCAUAAGGAAAGAUAUUUUGAAGUAACUAAAUGGAAUAAUAUUAAUAAGAAUGAUAGUUGAAGUUUUUGAAAACUAGGUUUUAAAGAUUGGAGCUUUGGCAACUAGAUUAAAAUUUUGAAUCUUGACAAUUAACUUUGGAAAUUAAAAAAAAAAUUAUUCUAAAAUGGAAACUUUAAAAAUUAGAUUUAAAAAAAGAACUUUGGACAAUUAAACUAUGAGAAUAUGGAUUUUGAAAGUUAAACACUGGAAAAUUGAAAUAAUAAUAAUAAUAGUAAUAAUAACAACUUAAUAUUGAGAACUUGAUAUUGAGAAUAUGGAAUUUGGAUAAAUGAAUAAGCAUAUAAGUGAAUAAUAUAGUGUACGUGUGCAUGAAAUAAAAAAGAAUGAAUAAAAGGAACUAAAGGGCUUUAGAGAGGGGUUUAGGAUAAAGGAUAUGCAGAUUUGGGCCUUUAGGAAUGGACCUUGGGCUUUGAAAAGGGGCUAAGGGUUGGAAAUGGGCCUUGGGCUUCAUCUUCAUCCUAGUUCCUCCACAGCCCAACAACAUCCCCUCCAUCUGGGCAACUCCUUCAGGAUAUCUCCACCAGUACUGACAUAGAGAGAGACUUCACCACCGGCGGCAAGAUGGAGAGAGGAGCCGUGGCGGCGGUUCGGCGGCAACCUGAAGGUGCAGCCAUCAAGGUGGCUGGUGCAAGUGCUCGCCUGGCCGGGGCGGGUGGUGGUGGCUGGCGAGGUGAGCAAGCACCUCGCCGACGCGGUACACGCAGCGAGAAGGAGCGGGGAGGGGCGGCACGCGUGCAUGGAAGGUUGUGAAGCUCCCCAGGCCUCCGACAAACGCGUCUCUGAUGAAGACGGUAGGAGCGAUGACGGGUAUGAGGAGGAAGAUGGUGGAGGCGACUUGCAUGUUUGGACCCCAUGUGUGCAGAAGGGCGGCUUGGGGAGUCCUCGUGGAGAUGGGUAUGGCGGUUAGAGAGAGAAAAGGUGGCAAAUAUACAUGGGUAUGAGAUGGGAGAGAUAUAGGUGACGCAGCGGACUAGACGAUACAAAUCAGGUUUGAACUGAGGAUUCGGUGAAUUGGAAACUUUAACUAAAAGCUACAGGGGACUUUCUUAAGCUAUGCAUGAUACUAGGGAAUGAGUUGUGAGUUGUUGAGGGCAGCGAUGGAGUGAGAAUCUGGUGAAACAUGAAUAUAUCUAGCCUCAUUUCAAAUAUCAUCCAUGGGCCGAUACAGGUGAAUGAUAAAGAGCAUCAACGUGAUUCAUAACGAACCCAUGUACUCGAUGGCCUCCAAAGAAAAUCACAAAAAUGAGAUAAUAGCAUAGCAAACAUACCCAAGCAGUGAAUGAAAGCUUAAAGAUCGAGACAAGUGCAUGAAAAAUAAUACGAUAAGAAAAUAAUGAACAGAAAACCCACAAAACUUAUACCUAGGAGUGCUCUUUCUUAGCGAAAACCAAUCAGAAAAACCAUGAGUCUCCCCCGGUUCAGCAACUCUGCCUCCCUCCUAGAUAGCUCACUCUUUUCUUCUUUCCUUUUUUCCGAAACUCUGUUUUCCUUUUCUCCUUUUUUUUAGCUUCCUCUCCAAGCCAUCUUUGUACCCCAUCCCAUCUGCCGCCCCAGAGCCUCCCCUAUCAGUCUCCUUUUUGCUGCCCCAAAAACAGCCCCUGACCAUCAUGUCGAGCGGCUCCGGAAAAAAGGUAGGAAAAAGAAAAGAAAUAAAAUAAAUCCAAAGAAAACUCUCUGUCUCCGGGGGGGUCUACAGAUUUUUUUCUAUUUUUUUGAAAGGAUUUCAUUAAAUUUGUCAAGAUAAGGAAUUUUUUUCCUUAUCUUUGUUUUUCUCCCUUUGAAUGAUUCACUUACAUGUUAUGGGUUAGUUUCUAUGAAACUUUUUCUUAAAGAAAAAUAUUAUUUUUAAUUGGUAAAUAUAUCUAUCAUUCUCUUGAUAUUAUAGAAACUCUCUUUUUAAAAAAUUGUUUAGUUUCUACUAUUGUUUUAAAAAAAAAUCUCUUUCAAAUGGAGGAAAACCAAUUAAUGGUUAUUUAAAAUAAGUAUUAUAAACUUCUAGAAAGGAGACGUAGCAUUCAAAAAUCAACAAAGUUAAAAUCCUUGUUUUUUCUUUUUUUCUCCUUUCAACAUUCAACAACCAAUCUUCUUACUUUUAGUGUUUCUCUUAUAAGUUAAAGGUCUUUGAUGACUAUAUUUUGCAUUUUAUUUUUGUUGUUCUCCUUUCAACAUUCAACAAUCAAUUAAUCUUCUCUCUUAGUGAUUGUCUUGAACUUUGAUGACAAAGGCAUUCUAAGAAAUUUGCUUGAAGGCCCACUACCAUCCAAAGUCUAAUAAACCAAGGAAAAUUGCAUGAAAAUAUUUCAUAUCAUUUUUUGAAAUUUAGAUCUUUGUAAGAAAUUGUUUUGAAGGUAAGCUACUACUAAAGUUUAAUAAGCCAAGGAACUUUCUCACUAUUUCUCAUGUUCGGGUAACAUGAAAAAAAUAAUAGUUGUUUUUUUAUCUCCUUUUCUUUAAUAUUUAUCCUUUUGUCAUUACUACAAAGUAAGCGCAAUUAUGCUUCAUUUGAUGAUUAAUGGAGAAAAAAGUUACUUCUUUAUAUUAAAUAUUUAUCCUUUAAUUAUUUUUGCAAAGUUAAAUUAGAGUUUUCAUGAAUGCCUUUUCUACUACAAUUAUGAAAUUCAAAAUUUAUCUGCUCAAUACAUUGAAAUCCCUCAAAGAAAUUGAGAAAGCAAUCAUUUAACCAACUCCUUGAAGAACUUACCAUAAAUAACGGUAGUGCAAAAGAUAAGUGUCAUGAUUGAAGUUCAAAAUAAUAUCUAUAACUUAAAGAUUUCUUUGAACAUUAAAGUUUAGUGCUAGCUAUAUUAUAAUAGCAACUAAAAAAGGCACUUUUUGCUCCUUUUUCCCAUUUAUUCUUUUGGAAGUAUGAAAAGAAAAUUAUUCCAAAAAAAAAAUUACAUAAAAUAAUAAAAAAAUUUAUAAAAUUAAUGCUUAUAAAAAUUAUAUGAAAAUAAUCAUUAUUUUAAAAAAAAAUCUCACCCCAUUUUCUUUAAUAUUUGAUUACAAAUAUAAUAUAGUUAAAAAGAGUAUACUAUUAUACAAAUCAUGUAACUUCUAAAGUAUCUCUAUUUAGGCAUUGUUUGAAAUCAUAGAAUAAAGCAUGGGAAUGAGUUAAUGUGUUUGGAUUGUUUUUGGAAUAAGAAUAGGAAUAAAAAAUCAUUGUUAUGGAAACCAAAUUCCAUUAUCACUGGGAUUUUGAUUCCUUUAUCUUAUCUUACAUGAGAUUAGGAUUCACCAUAUCCUCAUUCUAUUUCCAUUCCUAUUUUCAUGUACCAAACGAAACCUUAGACAAUGUUUGGUAUGUGGGAAUUGAGAUGAGAAUAAACAUUUUGUUUUCAUUCUUAUUUGAUCUUGAAUAAAAAUAAAUUUGGUAAUUCCAAUUCUUGUAUUUGAAUGCACUUAUAAAUGGAAUGUUGAAAUGAUCAUUUCUUUUCAUUUUAUUGUUUGAUAACAAUAGGCAUGAAAUUAAUUUUCUCAUUAGAAGAACAAAAACCUUAGAAUAUAAUGAAAAGUUUAACAAAGUUGAAAGGAGGAAAUCAAUAAAGAAAUGAUAUUUUUAACUUUCUUAAGUUUUGUGCACUUCUUUUUAUAUUAAAUUCAAUUUUUAAAUUUGUAAUUAUUUAACCAAAUCCAAAACAACAUAAUUAGCUUCAAUUUAUGUUUCCAACUUGUAUGUGUUAAUAUAAGACUUAGUGGUAGUAAAGUAGUUUUGAACCAAUAAGCUAUAGAGCAAAUUUGUCUACUUAAACUAGUACAUUGACAAUCUCAUCCUUUGAAAAUUUUGGAACAAUACAAAAUAUUGCAAUACAACCCUCUAAAACUCUAAAAUUAAGAUCCUUAAGUCGCUUGACCUAAUCCUUACCAAAGAUCACUCACUAUAAAUAACACCUUCUUAUCUUUCUUUUUUUGCAUGAAUAUGUCACCUCAUAACACCUUCUCCUCUUGAAUUUGAUUGCUUGUUCUUAAUUUGACAUUCUCUUUCCCUUUUAGAUUUGAAAAAAAAAAACAAAAAAACAAAAAAAAUGGUGUAAAUUCAACUUGAUAAGAGUUUAAUCAAAAUUGGAAAUUUGCUUGUAAUAUCUAACUCGCCUUAAUGAAUAAGGAUGUAUGGGUUGAUCAAUCGAGCUUUAGGCCCUUGAAUAAUCAUCUCAACUUUCACUUUCAAUUGCCUGAGAUAUUUCAUUUGGAUAUCAAUCAAACCCAAGGUUGAGACAUUAAAUUGUACGUAUGUUAGUUUUUAUGAUAAACUAGUUUCACAAAAUGGUUGAUGCUUCAAAAGUAAUAACUUAGUUAACAAAUGCAAUGUCAUAAUUUUAUAUUUUUGCUCAUUUGAUGUAUGUGGGAACAAAAACUAACAUGGAUCUUAAAGUAUUCCAAAACAAAAUACUUGAAAUUGAAAUAUUCUUUCCCACCUAAUUUGAUUGCUCAUUCUAGGUUGGAGAUUCUAUCUCUUUACACCAAGAAUUAUGCAUAGUGCAAGAGUGUGAGUUUAAAUUGGCAUCACUUUAAUCAAAAUCUAAGACUGGGUUGAAGUAUUUGACUUGCCUUGAUUAAUAAGGACAUCCGGCCAUGGCUUAACUGAUGGAGGUUGGUGUGUACUAACUUAUCCAACAAAAUGUUUAAUCUGCAAAAAAAUUAACAACAAUCAAGCUUGUCCUCGAAAUGCCCUAAAACGAGUCCCAAUAAAAAUGGGUUUUGAAAAAAAAAAAAAAAAACAAAACAAAAAAUUCUGUAGAAGGAAUUUCAGCCCCUUGGAAUCAGCAAGGCAUAUAAAAUAGAAACUAAGAAAAGGAGGGUGGCUUAAUUACCAAAAAGUUGAGGUAAAUGUUUGGUCAACAUCAACAAAGAAGCUCCAGCCAUCUGUGCAUAUGGUCCAUUUCAUGGUCUUGCGCAUCAACACCAUUACCAUCAUUAUUCAGGGUGGUGCCAUCACAGCUUCUCUCCACAUCAGUAUUAGUAUCUUCUACUGCUGAACUGGUGUCACAGCUUACUUCUACGUUGUACAAUUGUGAGAUUGUUCUGUUCAUAAUCGUGGGCAUAUAGAAAGUGGAAGCCACACCUCGCCACUUUCACUGGUUUAACACCAAAGUAGACAUUAAAGAAAGCGUUCAAGGUUCUCCAUUCAUUUGAGUGAUAUCUCUUGGGAAUACGUGACUUAGGAUAAUAUAUCAAGCACCCUUGACUUGAUGCAUCUUCAUCAUAGCAGAAUUCACAAAAUUGAAAAGACUGAUAGGAAAAAUAGGCACUGUCAUCAUCGAAAUUCAAUUUACAGUUGAAACACCUAUGUUUUUUGGUCUCAAUCUCAAGUGGAACACAAAGAGAGCACAGAACAAAGCCCAAGAAGUCAUCAUUUUCAUACCAACUCCAAGGAAGUUUCAUUGUUAUUUUGAACCCGCUUUUCUGAUGGCUUAUCCACUCCGGAAUCCCAUUACUUUCAGCAAUAAAAGUUAUGAGAGUUUUUCUAAAUUCACGCCCCUGCACAAAAAUUACCCUCUGAAUUUUGUGUCUCAAUGAAAACAAAGGUUAAAUGCUAUAUGAAAACCAUACCUGAAUUUGGGAUUUAAAACAUUUGAAUAAAGAAGACCAGAGUAGAUUUGAUCGACUGGAUAAAUUUUCCAGGGAUGUGCAGUGAUGGGCAUCUAGACAAAAUAAACCUGAUGGAAGUUCUGGAAUAUGUUGAAGCAUCUUGCAGUGACCCAAGUAAAGAUUUUCUAGGUUAUAAAGUUGACUGAUCCCAUCAGGUAUGCGACUAAAGUGGUUCCCCCCCAGAGAUAAUGUUACCAGUGAUGAUAGGUAAUAGAUUUCACUGGGAAAUUCCCUUAGAUUGCAGCCUUGAAGCUUUAACGUCCUCAAGGAGCAUAAACCGGACAAAGACGGCAAUUGAAAAUUCAUUGAAUCUAAAUGCCCAACAAAAAGAUACUCUAAAGAUUGCAGUCUCCCCAAGUUGUCUGGCAAUUUGUUGAAGUUUGGACAGCGACUGACAACGAGAGUUUUAAAAGAUGUCAAAUUACAAAUACUCUCAGGAAGAUUCACAAGGUUUUUGCAGUUUCUCAGAAGCAAAUAUUGAAGCCCUCUUAGACGUUGAAUUGAUGAUGGUAUCUCUUUUAUGGCGGUUCCAUUUAAAUAAAGCUUUCUCAAGCUCUCCAUAUCUUGCAGGAUUUCUGGAAAGCUCUCUAGUUGUGAACAGCCAGAGCAGGAGAGAGUUGCAAGGGAUUUGAAACCAAAAAUGCUACUGGGCAGACUCGUAAGAUUUCUGCAAUCCCGCAGACAUAAACUAUCAAGUUCCAAGGGAUUCUCGAUAAUGGGUACUUCAUUCAUAUCACUGCCCUUAAAACAGCACUUCCGCCGAGGUGUCCCAUCCCGUUGGCAUGCCCUGCAUAUUCUAAUAUCUGCAUCCUCAUGGCUUUGUUGAAGGUCUUGGGAGUAUAUAAGGCGGACUCCACACUCCUUUACUUUCAAGACUUUCUCAGAAUUAAUGUAAAAGUCGAAAAAGGAAAACCCAAUGAAAGUCCGUUGAUCAGAGCAAAACCUUUCCGGAAUAACUGCCUUGGGAUAGCAAAUCACCCACGUCUGACCUGAUACACUCUCAUUAUCUUCGUCCUUGUCUUUUUUAUAGCAAAAACAAUUGGAUUGAAAGAAGGAACGAUCUACCAAUUCAACUCCAUCACCAGCCACAUCCAAACAACAGCUAAGACGACAAGGAUGUGUAUGUUUAUGUUCAUUCUUACGAAAAGAUUCAGCCACAGAUUUAUCGUCUGUUUCAUUCUCCCAUGUAUGAGCAGAUUCAUCCUCAGAUUUAUUAGCUGAUUCAUUCUUGGACCCGUGUGCAGAUUCCUUUUCAGGUAUGUCCUCAGAUUCGUAAGCAAAUGGAACAUAAACACAACAUAGAGCAAAUCCCAAAAACUCAUUAUUUUGGUGCCAAUUCUGAGGGAGCUCUGUUUCUGUAAAAUAUCUUUUUGUCCGAUCCAUAAUCCAUUCUGGAAUUCCAUCAGUUCUGGGAAGAACAAUGCAAGUUCCCUUGCCACGGUAGGAAGAAUCACUAAAACUAGUGCGUUUCAAACCCUGCACCAAAGCACCAUGUAAAUAUAGAGUCUGCAUAUAUAACUAGUGUGUGACAUGAAAAUCAUACCUGUGCCCAACUGAAGCAAUUGACCAGAGAAUGCAAUGGCAAAAACAGGGCUCUUGAUGAAGUGCGAUUUGAACCAUGUGCAUCUAAAAGCCGUAGACGUGAUGGAAGCUCUGGAAUUUGUUCAAGAUUGUUGCAGUGACUAAGGUUAAGGACUUCCAGCCUGGAAAGCUGAUUGAUGGUAGUAGGUAUGCUACUAAAAUGACCCUGUUCCAGAUUUAGUUUCUGUAAUGAUGAUAAAUGGCAAAUAUCACUAGGAAUUCCUCCUUCCAUUAUGUUGCAGUGACCUAGGUCCAAUUCUUUCAAUGAUGAUAAAUGGCAAAUAUGAUUAGGGAUUUGGUGGAGCUUUAAACACUCUUGAAGUAGGAGAGUUUGAAGACCAUUUAGAUGUGUAAUUGAUGAUGGUAAGUCCAUUAUAGCUGUUCCACUCAAAUCAAGCACCCUUAGCUCUCUCAUAUCGCCUUUGAUUUCUGGAAAUCUCUCUAGCUUUGAACAGCCAUUGCAAGACAAAGUUUGAAGGUGUUUCCACUUGUAAAUGCCUCUUGGAAGAAGCUCCAGGUUUACACACCCUGCCAGAUUCAAGGGAAAAAGAAAAACCAAGUUAGUUUUAGUAAUUAUAAUACUGCUGCACCAAACUUUUAAGUACCGUUGUACAACCUUCUAGAGUUAGAAUCUCCAAGUUUGGCACACUUGAGAAGUCUGGGAUUCUUAUGAGAUGGACAGAGUGACUGAGAUCAAUAACCCUCAACUUGUCAUGAAGCUGUAACAAAAUAAUUUUUUUCAAUAGAUAAAUUUACACGUUAAAAAUUAAUAUAAAAUUAAACUGUAACUAAAUAAUAAUAACAAUACCUUAUUGCCCCUCCAAACUUGCUUUAUAUUGCUGUCCCUUAAUGAGAGUUCAACAAGGUUCUUUGCAUGAAAAUUCAUUGGCAAAGAUUCUAAAGGGUAUCCAUCCCAAUGCAGAUAUGCUAACUCAUAGGAAUAGAAUUCAAAGUCCCUUGGAAGGUGGUCUUUAAGAAAUAGCUUUCUACGAGGGUUAUGGAUUUUGAGCAGUCUAAGUCUAUUCAUCUCUUUGAAAGAUUCUGUAGUAAGCUCUGAUGGAUUAAAUUUACAUCUAUCUAAGAAUAGUCCUUCAAUUGCUCGUGUCCCCUGAAAAAUAUAAGAUGAGUAGGUGAAACAAAAGAUGCAUUAGGCUUAAUUGAGUUAUACACACGGCUAAUUUCUGAAAAAAAUAAUAAUAGUAAUGAAGCUUGCAUACACACGUAUAAACAAGUUCAUGCAUUUGACUCUUACCUUAUUUCCUGUUAGCACAUGAUAGGCAUUAGAAUCGCAUAAUCUACUCCUUCUUCCAGGGUCUUCCGGACAUUCUUGACGAAUAAUCUCCCAACCCAUUUGUUGUAUUAAAUCAUGCAUAUCUAGCAUGUUUUUUGAAACAGUUAUGAGACAUCUAUCAUCUAGAGUUGUUAUUGCGUGCUUUGCAUGAGGGCCCAAUAUUCUUGAAACAAAAUCUCUAUCAUCUCCUUUGAAAAAGCAUGCAACAUCCAAAAAUAUCCCCUUGUCUAUAUCAUCGAGUCCAUCAAAACUUAUUCUAAGUACAUUGUGAAUUUCCAUGUGGGGCAUUAUUUUUAGCUUACACAGUGCACUUUCCCAAUUACUUAUUUUCUUUCCAAAAAGAGAAGCACCUAAAACUUUAAGUGCUAACGGAAGGCCAUUAGCAUAAUCUAUGAUAUUGUAUGAGAGAUUUUUAUAAACUUCUUGGGGACGAUUUUGUUUAAAGGCCCACAAACUAAAGAGCUCAAUAGCUUCUUCCUUGUUUAAUUUUGAAACCUCAUAUCGUAUAUCCGCUCCAUAUUGAGCAAGUACAUGUUUGUCUCUAGAUGUAAUGAUGAUUGUACUUUUUGCCCGAAACCAAUCCUUCUCUUCAGCCAAAUAUUCUAGUUGUUUCAACUCAUCCACAUCAUCAAAAAUAACAAGAACUCUAUUGGAGCUUAGACACCUCUUUAUCAUACUAAUUCCUUCAUCAACAUUGUUUAUUUUAAAAUUUUUUCCCCUUAGGAUACCAUGAAGAAGUUCUUGCUGUAACUGAAGUAUAUCACCUUUGGAUCUCUCUUUGAUAUUUAUAAGAAAGCUACUACCAUCAUAUUGAUGUGAGAUCUCAUUAUAAAUAGCCUUGGCGAUAGUAGUCUUGCCAACCCCACCAAUUCCAUAUAUCCCUACGACACUAACCAUAUUUAACUCAGUGUUCAUCAACGAUUUCAAUUUUUCCAAAUGAACACCAAUUCCAACUAUGUUCUUUCCCACACUUAAAGGUUGAUGGUUUAAUCUUCUAAUGAUUGUAUCAACAAUUUCCUUGACAACCUCGGUCUCAUACCUGCCAAUCAUAUAAAUUAAGUACAAUGAUGAGUUAGAAUGAGUUGCAAAAUAUAAUAAAUUUAAAAUAAAUUUAGUCUUGUAUGGCCGUGUCCAAUAUUACUGAAUUAGUAGCAAUGGAAUGAAAAAGAAAGGGGUGAAGCCAAUUUACUUACAUAUUUAAGCUUUAAAAUUUGUAAGUAUCAAACUACUAAAAAUGUGCCAAGUUGCAAAAUUUCAAUACUCUUACUGUUAGAGCAUUGUGUAGGACUCCUCUAUGAACAAGCUAAUGCCUUCUUUCAACUUUGAUUUCACAAACAACUUGCUUAUGAUUCCUCAAUUUCACUUGUCUUUAGGUUUUAUUAACUUACCAAUACUUACCAAUGUUGCAAAGACUCUGUUUUUAGCCUGCCAAUUAAUUUUGCAUUUCCAUAGAGGAAUCAGGAAACAAGUGAAUGUGGAGAAUUUCAUGAUUUGCUUGUUGGUUGGGAACUUAAAUAUGAUUUGCUUUAGAGAAAAUUAUAAAAGGGUUAAAUUUUGAUACUUGUAUUUUUGGACCAACACAAGGGAAAAAUGAAAGUCAGAUUUUGUUGACAAUUUCAUACUUACUGGUCAUUCACAUGGCAUCCAGAUAGAUUAGCUGCUUUUCUCAAGGCAAUCCUCCACUUUUGUAUCAUCUCCUUCUUUUCUUGAUUUGCAUCUCUUUCAUGGUAGGCAAGUGCGUCUCCGAAACUCCCCCUUUGGUUUCGUACAUCAGAUGGAUCCACAUGGUAGAAAAUUGGUAGAACCACUGAUUCCUUUUGGCUCUUGCGUUCAAUGAUCUUUACGAGUUCAUUUAAACACCAUCUGGAGUAAGCAUAAUUUUUUGAGAAAAUAAUAAUAAAAAACCUCGAUUCUUCUAUAGCUCUCAAGAGAUCAGAUGCAAUAUCUCCUCCUUUCUCAAGUUCUUCAUCAUCUCUGAAAGUUUGAAUUCCAGAUGCAGUCAAUGUGGUAUAUAGAUGAUCAGUGAAAUUUCUGCGAGUAUCGCCACCUCUAAAACUCAAGAACACAUCAUAAUUACGAGAAAUAGAAGUAGUCGAAGAAGAGGCUCUAUGGGUGCUGGAAGAAGCCAUUUUUGGAUGGCUUGAACCAAAAUUACAAGGGAGUUUGGAGGGUCCUUGGAUGCUCAAUGACUAUUGGCUCCAGACCUCUUCACCAUGAACAAAAAUCCAAGCUGGGAGGGAGGUUCAGCUGAAAAGCUUCAUCUGCAGUCGUAAAAGAAAAGAAAAACGUAUAUAAAGCCCUCUUUGAGAAAUUUCUUUGUAUAUAAAUUCUAAGAGAAACUCACACAUAUUUUACCUUUUGGUUGGGGAAGAUCCUUUCUCCAUUCCCUUUGUGUUGGAGACUGCAUUAAGGGAUGCAGAGAAGAUGGUGGGGAAGGUGUUGAAGAAGAGGCGGUGGGUAGCAGAGGUCUCGUUGACUGGGUGGAUGGAAUCGAGGUAAGGAAUUCUAAUAUUUUGAAAUGAAAUUUCAUGGAAGGUGUUGUUUUCAGUUUUUGUUUCCACAAAUAUUUGUGCGCGGCACCUAUGAUGAUGAGAAAUCCCUAAUUAAGACUAAGUAAUAUUGCUUUCCUUUUUAAUUAAUCAUUUAUACUUAAUUUUUUUCCGUCAACUUAAGUAUUUUGAUAAUAUUAUUUGUUAUAGAUAUUGAUGGGAAAAUUCUAUCAUCUUUCUAAGAGAUUUAUUAGAUUCUUGUUGGAAAUCCACGUCAAAGUAGGCUGCUAACUAAAAGUUAAUAGAGGUCUGUGACUUUCACAUUAAAAAAUAGUUGGAUUGAUGUAGAAAAGGCAAACCUUCCCCCCACACCCAAAUGUAAUAUUUCAUUAUUUUUUGUAAUUUUAUUUUUCUCUCUAGUUCCUAUAUUUGUACAACUUCCUCCUUUAGUUUAGUUCCUUUUCUUUGUAAUAUUUAUUUUGAUAUUUUUACAACUUAAAUUUAUGGAAUAUCUUUAUUUAAUAAUUUUUAUAAAAAAUAUUAAGUUUUUAUAGAUAUAUCAAUAUAUAGGUUUUACAUAUAUAUUGGGAUAUAUAAGGAAAUAUCGAUGAAAUGGAAAUUGAUCAAAAAUUAUAAAAAUAUUCAAUAUAAUUCAAUAAAAAUGAAUAUUAGAAAUAAUAAUAAACAUUUUGAUAUUGUUUUGUUAAAAAAAAAAAAAGAUCGAUAUAUGUAUGAUAUAAUUUAUAAUAUUCAAAAAUAAUAUUUAAAAUUAAAAAAAAAUUAUAUAAACAUAUCUAAUUUGGAUGUAUUUAAUGACAUAAAAAAUUAUGAUAAAAGUAUUAGUACUUUUAUUUUAAAAUAUUGACAAUUUUAUUUAUAAAUUUAUAUAUGGUUAUUUUAUAUUUAUUUAUUAUACCAAACAUAUGAUAAUUAAAAUUUAUUCAUUUAUAUAUAUAUACAAAAAAACAUAUAUUAAUUUAUGCAUAUGUAACAUAAUUUAUAAUAUAUAUAUAUAAAAGAGAAUCUUAAUAUAAUAUACAUAAAUAAACAUCGUAUAUGUAAGUCAUGCAUUGCAUUAUAAUAUUAACAAACUUAGGUCGGUGGCGUGCUGCGCUCACGCAAUGCCUGAGGUCAUGGGUUCUCAAACCCAUCCUUCCACUAACGAUUCUCUUUUUUAAUGUUAAGGGGUGGAAUCCCACAUCGACCAGCCAUAGCACUCAAAGUUUAAAUCUUUUUUUAACGGUAAGAGGUGGUAUCCCACAUCGGCCGGCCACAGCACUUAAAAAACCUGCUCAUAGACCCUUCUACCGACGUAGACGCAAUAUUUUCCAAAAAGGCUGAUGUCUCUCCGAGCCGAGAUAUCCACCUGCUGUAUCGUGUCGGAUGUUACGGACAGAAGAAAUAGUUCCAGCUACUUUCAUCUUGAUCAUAUCUUCAUAAUUGAUUAUUCAUUUUGAUGUUUUACUUCUAAUAUACCUGACAUUUUAGUUUGGUGUUUCGCUUAGGCUUUGAUUACGGAACUAUUUCUUAUAAUUAUUGGUAGGAAAUUUCCUAUGGUCUUCCAAGUAGGCUAUUUACAAAAGAUUGAAAAAUUGAAAAACCUCAAUGUCCUUUCACAUUUGAAGAUAGUGAAAUUCAUAUAAAAACAAUCAAUACUACAAAAAUUUGUAUGAAGAUAAUGCUAUUUAAAGAAGGUUAAUAGACCUUGAUGUCCUUUUAUAUUGAAAGAUAAUGAAAUUCUAUAUAAAAUAUUAAUAAUAAUAACCAACGCUACAAAAGUUUGUGUGAAGGCAGAGACCAUUUACAAAAGGUCAAUAGACCUCAAUGUGCUUUCACAUUGAAAGAUAAUGAAAUUCACAUAAAAAUAAUAAUAAUAGUAACUAAUGCUAUAAAAAUUUGUAUGAAGACAAACUAUUUACAAAAGCUCAAUAGACCUUAAUGUUCUUUUAUAUUGAGAGAUAGUGAAAUUUAGAUAAAAAUAUAUAUAGCCAAUGCUACAAAAGAUUGUAUAAAGGCAAACUAUUUAUAAAAGGUUAAUAGACUUUAAUGUCCUUUUAUAUUGAGAGAUAGUGAAAUUUAUGUAAAAAUAUAGUCAAUGCUACAAAAGUUUGUAUAAAGGCAAACUAUUUAUAAAAGGUUAAUGGACUUUAAUGUCCUUUUAUAUUGAAAGAUAGUGAAUUCAUAUAUACAUAUAUAUAAUAAUAAUAAUAACCAACACUACAAAAGUUUGUAUGACAGCAAACCAUUUACAAAACCUUAAUAGACCUCAAUGUCCUUUCACAUUGAAAGAUUGUGAAAUUCACAUUAAAAAAAAAAAAAAAAACCAAGCAUAUAUAUAUAUAUGGUAAUGUGAUAUUUCAUCUUAAUUCCUCUUUUAUUUUCAUCUCUUGGUAUUGAAUAAUAUAUUCUUCAUUUCUACAACUCUUUCUUUUUUCUUAACUUUUUUUUUUUUUUUGUACUCAGUAACAAUGGGUUCAUUUGACAUUCAUUCAAGAUCCUCCUUGUUUUGUUCUCAAAUGAUUCAAAAAAAAUGAUACCAUAUAAGGAAUUUCUUAAAUAGAUGCUUGUAAAAAUUAUAUAAAAUUUAUUAAAAAAAAAUUAAAAAUCAAAGAAAUAUCACUCCUUUUCUUUAAUUUUUAUCCUUUAAUCAUUGGUGCAAAAUGAUAAAAGUGCAAUUAUGCUUUAUUUGGUACUAAUAAGAAUUUCAAAAUCUCUUCACCUCAAGAUAUUGAAGUUUAGGUAAGAAAAUAGAUGGAUAAAAGUAUGACAUAAAACUUUUUUUCCCCAUUUGGAAGGUGUUUGUAGUUAAAGUAAAUAUAUAUAUAUAUAUAUAUAUAUAUAUAUAUAUAUAUAUAUAUAUAUAUAUAUAUAUAUAUAUAUCAAGUGGCAUAACAAAAAACAUAGGAUUUCCAAAAAGAACUUAAAAUGCAUUCAUCAUGCAUGUAGCUUGUCCACCGUAUUUCUUCAAAUAAUAUUAUUAUGGUUUGUUUGCAGUAUAUUUAUUAACAUAAAAUUUUAAUCAGAGAAAUGCCAAAAAAAAAAAAAAACUCAUUUUGAUCAUAUCUUCAUAAUUGAUUAUUCAUUUUGAUGUUUUACUUCUAAUAUACCUGACAUUUUAGUUUGGUGUUUCGCUUAGGCUUUGAUUAUGGAACUAUUUCUUAUAAUUAUUGGUAGGAAAUUUCCAAUGGUCUUCCAAAUAGGCUAUUUACAAAAGAUUGAAAAACCUCAAUGUCCUUUCACAUUUGAAGAGAGUGAAAUUCAUAUAAAAACAAUCAAUACUACAAAAAUUUGUAUGAAGAUAAUGUUAUUUACAAAAGGUUAAUAGACCUUGAUGUCCUUUUAUAUUGAAAGAUAGUGAAAUUCUAUAUAAAAUAUUAAUAAUAAUAACCAACGCUACAAAAAUUUGUAUGAAGGCAGAGACCAUUUACAAAAGGUCAAUAGACCUCAAUGUGCUUUCACAUUAAAAGAUAAUGAAAUACACAAAAAUAAUAAUAAUAAUAAAUAAUGCUAUAAAAAUUUGUAUGAAGACAAACUAUUUACAAAAGGUCAAUAGACCUCAAUGUCCUUUUAUAUUGAGAGAUAGUGAAAUUUAUAUAAAAAAAAACAACCAAUGCUACAAAAGUUUGUAUGAAGGCAAACUAUUUAUAAAAGGUUAAUAGACCUUAAUGUCCUUUUAUAUUAAAAGAUAGUGAAAUUCAUAUAUAUAUAAAACUAAUAAUAAUAACCAAUGCUACAAAAGUUUGUAUGAAGGAAAACCAUUUACAAAAGGUUAAUAGACCUCAAUGUCCUUUCACAUUGAAAGAUAGUGAAAUUCACAUCAAAAAAAGAAAAAGAAAAAACCAAGCAUAUAUAUAUAUAGUAAUGUGAUAUUUUAUCUUAAUUCCUCUUUUAUUUUCAUCUUUUGGUAUUGAAUAAUAUAUUCUUCAUUUCUACAACCCUUUCUUUUUUCUUAACUAUUAUUAUUAUUAUUAUUUUUUGUACUUAGUAACAAUGGGUUCAUUUGACAUUCAUUCAAGAUCCUCCUUGUUUGUUCUCAAAUGAUUCAAAAGAAUGAUAUCAUAUAAGGAAUUUCUUAAAUAGAUGCUUGUAAAAUUAAAAAAACAAAGAAAUAUCAUCUCCUUUUCUUUAAUUUUUAUCCUUCAAUCAUGGGUAAAAAAUGAUAAAAGUGCAAUUAUGCUUUAUUUGGUACUAAUAAGAAUAUCAAAAUUUCUUCACCUCAAGAUAUUGAAGUCUAGCUAAGAAAAUAGAUGGAUAAAAGUAUGACAUAAAACUUUUUUUUUCCCAUUUGGAAGGUGUUUAUAUAUAUCAAGUGGCAUAACAAAAACAUAGGAUUUCCAAAAAGAACUUAAAAUGCAUUCAUCAUGCAUGUAGAUUGUCUACUGUAUUUCUUCAAAUAAUAUUAUUAUGAAUUUGUUUGUACUAUAUUUAUUAACAUAAAAUUUUAAUAAGAGAAAUACCAAAAGAACUGAAAAAGAUGAAAGCAAAUGUAGAAAAAAAAUUAAAUUAAUUCAUAAGAUAAAACAUACUAAGCAAACAAUUUCUAGGGGAGAAAAUUUUGAAAUUUUUAGUAAAAUUAGAAGUAUAUAAUAACAACAUAUUAAAGACUAGUUGCAUAUUUAUUCUAUGAAAUCAUUUCAAUUCAUGACAAAAUGAUAGUCAAAUGAAAAGAAGUUUGAAUGAAAUUUUAAGAUUAUUGAUAUGUUAAUACAUUAAACUAAUCAAUAUUUUUCUAUAUCUUAGCAGCCAUCAAUGACCUGAAGUUAGUAGGACUUCCCUCUCUCUAUAAGACUUUUUUUUUUUUUUCUCUUUUUUGAAAGGAUUUCAUUCCAUUUGUCAAGGUAAGGAAUUGUUUUUCCCUAUCUUUGUUUUUCUCCCUUUGAAUGAUUCACUUAUAUGUUAAGGGUUAGUUUCUUUGAAAAUUUUUUCCUAAAGAAAGAUAUUAUUUUAAUUGGUAAAUAUACCUAUCACUUUGUUGAUGUUAUAGAAACUCUCUCCCUUUUCAAGAUUGUUUUGUUUCUACUACUAUUUGAAAAUAAAAAAUAAAAAAAAUAUUUUAAGUGGUAGAAAACCAACUAAUGGUUAGUUAAAAUAAAUAUUAUAAACCUCAAGAAAUGAGAGACAACAUCCAUAAAUCAACAAAGUUAAAAUCUUUAAUGUCUUUUUUAUGCUUGUGAAGUGUGCAUAGCUGUCCUUCAUUCUCAAUGAUUUUUUAUUUCUAGGAUGACUUUAAGGACUCCUUCCUUUGCAUUUGCUUCUCUCAUUUUAUAAGUCAAGGUCUUUGAUGACUAUUAUUUGCAUUUUGUUUGUUUGUUUGUUCGUUUUUGUUUGCUUUUCUCCUUUCAACGGUCAACAACCAAUCUUCUUACUUUUAGUGCCUUUCUCAUUUUAUAAAUCACGAUCUUUGAUGAUUAUCUUUUGCAUUUUGUCUUUUUGCUUUUCUCCUUUCAACAUUAAACAACCAAUCUUCUUGCUUUUAGUGCUUCUCUCAUUUUAUAAGUGAAGGUCUUCGAUAAUUAUCUUUUGUAUUUUGUUUUUUGCUUUUCUCCUUUCAACAUUCAAUAACCAAUCUUCUUGCUUUUAGUGAUUGUCUUGAACUUUGAUAACAAGUGCCUAAGGCCUUCUAAGAAAUUUGCUUGAAGGCACACUACCAUCCAAAGCUCAAUAAACCAAGGAAAAUUGUAUGAAACUAUUUCAUAUCAUUUCUUGAAAUUCAGAUCUUGGUAAGAAAUUGAUUUGAAGGUAGGCUACUACCAAAGUUUAAUAAACCAAGGAAAAUAGAAUUCUUUUCACACUAUUUCUCAUGUUUGGAUAAUAUGAAAAAAAAAUAAAACAUUAUUAUUUUUUUUAAUUUUGUUUUUCUUUUGUUUUUCUCCUUUUUGACACUAAUUAGUAGUCUCACAUACAUGGAAUGCUCCCUACUAGAUCAUAUAUCCACAUCAAAAGUUAGAUUCAUUAAUCAUAGAAAGAAAAUUAGUAGCCUCACAUAACACUUAAAACAUUGUGAAAAGGUGAAUCUCAAUGAUGGACUACACCUAGAGGGGGGAGGAGGGGGGUGAAUAGGUGUUGUAGAACAAUUUAAAAAUUCUCCCAACAAAGAUUACCUAACCUUAGACUAUCUCAAUGUUAAGAAACUUCUCUUCCAACAACUUUUCAACAAAGCAUAACAUCCACAAGCAAGAGUGAAUGCAUCAACACUCUCCCAAUAAUUUAUAAAUGCAAAACACAUGCAAAUGCUUCAACACUCAAAAAUAAAUCAAAAGAACAAUCAUCUCCUCAACUCAUAUCAAUUGACUCCAUGAUAUCAUUAAACAAAAUGAACAUACAAAAUAUUAAAGAUAUUCCAUGGAUCAUCACACUUAUAUCACCUCAUAUUUCUUCCAUUCAACAUGUAUGCCCAAGUAAUCAAUGAUAUCAAAAACAGAAAAUAAAUCAAAGUGUAGAGUGAGAGAAAUAGACAAUGAACACCGGAUUUUUAAUGUGAAAAACCUCUAAAGAGAUAAAAAAAAAACUACAGACCUAUCACCAAUUGAAAAACUCCAUUAUGAAGAAUAAAAACUGAGUGCAAGGUUUUACCUAGCUCAAGCCAACCAAUCCUUCCCAGACUACUUGACUAGUACCUUCACUUUCAGCUUCUCACCUUCUUCUUUCGGAGCACACUUGGAGUCCGCACCAAGCUCAAUCACGACCUCUUCUUGAAUCCACACAAGAAGAAAAUGGGUUUUUGCACAAACCCAAAUAGAAUAAGAGAUUGAGAUAUGAAUGAAGGAAUGAAUCAACCCAUUUAUUGCUCAAGAAAAUCCAUUAAAAACUAGUUUGGAAAACAUUAAGAGAAGUGGAUUUUCUUUGCAAUCAAAAACCCCAAAUUAGGAAAACAAGAUGAGAAAAUGAAGAACACAUGGAGUGGAUGCUCUCUUCACGUUUUCUGCAGUCCCUGCCUAAAAAAAUGAGAGAAGAUUGUUUUUUUAAAAUAUAAAAAGAAGCCCUUAAUCUAAUGGCUAAUAUUUGAUCUAAAAAAAAUUAGUUGGAUCGAUCCACCCUUGCACCUAGAUAGAUCCAGAAACAGGGGAAUAAAAGUCUUGCACCAAAAACCAUUUCUCCCAACUUUCUAACAUAUUUAAAUAUUAAAAACCGAGUUGACUCACAUUCAAUCACCACACACUCAGCUACAUACCUCGGCCUCUUAGCAAAGUCUUAGUCUUCAAAGUCAAGUAGUCCGAAAAGGAAUUGGAAAGCCGAGUUAGGGGACACUUAGGAAUUUUGUCCGGAAUUGCCAACCCUAAACACUCACACAUUCACAAGUCACUAUCUCUAUAAUAAAACAAAUAGAGUAAUUAGAGUAUUAUUUUUUAAAGCUUUAUCACACAGCUUUCUAUGUAACAAGAAAGGAAGUAUUUUGAAAACUUGGUACAAAGUCUCCAUCCUCAUAAUUCGAUUUGGAAGGGUUUAUUGAAUUAAACCCUCCCUAAAGCGUUUCACGUGUGCCCACAAUUUGUGACGAUCAGGAAGAUUUUCAUUGAUCACUGGAACCUACUUAAAAUUCUGAAUCCAUGCAUGCAAUCGAGGGAAUGUGGUGGAAACCAGCAGUUUUGUGCCAACCAAAUGCUAUGUCCACCAGUCCUAUAGCUUCCCCUCCAAAAAACUUCUUAUCCCCAAGGCCUUUCUCUUCUAUGAUUUUCAGUAUUUCCACUGUUUCUUUUAUGGCCUUCUCUUGCUCUUCCCCAGCAGCAGAUUUAAAGAGUUGAAAAAAAGUGGCACUCUAGAAGAAAUUAGCAACAUGUAUAUUUAGAAUUGAAUGCAUGGUUGAAAACAAGAGUACGGUGAUCUCAAAUAUGAAUAAAAAUUAUAGUUAUUAAAUUAAUUAAAAAUAGGGGGAAAAAAAAAAGAUUUAGAAAGUCUACAAGUUCUUUUCAUUUUAAUCAUAGGUAUUAAUGGGAGAUUUCAAUUUGAUUCCUCUUUCCUCUCCAAAUUCCUUAAUUCCAAACCUAGCUAGGGUGUGAUAGCCAAACAGAAUACAGCCAAGCUCCAGCUCUCCCAAACCAAACCAAACUGAUCAAGAACUCAGCUCCCAGUUAGUUACAACAACCCAAGGAAGUUAGAACAACUGUAUAGUAGAGUAGAUUCAACUGGUAUAAAAACCAUGAUGUUGCUAUUAUAUUCAAGAGAUGAAAUGAAAAACACGGUUUUCAGUUCAGUUUCUAUCAUGGUAUCAGAGCAGAACGAGCUCUUGAAAGAAGUCUUCUUGAAAAGAUAAGCUUCAGGCUGCACAAUACGCUCAUCUCUCAAAAAACAAAAAAAAGAUUUAAAAAGUCUACAAAUUCUUUUCAUUUUAAUCAUAUGUAUUAAUGGGAGAUUUCAAUUUUAAAAAGUAUCAUGGCUAAUUUUUGGAUCACUUCAAUAAAUUUUUACAGAUAGCUAAUUAGAAAUUCACUAAUGAAUACUUUCACAAAUGACUGAAACCAAGAAAUGGGCUAUGAAAGCUAGAUGGAGAGCUUUCAUAUAUUUCAGUCUUGCAAAAGAUUCGGAAAUUAAAUCAUAAGAAUUGAUAAUAAAAACAAGAUUAGUGAGUUAAACCUACAUUUGAUUCUCCAAAAUUGAUCCAAAACCGAGCCAUGGCUCUCUCAUAAGCAUCUGUCGGCAGCAGUACAUUCUCUGGCCAUGUUUCUUCGAAUUAUUCGAGGAUUACAAGGGACUCGGCUACUGCUUUGUCACCAUGAAGAAGCACCGGAAUCUUCUUGUGAACUGGAUUGUGGUAUAACUGCAACUGGCUCUUGUUACCAAGGUCUUCCUCUAUAUACUCAUAGUUUAUGCCCUUGAGUUUUAGAGUCCAAAUCACUCAGUAACCAAAAGGGCUUGCCCAAAACUCUAAUAGCUUCCCUCAUGCCAUUGUUUUAUAGUAUGCCAGCUCAAUUUGCAGGGCUAUUAGUUUCAAAUCUUUGAACUUGGAGGAAGAUAGGACCCUUCUCUUCAACUAAGGAUUUUCAGCCUGUGUAAGGAGGAUUAUUUUUCAUGGCAUGCCUAGUUUUAUGGACUUCUUUUUGAAAGGGAGAUAUGAGAAUUUUUUUGAAGAUGACAUCAAUUUUUUUAAAAGGAGAAAGGAAAACAUUUAAAAGGAAUAAAGAUAUGAAAUUUUUUGAAGAUGACACCAAUUCUUUUUUUAAGGAGAGGAGAUUUUUUUUUUUUUUUUUUUUUAAAGGAAUAGGAGAUAUGAAUUUUUAUUUUGGAAGAUGGCGUCAUUUUUUUUUAAGGAGAAUGAGAAUUUUUUGAAAUAGAAUAUGAGUUUUUUGGAAGAGGAUAUCAUAAUUCUUUUUUAGAGGAUAUUUAUUGUAUAUUGUUUCACGUUAAUAAAGUUUUGAUUUUUAUUGAGUGCUUACAAAAUUGUUAGGACUUAUUUUUCUGGUUAUUAUGUAGUAUCUCUGAUUUUGUAUAUUGUUUCAUGUUAUUUAAGCUUUGAGUUCUAUUGAAUGCUUGUACUAUUUAUCUAAUUUUAUUAAAAAUAAAAUUUUGAAAAAUUUUGGUUUAAGUUUUAAAUUUUUGGAUAUUAUUCAUGAAAUUAGAAUUUUAUUAAAAAUCAAAAUUUGAAAAGUUUUGUUUGAGUUUUAAUUUUCUGGAUAUUAUUAUUCAUUUCAUUAGAGUUUUAUUAAAAAUCAAAGUUUGAAAAGUUUUGGUUUAAUUUAAUUUUCUUGAUAUUAUUCAUGUAAUUAAAAUCUUAUUAAAAAUCAAAAUUUGAAAAGUUUAGCUUGAGUUUUAAUUUUUUGGUACUAUUUAUUUCAUUAAAAUUUUAUUAAAAGUCAAAUUUUGAAAAGUUUAGUUUGAAUUUGAAUUUUUUAGAUACUAUUCAUGUAAUAAAAUUUUUAUUAAAAAUCAAAAUUUGAAAAGUUUAGUUUGAGUUUUAAUUGUCUGGUAUUAUUCACUGCAUGGGGAGUCUUCAUGUAGUGGAUAGUAGGUCAAAGACCCAAGCUUUGUCUUGUUGUUAUUUAUAUAAGAUACUGGAGUGUUCUCUCUAAUAGAAUGUUAAAUCAAUUUCAAAAUUGGAUUAUAAGGGAGCCAAUACUCCUAUGAGCCUUAGUGUUCCUACUCUGAGCUCAUAUACCAUGAUGAUACGGUUUGAAGGGAGGGUUGGUUUGACUCUAGGUUUAUUCUUGUGCAUAAGAGUGUUUUGGUAAUUAUACUAGGUUGCAUAGGGGAUAGUGAACAAGGUCUUUGGUUUGAGCUAAUUGAUUAAUUAGAUGACCCUAAGUGAUUAAUUAAUCAAUUAGAACUCGUUUUGGGCUAGAUUAAGUGACCUAGGCCUUGAUGGGCUUAAGUCACUUAAGCCUAAUGGACAAUCCUAUAAAUACCCCUUUAUGGGUUAGGGUUUCAUAAUGACUUGUGGUGAGAGUUGUCUUCCAACCCUAGAGAGAAAGUUAUAGCCUCCUCUUUUUCAAAACCCACACUUUUGAGUAUUAAGAUUGUGGUUUAAGUCAUCGAGUAGAAGAUCUUGGGUGUACAAGACCUCCUUGGAUGAAGGCUUACAACACUUGGACGUGCAUAGGUCGCGUGCAUGGGAUGCACAUAGGCGUGUGCAUGAGAAGUGCAUGAGAAGUGCAUGAGACAUGCACAGGCCUUGUGCAUAGGAAUCGCAUGGGAUGCGCACGUGGGCAACAACAUGAGGAACAUCCAUACAUGUUCUUCACAGUAAGGAAUUUAUUUGGGAACAUCCAGAUCCGAGGAUGAACACUUUUUAUCUAUAUCUUUAUUCUAAUAUGGUUUUUAUAGCCAUAUGUUUUCACUAUAAUAGAUUUAGAGAAGCUUAGAAUAGUUUACAUUCACCCUAUGAUAUCUAGGGCAUGAGAACAGAGUAAUCUAGGGUUCCCAACACUAGUAACUCUAUUUUAAGAGUGUUGAUUUAUCACAUGGCCCAUAAAAGUGAAUACAUGGACAUUUAUUUUUAAUAUGAAUGAAUGGAUGCAUGUUGAUUUUUUUAUUCUUUUUUCUCUUUCGAUUAGGUUGUAAACUUCAUAAGGAGUAUAGAAUUUUAAAUUUCUCCGUAAAAUAUUUUUCUUUUAAUGGAUGAGUUGUAAGCUCCAUUUUGAGAGCAUAAGGGUUUGUAUUCUUUGUAAAAGAAUUUAACUUUGGUCUAUCUAUGGUGACCUAAAAAAGGGAAUUAGAGCCCCUGAUUCAUUCAGGGGCAUUCAGAUAGAAAAAGUGAGUUUUUUUGAGAAAAAAAAUUGAAAAAAAAAAUGGAGAAUCAAGCUCUCAACAUAGUAGUCCAAGUGGUAACGCUCAAAUGUUACAAAUCACAACUUAAGCGUUUGAGUGCUCCUUUAGGUGUUUUGAGUACUCUUAUUAUGAUAGCUAUAAUUUCUCCAACAUGAGUUUUUUUUUCUUUUUUUUUUAAGGUUUUUCUAUAAUUUUAGAUUUUUUUUUUCCCAAUGUUUUUAGAAUUGGACUGGUCAUUGAAUAAAAAAGAUGACCAGUGGUCGAAGAACUAUCGAACCGAUGACGUCAUAAAUAUAUAAUUUAUAUAUUAAUAAAUAAUAAAUAAAAAAAUAAUAUAUAUAUAUAUAUAUAUAUAUAUAUAUAUAUAUAUAUAUAUAUAUAUAUAUAUAUAAAUUAAUAAUCAAUAAUAUUAAUUAUAUCUUUGAUAAAAGAUAAAAACAAUUAAUAUUUUGAAUUUUAUUAAAUGAAAUAUGUAUAACAUUUAAAUGUGAAAAUAUUCAAAAUGAAAGGAAAUCUGAUUAUCGGAUUUUAACUAAUUUUAUAAUUUUAGAAAAUAUUAUAUUAUUUUUAUUUAAUAUUAUAAAUCAUUUUAGAAACAAAUAUAUUUUUUCAUUCGCCAUUUUAAUCAACAAGAUGCAUGCAGCCAAGUGGUGGUGUACAUCUUUUGUUCAGCAUACAUCGAAUGUGGAUAAGUAAAAAAAGGCCCUUAUAUACCCAAAACUUACCCAAGUCACAUAUGCAGCACAGGAAACCAAGGUGUAGCCUAUCCAACAGUGUUUGAAUUGGGCUUUUAUUUGGGCCUCAUGGAAUUAAAAAAGAGGGGAAGUUUGGGUUUUAGAUUGGGUCCAUUUUAAUGAAAGAACAGUUGGGAUUGAACCGUUCGGUUCAUGUGAAACCGCCCAGUCCAGGUGGUUCAUCGGUUCAACCACCGAUUCGGACAGCUUGUUACCGAUUCAAUUAAAGGGAAGCAUUUGUACCACACCAGUUCGGGAAAUAACUAUAUGUUAAAUCCCCAAUGCAAGGAAAAGAUCCAAGUGACCAGAAUCUCCCUUUUUGUAUAAGGAACUUGAGCCUAGUUGUCUCAGCUGAUUCAUGUCCUCUCAAUUGUCCCUAACAGUGGUGCCAUUUGAUACGUGUCCAGCUGGUGUCCCUUGAUUGUGGUCCUCAUGGAGUAAUCAACAAAAUUUAUAACCUAUUACACCAUGUACUAGGAUAGCCUUAGCUAGCAUAGCAUAGUGGCUCUAGGGUCAUUCACUGGGAUGGGUUUUCACUUCACAAUUGAUAUUAAUUCCAAGUUGAAUUGGUGCGUUUUCAUUUCAAGGUUAGCUUUAAAAGAAAACAUAAUCUUUGGUGGAAAAAGGCCUAACAGUUUAACAAGGUGGACUGGACUAGAAAGUCCACCGGUCCAACCGAUUGGAGUGCCAAAUCGGUUCAGUUUUUAAAACAAGGUUUUUUUAUUUCUCUAACUUAAUUUUGGUUGCAUGGGUAUUUUGGUAAAUUUUUGAAUAAAUUGGAUUCUAAAUAUUUUUGCUACCAAAAUUUGUGACAAGAUGCCUAAGGGGGGAGGAAUUAUUUUAAUUUUCCUUUUUUUAUUCUUAAGCUUACAUAUAUAUAUGGCAUGUUGUGCAUGAAAAUUUGAUUUUUAGUAAUUUUGAUAGAAAUAAAUUUCUUUGAAAAUUAGAUUUCAAAAGGAUAUUUUUAUUAAAUUGGAAAAGUAGUGACUAAAGAAAGAACUUUUUAUCAAAAUAAAAUUUAAAUAAAGAGAGAAAAUUUUCAUUUUAUAAAAUUAUUUUGAAGGAUUUUAAAAUCCUUUUAUUUAAAAUUAUUUUAUAAGAUUCCUGAAAAAUAAAAGCUUUCUUUCUGGAUAAGAUACUCGCUAUAUUUUAAUUUUCCAUUUUUAGAAAUUUUCUUAUUUUGAGAAUUUUCAAUUAGAACAAUAAAUAAUUUUGGAAAAUUUCAAGAUAGGCAAUAAUAAGAUAUUACUAAAAAGUUUUGGAAACUUAGUAAUUUAAUGAGCAAUAAAUUUCUAGAAAAAUAUUAAUUUCAAGAUAAGAUAUUUAUUAAAUUGGAGUGGUGUAUGAGAAAGGAUAAUUUUAUAUAAAUUGAUUUUAAAAAUUGAGAGCAAUUUUUUUAUCAAAAUAAUUUAGGAUAAAAUGCUGUUACAAAAACUUUAUAAUUUUCAAAGUUACAUUCUCUUAUCUCCCUUGUGUUUCUAAUUACGAAAUUAAUAAUUUUAAAAUAUUUUAUAGAAGAUAAUUAUUUAUGAAGGGAAUUACCAAGAAAUUAAAAAGCUCUAAUUAACUCAAAAGAUAAAGUAGGCAAGGCCUUAGCAAAGCCCACAACCUUCAUUAUCAAGUCCACCUUGAUUUUGUGUCAUUGUCAUCCCAACAGUGAGUUGGCUAAGCAAUCAAAGGAUAUGAACUUUCCAAUUGGCGAGACUAGAUAUGUUAGUAGAACAACCGCCUCAACAAUGAAUUUUUUUUUUUACCAAUAUUAAUAUGAAAGAUAAUAAUCACACACUUAACUUAGAAGUAAAAUGGUUGAAUCAACCAAUGUGGUCCCACUUACAUAAUUAAAGGUUAAAUAAAAGGAUAUGUUGACCUUGCCUUAGAAUUUUAAGAUAGGAAGAUCAAUAUGAAAGGGUCUCUACCUAGUAAUAAGAUCAUGUCCAACCUAAGGUGGCAUUGAUACUUAUGAUUCUAUGAUAUCUAGAAAAAGCUAUGUAAUCAUAAGAGCUCUAUAUUUUGCUAAAUUUAUUAUCUUGCUUUAGGGUUAAUGCUUAGUAUUUAAUGCAUGUUGUUUAUUUUUGUUACAUUAAUCAUGUCCUUUAAUCCAAUUACUCCCAUUCUCACAACAAACAAAUUACUUAAACAUAAUUAUGUGAAUUAAAAGAGAUACUUUGAUAUAGUGCUUACAUCAAAGGAGCUUAAAUGGGUGUUUUAGGAAUUUACUUUUAUUGGAGUUGGGUUUAGGUGCCCAGAUGGGCUGACCCAACCCUGUCUAAUAAAUGAGAAAAUAUGGGAGGAGUUUCUAGGAGUUUUAAAACUACCCAAAAAAUGCCAUUAUUAAAAGAUUUAAAAAAAUGUUUUUUUCUCUUUUCUCUCUUUGUGAAAACUCUCUCGCUGAGAAUUCUCUCUCUCCAUGGAAAACCAAAGAGAGAAAGAGUAUGUUUUCUUUCUUCCUGAAAAUAAAGGCGAAGAAAUACGUUUUCUUUUUUCCCUAGAAAACAUAAGAAAGAAUAAUUUUUCUUCUAAAGAAACAAAAAGUUCUUUCUCUUAAAGUUAUUCUUGUUUUCUCCGUGAAAACGAAGGUUAAGGCUCUCGUGUUGUGAUAAAAGAAUGGUUAUCAUAUUUGUAGUUCCAUUCACGACUUGAGGCGAGAAAAUUAGUUAGUGAAACAACCAAUCUGGGUCUUGGGUAUUUCAGAAGGUAACUCAGAAUUUUCUACCUUUUAUUUAUUUUAUUUAUUUUUUUGUUUUGUUUUAGAGAAAGAAGAAUAUUUUUUUUUAAACAAAUGAACAAGGAAUAAACUUUUUUUUCUAGUUGUGGUUUUAGAAAAACUAAAAAAAUAAAUAAACAACAAAAUGGAUAAAUAUGAUUUUGGAUAUUGUUCCAAAUUAAUAAUAAUAAUAAUAAAAGCAAUGUUCCGGAAACAAAAAAUAAAUAAAUAAGGAAAAAAUAAGAACCACUUGGAGAAAAAAUAGGUGCAAAGUGCAUCCACUACAGCAACCUUGGACAAAUUGAAAUGGACAAUUAAAAGCCAAAAAAAAAAAAGACGAGCCACAAUUUUUUGGUUAUGGUUCCAGAAAAGCCUUUCUCCAAGACAAACAAAGGGGAACAUUUUUCUGGAAUUUUUUUUUUUUGAAAAAGUAAUAAUAAUGCUAAACAAGUUAAAUAUGUUUUAGUUUACUAAUUAACAUCAAAGUUGAAUUACUCUUGUUGGUUAGAACUCCUCUCAUGCUCACUUCAUACCCAACUUCGAGCUUUGAAGUCCUCAUCAUUCCUAUUUCAAGUUUUUUGAGUUGAAGUCAAAUUAUGUUGAUUUUUAGACUAUAAAAAAAUAAAAUAAAAAAUGAGGGUCUUAAAUAUGUUACCCAUUAGAAUAAAUAAAUAAAAAUGGAUGAGGGAUUGCGUAUGAAAAGGCUUGAUCCCUGACCAUAAGAGUAAGAGUCUUGCACUCUACCAACUAGGCUAGAUGUUUUUUGUUUUCAUAGAAAGACUAUGAUUAUAGAAAAUAACAUCUAGAGUUAUAAAAGACAUUGUGAAUAAUCCUAAUAUUGUUGUUCCUUUUAGCUUCAAGAGAAAAUAUUAGUUCUUUUUCUACAUGUUACUUUUUUAUGCUUUAUACAUGAAAUGUAUAUAUCUUAUAUGCAAGAUAUGAUAUGAAUAUUUAUUGUUUGAUAAAUGAGUAUGUCUUUUAUGUACAUGCAUGUCUUCAAUUAUUUUGUAUAUAUUAUUGAUACAUGCUAGUUGUAUAAUAUUUUUUAUGGAGUGAGAGGUUUUAGGCUAAAAAGAAAUUUAAGUAAUUUCUUGCCUAAAAUUAGAAAUACUUGAAUAGAUUAUUUCUAAUUUGUAUAUAGGAUUUUAUUGGGAACAUAGUGAACUUUCGUUUCUAUUGCAAUUUAAGGUUAUUACACAUUAAAAGAUGAUUAGAGCAGGUAAAAACAUCAAUAUCCAUAAAACUACCACUUAAUAAGAUUGUGCAAUAUCUCUAAGUAGUUCAAUAUGUCAACUACAACUAGGAACAUCAUAGUAGAAUUGAACAAGGAUGAGAAACUAAAUUACAAUAACUACAAGGUUUGGUAUUGCAAAGUUCAAUAUAUCCUUGUUAAGCAAGAGACUCUUGAUACACUAAAUCAUAUCAUGUAAGAACCUAAAUAAGGAAACUUUGCUCAACAUAGAAGAGAUCAAGAGGCUUAAAUGGCCUAGAAGAAAAAGAAUUUUUUAGCUCGCAUCACAUUAUUACACUAUAUGCAAGAUGAUCUCUUGAUUAAGUAUAAGGUUUACUAAACUGCUCAUGAAAUGUGGCAAGCUCUAAAGGAAAAGCAUGGUGGACUUUCAAUUAUUAAGCUGUGAGAACUUGUAAUGAAAUUUGAAAAUUACAAGAUGCGAUUGAACCAUACAAUGAAACAACAUCUCAGGGCGAUGAAGAGAAUGAUAAGAGAGCUUAAGGCAUCUGGGCAUGUCUUCACUGAUAAGCAACAAGUUGAGGUGGUCAUCAAAUCUCCACCAAAGAGUUGGGAACAUAUGGUGGUGAAUAUGACACAUAAUGAGAGUGUCAAGACUUUUGAUGAUAUAGUUCGUCAUUUCGAAUUGGAAACCAAGCAACUUAUGGUUGCUAGGCCUAAUAAACAAGCUCAUGUAACUGAAUCCAAUUCUCACAAACUUCCGGCUCUAAGUGUAAUAGAAAAUUCUUUAAGAAGAAUAAGAUAUCUAAUGAGGCUUCAAAGAAAGGAAAGAUUGAGACACACAAGAAGUUUAAGCGUACCAAGAAGGAUAAAAGCAAGUUGAAAUGUUAUAACUAUGGUAACAAAGGUCACUUUACUCGUGAAUGUACUAAGUCAAAGUAGACUCAGUCCCUAUUAAUCGAACAACUAGAGGCCAAAGAGCAUAUGUAGAGUUUAGGCCAAUUAGUUCUGAUACUAGAUGAAUUUAUGUAGGGAACAACUCCAAAGUUGAGGUCAAGAGUAUUGGAACUUGAAAAUUGGAGUUGCGUAAAGAAUGUGUCCUAUUCCUACAUGAUGUUAUUUAUAUUCUGGAUAUUCGAUGAAAUUUGGUCUCUGUGUUAGUCCUUUUUGGUUUAGGUUUCAAUUUGAGUUUUCAUAAUUCAAUAAUGGAGUUGUAUUUGGGAACAACAUAAUAUGGUUUUGGAUUUAUUUUGAAUGGUUUUAUAGUUCUUGACAUUGAUAAAUGUGUGUUGUCUAAUACUAAUGAUAGUUAUUAUUCAUUGAUGACUACUUCUAAAAAUGCAUGUGAUAAUGUGAUCAUACGGCAUGCUAGACUUAGGCAUAUUGGACAAGAAAAAAAUAAAUAGACUAGCUAGAGAAAAUCAUUUUGGUCAAUUCACUAAAGAUUGAUACACCAACUUGUGAAUAUUGUCUAACUGAUAAAACUACAAGAAAACCAUUUGGAAAAGGAACUAAAACUAAAACACCAUUGCAAUUAAUCCAUUUUUUACAUUGGUGAUCCUAUGAGUGUUAGAGCAAGGCAUGGAGCCUUGUACUUCAUCACAUUUAUAGAUGACUUUACUCAUUAUGGUCAUGUUUAUUUGAUUUCUCAUAAGUUAGAAACAUUAGAUUGUUUCAGCUGCUACAUUAAUUUAGUUGAGAAUCAGUUGGACAAAAGGAAUAAAACAUAAAGAACAAAUAUGGGAAAAGAAUAUCUAUUAGAACAAUUUAAAGAUUUAGACUCCACAACAAAAUGUUGUUGCUAAGAGGAAGAAAUAGAAUGUUGUUACACAUGGUUAUGUCAAUGGUGGCUCAAGCAAAUCUUCUUAUUUCAUAUUGAGGAGACACAUUGUUGACUACUUCUCAUGUACUUAACCAAGUACCCUCAAAGUUUGUUUCACCUACUCUAUAUGAGUUUUCGAAUAACCGAAAGCCUGAUCCUAGCAAUUUGCGACCUUGGGGGUCGAUGGCUUAUGUUCACAAUCCUUCUCAUAAAUAUGGAAAAUUAGGUCAUAGAGGGACGAAAUGUGUAUUUAUAAGAUACAGUGAACACUCCAAAGGGUAUGUGUUCAUAGGUGAGUAUGAAGAUGGAAAUUAGAAUCACGAGAUGUCAAGUUCUUAAAGGAUGAUUUCCCACGUACGGGUGAGAUUGAUAGGGAUUUACAUCUUUAUGAAAUGAUGGAUCUCGAUAUAAGAUCCGUACCCAAACAAAUUGAUGGUUGAAUCAAGUGGGAGUGAACUAGUACUCGUAGCAAGUAUAGUAAAAGAGUCGAUGUUGAGAAAAAGUUCUCAAUAAAUUAUUCCUCCACAACGAUUUGAGAUUGAAGGGGAAAUUCAUAUUGUCACUCAAUAUGAUGAUGUUGAGCCUAAUUUGGUUCAAGAGACUCUUACUUGUCCAAGUAAGGAUGAAUGGAGAAAAACAAUGGAAGAGGAAUUGGAGUUGAUGCAAAAGAAUCAAGUCUAGGGCUUGGUUGAUUUGCCUUUAGAUUGAAAAGCUAUUGGGAACAAAUGAGUUCUUAAAAUAAAACAAAAGACAGAUGGAUCCAUUGAAAAUUAUAAAGCUCAAUUAAUGACUAAAGGGCAUACCCAACAAGAGGGUAUAUAGACUACGAGGAAACCAUCUCUUUAGUAGUUAGGUUUGCCUCAAUUCACCUCAUUCUAGCUAUAAUAGCUCAUAUGGAUUUAAAGCUACACCAAAUAGAUGCUAAGACAACUUUCCUUAAUGGAGAGUUGAAUGAAGAAAUCUAUAUGGAACAACUAGUGGAUUUCAUUAUCCAAGGCUAAGAGCACAAAGUGUGCAAGUUAAAUUGAUUGAUUUAUGGCCUUAAACAAUCAUCUAGGUAGUGGUACUUAAGAUUUCAUUGUGCAAUAACUUCAUAUGUUUUCACAAUGAUUUAUGAAGACCACUGUGUUUAUAUUAAGCAAAAUAAAGAAAUUUUUUUUAUUAUCUUUAUACAUGAAUGAUAUACUUAUAGCUAGAAAUGAUUUGGAGUUUGUUUAAACCAUUUAAUGAUUUUUGUCAUCUACUUCUGAGAUGAAAGAUAUGGGAGAAGCAUCUUAUAUUCUUAGAGUAAAGAUCCAUAGAGAUCGUUCUCAUAAACUAGUCGUUCUUUCACAAGAAUACUAUAUUAAGAAUAUCCUUGAAUGAUUUAAUGUGCAAGAUUGCAAUUCCAUUGACACUCCUUUUGCAAGAGGUGAAAACCUAAGUAAAUAAAUGGGUCCAAAGACUCCAAAAGAAAAGAAAAAAAAUAACUAAUGUUCCCUACUCUAGUGUUAUUGGGAGUCUAAUGUAUGCUACGAUGUGUACAAGACUACAUAUAUCUAUUAUGUUGUUAGGAUGGUGAGUCGUUACCAAGAAAAUCCUAGAAUGAUGCUUUGGAAAAUAGUAUAGAGAAUUCUUCGGUAUCUAAUAGGCAUGUGAACUAUUCUUUUUGUUAUCUAGGCAAAGAAAUGCGCUUGUGGGUUAUUCACAUAUUGUUUGGGCAGAUGAUCUAGAUGAGCACAAAUCAACAUCUAGAUACACAUUCUUGCUUAAUAAUGGUGUCAAAUUAUGGAAAAGCAAGAAACAAACUUGUAUAGCUUUAUCAACCAUGGAAGCUGAAUUUAUUGUUUGUUCAACUGUAAUAUAAGAAGUCGUAUGAUUGAAAAGUUUUUUUGCAAAGCUUGGGAAUAGUCAAUGAUGUUCUUAAGCCAAUGACAGUCUAAAGUGACGGUCAAUUUGUGACUAUUUAUGUAAAUGAUCUGAAAUAUCAUAGAAAAACUAAACAUCUAGAUACCAAGAAUAAUUUUAAAAGAGAUGUUAUUGCAUGAGGAGGAAAUGAUCCUGAAUAUUUACCUACAUGUAAAAUGGUUGUUGAUCUAUUCAUGAAAUCCAUUCUAAGGAACAUAUUUUCUAUACAUGUAAAGUCAUUAGGACUAUGUAGGUUAUGAUCUAUGUGGAUCAUAUGUCAUGGAUUAUUAUUGAUUGGAUAUAUGAUGCUUUAUAUAUGUUAAAAUGAUAUGAGUAUUUGUUAUUCAUAUAAUUGAAUGUGUAAUUGGUACUUACAUAUAUAUAUGUAUGUCAACAAGUUGAGGUUAACUCUCUCACAUGAGCAAUUGCCCCAAUCAAUAUGUUUAUGAGUUGGGAUGAGACAAUAUAUUAAUGAUGACGAAUGAGUGAAUAGUAUACAAAAGAUUAUGAGUGUUGUCUUGAUUAAUUAUUAAGAUGAGGUCUAUAAUAAAUGAAAUCUUGACUGAAUGUAAUCGCCCACAAUUAUAUUUACCUGUUUGAACCGGACUUGAGUUUUAUCAUAAAAGGUUUAAAGAGAACAAUAGACGCAAAACGCAAACAAUCUACUGGUGUGAAGCUCUUAAUUAAGGUCCAUAUGGUGGUAGUUUGACAUACACUCUCUAAGUGGAGAGAAACCACCAUAACAUGUAUUUCAUACUACAUGUAUUUGAAUGUGACUAAUAAGGGAAGUGAGUGAUUAAUCUUUGCAUCUUCACUGUGUGAGAUCCUUAGGGCUUAUUACAAUUAUAAUAGCCCAUUAUUGUACUCUUUGUACUUUUGACUAUGUUUUGAGGUGACAAAUUAAUGUUGCUACUUUGGUAUGUUUUCGAUGGAAAUGAAAUAAUUUAUCCUUAUGGGACAUAUUGGGCAAACAAUUAAUUUGGAUCUAAAAGACAUGAGCUCAAAAGGAAGCCUUUUUUCUAGUUACAUUGAAAGAUGGUACCCUUCUUUUAAAGAAGAAAUGUCUUUUAUACUCAAAGAUUGUCUUUAUAUUCCUAACUAUAGAAAUAAUUUGAUUUCACUUUCUAGUUUAAAUAAAUGUGACUUUUUGGUUUCUUUUAAUAAAGACAUUAUUAGAAAGAAUGUUGUAUUGUGAAUAAUGGCACUGGCGUGAGAAGAAAUCGUGCAUCAUCAACUUUAGCACCAUAUUACAAUUGAGAUCAUGCACAACAAAAGUUCACUACAACUUAAAAAAAUAUCCUAUAAUUAAAGUUGUUUUUUUUUUUAUUGAUCAUAAGAAUGAACAUGAGUACAUUUUUAAUAUGGCUAGAUUUUAACAUGCAAGAAAAUCUAGAUGUGGAUGUAUCCAUGAUUUUACUUGGUUGGCUAAUAAAACUUCAAGGUCCCUCGCAAAUUAAAAGAAUUUAAUUUUUAUUUAUGCCUUAUUUUUUGCGAAUGCAUUCCUAAUUGAUUAGAUAAGGGUUUAAAUUUCAUUAUCUUUAUUUGAAUAUUAUGAACACACUAGUUAAUUUAUUGGUCAUUUCUAGAAUAGCAUAAUUUACCUAAUGAGCAUAGAAAAGAUGUUAUAAUAUACGCAUUAUGUGAACAUCAAUAGUCAUAUUUUGGUUGUUCACUUAUGAUCCCUGUUUUUCUCUACUUGUAAGUUGAGACUUAUAUAUAAGAAUAGCUCAUCCAAUGUGUUUCUAAAUACUCACACUCAAAUGAGGACUUAUUUUUAUUGUCUUUAGGAAUUUCUACCUAAAAGUGGUCAUAAAAUGCAAGGUUUCAAUUUUAUAGAUAUUUUCAUAAUAAUCAUAUUAUAAACAAUCAAUAAAAGUUAGUUUCAUGUAUGAAAUCAUAUAUUAACAAAAUAUAAAAAAUACUUAAAUCAUCUUUCCAAAAUAUUCAAAUAAUAAGGUGACUAAAGAAUUUAAAUAUACUUAUAAUUCACAUAAACAUGUAUACAUCCAUUACUUGUGAAUUAAAGAAUGAAUUCCAUAAAGGUUUUAAUCAAGCAAAAUCAGUACCAUAAUUUUGUCUUUAACUCGUUGUAAUAGACAGGGACAUAUACCUCUCUCAAAACAUUUGAAAUGAAAAUUUUGAAAUCACGAUGUUCUUCUUCUUUUGAAUUUGAUUGCUUGUUCUUAAUUUGACAUUCUCUUUCCCUUUGAGAUUAAAAACAAACAAACAAACAAACAAACAAACAAACGGAGUAACAAAUUAAAAAGAGUGUCAAUUCAACUCAAUUAGAGUCUAUUCAAAAUUGGAAAUUUCCUUGCAGCAACUAACUAGCUUGAAUGAAUAAGGAUGUAUGGGUUGAUCAAUUGAGCUUUGGGCCUUUGAAUAAUGAUAUCAAAUUUUCACUUUCAAUUGCUUGAGACAUUCCACUUGGAUAUCAAUCAAACCCAAGGUUAAGACAUUAAAUUAUGUAAUUUUCUAUAAUAAGAUAGUUUUAGAAAAUGUUUAAUGCUUCAAAAGUAAUAACUUAUGAAAUAAAGAAUCAAUCACAACAUAAGCUUUAGUUAACAAAUACAAUGCCAUGAUUUUAUAUUUUCGCUCAUUUGAAAUACGUAGGAACCCAGGGUUAUCAAUCAAACCCAGGUUUAAGACAUUAAAUUAUGUAAUUUUCUAUAAUAAGCUAGUUUCACAAAAUGUUUAAUGCUUCAAAAGUAAUAACUUAUGGAAUAAAGAAUCAAUCCCAACAUAAGCUUUAGUUAACAAAUGCAAUGCCAUAAUUUUAUAUUUUUGCUCAUUUGAAAUACAUAGGAACAAAUACCAACAUGCAUCUUAAAGUAAUCCAAAACAAAAUACUUGAAAUUGAAAUAUUCUUUCCCAUUUUAAAGGAGAUUCUAUCUCUUUACACCAAGAAUUAUGAAUAGAGCAAAAGUGUGAGUUUAAAUUGGCAUCACUUUAAUCAAAAUCUCAAAUUGGGUUGAAGUAUUUGACUUGCCUUGAUUAAUAAGGGCAUCCGCAUCCAUGGCUUAACCAAUAGGGGCUGGGCAUUUGACAUUAUGUAUUUAGCAGCUUGGAAUGUCCCAUCAAAGCUUGAUGUGUACUAACUUUUCCAACAAAAUGUUUAAUCUGCAAAAAAAUUAACAAUGCAAUCAAGCUUGUCCUACAAAUGCCUUAAAACAAGUUCCAAUAAAAAUGGGUUUUGAAAAAAAAAAAUUAAAAAUUAAAAUUCAGCCCCUUGGAAUCAGCAAGGCAUAUAUAAUAGAAACUAAGAAAAGGAGGGUGGCUUAAUUACCAAAAAGUUGAGAUAAAUGUUUGGUCAACAUCAACAAUUCUCUUACUUGAAAUUAGUGUCUUGUGCAGCAUAUCCAAUGAACAAAUUUGCAAAGAAGCUCCAGCCAUCUAUGCAUAUGGUCCAUUUCAUGGUCUUGGGCAUCAACACCAUUAUCAUCAAUAUUCAGGGUGGUGCCAUCACAGCUUCUCUCCAUUCAUUUGAGUGAUAUCCCUCGGGAAUAUUUGACUUAGGAUAAUAUAUCAAGCACCCUUGACUUGAUGCAUCUUCAUCAUAGCAGAAUUCACAAAAUUGAUGAGACUGACAGGAAAAAUAGGCACUGUCAUCAUCGAAAUUCAAUUUACAGUUGAAAUCCCUAUGUGGUGUGGUCUCAAUCUCAAGUGGAACAUAAGGAGAGCACAGAACAAAGCCCAAGAAGUCAUCAUUUUCAUACCAACUCCAGGGAAGUUUCAUUGUUGUAGGGACCCCUCCCUCUGGGAAACACGUGGCACGCAUCUCACAAUGACACGUGGCACGUGUCAUCAGCUGGACCAUCAUCAUCCGGAUCCCCCUAAGGAUGCGUAUUAUACAGUUCUCCUAUCCGGACCGCCUCAAGGAAAGGCAAAUGACGUUUCAGCUUCUCCUAUCCAAGGAAGAGCAAACGACGCUGACAGAUCAUAGACAUCCGGACAACCUUCAUAACACAUUCGCUCCACAAUACAUCCGGAUAAUCAGCAUGUGACAUCCGGAUAUAAUCGUCCGGCUCAUCAAUUAAAGUAAAGCGAGUCUUACACGCUAUCACAACAAACAGCCAUGGCCCACAUCCUAUCAUCUGCAAAGUGAGAAGACAAGAUGAGGUGACAGCAAGUCACUUCCCACGAUCAAUUUUACGUGAUCACUUCCCACGAUCUCUGACAGCCGCAUCACCUACCAUGGUUUCUGACAGCCGCUCGUAGGGUGAUGAUGCUCAUACUGACGCCUAUUAUCAUCAUAACAACAUAAAAUAUCUCCUCACCAUUAAUGAGGAGGACAGUACCCCUAAAGCUGUAUAUAUAAGCCUUCACAUGAAGAAGAAGGGAAUCCCCCUGGUAACCUCCUAAUACCUGGUAAAGGGCCAACUGAUUUAUAUCUCUCUCUGACCAUGGCUAACAAAACCAUCGGAGGGUGCGUCCGGACACCCUGUCCGGAUGCCUUCUUGCAGGUAUAACGACUGGAUCAAGAACCUUUAUGAGUUGAAAUCACGUGUCCAUCCAUCUGGCAACUACGUGGAUCAUCAAAGACGCGAGGUAUCAACAUUGGCGCCGUCUGUGGGAACUUUUUACUUUGAUUCAGUCACUAAAAAAGAUGGCCACACCUUCCCAAAGCCGUUCAUCUGGUAGGGGAGAGGAUGAUAAUUUUGAAUGGCGCCUAGCCAUCGAAAGGAGACAGUUGGCAAGCGAAAGACAGCUAAAAGCUCUCCUCCAGGAGACAGAAAGAUUGAGAGAAGAAAACGCGGUGUUACGCAUCCAGGCUUCAACAUCAGGGCCUCCUCGACGUCAGCGUUCGAGGAGCCAAGUAGCAAACUCAAGGCCUCAACAAGAACCAGAGUCAAUAUAUCCUGGGACAACAGGAGCUAUCCCAGGAGCAUGCAACGUAAGACCUCAUGAGCCACGCACGCCUAUGCCUCGAGCUCCCCGUGAGGAAAGCUCAGACUCUACUCAUUUUUCAGCGAAGAGACAACGUGAUAAAAAAUCCCAAUUGUCAAAUUCGAUGCGCGCAAGACUAGGCCCACAAGAGCCUGGAAGAUCAAGGCCACCAAUGGCCACAACUUGGGCACCACGCCCUGACCCCAUGGCCACCCCCAUGGUGCAAAACGUUUACCCGCAUCGUGACCCCGUAGUCACCCCCGUAAUGCGGAACGUUCAUUCGCACCCAACAGAACAGCCAACUGGGAGAAACAUCCCAAACGGGCCACCCAUUGGCUCCAUCAGCAAAAGGCUGGAUGACAUGCUCUCCACGCCUUUCUGCUCUCAUAUCAUUAAUUACGAGCCCCCAAGGGGAUUCCUCGUACCAAAAUUUUCCACAUACGAUGGAACCAAUGAUCCCUUCGAUCACAUCAUGCAUUAUCGACAACUCAUGACGCUCGAUAUUAGCAACGAUGCACUACUAUGCAAAGUAUUUCCCGCCAGCCUACAAGGACAGGCCCUUUCAUGGUUUCAUCGCCUACCGCCCAACUUCGUUGGCAAUUUCAGGGACCUGUCCGAAGCUUUCGUGGGACAAUACCUGUGCUCCGCUCGACACAAGCAAAAUAUCAGCACCUUGCAAAACAUAAAAAUGCAAGAUAAUGAAUCCUUGAGGGAAUUUGUGAAGCGGUUUGGCCAAGCCGUACUUCAAGUGGAAGCUUGCAGUAUGGAUGCUGUCCUAUAGAUCUUCAAACGAAGCAUCUGUCCAGGCACUCCAUUUUUCGAAUCACUGGCUAAAAAGCCUCCUACUACGAUGGAUGACUUAUUCAGACGAGCCAACAAAUAUUCAAUGCUCGAAGAUGACGUACGUGCAGCCACCCAACAAGUUUUGGUUGCCGGAAGGCCGUCUAGAAGUAAUUCGGAGAGAAAUACUAAACCUCCGGAUCGGCCAAAAUCGUUUGACCGAAGGCAGGAAGGGCCAAGUCGCCCGAAAAUGCCUCCUCUCACACCUCUUUCUAUAUCAUAUGAGAAGUUUCUCCCGAUGAUCCAGGACUUGUCCAACUUCAAGUGGCCUAGACCCAUUGGAACGGACCCAUCCACAAGGGAUCGUAGUAGGAGAUGUGCCUUCCACAAAGAUCAUGGCCAUACAACAGAGACAUGCCGAUCUUUCCAGUAUCUGGUCGAAAGGCUCAUAAAAGCAGGGCAUUUGAAGCAAUACCUCCGAUUAGAUAAUGGACGAAGGGACACACCCCAACAUCACAACCCCGAGAACCUUAGGGCCCCAGCUACCCCCAAGGCCGUUAUAAACUAUAUUACCGAGGGUCCAUCUGACGAGGAGUACGACUCUAGGCGAAAGAGGCAAAAAUUGUUGCGAGCCGCAUCAAUACGCGAACGCAUCAACUCCAUCCGGCCUGGGCUAACUGGAGGGGGCCCUUGCCCCAUAGAUGGAACAAUCAUUUUUCCACCGGUGGAUCCCACCCGAACACUGCAGCCGCAUCGCGACGCCCUCAUCUUGUCCCUGGAAAUUGGGGACUUCGAUGUGCGGCGUAUCUUGAUUGACCCAAGCAGUUCGGCCGAUCUUGUGCAAGCAUCGGUCGUGGGCCACAUGGGACACACUCUCACAGGCCUCGAAAACCCUGGACGAAUCCUAUCCGGAUUCAACGGGUCUUCAACUACAUCCUUGGGAGACAUUGUACUGCCGGUCCAAGCAGGCCCAGUCACUCUCAAUGUACAGUUUUCAGUAGUACAGCAGCUAUCACCCUUCAAUGUCAUUUUGGGGCGCACAUGGCUCCACUACAUGAAAGCUAUCCCCUCUACAUACCAUCAAAUGGUGAGUUUUCUCACCAACGAUGGCCAAGUCGACCUAUAUGGCAGCCAAUUAGCCGCUCGCCAGUGCUAUCAGAUAGCACGUGAAGCAGGGGCCAACCAGGAGGAUGCAUCUCCCCCUGAACCCAGCAUUGCACAUGACCAAUAGCAAUUAUUGGGUCCGACGGACAAAGAUCCCCCGGCAGCAGAUCCCUUACAAACAAUCCAAAUUUCAGAGGAAAACACUCACCUCACGAACAUCAGUUCCCUCAUGACACGAGAAGAAACGCAGAGCAUGCAAAAUAUUCUCAAACAGAACCAUGACAUCUUCGCAUGGGCACAUUCUGACAUGAAGGGAAUUCAUCCCUCCAUUGCAUCUCACAGGCUUAACGUCUUUUUAACUGCCAGACCCGUCCGGCAGAGGAUUAGGCGAUUUCACCCGGAUAGACAAAGAGUCAUCCGGAAUGAGAAUGACAAAUUACUCGAAGCCGGAUUCAUCAGAGAAGUUUCUUAUCCGGAUUGGUUGGCAAACGUAGUAGUGGUACCCAAAAAAGAAGGAAAAUGGCGAGUUUGUGUAGACUAUACCAAUCUCAACAAUGCGUGUCCAAAAGACAGUUUUCCCUUGCCUUGAAUAGAUCAGAUUGUGGAUUCCACCUCCGGGCAAGGAAUGCUCUCUUUCUUGGAUGCCUUCUCCGGAUAUCAUCAAAUCCCCAUGUCCCCGGAUGACGAAGAAAAGACAGCAUUCAUAACGCCACACGGCCUCUAUUGCUACAAAGUCAUGCCAUUUGGACUCAAAAAUACUGGCGCCACUUAUCAAAGAUUGAUGACUAAAAUCUUCAAACCUCUGAUAGGCCACUCGGUAGAGGUAUAUAUUGACGAUAUCGUGGUUAAAAGCAAAACUCGAGAACAGCAUAUCCUUCACUUACAAGAAGUUUUUCACCUCUUGCGAAAGUAUGGCAUGAAGCUAAAUCCUUCCAAAUGCUCCUUUGGCGUGAAUGCUGGCAAAUUCCUGGGAUUUAUGGUCAGCUAAAGAGGCAUAGAAGUCAGCCCGGAUCAAGUCAAAGCAGUCAUGGAAACACCCCCUCCCAGGAACAAGAAGGAGUUACAAUGCCUCACAGGCAAGCUCGUUGCGUUAAGGCGUUUCAUAGCCCGCUUCAUUGAUGAGUUGCGACCCUUCUUCUUGGCAAUACGAAAAGCUGGAGCACACGGAUGGACGGACAGUUGCCAAAACGCUUUGGAAAGGAUUAAGCAUUGUCUUAUACAACCACCCAUCUUGAGCAGCCUCAUCCCAAAGGAGAAAUUGUACAUGUAUUUGGCAGUAUUAGAAUGGGCAAUCAGCGCCGUUCUAUUCCGCUGCCCCUCACCCAAGGAGCAGAAACCUAUCUACUAUGUCAGCAGGGCAUUGGCAGACAUAGAAACCAGAUAUUCAAAAAUGGAACUAACAGUCUUAGCCCUUCGGAGCGCUACCCAAAAGCUCCGGCCCUAUUUCCAAGCCCACCCGGUGAUCGUGUUAACCGAUCAACCCCUUCGCAACAUUCUGCACAAACCAGAUUUAACCGGGAGAAUGCUGCAAUGGGCCAUUGAGUUAAGCGAAUUUGGAAUCGAAUUCCAACCUAGAUUGGCCAUGAAAGGCCAAGUAAUGGCUGACUUCGUGCUAGAAUAUUCCCGAAGACCCAGCCAACAUGACGAAUCAAGUAAAAAAGAAUGGUGGACUCUGCGAGUUGACAGAGCCUCACGCUCAUCAGGCUCUGGAGUCGGGCUCCUAUUACAGUUCCCAACUGGGGAACAUUUGGAACAAGCCAUCCGGCUGGGAUUUUCUGCCUCUAACAACGAAGCAGAAUAUGAAGCCAUCUUGUCCGGAUUGGACCUCGCCCUCGCUCUAUCCGUCUCCAAACUCCGGAUCUACAGUGACUCACAACUCGUGGUAAAGCAUGUCCAGGAGGAAUAUGAGGCUAAAGACGCACGCAUGGCGCGAUACUUAGCUAAAGUAAGAGACACCUUGCAGCAAUUCACCGAAUGGGCAAUCGAAAAAAUCAGGCGAGCUGACAACAGGCUCGCUGACGCCUUGGCCGGCAUAGCUGCCUCCCUCCCCAUCAAAGAAGCCAUUCUAUUGCCCAUACAUGUGCAACCCAACCCCUCUGUCGCAGAAAUUUCCACCUGCAAUACCAUUGAGACAAACCAGGCGGAUGGCCAAGAAUGGACGUAUGACAUCACAGAGUAUAUCCGGACCGGCACCCUACCCGGAGAUCUCAAACGGGCACACAAAGUCCGGGUGCAAGCUGCCCGUUUCACCCUGAUUGGGGGGCACCUGUACAAGCGAUCCUUCACAGGACCUUACCUUCGAUGCCUAGGGCAGUCAGAGGCCCAGUAUGUGUUAGCUGAGUUACAUGAGGGAAUAUACGGAAAUCAUUCGGGAGGACGAUCUCUGGCACAUAGAGCUCAUUCGCAAGGAUACUAUUGGCCAACAAUGAAGAAAGACGCGGCAGCAUAUGUCAAAAGAUGUGAUAAAUGUCAAAGGUAUGCUCCCAUUCCACAUAUGUCAUCAACAACGUUAAAAUCAAUCUUAGGCCCAUGGCCCUUCGCACAAUGGGGCAUGGACAUAGUGAGACCUCUCCCAGCUGCACCUGCCCAAAAGAAAUUUUUGCUUGUUGCCACAGACUAUUUCAGUAAGUGGGUGGAAGCUGAAGCAUAUGCUAGCAUCAAAGACAAUGGUCCACAAUUUGAUAGCAUUGCAUUCAGGAAUUUCUGUUCGGAGCUAAACAUCCGGAACUCAUACUCCACACCACGAUAUCCUCAAAGCAAUGGGCAAGCAGAAGCCACAAACAAGACCCUAAUCACUGCCUUAAAGAAAAGGCUUGAGCAAGCCAAAGGAAAAUGGGUCAAGGAGCUGCCCGACGUCCUAUGGGCCUACCGAACUACACCCGGACGGCCAACAGGAAACACUCCUUUCGCUCUCGCAUAUGGAAUGGAUGCAGUCAUUCCUACCGAAAUAGGUUUCCCUACUAUCCGGACUGACGCAGCAAAACAGAGUGAUGCAAACAUAGAAUUAGGAAGAAAUUUGGAUUGGACGGAUGAAGUGAGGGAAAACGCGGCCAUCCGGAUGGCAGAUUAUCAACAAAGGGCAUUAGCACAUUACAAUCGCAAAGUGAGGCUAAGAAGCUUCAAAAAUGGUACGCUAGUCCUUAGAAAAGUUUUUGAAAAUACUACUAAAGUGGGUGUGAUUCAUGCCCAAUUGGUGUCUCAGCUGAUUCAUGUCCAGCUGGUGCUCCUUGGAUGAGGGAGUGAUCAACAAAAUUUAUACCUAUAACACCAUACACUAGGGUAGCAAAUAAAAAGCUACUAUAGUAUAGUGGCUCUAGGAUCGUUCACUGGGAAUGAUUAACAAGCAAUCAAGGAUACCAAUUCCAAGUGAAUUGGUCUUGUUUCAUUUCACGGUUAGCUUAAGAAAUAAAACACAAACUUUGAUUGGUAAAGGUUGAGACUUAAACUAACUAACUUAACAGAAGUUUGGAAUAAUUUAGGAAGAAAAGCAUUCCUUGGAGAUUUAGGUUCACUGGGGUGGUUCCUCAUGCAAAAGACACGGCUCUGGUCAGUUGGUUCAUUUCCUCGCAUUAGAGAUUCAACAUAUAGUUAAUUCUCUAACCGGUGAUGUACAGAGACUCCUUCAAUUAGAUUUCACUUUAAUUCUCUCACUGAUGCAACUUGCAAUGGUUCAUGCCUCUCACCAAGCCUCAACCAUUCAAGGUGAUCUUUAACCUUGGACUUCCUUUCACAAACUCACAAGAGAUAACUAAUGGAUGUCUCCUAAGAGUCCAAAAGCUUAUCAAGUGUUGGUUAUUCUAGAAAAUCCCACCUUGAAGUCACCUACCAAAGGCUCGCAAGGGGUAAACUAGUGCAUUUCCAUGGUUGGAAAUCACUUGCCUUACCAAGUGUUGGCCCAGGUGACUCUAAGGUGUUUUAAGUUAACUAAAAACAUUGAAAUCACUAAAGGAUUUCACUUCCUCUUCAUUACUAGCUAAAACCACAAAGCUUUGCAUUCUUGCACUUGGAACCUUCCCCGGCAACCUUAGCUCCAAGGAAUUGGAGGUUUAGUUACUCAUUCUCUGGGGAAAACUCCUCAGAGAAUUUAUAACUAAAAAAUAAAAUGAAAAUACAAAGUGAGAAGGUAAGGCAGUAGAAAGAAAAGACCUUUACUUGCUUACCAAAUGGUUACAGAAAAAACUCCUCCUUGAGAACAUGCUCCCGAGAGGUAUUUAUAUCAAAACAAAAUAAAACUAAUUCUUACAAAGAUAUUUAGUCUUUUUACUAACUUAAAAACUAAGGAAUCAUGUAAUUGGUCGUUUACAAGGAGUAUUUUGGGAUUUAGACAACAAAAAUCUAAUGGAAAAUAUCUCCCAAUGUCGGUAGCAAGCUUCGGGAGGCUUCAGGAGCCAUUUUGCAGGAGAAAAGUGGUGUCUGCGAAAUUGGUAGCAAGCUUCGGGAGGCUUCAGGAGCCAUUUUGCAGGAGAAAAGUGGUGUCUGCGAAAUUUCGCAGACACCCAAGAGGGCUGCGAAAUAUUUUUGCAAUAGCAAGCUAUCUUCACCAGGCUGCAAAGUUGGCUUCCAUCUUGAGGUUCCUAGCUUCCCUCUUGCGGCAUAAAUCAGGCAUCGUCAGAAGGAGAAACACUCUACUGUACAAAAAUGCUGCGAAAUCACUUCGCAACAAAAGGGUGAUUUCGCAACACUCUCCAAAAUGUUCUCUUCAGCUCGGAGUGAUUGGCUUGUAAUGGCUGCAACUUCUUCGUUUCAACUUCGAAUUGCACACCGUUUGAAGCAUUGGAUUGUUGACUUCCUGAGCUUUGAAAUGGUAUAUAGCAUGCAUCAUUUGGACUUCAGAAAGUGCCCCAAAAGUGGCUGCUACAACUGUCAUCAAGAACAUGCUUUAUGGCAGAUUCUCUUUGCUUUUUCUCCUUGCAAUCCGGAUUCACUCUUCUAAGCUUUGCCCAAGAUUCCUCAUAGCUCUCCUCAUUAUUGACUUGCUUUGGUGAUCAAAAUACUAACAAAAACACCAAAACUUACACAAAGUGAUCAAAAUUGCUUUAAAGGAUCCUUAACAUGCCAAUUGAGUUAAAAGGCCUAAACUACUACUCAAAAGUGGUUAAAAGGAUUGAUUAUAGGCUAAUCAAAUAGCACUUUUUGAGUAGUAAUCAGGGUGCAGGGAAAUUCCAAGCCAACUGGGAAGGACCCUAUAUAGUGUCUAAGGCAAGUGACAAUGGAGCCUAUCAUUUACAAAAGUUAGACGGAACUCCAUUACUUAGGCCAUAGAAUGUGUCUAAUUUAAAACAGUAUUAUCAAUGAAAAAGCAAAGACAAGUGCAAAUGGAAAAAUAACUGUUUUAUUGAUGUAUAUAAAUGUAUGUACAAAGAGGUCUCCGGACCAUAGAAAGUACAAAAAGAAGAUUACAGCAAAAAGUUGCAAAACGACAAAAGCUAUCAGGGAGCAGCCUUAAAGUUUCUUCUCUUCACCCGGAGGAAUUGAAGGGACAUCCCGCUUUAUGCCAUUCUUCUUCAUACAACAGCGAUAGCCGAAGAUGAAGGUGUCAUCCACUUGUUUUUGGUAGUCCACUUCAAGUUCCUCCCUUUCUACAGCAAACUCCCGCUCAAGCUCUUCUCUUUGCACGGAUAAGCGCAACUGCAAAUCUUCCUUCUGCUUCUUUUCAAUAGAAGCCUCUGUCCGGAGUUGCCUCACCUCUCCCCCUAUCCGGGCUAUCUCAUCCUCUGCCUCAUGCAGACGGGCAAUCGAUGAUUCCUCCCGGUCCUUAGCCUCAGCCAAUUCCACCCGAAGGGCUUCAUUGUCCUCUCGAGCGGUGGAUAAGCUGGCUUCAGCCUCCGCCAGUCUCAGGCGCAACUGAUCUUCAGCAUCUUUGCGCCGAAUGGCGAAGGCCUUCAUAUAAUCAGUGGUCCGCAGCAGGUCAGUGAAAAGAUCGUAUUGAUUGGCCAUGCCACGGAGACCACUCACCAGCUGCAGGCAAAUAGUCAAAACAAGAAAAGCAAAAUUAGAAAUCACACCGCAAACGCACAUCAGGAUGACAAAAAUCAAAGAAGCAUAAAAGCAGUUUACCGUUUCCACCAUCUCGAACAUCUGGGCUGAAGUCAUGACAGUGGGCAAGCCAGGUGGAAUCUGUUUCAGCUUCUCUUCCAACUCCGUGUAGCUAAAAGGACUAGCGGAGCCGCAAGCAGCAUCAUUAACAGGAUCCCCGCCUGAUGAGGCAACAGAAGGAGACUCUUGUUCCGGAUUCUGGGCCUCAACAUUUACGACCGGAUGGGUCUCCCCGGGUGCAACCUCAGCCGGGACCAUCACAGGGACGGCUGAAGGCUCAGUUGCCAUCUCCACUUCACCCCCCUCCGGAUGAGCGUCGUGGGCGGAUGAGCAACUAACUUCAAUCUCUUGCUGACGAUCUUGAAGCCGCCCGAGGAGUUCGGACCUCAGAUUGCGCGCCGAGCGAGGCCUCUUUGAAGGUGGCCCCUUCACCAGAAUAAGAGCCAGACAGUCCAGAUCGUCAGAGGGCUGACUCUGACUUUCCGCCCCAGCUUCCUCCAUGGGGGUCGCACAAACGGCCUCAGCUGCAUCGGCAUCUGAAUUACGAGAGUCCGGAUGGUUGACGGACACAGCUUCCUCAGCCAAAUUCGCCAGACGGGCAACCGCUGCCAAGGAGGUGCUUGAGUGGUUCAGCCCCGCGACGUGUCCGGAUCCGCUUGAGAUGGAAUGAGGAGCAAGGUUCACGGGCUCCUCUAUCAUUACCUCCGCCUCGUGAGUAAUGGGCGGAGGAGCAAAUUCCUUGGGAGGAGUGGGCUCCUUCACGUCCUUCCCAUUCUUCUUCACCAGCUUCCUCCUUUUCGCUGGAGUUUUCUUUGGAGAAGAGUCUUGAUUACUACCAAAAAGUGCUAUUUUGUAGACCUAAUUAUAAUGGUUUUAAGCACCUUUGCGUAGUAAUCAUAUUCAUUUAACCCAAUUAAUUCAUUAAGGUCCUUAGUAAUUGGUUUUAACCAUUUUGUGGCAAGUUUACAUGUUUAUAUCAGCUUAUGAAUCAAUUCAAGCAUGCCAAAUGAUGGAGGAGCUACUUGGACAAGUUAAAGCAAGAUUUUAGCUACACCAAAGCAAGCCAACAAAAGGAGAAAAGCAAAGAGAAGCAAAGAGAAGCAAAAAGAAGCAAAGAGGAAAACAGAUGACAGCAGCUUCAGUCUUCUUUGGCACUUUUGGAGUACUUCCCGAAGUCCAUUUUCUACAUACUAUAUACCAUUUCAAAGCUCAGGAAGUCAAGAAUCCAACGUUUCAAACCGUGUACAAUUUGGAGCUGAAAUGAGGAAGAUAUGGCCUUCAGAAGACAACUGCUCCAGGGUUGUGCGAAAAUUUCGCACAACACCUUCCAAAUUCGCACAGCCCAUGCGUGGUGCGAAUUUUCCUCUGUUUCUGCCGACUCCACACGAGAUCUUUUCUUUUGGAUAUUUUUGUAUAAAUUUCCAUUCUUCUCCUUGUAAUCCACCAAUCAUAAGAUUUCUUAGCUAGGAAGGUUGGAAAAACUUCUCUAUUUAUAUCCCCUUGCAUCCGUUGUAACAAAUAUUGAUAUAUUGAUAUAUAGAUAUAGAAUACAUAUUACGUUUUACACUUAGAAUAUUUACAGAGCUCUCCCGUUUCUAUUUUCUUAGUAGCCAAACAGCCUUUGAGGGUUUUUCCUCAAAGGAUGAUUGGCUAAAACUUUUAGUUUCUCAAAGUAUGGAUGUUAUGUGAUGACUUGGAUGCAAUCCCAUGGAAAUUUCUCGCACCUAGAAGGUAAGGUAGUCGUUUUUCAUUAAAGGUUCAUUAAGGCAAAGUUUGGUUUUUAUUUCCUUUGGACAACUUCCAACGGCCAAUACUUGAUAAGCUUUUGGAUUUCUAUCCAUUAGUUAUCUCCUACGAGCUAUUGGAAGAUGAGGUUUUCAAUUCCAAGUUUUGCAUUAAUCCGUUAGAACCAAUUUCAAUGGCCAUUGAAAGGUGAGUUUAUCACCUGGAAUGACUUUGAGUUGCCAAUAUUUGGUAAGCUUUUGGCUUUAGACCAUUAGUUAUCUCUUACGAGCCAUUCAAAGGAAGUCUAAGGUGAAUAACCAUUGAUGAAAUUCACUACCAUCUAUUUUGCCAUUUUAAAGGAUUAAAACUUGAUUUGCUAAAUCCAUACCGGUUCGGGAAGCAAGCAUCACCAUAGUUGCAACCCCAACGCGAGGAGCCUAUCCUGAGAUUUUCAAUUUGCAUAAGAGCCAGAGCAUAGCUAUCCUAUCUUUGAGAAACUUGUUUUUACACCCUUUCAUUUUAGUCUUUAAUGUUAGCUUAGAUUAGUUUAAAUCUUUCUAAAACAUUUACAUCUUCUUUUAAAGCUAACAUCCAUAAGAAAAUCACCUAUUUUCCUAAUUUGAAUAUCACUUGUGUUUGCGAAAACCCUUCCCAGUGAACGAUCCUAGAACCACUAUGCUAUAGUAGCUUGGCUACUUUAGUAAUAGUAUUCAAGGUAUAAAUUUUGUUGAUACGCCUUUAAAGCUAAGCUACCAUGAGUCGAAUCAAGUCUCCGUCGCGUUUCUGUUCGGGAGCCUUCCGAAGGGUUCCUUCGUUUUUCUUCUUCUCCCGAUUGUCCAGGAGAACUCGGCGUUUUUCAGCGUCAGCCUCUUUUAACGCCUGGUAAAUCGGGAGAUCCUUCACAGUGUAAUGCUCCCCAGGCACUACCUCAUUUGGCAUCUUCCUGGGGAGAAUGUUGAUAACGUAUUCUUGGGGCUCCAGGACGACCGCCAUCAGGUUCCGUGCAGUCAGCAGCGUCUUGCACUGCCUCUCCUUGGCCUCUAUCUCAAACAACUUGCUAAGACAGGCAAAAGACGCCUUUUCCACCCAGUCCACAAGGUGGCCCCUCAAUUCCGGACCUACAAUAACAGCAACAAAAGAUGAGAACACCAUCCGGAAAAGUCAACAAAAAAUCAACAAAGUAAAAGCCGGACAAUAGUCGCAAAGCAAACCUACCCGGGACCAUCAAGGAGUAGUUUGGAGAGAAAGGCCUCGCCGGAUGCUCCAAAAACCCCGCCCAGGCACCCCGGACCACCACGUGUCCCGUCGCCCCUCCCUUUAUCGAAUCUGGUAGCUCCGUCACCAAUUGAAGGGAGGGCAGGUGUGCGGACAUGCUGAAGAUGUCAUUUUUUACCUUCUUCAGAGAAUAAACAAAAAACACCUCCAGCAGCGUGAGGUCGAGGUCGUACAGCAUGUUUAUGAUGUUGCAUCCCAUCAGCACCCGGACGAUGUUGGGAUGAAUGAAGACGGGAGGAAUCUGGGUGAAAUGAAGGAACUCCUUGAACAACGCCGGCAGAGGGAACCGGAGCCCCGCGUUGAAUUGUUCCUUCGAAAAGAUGAUGGUUUUUUCUUCUGAUUUAUCAGUAGGCACAAGCACCCUCCCAUCCAGCAAUUCAAUAGCCACGCUAUUCGGGAUACAGAACCGUUCCCGGAAUUCCUUCGCGUCCAGCUUAUCUGUCGUUUUUUCACGAACCUCGCUAGCCCGGGAAGUUGAAACAGUCUUUUUUGCAGCCAUUUCUUACCACAAAGACAAACCAAAAUCUACAUACAAAGAAGCGCAAUGGGUAAAACACAAGUAACCCAGAAACUACACAAACCCUAAACCAAAGCAGUCAGAAAAAAAAAAAAAAAAAAUAACCCUCAAAAAACCCCAAAGCACCAACAAAUGCCAAACAGUCGUAAGCGACUUACCCAAACAAAACCCAAACAAAUCAGAAACCAAGACCAAAGAACCAACAAAUGCAACAAAAGGAACAACAAUAGCAAAAGUACACGUACCAAAUGAAGCUCUGAAGGAGAAAGGUUGCUGCCUCGAUACAAAAUCACCAACAGCAAACGAACGACGCAACACAAAAUCACCGAUACAAAAGAGCUUUCGAGUUUCUUUUCUCAGAGAAGCAAAGGACACAACGGAAGCAAGAAGAAGAAAGGCUCUCAGGAGAAUGCAGUAGGGAAAAAAAUGCAAAAAGAAGGUACAGUGCGCUAUUUAUAAGGGGACAAGACCUCGGAAAGCCAAACGUCCAAACAAAUGCCAUCAUUGAAACGACAUAUUGCCUGGGAAUACCCAGGGUCGGCGGCUCAUCAUAAAUGUCUUUUUUGGCUUCCGCACCCCCACUCGCCACGUGGCCCAGUCAGACGAAGAGACCUCUUCAGUUUUCAAAAAAACCAGUUAUUUUUAACCCGCCCAUUUUCUGGGCAAAAUAGGCAAGUUAAAAAGGGGGGCAAUGUAGGGACCCCUCCCUUUGGGAAACAUAUGGCACGCAUCUCACAGUGACACGUGGCACGUGUCAUCAGCCGGACCAUCAUCAUCCGGAUCCCCCUAAGGAUGCGUAUUAUACAGUUCUCCUAUCCGGACCGCCUCAAGGAAAGGCAAAUGACGUUUCAGCUUCUCCUAUCCAAGGAAGAGCAAAUGACGCUGACAGAUCAUAGACAUCCGGACAACCUUCAUAACACAUUCGCUCCACAAUACAUCCGGAUAAUCAGCAUGUGACAUCCGGAUAUAAUCGUCCGGCUCAUCAAUUAAAGUAAAGCGAGUCUUACACGCUAUCACAACAAACAGCCAUGGCCCACAUCCUAUCAUCUGCAGAGUGAGAAGACAAGAUGAAGUGACAGCAAGUCACUUCCCACGAUCAGUUUUACGUGAUCACUUCCCACAAUCUUUGACAGCCGCAUCACCUACCAUGGUUUCUGACAGCCGCUCGUAGGGUGAUGAUGCUCCUACUGACGCCUAUUAUCAUCAUAACAACAUAAAAUAUCUCCUCACCAUUAAUGAGGAGGACAGUACCCCUGAAGCUGUUUAUAUAAGCCUUCACACGAAGAAGAAGGGGAUCAUCCUGGUAACCUCCUAAUACCUGGUAAAGGGCCAACUGAUUUAUAUCUCUCUCUGACCAUGGCUAACAAAACCAUCGGAGGGUGCGUCCGGACACCCUGUCUGGAUGCCUUCUUGCAGGUAUAACGACUGGAUCAAGAACCUUUAUGAGUUGAAAUCACGUGUCCAUCCAUUUGGCAACUACGUGGAUCAUCAAAGACGCGAGGUAUCAACAAUUGUUAUUUUGAACCCGCUUUUCUGAUGGCAUAUCCACUCCGGAAUCCCAUUUCUUUCAGCAAUAAAAGUUCUGACAGGUCUUCUAAAGUCACGCGCCUGCACAAAAAUUACCCUCUGAAUUUUGUGUCCCCGUGAAAAGAAAGGUUAACUGAUGUAUGAAAACCAUAUCUGAAUUUUGGAUUUAAAACAUUUGAAUAAAGAAGACCACAGUAGAAUUGAUGGACAUCUAGAUAAAUUAAACCUGAUGGAAGUUCUGGAAUAUGUUGAAGCAUCUUGCAGUGACUCAAGUAAGAGAUAAUGAUACCAGUGAUGAUAGGUAAUAAAUUUCACUGGGAAAUUCCCUUAGAUUGCAGCCUUGAAGCUUUAAUGUCCUCAAGGAGCAUAAACCGGACAAAGACGGCAAUGGAAAAUUCAUUGAAUCUAAAUGCCCAACAAUAAGAUGCUCUAAAGAUUGCAGUCUCCCCAAGUUGUCUGGCAAUUUGUUGAAGUUUGGACAGCUUCUGAUAAAGAGAGUUUUAAAAGAUGUCAAAUUACAAAUACUCUCAGGAAGAUUCACAAGGUUUUUGCAUUGUGACAGAAACAAAGAUUGAAGCUCUCUUAGAUGUUGAAUUGAUGAUGGUAUCUCUUUUAUGGCGGUUCUAUCUAAAUAAAGAUUUCUCAAGCUCUCCAUAUCUUGCAGGAUUUCUGGAAAGCUCUCUAGUUGUGAACAGCCAGAGCAGGAGAGAGUUGCAAGGGAUUUGAAAUCAAAAAUGCUACUGGGCAGACUAGUAAGAUUGUUGCAAUCCUGAAGACAUAAACUAUCAAGUUCCAAGGGAUUCUCGAUAAUGGGUACUUCAUUCAUAUCACUGCCCUUAAAACAGCACUUCCGUCGAAGCGUCCCAUCCCGUUGGCAUGCCCGACAUAUUCUAACAUCUGCAUCCUCAUGGCUUUGUUGAAGGUCUUGGGAGUAUAUAAGGCGGACUCCACACUCCUUUACUUUCAAGGCUUUCUCAGAAUUACUGUAAAAGUCGUAAAAGGUAAACCCAAUGUGAGUCCAUUGAUCAGAGCAAUACCUUUCCGGAAUAGCCGCCUUGGUAUAGCAAAUCACCCACGUCUGACCUGAUACACUCUCAUUAUCUUCGUCCUUGUCUUCUUUAUAGCAAAAACAAUUGGAUUGAAAGCAAGGACGAUCUAAAACUUCACGUCCAUCACCAAUCAUAGCCAAAGUACACAUCAGACUACAAGAACGUGUAUGUUUAUGUUCAUUCUUACGAAAAGAUUCAGCCACAGAUUUAUCGUCUGUUUCAUUCUCCCAUGCAUAAGCAGAUUCAUCCUUAGAUUUAUUGUCUGAUUCAUUCUUGGACCCGUGUGCAGAUUCCUUUUCGGGUAUGUCCUCAGAUUCGUAAGCAAGUGGAACAUAAACACAGCAUGUAGAAAAUCCCAAAAACUCAUUAUUUUGGUGCCAAUUCUGAGGGAGCUCUGUUUGUGUAAAAUAUAUAGUUGUCCGAUCCAUAAUCCAUUCUGGAAUUCCAUCACUUCCGGGAAGAACAAUGCAAGUUCCCUUGCCAUGGUAGGAAGAAUCACUAAAACUAGUGCGUUUCGAAUCCUGCACCAAAGCACCAUGUAAAUAUAGUAAAUAUAGAGUUUGCAUAUAACUAGUUGUAGGGAAUUAAACCGAAUUCCCAACCCAUGAGAAACAAAAAAAUAGAGAAAACACACGCCAAAGAAAAACAAUCACACACACAAGACAAUAUUUACGUGGUUCGGCAAUUUGCUUACGUCUACGGAGUUGCAGGGAUAUCACUAUUAUCAGGGAAGAAUACAGAGUACAACCUAGCUGCUACAAUAUUCUCUCUAUAUAUAUAACACGACAACCCCAUCACACUAAAAAACCCUAAUUACAAAAGGUGGUUCCACAAUGGGCUAAAAGAGCCCAACAGGCCUCAAUAAAUCUCCCAUUAAAAAGACAUGCAAUAUUAUUCGGGUCGGGUCGUCAAAUCGGAUCAAACAAAACUAGGCUCCACAAAGCCCAACAAAUCUCCCACUUGGAGACUAGUCCAAUCACCACAUCAAACCGCUAUCCUCCAAGAAACAAUCCCUCAUCCCUACAACUUAUCCUCCUGUCCUCAAGCUAGAAGACCAAUUGAAGCUGCGCAUAGCUUCAACUUCUCAAUAGUGACACCCUUAGUCAACAUGUCUGUCGGGUUCUUAGAUCCACAAAUCUUCUCAAGUAUUACCAGUUUAUCUUCAACAAAAUAACGGAUAAAGUGGUAUUUUGUUUGUAUAUGCUUCAACUUUGAAUGAAAAGCCGAUUUUUUUGCAAGAAAAAUUGCACUCUGACUGUCACUGUGUAGAAUGCCCAUCUCCUGCUUCUUACCCAAUUCAUCUAAGAAAACAUGUAGCCAAAUCAUCUCCUUUCCAGCUUCAGUUGCUACAACAUACUCAGCUUCUGUGGUAGACAAAGUAACAAUCUUCUGUAGAUUUGAAGCCCAUGAUAUAGCUGUACCACCUAGAGUAAAAACAAACCCAGUAGUACUCUUUCUACUAUCAAUAUCACUAGCAAAAUCAGCAUCUACAUAACCCUGCAAUUUCAAACUUGCACCUGUGAAGCAAAGACAUGUAUCUAAUGAACCCUUCAGAUAUCUUAAAAUCCACUUGACUGCCUCCCAAUGCUGCUUUCCAGGCCUACUCAUGAAUCUGCUCACAACUCUCACUACAUGUGCAAUGUUUGGCCUUGUACACACCAUAGCAUACAUCAAGCUACCAAUAGCUGAGGCAUAGGGCACCUUGCUCAUAUGGUCCCUUUCUUCUUCUGUCUUUGGUGACUGUUCUUUGCUUAGUUUGAAAUGACUACCCAAGGGUGUGCUCACUGGUUUAGCUUCAUUCAUGUUGAACCUGCUGAGAACUUUCUUCACAUACUCUGACUGUGAAAGCUUCAAUGUACCAUUAGCCUUGUCUCUAAUGAUUCUCAUACCAAGGAUUUGCUUUGCAGCUCCCAAAUCCUUCAUUGCAAAUUGUUUGGACAAUUGCUUCUUCAUAUUAUUAAUCUUCUCAAUGUCAGACCCUACAAUAAGCAUAUCAUCCACAUACAAUAGUAAUAUGAUGUAAAAAUUGUCAAAGGACUUAACAUAGCAACAAUGAUCAGCUUUACAUCUCUUGAACCCAAUUCUAUGCAUAAAAUUGUCAAACUUCUUGUACCACUAUCUAGGAGCUUGUUUAAGGCCAUACAAGCUCUUUCUCAGUUUGCAGACUAGAUUCUCUUGUCCCUGAACAAUGAACCCUUCUGGCUGAAUCAUGUAAAGGUCUUCCUCCAAGUCACCAUGAAGGAAUGUUGUCUUCACAUCUAACUGCUCAAGAUGUAAGUUUUCUGCAGCCACCAUUCCAAGUACAAGUCUAAUUGUUAACAUCUUCACAACUGGAGAAAAUAUCUCUGUGUAGUCAAUGCCCUCCUUCUGCUGGAACCCUUUAACAACUAAUCUGGCCUUGUAACGUUUGCUACCAUCAUGCUCAUUCUUUAUUCUGUAUACCCACUUAUUGUGCAAAGCCUUCUUUCCUACUGGCAAUUCAGUCAGUUCCCAUGUCUGAUUCCCUAAUAGGGAAUCCAUCUCAUUCUUCAUGGCUAACUCCCACUUGCUUGAAUUCUCAUCUUGCAAGGCUUCAUCAUAACACUCUGGCUCACCACCAUCAGUCAACAAGAGAUAAUUUAAAACAGGUGAAUAACGUUGCGGAGGUCUAAUGUUCCUAGAAGAUCUGCGAACUUCAGCUACAGGUGUACUCAAAUCUACCUGUGAAUUUACAUUUUUCUUAUCUCCUUCACCCCCUUUUUGGACAGUACUUUCAGUCAAUUCAUCUAAGUUGACAAACUCAGAUUUCUUUUGAUCUAUCUCUAUAAUAUCUGACACUACAGUUGACCUGUCCUUGUACAUAACCUGUUCAUUAAAUAUCACAUUUCUACUUCUGAUGAUUUUCCUAUUUUGUUCAUCCCAAAACCUAUAGCCAAAUUUCUCAUCACCAUAGCCAAUGAAAAAACAUAUUUUUGACUUUGCAUCAAGUUUACUACGAGCAUCAGAAUCAAUAUGAACAUAAGAAACACAACCAAAAACUUUUAAAUGUGAAAACUUCACCUCUUUACCGCUCCAAACCUCCUUAGGAAGUCUGAACUCCAUGGGAACUGAUGGUCCUCGGUUUAUUAGGUAAGCUGCAGUGCUAACAGCAUCAGCCCAAAAAGUUUUUGGUAGUCCAGCAUGCAACCUCAUACUUCUAGCACGCUCAUUGAGAGUUCUGUUCAUGCGCUCAGCCACACCAUUUUGCUGUGGUGUCCUAGGAAUGGUCUUCUCCAUCCUAAUUCCCUGUGCAGCACAAUACUCACUGAACCCUCCAUCUAUGUACUCUCCUCCAUUAUCUGACCUCAAACAUUUUAUUUUCAAAACUAUUUCUGUCUCAACCAUGGCCUUUCACUUCUUAAAAGUUUCAAAUACAUCUGAUUUAUUUUUCAGAAAAUAAACCCAUACCUUUCUACUUGAGUCAUCAAUAAAAGUGAUCUAGUACCUUGAACCUCCUAGGGAUGCAACCGGAGAAGGCCCCCACAAAUUAGUGUGCACUAGUUCCAAUUUUUCAGCCUUCGGUGUCCUGCUAGUUUUCAAGAAGCUCACAUUUUUUUGCUUUCCUAAGAUGCAACUUUCACACAUGUCAAAAUCAAUGGACUUCAAUUCUGGUAGUUUUCCUUUUAACAACAACAUCUUCAUCCCUUUCUCACUCAUGUGACCAAGUCUGCGGUGCCAUAGGCUUGUAUCAGUACUUGCAUCAGCAACUGCAAUUGUGUCUCUUGGACAUGAGGUCAUAUACAGAGUACCAGUCUUCUUUCCACGAGCCAAUACCCUAGCUCCCUUUGUAACCUUCCAAGUACCACCAACAAAUAGUAUUGCAUGUCCAUCAUCAAGUUGUCCAAUAGAAAUCAGAUUCCUCCUCAGGUCAGGAAUAUGUCGAACCUUCUCCAGUAACCAAACAGACCCAUUGGGCAACGAUAUCCGGACGUCUCCCAGACCCACAACAUCCAAGGCUGAACCAUCAGCCAAAUACACCUUACCAAAAUCACCUGCAAUGUAAUUCUGUAUGAUUUCUCGGUGUGGAGUAGUAUGAAACGAAGCUCCUGAAUCCAAAACCCAAUCAUCAAGUGGACUGUCUACUGUAAGAAGUAAUGCAUCCUGUACCUCUUCUGUUACAGCAUUAGCAGAAUCAUCUUCAUUCUUCUUCUUAGGGCUUUUGCAUUGCCUUUUAAAGUGACUUGUUUUCCCACAAUUCCAGCAUUGUACUUGUUGGCCUGAUCUAGAUUUGCUUCUGUUUCGAUUAGAAUUUCUGGAAUUUGAUCUACCCCGAUUUGAAUUUCUGUCAUUACCUUUGCCUCUUGUCUCAAGGUUUAGGGCAGAACCAGAUCCUGAGGUUUCACCUGCAUCUCUUCGGCGAAUCUCCUCAGCCAGAAUUAAAUCUCGUAUAUCAUUGUACUUGAGCUUUUCCUUUCCCGUAGAAUUGCAUACUACCAUCCUCAUUGCCUCCCAACUGUUUGGCAAAGAAGCCAAGACGAUCAGAGCACGAAUCUCAUCAUCAAAAUCAAUUUCUACAGACGACAAUUGAUUUGUGAUUGUAUUAAAUUCAUUCAGAUGUUGUGCUACUGAUGCAUUCUUUGCCAUCUUCAAAUUGAACAAUUUCUUCAUCAGAUGCACCUUAUUGUUUGCGGACGGCUUUUCAUACAUACCGGACAAAGCCUUCAUCAAAUCUGCUAUGGUCUUCUCCUUUACAACAUUAUGUGCAACAGACUUAGACAGAGUUAACCUAAUAAUUCCUAGAACCUGUCUGUCAAGAAGUGCUCAUUCCUCAACCUUCAUACUCUCAGGUUUUGUCCCCAAAAGAGGCAGAUGCAAUUUCCUCCCAUAGAGAUAAUCUUCAAUCUGCAUCCUCCAAUACGCAAAGUCUGUGCCAUCAAACUUUUCUAUUCCAGACGCCUUUCCUGCUUCCUCUGCCAUUGCUCCCACUCAAACCUAACCCUAGGCUCUGAUACCAGUUGUAGGGAAUUAAACCGAAUUCCCAACCCGUGAGAAACAAAAAAAAAUAGAGAAAACACACGCCAAAGAAAAACAAUCACACACACAAGACAAUAUUUACGUGGUUCAGCAAUUUGCCUACGUCCACGGAGUUGCAGGGAUAUCACUAUUAUCAAGGAAGAAUACAGAGUACAACCUAGCGGCUACAAUAUUCUCUCUAUAUAUAUAACACGGCAACCCCAUCACACUAAAAAAACACUAAUUACAAAAGGUGGUUCCACAAUGGGCUAAACGAGCCCAACAGGCCUUAAUAAAUCUCCCAUUAAAAAGCCAUGCAAUAUUAUUCGGGUCGGGUCAUCAAAUUGGAUCAAACAAAACUAGGCUCCACAAAGCCCAACACUAGUGUGUGACAUGAAAAUCAUACCUAUGCCCAACUGAAGCAAUUGACCAAAGAAUGCAAUGACAAAAAUGGGGCUCUUGAUGAAGUGCGAUUUGAACCGUGUGCAUCUAAAAGCCGUAGACGUGAUGGAAGCUCUGGAAUUUGUUCAAGAUUGCUGCAGUGACUAAGGUUAAGGGUUUUCAGCCUGGAAAGCUGAUUGAUGGUAGGAGGCAUGCUACUAAAAUGGCCCCCUUCCAGAUUUAGUUUUUGUAAUGAUGAUAAAUAGCAAAUAUCACUAGGAAUUCCUCCUUCCAUCAUGUUGCAGAGACCUAGGUCCAAUACUUUCAAUGAUGAUAAGUGGCAAAUAUGACCAGGGAUUUUGUGGAGCUUUCAACACUCUUCAAGUAGGAGAGUUUGAAGACCAUUUAGAUGUGUAAUUGAUGACGGUAAGUCCAUUGUAGUUGUUCCACUCAAAUCAAGCACCCUUAGCUUUCUUAUAUUGCCCUUGAUUUCUGGAAAUCUCUCUAACUUUGAACAGCCAUUGCAAGACAACGUUUGAAGGUGUUUCCACUUAUAAAUGCGUCUUGGAAGAAGCUCCAGGCUUACACACCCUGCAAGAUUCAAGGGAAAAUAAAAAAUCAAAAAAGUUAGUCUUAGUAAUUAUAAUACUGCUGCACCAAUCAUUUAAGUACCAUGCAUUGUACAACCUUCUAGAGUUAGAAUCUCCAAGUUUGGGACACUUGAGAAGUCUGGAAUUCUGAUGAGAUGGACAGAGUGACUGAGAUCAAUAACCCUCAACUUGUCAUGAAGCUGUAACAAAAUAAUUUUUUUCAAUAGAUAAAUUUACAUGCUAAAAAUUAAUAUAAAAUUACACUGUAACUAAAUAAUAAUAACAAUACCUUAUUCCCCCUCCAAGCUCGCUUUAUAUUGCUGUCCCUUAAUGAGAGUUCAACAAGGUUCUUUGCAUGAAAAUUAACUGGCAAAGAUUCUAAAGGGUAUCCAUCCCAAUGCAGAUAUCUUAGCUCAUAAGAAGGGAAUUCAAAGUCCCUUGGAAGGUGGUUUUCAAGAAACAACUUUCUACGCAGGUUAUGGAUUUUGAGCAAUCUAAGUUUAUGCAUCUCUUUGAAAGAUUCCGUGGUAAGCUGUGAUGGAUUAAAUUUACAUCUAUCUAGGAAUAGUCCUUCAAUUGCUCGUGUCCCAAGAAAAAUAUAAGACAAGUAAGUGAAACAAAAGAUGCAUUAAACUUAAUUGAGUUAUAUACAUGGCUAAUUUCUGAAAAAAUAACAAUAGUAUUGAAGCUUGGAUACAUAGGUAUAAACAAGUUCAUGCAUUUGACUCUUACCAUAUUUUGUAUAAGCACAUGAUAGGCCUUAGAAUCCCUCAAUCUACUCCUUCUUCCAGGGUCUUUAGGACAUUCUUGACGAAUAAUCUCCCAACCCAUUUGUUGUAUUAAAUGAUGCAUAUCUAGCAUGUUUUUUGAAACAGUUAUGAGACAUCUAUCAUCUAGAGUUGUUAUUCCAUGCUUUGCAUGUGGGCCCAAUAUUCUUGAAACAAAAUCUUUGUCAUCUCCUUUGAAAAAACACGCAACAUCCAAAAAUAUCCCUUUGUCUAUGUCAUCGAGUCCAUCAAAACUUAUUCUAAGUACAUUGUGAAUUUCCAUGUGGGGUAUUAUUUUUAGCUUACACAAUGCACCUUCCCAUUCACUUAUUUUCUUUCCAAAAGAGAAGCACCCAAAACUUUAAGUGCUAAUGAAAGGCCAUUAGCAUAAUCUAUGAUAUUGUAUGAGAGGUUUUUAUAAACUUUUUUGGGAUGAUUUUGUUUAGAGGCCCACAAACUAAAUAGCUCAAUUGCUUCUUCCUUGUUUAAUUUUGAAACCUCAUAUGGUAUAUCCACUCCAUAUCAAGCAAGCACGUGUUUGUCUCUAGAUGUAAUGAUGAUUGUACUUUUUGCCUGAAACCAAUCCUUAUCUUCAGCCAAACAUUCUAGUUGUUUCAACUCAUCCACAUCAUCAAAAAUAAUAAGAACUCUGUUGGAGCUUAGACACCUCUUUAUCAUACUAAUUCCUUCAUCAACAUUGUUUAUCUUAAAAAAAUUUCCCCUUAGGAUACCAUGAAGAAGUUCAUGUUGUAACUGAAGUAUAUCACCUUUGGAUCUCUCUCUGAUAUUUCUAAGAAAGCUACUACCAUCCUAUUGACACGAGAUCUCAUUAUAAAUAGCCUUGGCGAUAGUAGUCUUACCAACCCCACCAGUUCCACAUAUCCCUAUGACUCUAACCUUAUUUAACUCGGUGUUCAUCAACAAUUUCAAAUUUUCCAAAUGAACACUAAUUCCAACCACGUUUUUUCCCACACUUAAAGGUUGAAGGUCUAAUCUUCUAAUGAUUGUAUUAACAAUUUCCUUGACAACCUCAGUCUCAUACCUGCCAAUCAUAUAAAUUAAGUAAAAUGAUGAGUUAGAAUGAGUUGCAAAAUAUAAUAAAUUUAAAAUAAAUUUAGUUGUGUAUGGUCUUGUCCAAUAUUAUUGAAUUAGUAGCAAUGGAAUGAAAAAGAAAGGGGUCAAGCCAAUUUACUUACAUAUUUAAGCUUCAAAUUUGUAAGUAUCAAACUACUAAUGUGCCAAGUUGCAAAUUUUCAAUACUCUUACUGUUGGAGCAUUGUGUAGGACUCCUCUAUGAACAAGUUAAUGCCUUCUUUCAACUUUUAUUUCACAACCAACUUGCUUAUGAUUCCUCAAUUUCACUUGUCUUUAGGUUUUAUUAACUUACCAAUACUUACCAAUGUUGCAAAGACUGUUUUUAGCCUGCCAAUUAAUUUUGCAUUUCCAUAGAGGAAUCAGGAAACGAGUGAAUGUGGAGAAUUUCAUGAUUUGCUUGUUGAUUGGGAACUUAAAUAUGAUUUGCUUUAGAGAAAAUUAUAAAAGGGUUAAAUUUUGAUAAUUGUAUUUUUGGACCAACACAAGGGAAAAAUGAAAGUUAGAUUUUGUUAACAAUUUCAUACUUACUUUUGUAUCAUCUCCUUCUUUUCUUGAUUUGCAUCUCUUUCAUGGUAGGCAAGUGCGUCUCCGAAACUUCACCUUUGGUUUCGUACAUCAGAUGGAUCCACAUGGUAGAAAAUUGGUAGAACCACUGAUUCCUUUUGGCUCUUGCGUUCAAUGAUCUUUACGAGUUCAUUUAAACACCAUCUGGAGUAAGCAUAAUUUUUUGAGAAAAUAACAAUAAAAAACCUCGAUUCUUCUAUAGCUCUCAAGAGAUCAGAUGCAAUAUCUCCCCCUUUCUCAAGUUCUUCAUCAUCUCUGAAAGUUUGAAUUCCAGAUGCAGUCAAUGUGGUAUAUAGAUGAUCAGUGAAAUUUCUGCGAGUAUCGCCACCUCUAAAACUCAAGAACACAUCAUAAUUACGAGAAAUAGAAGUAGUCGAAGAAGAGGCUCUAUGGGUGCUGGAAGAAGCCAUUUUUGGAUGGCUUGAACCAAAAUUACAAGGGAGUUUGGAGGGUCCUUGGAUGCUCAAUGACUAUUGGCUCCAGACCUCUUCACCAUGAACAAAAAUCCAAGCUGGGAGGGAGGUUCAGCUGAAAAGCUUCAUCUGCAGUCGUAAAAGAAAAGAAAAACGUAUAUAAAGCCCUCUUUGAGAAAUUUCUUUGUAUAUAAAUUCUAAGAGAAACUCACACAUAUUUUACCUUUUGGUUGGGGAAGAUCCUUUCUCCAUUCCCUUUGUGUUGGAGACUGCAUUAAGGGAUGCAGAGAAGAUGGUGGGGAAGGUGUUGAAGAAGAGGCGGUGGGUAGCAGAGGUCUCGUUGACUGGGUGGAUGGAAUCGAGGUAAGGAAUUCUAAUAUUUUGAAAUGAAAUUUCAUGGAAGGUGUUGUUUUCAGUUUUUGUUUCCACAAAUAUUUGUGCGCGGCACCUAUGAUGAUNNNNNNNNNNNNNNNNNNNNNNNNNNNNNNNNNNNNNNNNNNNNNNNNNNNNNNNNNNNNNNNNNNNNNNNNNNNNNNNNNNNNNNNNNNNNNNNNNNNNCCCUUUGGUUUCGUACAUCAGAUGGAUCCACAUGGUAGAAGAUUGGUAGAACCACUGAUUCCUUUUGGCUCUUGCGUUCAAUGAUCUUUACGAGUUCAUUUAAACACCAUCUGGAGUAAGCAUAAUUUUUUGAGAAAACAAUAAUAAAAAACCUCGAUUCUUCUAUAGCUCUCAAGAGAUCAGAUGCAAUAUCUCCUCCUUUCUCAAGUUCUUCAUCAUCUCUGAAAGUUUGAAUUCCAGAUGCAGUCAAUGUGGUAUAUAGAUGAUCAGUGAAAUUUCUGCGAGUAUCGCCACCUCUAAAACUCAAGAACACAUCAUAAUUACGAGAAAUAGAAGUAGUCGAAGAAGAGGCUCUAUGGGUGCUGGAAGAAGCCAUUUUUGGAUGGCUUGAACCAAAAUUACAAGGGAGUUUGGAGGGUCCUUGGAUGCUCAAUGACUAUUGGCUCCAGACCUCUUCACCAUGAACAAAAAUCCAAGCUGGGAGGGAGGUUCAGCUGAAAAGCUUCAUCUGCAGUCGUAAAAGAAAAGAAAAACGUAUAUAAAGCCCUCUUUGAGAAAUUUCUUUGUAUAUAAAUUCUAAGAGAAACUCACACAUAUUUUACCUUUUGGUUGGGGAAGAUCCUUUCUCCAUUCCCUUCGUGUUGGAGACUGCAGUUAAGGGAUGUAGAGAAGAUGGUGGGGAAGAUGGUGUGGAGGAUAGGCAGGGGUUGAAGGAGAGGCGGUGGGCAGCAGAGGUCUCGUUCACUAGUGGAUGGAAUCGAGGUAAGGAAUUCUAAUAUUUUGAAAUGAAAUUUCAUGGAAGGUGUUGUUUAUAGUUUUUGUUUCCGUCGUAUUUGUGCGGCACCUAAACGACAAAAUUAUGAUGAUGGGAAUCCCUAACUAAGACUAAAAGUGAUGCUUUUCUUUUUUCCUUUUUUUCUUCAAUUUAAGUAUUUUGAUAAUAUUAGUUUUUAUAGAUAUUGAUGGGAAAAUUCUAAGAAAUUUAUUAGAUUCUAGUACGAAAUCCACGUCAAAGUAGGAUGCUAACUAAAAGUCAAUAGAGCUCUGUGACCUUUCACAUUAGAAAAUAGUUGGAUUCAUGUAGAAGAUGCAAACUUUCCCUCCACACCCAAUGUAAUAUUCCAUUUUUUUUUUCUAAUUUUAUUUUUCCCUCUAGUUCCAAUAUUUGUACAACUUCAUCCUUAUUUAGUUUAUUUCCUUUUCUAUCUAAUAUUUAUUUUGAUAUUUUACAACUUGAAUUUACAGAAUAUCUUUUGUUCGAUAAUUUUUUGUUUUAAUUUUUAUGAAAAAUAUUGGUUUUUAUAGAUAUUUCGGUAAACCACAAUUAUAAUUUUCUUAAGAAUUUUAAAAAUUAUAAUAAUGAUUUUUAUACUUUUAUUAAUUAAUUAAAAAUUUUAAAAUAAAAUAAUUAGAAUUGGUUGAUUUACUUUUUUAAUAAUAAACUUUAAGAUAUUUAUUGUGAAUAUAUAUUAAAUAACAUAAAUUUAGCCCAAGGGUAGCUGGGCUCAUAUCCAAGCCUUUUGCUUGGGUUCGAAUCCCUUAGGCACAGGUGUUGGUAGAAAAAUUUCCUCCAUUUCGGGGAAAAACUCACCUUUUGGUGUGGAAUACUUUCAUCUAUGUAUUUAUGAUAUUGUUCUACAAAAUUUUCCGAAAAAGUUUUUUGUUUCUUGUUUUCCUUACUUUUCCAACUAUUUAAUUCUUUUUAAAUACACCGAUGAGUCACUUCAAGGCAACAAUAAUCCAUGUAAUUAUUUUUAUUUUUUGUUUUUAUAAUAUGUGUAUGGCUUAGAGAUGGCAAGCAUGAUAAUGAGAAAUCUCGAGUUAAAUUUAAACCAUGUUUUUUUUAGUAAUUGAUUAUCUACCUUGCCUUUCAUUUUGAUGUUUUACUUCUAACAUAUAUGACAUUUUAGUUUGGUGUUCUCCUUGGACUUUAAUUAUGGAGCUAAUUCUUAUAAUUAUUGGUAGGAAAUUUCUUAUGACCAUCAAGAAAUUUAAUUAAUCUUGCUAUAGAAAUUGAUAUGAAAGUAGGCUAUUAACAAAAGGUCAAUAGACCUCAAUGUUCUUUUACAUUGAAAGAUAGUGAAAUUUACAUGGAAAAAAUAACUAAUGCUAUAAAAGUUUGUAUGAAAACAAUGUUAUUUACAAAAGGUCAAUAGACGUCAAUGUCCCUUCACAUUGAAAGAUAGUGAAAUUUACAUUGAAAAAAGCAACCAAGCCUUGCAUGCGAAGUUUCAUUUUUGCAUUUUUUUUUUCCUUUUUCUUUUUAUGUUUUCCCAUUGGGCAUUAUCUAUCUAUCUAUCUAUAUACAUAUAUACACCUCAUUUCUACAACUUUUUUUGCUCAACUUUCUUUUUCUUUUGUUAUUUGUAUUUAGUAACAAUGGGUUCAUUUGACAUUCAUUCCAAAGCCUCCUUUUUUUGUCCUAAAAUUAUUCAAAUGAUGAUAUCAUAUAAGGAAUUUCUUAAAUAGAUGCUUGUAAAAAUUAUAUCAAUUUAUAAUACUUUUAUUCUAAAAAAAUAUCAUCUCCUUUUCUUUAAUAUUUACCCUUUAAUCAUUGUUGCAAAAUGAUAAAAUUAAAGUAAGUGAAAUUAUGCUUUAUUUGAUAUUGAAGUGUAGGUAAGAAAAUAAAUGGAUAAAAGUGUAACAUAGAACUUUUCUUCUUUUUCCUUUUCCCAUUUGAAAGGUGUUUGUAGUUGAAGUAAAAAAAUAUCAAGUGGCAUAACAAAAAUAUAGGAUUCACGAAAAGAGUCGAAUUAAAGGUCUUUGAUGACUAUCUUUUGCAUUUUCUUUUUUUCUUUUUUCCUUUCAAUAUUCAAUAACCACUCUUCUCUUUUAGUAGUUGUCUUGAACUUUGAUGACAAUUGCACAAAGGCUUUUACGAAAUUUGCUUGAAGGCAUACUACCAUCCAAGGAAAAUUGCAUGAAAAUAUUUCAUAUCAUUUCUUGAAAUUUAAAUCUUGGUAAGAAAUUGGUUUAAAGGUAAGCUACUACCAAAGUUUAGAAGAUAGAAUGUCUUUCACACGAUUUCUCAUGUUUGGGUAACAUGAAAAAAAUAACGUUUUUUUUUUUCAUUUUUCUUUUCUUUUUCUCCUUUUUGGCAUUCAUUGGUGACUAGAUAUACACAUAUAGUAUAAUUUUUAUAAGUAUUCCCUUUAAUGUUUUUUUCCAAAAUAAUAUUUGAGGAACCUUGAUUAUACCCUUUUAUUAUAUUUUUUUUCAGAAAAAAGAAAAAAUCUUUUAUGCAUGUUGUUCAUAUCAUAUAUGAUAAUUUAAUUAAAUUUUAGUUACAACUUUGAGUCACUCAAAGCCCACAAAAUCCAUUUAAUAAUUUUUUGUUUAAAUAUUUAUAUAGCCAGAGGUGCCAAAUAUAACUAUAAGAGAUCAAUGGAUAUGAAUAUAAAAAUGACUAAAACUAUACAAUAGUUUUCCUUUUUAUAUAUUUACUUUCUAAUUUUGUAGCUAUUUUGCACUUUCAUAAAAACUUUUAUAAACUUUGUGUGAAAUUUGCAUGAAGAUAGUUCAUAUACUUGUAUGUAUGUAUCUAUAUACAUAUCAAAUCACUUAAUGAUAGUUGGCUUCACAUGGAAAAAGCAAAUAUUGCCUCUUCACUUAAUUAUUAUAGUAAUGUGAUAUUUCAUCUUGCAAUUUUUAUUUUCAUCCCUUGGCAUUAAAUACUAUGCUAUUAUUUAUAAUACUUCUAUUUUUUCUUAAACUACUUUUUUUUAUUUGAAUUUAGUAAUAGUGGGUUCUCUUAACAUUCAUUUCAAAGCCUUCUUAUUUGUUCUCAAAUUAUUCAAAAGAUGAUAUCAUAUAUUGAAUUUAUGAAAUAGAUGCUUCCAAAAGUUAUGUCAAAUGAUAGUAUUUUUCAAAGAAAAAAAUAUUUUCCCUUUUUCUUUAAUAUUUAUCCUUUUGUCAUUGCUACAAAAUAAGUGCAAUUAUACUUCAUUUGAUGAUUAAUAAAGAAAAAAUGUUAUUUUUUCUUGAUUAAAUAUUUAUCCUUUAAUUAUUUUUGCAAAGUUAAAUUAGAGUUUUCAUGAAUGCCUUUUCUACUACAAUUAUGAAAUUUAAAAUUUCUCAGUACAUUGAAAUCUCUCAAAGAAAUUGAGAAACCAAUCUUUUAACUAACUCCUUGAAGAACUUAUCAUAAAUAACGUAGUGGAAAAGAUAAGUAUCAUGGUUGAAAUUCAAAAUAAUAUUUGCAACUUAAAGAUUUCUUUGAGCAUUAAAGUUUAGUGCUAUAUUAUAAUAGCAACUAAAAAGACAUUUUUUGCUCAUUUUUCCCAUUUAUUCUUUUGAAAGUAUGAAAAGAAAACUACAAGUUAUAUAAUAAAAGGGAGGAAAAAUCUUUAAUCUUAAUAAGUGAGAAGAAAGAACAAAGUUUCUAUAAGAUUUUCAUGAAAUUUAUGUGAAAAAAGGUAAUGCAUAAAAGUAAAUAAAAUUUGAAAUUCUUUGCAUACUUUAAAUUUAUAUAAUUGGAUCGGUUGACAAUGUUGUCCUUGUCCUACAUCAAUAUAUGAUAGUAAAAGCACAACCUCCUUAAUAUACUUGUUGUAACCACCCACAACCAAUCGUGUAAAUAUUAUUCACUCUAGGUCCAAAUGUGUCCUUACGAUUUUAAAAUGCAUCUAUAUGGUUUGAUGUGAGUUGUUACAAAUUGUAUCAAAACUACUAGGGUAGUUUGUUUGUUCCUUAGGAGGUGUUUGUUUGUUUGACCCCGUAAUUCUAUGAGAUACAACAAAGACGUUGUAUUUGCAUGAGAGUGUUUGUAAUAUCUCACAUCGGAUAGAGGAGAAAACUAUUAAGGCUAUGUACGUAAAUGCGUUUGUUUUAACUUUAUAGACACCUUUUAAAGUAGUAAGGGCCCAUUUGGACCAAGAGUAGACUAUAUCUACAUGGUUAGGUGCAGAUCGUUACACUUGUAAUUUCAUUGAUUUAAUUCAUUUUUUUUACUUUUUUAUUUUAAAUUUUAAAUUUUUUUUUUUUUUUUUUUGUUGCUUUGAUAUCCCUCAUCACCACUUUGCUUUUGCACUUAAGGAGCAUCAUUUUUCAAUAUUUUUUCUUUUUUAAUUAAUUUUGUUAUUAUUGUUUGGAUUUUCACUCAAAUAUUUAUAAGAAUAAUAGAAAGAUAUUCUUUUAUGUAUAAUUAGUUUUAUAAACUAUGACUAAACUCAAGUAGUUAUCUAUCAAAUAGUAAGACUAUAUUUCUUAUCAUCUAAAUCAAAUUUUGAAGUUACCCAAUUAGAAACAUUUCUAAAAAAGAGGAAUAUCAACAACCUUUUUAUUUAUUUAUUUUGAACGAGGAAUGUUAAUAUUUUGUCAUCAUUUUAUAAAUAUAAGUAAGAUUUAAAAAAAAUAGCAAAAAAUAAAAAUAAAUAAGGCAUAAAAAUUAGAAAAUUGGAUGGAUGAAAGUAUAGCAUACAACUUUUUUUUUUCAUUUGAAAGGUAUUUGUAGUUAAAGUAAAAAAAAAUAUCAAGUGCUAUUACAAAAACAUAGGAUUUUCAAAAAGAACUUAAAAUAUAUCCAUUAUGUAAAUUGUCUACAUAUAGUCAAAUAAUAAUAUUAUGGGUUUUUUUAUUAUACUUAUGAACAUAAAUUUUAAAUUACACAAACACCAAAAAGAAUUGAAAGCAAGAAAAUUAAGUGUACAAAACGUAUUAAAUUAUUUAGUAAGAUAAAACAGACUAUCAAUAACAUAUAUUAGAAUAAUAUGAAUAAGCAACCUAUUUCUACAAGAGAAAAUUUUGAAGUUUUUAGGAAUAUUAAAAGUAUAUAAUAACAUAUUAAAGAUUCAUUCCAAAUUUUUUCCAUGAAAUAAUUUCAAGUCAUGGGAAAUUCAUAAUCAAUUUAGAAUAAUUUUAUAUGAAAUUUUAAUAUUUUAAAUUAAAUAAUGUUUUUCUAUAUCUUUGUAACCAGCAAUGACUUGAAGUCAGUGACACUUCCCCCCUCUCUCUAAAAUACUUCUUUCUUGUCUCUCUUUGAAAGGUUUGAACUUGUGAAAGGAUUCCAUAUCAUUUUUCAAGGUAGGAAAAAAUUUUCUAUCUUUAUUUUUCUCUCUUUGAAUGAUUUACUGCCAUGUUAAUGAAAAUUGGAAACUUACAAAAAUAUUAAGAAAAAACUUCAAAAUAUGAUAAAAUAAAAAUACUUUGAAAAAUAUAAUACAUAUAAUAUUUUUGUGAUAUUUUGUGAUAUUUUGUGAUAAUAUAUAGAAUUUAAAAACAUAUUAUUAUUAAAAUUAUAAUAUAUUUAGUUUGAUUAUAUAAAAUAAGUGAUACUAUAUAUAUGUAUAAAUAUUUUUAUUUAAAAAUAUUGAUAAUGUUAUUUUUUUAUUUAAUUAUUAUACAAAAGAUACUAAUAUAAUUAAAAUUGAUUUUUAAUUUAUAAUAUAUUUAUCUAUAUAUUUGUAUUAUAUAUAGUUUAGACGUGUAAUAUAACCAAAGUAGUAGCUUGGGUCUAAUUAACGGUCGCACCAUUCACCCGUAAGCAUUGGGUCAUGGGUUCGAUUCCACAACCAAUCUUGUUGCUUCUAGUGGUUUUCUUAAGCUUUGAUGACAAUCUCCCAAAGCCUUAUUAGAAAUUUGCUUGCAAAAAAGCUACCAUCCGAAGUUUAAUGGUCCAAAGUUCAAUGAAUUACCAGGAAAAUUUACAUGAAUUUCACAUCAUUUCUUAAAAUUUAGUCUUGCUAAGAAAUUGGUUUGAAGGCAUGCUACUACCAAAGUUUAAUAAACCAAGGAAAAUGGAAGACAUUUCACACUAUUUCUCGAAAUUGGGAUCCUAGUAGAAAAUUUCUUUCAAGAUAGGCCAAAAACAAAAUUGAAUAAACCAAGGAAAUUAGCAUGAUGACAUUUCACACUAUUUAGUUACAUGAUUGUUGGGUAUUACCUAAAAUUCAAAAGACCAAAGAAAAUUUCCUCUCUAUAGUUGGCUUUAUGUAGAAAAAGCAAUCCUUGUCUCAUUUUUUAUAUUGAUAUAAUGUUUAUUUGUUGUUGUCAUGCAUUCAAUAAUAUAUACUACAACUACGUACUACCAUUUUUCCCAUCUAUCAUUGGCUUAAGUUAAAUCUCAUUCUUAAACAAUUGAUAAUAUAUACAACUACUAAUAGUAUACUACUAUUACUACUACUAUACUAUUUCUACUAGUAGUAGUAUACAUUCUAAUUCUUUAUAGUAAUGUAAUAUUUACUACUACUACUAACUACACAUUCUAAUUCUUUAUACUACUACUACUAAGUAUGCUACAAUAAUUACUAUUAGUAGUAUAAUACUAUUACUACUACUCCUACUAUUAGUAUACUACUAUUACUACUAUUAGUAGUAUAUUACUAUGCCUACUACUAGUACACAUUCUAAUUCUUAAUAAUAGUGUAAUAUUUAUUCUAAUUCUUUAUAGUAAUGUAAUAUUUAUUUAUUUUUAUCAUGCAUUCAAUAAUAUAUACUCAAUAAUAUAUACUACUUCAUUACUACUACUACUACUACUACUACUACUACUACUACUACUACUACUUCAUUUGACAUUUAUUUCAAAGCCUCCUCAUGCAUCCUCAAAUUAUUCCAAAAAAAAAAACAUAAAUAAUUUUUUAGAAAAUUAAUGCUUAUAAAAAUUAUAUGAAAAUAAUCGUUAUUUUAAAAGAAAUCUCACCCCAUUUUCUUUAAUAUUUGAUGACGAAUAUAAUAUAAUUAAAAAGAGUACUCUAUUGUACAAAUCAUGUAACUUCUAAAGUAUCUCUAUUUAGGGCUUGUUUGAAACCAUAGAAUAAAGCAUGGGAAUGAGUUAAUGUGUUUGGAUUAUUUUUGGAAUAAGAAUAGGGAUACAAAUUCAUUGUUAUGGAAACCAAAUUCCAUUAUCACUAGGAUUUUUAUUCCUUUAUCUUAUCUUACAUUGGAUUAGGAUUCACCCUAUCCUCAUUCUAUUUCCAUUCCUAAUUUCAUGUACCAAACGAAACCUUAGACCAUGUUUGGUAUGUAGGAAUUGAGAUGAGAAUAAACAUUUUGUUUCCAUUCUUAAUUGAUCUUGAAUAAAAUUAAAUUUGGUAAUUCCAAUUCUUAUAUUUGGAUGCACUUAUAAAUGGAAUGUUGGAAUGAUCAUUUGUUUUCAUUUUAAUGUUUGAUAACAAUAGGUAUGAAAUUAAUUUUCUCAUUAGAAGAACAAAAACCUUAGAAUAUAAUGAAAAGUUUAAUAAAGUUGAAAGGAGGAAAUCAAUAAAGAAAUGAUAUUUUUAACUUUCUUAAGUUUAAUUUGUACACUUUUUUUAUAUUAAAUUCAAUUUUUAAAUUUGUAAUUAUUUAACCAAAUCCAAAACAACAUACUUAGCUUCAAUUUAUGUUUCCAACUUGUAUAUGUUAAUAUAUAUAUAAGACUUAGUGGUAGUAAAGUAGUUUUGAACCAAUAACCUGUAGAGCAAAUUUGUCUACUUAAACUAGUACUUUGACAAUCUCAUCCUUUGAAAAUUUUGGAACAAUACAAAAUAUUGCAAUACAACCCUCUAAAACUCUGAAAUUAAGAUCCUAAAGUUGCUCGACCUAAUCCUUACCAAAGAUCACUCACUAUAAAUAACACCUUCUUAUCUUUCUUUUUUUGCAUAAAUAUGUCACCUCAAAACACCUCCUCUUGAAUUUGAUUGCUUGUUCUUAAUUUGACAUUCUCUUUCCCUUUUAGAUUUAAAAAAAACAAACAAACAAACAAAUGGAGUAGCAAAUUAAAAAAGGGUGUGAAUUCAACUUGAUAAGAGUUUAAUCAAAAUUGGAAAUUUGCUUGUAAUAUCUAACUUGCCUAAAUGAAUAAGGAUGUAUGGGUUGAUCAAUUGAGCUUUAGGCCCUUGAAUAAUCAUCUCAACUUUCACUUUCAAUUGCUUGAGAUAUUUCAUUUGGAUAUCAAUCAAACCCAAGGUUGAGACAUUAAAUUGUACGUGUGUUAGUUUUUAUGAUAAACUAGUUUCACAAAAUGGUUGAUGCUUCAAAAGUAAUAACUUAGUUAACAAAUACAAUGCCAUAAUUUUAUAUUUUUGCUCAUUUGACGUGUGUGGGAACAAAAACUAACAUGGAUCUUAAAGUAUUCCAAAACAAAAUACUUGGAAUUGAAAUAUUCUUUCCCACCUAAUAUUCAGGGUGGUGCCAUCACAGCUUCUCUCCACAUCAGUAUUAGUAUCUUCUACUGCUGAACUGGUGUCACAGCUUACUUCUACGUUGUACAAUUGUGAGAUUGUUCUGUUCAUAAUCAUGGGCAUAUAGAAAGUGGAAGCCACACCUUGCCGCUUUCACUGGUUUAAUACCAAAGUAGGCAUUAAAUGAAGCGUUCAAGGUUCUCCAUUCAUUUGAGUGAUAUCUCUUGGGAAAACGGGACUUAGGAUAAUAUAUCAAGCACCCUUGACUUGAUAUAUUAUGUAUCAAGUCAUAGCAGAAUUCACAAAAUUGAAUAGACUCAUAGGAAAAAUAUGCACUGUUACCAUCGAAAUUCAAUUUACAGUUGAAACGCUUAUAUCUUUUGGUCUUAAUCUCAAGUGGAACACAAAGAGAGCACAGAACAAAGCCCAAGAAGUCAUCAUUUUCAUACCAACUCCAAGGAAGUUUCAUUGUUAUUUUCAACCCGCUUUUCUGAUGGCUUAUCCACUCCGGAAUACUUUCAGCAAUAAAAGCUGUGACAAGUCCAAAUUCACGCCCCUGCACAAAAAUUACCCUCUGAAUUUUGUCUCCAUGAAAAGAAAGGUUAAAUGAUAUAUGAAAACCAUACCUGAAUUUGGGAUUUAAAACAUUUGAAUAAAGAAGACCAGAGUAGAUUUGAUUGACUGGAUAAAUUUUCCAGGGAUGUGCAGUGAUGGACAUCUAGAUACCUUAAACCUGAUGGAAGUUCUGGAAUAUGUUGAAGCAUCUUGCAGUGACUCAAGACAAGAAGUUUUAGGUUGUAAAGUUGACUGAUCCCAUCAGGUAUGCGACUAAAGUGGUUCCCCCCCAGAUAUAAUGAUACCAGUGAUGAUAGGUAAUAAAUUUCACUGGGAAAUUCCCUUAGAUUGCAGCCUUGAAUCUCUAAUGUCCUCAAGGAGCAUAAACCGGACAAAGACGGCAAUGGAAAAUUCAUUGAAUCUAAAUGCCCAACACUAAGAUGAAGUAAAGAUUGUAGUCUCCCCAAGUUGUCUGGCAAUUUCUUGAAGUUUGGACAGCUUUCGACAAUGAGAACUUUAAAAGAUGUCAAAUUACAAAUACUCUCGGGAAGAUUCACGAGGUUUUUGCAGUUUGACAGAACCAAACAUUGAAGCCCUCUUAGACGUUGAAUUGAUGAUGGUAUCUCUUUCAUGGCGGUUCCAUCUAAAUAAAGCUUUCUCAAGCUCUCCAUCUCUUGCAGGAUUUCUGGAAAGCUCUCUAGUUGUGAACAGCCAGAGCAGCGGAGAGUUGCAAGGGAUUUGAAACCAAAAAUUCUACUGGGCAGACUCGUAAGAUUUUUGCAAUUCCGCAGACAUAAUCUAUCAAGUUCUAAGGGAUUCUCGAUAAUGGGCACUUCAUUCAUGUCACUGCCCUCAAAACACCGCUUCCGUCGAAGCGCCCCAUCCCAUUGGCAUGCAAUGCAUAUUCUAACAUCUGCACCCUCUGUCUGUGUUGUUAAUGGAUGGCUUUGUUGAAGGUCUUGGGAGUAUAUAAGGCGGACUCCACACUCCUUCACUUUCACGGAAUUCUCAGAAUUAUUGUAAGAGUACUUAAAUGAAGUCCAAAUGUGAGUCCAUUGACAAGAGUGAAACCUUUCCGGAAUAGCCGCCUUGGAAUAGCAAACCACCCAUACACUCUCAUUAUCUUCGUCCUUGUCUUCUUUAUAGCAAAAACAAUUGGAUCGAAAGCAGGGAAGAUCUACAAUUCUUUCAGAUCCAAAUCUCUCAUCACUGAUACGCAGAGCACACUUCAGACGACAAGAAUGUGUAUGUUUAUGUUCAUUCUUACGAGAAGAUUCAGCCACAGAUUUAUCAUCUGUUUCAUUCUUCCAUGUAUGAGUAGAUUCAUCCUCAGAUUUAUUGUCUGAUUCAUUCUCGGGCCCAUGUGCAGAUUCCUUUUUGGGUAUGUCCUCAGAUUCAUCAGCAAGUGGAACAAAAACACAGCCUAUAGCGAAUCCCACAAACUCAUUAUUUUGGUGCCAAUUCUGAGGGAGCUCUGUUCUUGUAAGAGAUCUAUUUCCCCAAUUCAUUAUCCAUUCUGGAAUUCCAUCACUUCCGGGAAGAACAAUACAAGUUCCCUUGCCAUGGUAGGAAGAAUCACUAAAACUAGUGCGUUUCAAAUCCUGCACCAAAGCACCAUGUAAAUAUAGAGUUUGCAUAUAACUAGUGUUUGACAUGAAAAUGAUACCUGUGCCCAACUGAAGCAAUUGACCAGAGAAUGCAAUGGCAAAAACGGGGCUCUUGAUGAAGUGCGAUUUGAACCGUGUGCAUCUAAAAGCCGUAGACGUGAUGGAAGCUCUGGAAUUUGUUCAAGAUUGUUGCAGUGACUAAGGUUAAGGACUUCCAGCCUGGAAAGCUGAUUGAUGGUAGUAGGUAUGCUACUAAAAUGACCCCGUUCCAGAUUUAGUUUCUGUAAUGAUGAUAAAUGGCAAAUAUCACUAGAAAUUCCUCCUUCCAUUAUGUUGAAGUGACCUAGGUCCAAUACUUUCAAUGAUGAUAAGUGGCAAAUAUGAUUAGGGAUUUGGUGGAGCUUUAAACACUCUUGAAGUAGGAGAGUUUGAAGACCAUUUAGAUGUGUAAUUGAUGAUGGUAAGUCCAUUAUAGCUGUUCCACUCAAAUCAAGCACCCUUAGCUCUCUCAUAUCGCCUUUGAUUUCUGGAAAUCUCUCUAGCUUUGAACAGCCAUUGCAAGACAAAGUUUGAAGGUGUUUCCACUUGUAAAUGCCUCUUGGAAGAAGCUCCAGGUUUACACAUCCUGCAAGAUUCAAGGGAAAAAGAAAUAAAAAAAAAAAAGAACAAGUUAGUUUUAGUAAUUAUAAUACUGCUGCACCAAUCUUUUAAGUGCAUUGUACACCCUUCUAGAGUUAGAAUCUCCAAGUUUGGGACACUUGAGAAGUCUGGGAUUCUGAUGAGAUGGACAGAGUAACUGAGAUCAAUAACCCUCAACUUGUCAUGAAGCUGUAACAAAAUAAUUUUUUUCAAUAGAUAAAUUUAUAUAAAUGUUAAAAAUUAAUAUAAACUUAAACUGUAACUAAAUAAUAAUAACAAUACCUUAUUCCCUCUCCAAAGUUGCUUUAUAUUGCUGUUCCUUAGUAAGAGUUCAACAAGGUUCUUUGCAUGAAAAUUCAUUGGCAAAGAUUCUAAAGGGUAUCCAUCCCAAUGCAGAUAUGUUAACUCAUAAGAAGAGAAUUCAAAGUCCCUUGGAAGGUGGUCUUCAAGAAAUAACUUUCUGCGAGGGUUAUGGAUUUUGAGCAAUCUAAGUCUAUUCAUCUCUUUGAAAGAUUCUGUAGUAAGCUGUGAUGGAUUAAAUUUACAUCUAUCUAGGAAUAGUCCUUCAAUUGCUCUUGUCCCCUGAAAAAUAUAAGACGAGUAGGCAAAACAAAAGAUGCAUUAGACUUAAUUGAGUUAUACACACGGCUAAUUUCUGAAAAAAAAUAAUAAUAAUCAUAUUGAAGCUUGCAUACACACGUAUAUAAACAAGUUCAUGCAUUUGACUCUUACCGUAUUUCUUAUUAGCACAUGAUAGGCAUUCAAAUCCCACAAUCUACUCCUUCUUCCAGGGUCUUUAGGACAUUCUUGACGAAUAAUCUCUCAACCCAUUUGUUGUAUUAAAUCAUGCAUAUCUAGCCUGUUUUUUGAAACAGAUAUGAGACAUCUAUCAUCUAGAGUUGUUAUUGCGUGCUCUACAUGAGGGCCCAAUAUUCUUGAAACAAAAUCUUUGUUAUCUCCUUUGAAAAAGCAUGCAACAUCCAAAAACACCCCCUUGUCUAUAUCAUCGAGUCCAUCAAAACUUAUUCUAAGUACAUUGUGAAUUUCCAUGUGGGAUAUUAUUUUUAGCUUACACAGUGCACUUUCCCAAUUACUUAUUUUCUUUCCAAAAAGAGAAGCACCUAAAACUUUAAGUGCUAACGGAAGGCCAUUAGCAUAAUCUAUAAUAUUGUAUGAGAGGUUUUUAUAAACUUCUUUGGGACGAUUUUGUUUAAAGGCCCACAAACUAAAGAGCUCAAUAGCUUCUUCCUUGUUUAAUUUUGAAACCUCAUAUGGUAUAUCCACCCCAUAUUGAGCAAGCACGUGUUUGUCUCUAGAUGUAAUGAUGAUUGUACUUUUUACCUGAAACCAAUCCUUCUCUUCAGCCAAACAUUCUAGUUGUUUCAACUCAUCCACAUCAUCAAAAAUAACAAGAACUCUAUUGGAGCUUAGACACCUCUUUAUCAUACUAAUUCCUUCGUCAACAUUGUUUAUUUUAAAUUUUUUUCCCCGUAGCAUACCAUGAAGAAGUUCCUGCUGUAAUUGAAGUAUAUCGCAUUUGGAUCUCUCUCUGAUAUUUAUAAGAAAGCUACUACCAUCAUAUUGAUGUGAGAUCUCAUUAUAAAUAGCCUUGGCGAUAGUAGUCUUGCCAACCCCACCAAUUCCAUAUAUCCCUACGACGCUAACCAUAUUUAACUCAGUGUUCAUCAACGAUUUCAAUUUUUCCAAAUGAACACCAAUUCCAACUAUGUUGUUUCCCACACUUAAAGGUUGAUGGUUUACUCUUCUAAUGAUUGUAUCAACAAUUUUGUUGACAACCACAAUCUCAUACCUGCCAAUCAUAUAAAUGAAGUACAAUGUUGAGUUAGAAUGAGUUGCAAAAUAUAAUGAAUUUAGUCGUGUAUGGUGGUGUCCAAUAUUAUUGAAUUAGUAGCAAUGGAAUGAAAAAGAAAGGGGUCAAACCAAUUUACUUACAUAUUUAAUACUCUUACUGUGCCAAGUUGCAAAUUUUCAAUACUCUUACCGUUAGAGCAUUGUGUAGGACUCCUCUAUGAACAAGCUAAUGCCUUCUUUCAACUUUUAUUUCACAAACAACUUGUUUAUGAUUCCUCAAUUUCACUUGUCUUUAGGUUUUAUUAACUUACCAAUACUUACCAAAGUUACAAAGACUCCAUUUUUAGCAUGCCAAUUAAUUUUGCAUUUCCAUAGAGGAAUCAGGAAACAAGUGAAUGUGGAAAAUUUCAUGAUUUGCUUGUUGAUUGGGAACUUAAAUAUGAUUUUAUUUAGAGAAAAUUUAAAAAGGGUUAAAUUUUGAUACUUGUAUUUUUGGACCAACACAAGGGAAAAAUGAAAGUUAGAUUUUGUUAACAAUUUCAUAUUCAUGAGACCUUCAUUAUGAGAAUAAACUUACAAGUAAAAUCAUUCUAAAAGAGCACGAUAGGAAUGUUAAAGGGCAGAGUUUAAGGUAAAUUAAUCCAAAUGAACUCGAAAGGUCAAAGGGACAAAAUAGUUACCCCCUUUGACAUAAUAAAAAUCCAUCAUGAAGAUUACAAAACAAGCUUGGCAUCGAUAUUGUUGCAGUGAGUGAGCACUUAAUUAGUGCAUGGGAAUUAAGACUUGUUGAAGAAUAUAUACGCAAAAAACAAGCAAAAAUGUAAAUUGAAACUCAGGAAACAGAGGGAGAUGCAUGAGAAUCUUUGUAGUAAGUGAGAAUGGAAUUCAUAGGCAUUAUGCAAUUACCAGUGCCUCAUAGCAAAAUAAGAUAUUGAUUAAAAGGGUUUUAAAAACUAAUAUUUGAUUGCACAUAAAAUUUCAAUGUAUUGAAAAUUGCACAUAAAAUCUCUAAAGAAAUAUUCGAUUUAAAGAAAUAUCAAAUAACUUCAAUGCAUUUAAAAUUACAUAUAUAAUCUCCUUUUGAUAUUUUUCUACUCUUGAAGUACUUUUUAUCCAAAAAGUAUUUUAUCGAUUUGAGAUGGAGAUUGAAUAAUUGUUGACAGGCAUUUUUAUCCCUAAAGAAGUCAUAUUUAAUAUUUUUACAAAAUGAAAAUCGUUCUUCCAAAUUUGCAUUUUCAAUAUCCCAUUUAAACAGAUAAACGAGAGGUGAAGAGAAGCAUACUUACUGGUCAUCCACAUGGCAUCCACAUAGAUUAGCUGCUUUUCUCAAGGCAAUCCUCCACUUUUGUAUCAUCUCCUUUUCUUGAUUUGCAUCUCUUUCAUGGUAGGCAAGUGCGUCUCCGAAGCUUCCCCUUUGGUUUCGUACAUCAGAUGAAUCCACAUGGUAGAAAAUUGGUAGAACCAAUGAUUCCUUUUGGCUUUUGCGUUCAAUGAUCUUUACGAGUUCAUUUAAACACCAUCUGGAGUAAGCAUAAUUUUUUGAGAAAAUAAUAAUAAAAAUCCUCGAUUCUUCUAUAGCUCUGAAGAGAUCAGAUGCAAUAUCUCCUCCUUUCUCAAGUUCUUCAUCAUCUCUGAAAGUUUGAAUUCCAUAUGCAGUCAAAAUGGUAUACAGAUGAUCAGUGAAAUUUUUGCGAGUGUCACCACCUUUAAAACUCAAGAACACAUCAUAAUUACGAGAAAUAGUAGAAGAAGAAGAGGCUCUAUGGGUGCUGGAAGAAGCCAUUUUUGGAUGCCUUGAACCAAAAUUACAAGGGAGUUUGGAAUCAAAGAAAAAUAAGAGAGAGGGUCCCUGGAUUCUCAAUGACUAUUGGCUCCAGACCUCUUCACCAUGAACAAAAAUCUAAGCUGGGAGGGAGGUUCAGCUGAAAAGUUUCAUCUGCAGUCAUAAAAGAAAAAAAUAACAUAUAUAAAGCCUCUUUGACAAAUUUCUUUGUAUAUAAAUUCUAAGAGAAACUCACACAUAUAUUUUACCUUUUGGGAGUUCGCUUUGUGUUGGAGACUGCAGUUAAGGGGUGCAGAGAUGAUGGUGGGGAAGAUGGUUUGGGGGAUAGGCCGGGGUUGAAGAAGAGGCUGUGGAUAUUUUGAAGUGAGGUAAGGAAUUCUAAUAUUUUGAAGUGAAUUUCAUGAAAGGUAUUGUUUUUAGUUUUUGUUUCCAUAAUCUUUCUGGUAGGAAAUCCACGUCAAAGUAGGCUACUAACUAAAAGUUAAUAGAGCUCUAUCACCUUUCACAUUAAAAAAUAGUUGGAUAGGCAAACCUUCCGUCCUCACCUAAUGUAAUAUUUCAUUGUUUUAUUUUAUUUUAUUUAUCUCUCUUGUUCCAAUAUUUGCACAACUUCAUCCCUCUUUAGUUUAAUUCCUUUUCUUUGUAAUAUUUAUUUUGAUUUUUUACAACUUGCAUUUAUCCUUCUUUUCAAUAAUUUUCUCCUCAACUUUUAAAAUUAUUAUUUGGUUUUUCUCUUAAGAGUUAACACUACUGCCAUAUAUUGUUUUUCCUUCUUUUGCCAUUAGAGAAAAUAUUUUUGUUUCUUGUUUUCCUUUCUUUUCCAACCAUUUAAUUCUUAUUAAACACACCUUUGAGUCACUUCAAGGCAACUACAAUUCAAGUAAAUAUUUUUAUUUUUUGUUUUUAUAAUAUGUGUGUGGCCUAGAGAUGAUAGGUAUGAUAACGAGAAAUCUUGAGUUAAAACUAAACAAUGCUUCUUUUUUUUUCUUAAUUGAUUAUUUACUUCAUCUUUCAUUUUCAUGUUUUACUUCAAAUAUAUUUUACACUUUAGUUUGGUGUUUCUCUUGGACUUUGAUUAUGGAGUCAUUUCUUAUAAUUAUUGGUAGGAAAUUUCCUAUGGCCUUCCAAGAAAUUAAAAUUUUGCUACAAAAAUUUAUAUGAAAGUAGGCUAUUUACAAAAGGUCAAUAGACCUUGAUGUCCUUUCACAUUGAAAGAUAGUGAGAUUCACAUCCAAAAAGGCAACCAUUGCAUGCAAUGUUUCAUUUUCUCUUUUUUUCCCCUUGGGCAUUAUAUAUAUACACGGAAAAAGCAAUGUAAACUUUACGUGGAAAAGGAAAAUGUCGCCUCCUAAUUAACUUGAUUACUUAUUAUGGUCAUGUGAUAUUUCAUCUUUUUAUUUAUCUCUCUUGUUCCAAUAUUUGUACAACUUCAUCCUUCUUUAGUUUAGUUCCUUUUCUUUGUAAUAUGUAUUUUGAUAUUUUUACAACUUGAAUUUAUAGAAUGUCUUUUUUCAAAUUUUUUUGUUUUAAUUUUUAUGAAAAAUAUUGGUUUUUACUACAUAUGAUAAAUCCGUUUUGUGGAUAUAUUGAGAUAUGUAAAAAAAUAUUGGUGGAUAUUUUAAAACAAAAUAUGGAUGAGAUAAAAAUUGUUCAAAAUUCAUGGAAAUAUUUAGAACAAUUAUAAGAAAUGGAUAUAAAAAGUAAUAAUAAAUAUUUUUAUGUUGUUUUGUUAAAGAAAUUGAUAUAUGUAUGAUAUAAUUUAUAACAUUCAAUAAUAAUAUUUAGAAUUUUAAAGUAAAUUUUAUAUAAAUGUAUCUAAUUUGUAUGUAUUUAAUGACAUAAAAGAAAUGAUAAAAAUAUUAGUAUUUUUUAUUUUAAAAUAUUGAUAAUUUUAUUUGUAAAUAUAAAAAACCAUAUAUUAAUUUAUGCACAUGUAAUAUAAUUUAUAAUGUGAUCUAUAUAUAAAAGACAAUCUUAAUGUAAUAUACAUAAAUAAAUAAAUAUUGUAUAUGUAUAAGAUAUACGUAACACUAUAAUAUUAACAAAGUUAGCUUGGUAGUUGGUGGCGUGUUGCUCUUACUCUAUGGCUGAGGUCAUGGGUUCUCACACCCAUCCUUCCACAAUGAUUUAAUUCUUUUUUAAAGGUAAGAGGUCGAAUCCCACAUCGGCCAGCCACAGCACUUAAAAACCUGCUCAUAGACCUUUGGCAGAUACCAAACUUCGAAUGCGCAUGACCGGCUAGGCCGACGUGGACGCAAAAUUUUUCAAAAAGCUUGAUUUAUCUCCGAGCCGAGAUAUUGCCGAGACAUCCACCAACUGCAUCAUGUUGGAUGUUACCGACAGACGAAAUAUUUCCCGCUACUUUCAUCUUGAUCAUACCCAAUUAAUUAAUGUGAAUAAACGUUGCUAGGGUGUUUUUUUGUUUGCAAAUAUUUGUUUGUAUGCUUAUGCAUAUAAUACUCUUCCAAUCUUCAAUAUAUAUAUAGAAUAUUCUUCUAUAUAAAUUUUUUGAGAAAAGUGUUUUGUUCCUUGCUUUUCCAACUAUUUAAUGCUUUUUAAAAACACCUUGAGUCACUUCAAGGCAACAACAAUCCAGGUAAUUAUUUUUAUUUUUUGUUUUUAUAAUAUGCGUAUGGCUUAGAGAUGGUAGACAUGAUAAUGAGAAAUCUUGAAUUAAAAUUAAACCAUGCUUUUUUUAGUAAUUGAUUAUUUACUUUGUCUUUCAUUUUGAUGUUUUACUUCUAAUAUAUCUAACAUUUUAGUUUGGUAUUCCCCUUGGACUUUGAUUAUGGAGCUAAUUCUUAUAAUUAUUGGUAGGUAAUUUCUUAUAACCAUUAAGAAAUUUAAAUCUUGUUAUAGAAAUUGAUAUGAAAGUAGGUUAUGUAUAAAAGGUCAAUAGACUUCAAUGUUCUUUCACAUUGAAAGAUAGUGAAAUUUAAAUGGAAAAAAUAACUAAUGUUACAAAAAAUUGUAUGAAGACAAUGUUAUUUACAAAAAGUCAAUAGACCUCAAUGUCAUUUCAUAUUGAAAGAUAGUGAAAUUUACAUAUAAAAAAAAAUGCAACCAAGCCUUGCAUGCAAAGUUUCAUUUUCAUUUUUUUUUCUUUCUAUUUUUAUGUUUUCCCCUUGGGCAUUAUCUAUCUAUCUAUAUAAAUAUAUAUACACCUCAUUUCUACAACUUUUUUUGCUUAACUUUCUUUUUCUUUUGUUAUUUGUAUUUAGUAACAAUGGGUUCAUUUGACAUUCAUUCCAAAGCCUCCUUUUUUGUCCUCAAAUUAUUCAAAUGAUGAUAUCAUAUAAGGAAUUUCUUAAAUAGAUGCUUGUAAAAAUUAUAUCAAUUUCUAGUACUUUUAUUCUAAAAAAAUAUCAUCUCAUUUUCUUUAAUAUUUAUCCUUUAAUCAUUGUUGCAAAAUGAUAAAAUUAAAGUAAGUGCAAUUAUGCUUUACUUGAUAAUAAUAAGAAUUUCAAAAUCUCUUCGCCUCAAGAUAUUGAAGUCUAAGUAAGAAAAUAGAUGGAUAAAAGUGUGACAUAAAACUUUUCUUCUUUUUCCUUUUCCCAUUUGAAAGGUAUUUGUAGUUGAAGUAAAAAAAAUAUCAAGUGACAUAACAAAAAUAUAGGAUUUGCAAAAAGAGUCAAAGGUCUUUGAUGACUAUCUUCUGCAUUUUGUUUUUUGCUUUUUGCUUUCCUCCUUUCAACAUUCAACAACCACUCUUCUCUUUUAGUAGUUGUCUUGAACUUCGAUGGUAAUUGCGCAAAGCCUUCUAAGAAAUUUGCUUGAAGGCAUACUACCAUCCAAAGUUCAAUAAAUCAAAGAAAAUUGCUUGAAAAUAUUUUAUAUCAUUUCUUGAAAUUUAGAUCUUAGUAAGAAAUUGGUUUAAAGGUAAGAUGCCAUCAAAGUUUAGAAAAUAAAAUGUCUUUCAUACUAUUUCUCAUGUUUAGGUAACAUGAAAAAAACAAUAGUUUUUUUUUUUUUUUUCAUUUUGCUUUUGUUUUUCCUCUUUUGGCAUUCAUUGGUGACUAGUUAUAUACACAUAGUAUAAUUUUUAAAAGGAUUUCUUUUAAUUUUUUUUUCCAAAAUAAUAUUUGAGGAACCUUGAUUAUACCCUUUUAUUAUAUUUUCUUGAGAAUAAAAAAAAAGAAUCUUUUACGCAUGUUAUUCAUGCUAUAUAUGAUAAUUUAAUUAAAUUUUAGUUACAACUUUGAGGGGCUUGAAGCCCACAAAAUCCAUUUAAUAAUGUUUUUUUUUUCAAAAUAUUUAUAUAGCUAGAGGUGCCAAAUAUAACAAGAAGAGAUCGAUGGAUAUGAAUACAGAAAUGAUUAAAAAAAGUAUACAAUAGUUUUCCUUUCUAUGUGUUUACUUUCUAAUUUGGUAGCUCUUUGUACUCUCAUAAAAACUUUUAUAAAUCUUUGUGUCAAAAUUGUAUGAAGAUAAUCCAUAUACAUGUGUGUAUUAUAUAUCACUCAAUGAUAGUUGGUUUCAAAUGGAAAAAGCAAAUAUUGCCUUCUAACUUUAUUAUUAUCGUAAUGUGAUAUUUCAUCUUCCAAUUUUAUUUUCAUCCUUGGCAUUUAAUACUAUGCUAUUUAUAAUACUUUCUCUUCUUUUUUAAAACAUUGUUGUUAUUUGAAUUUCCAAAUCCUCCUUAUUUGUUAUCAAAUUAUUCAAAAUAUGAUAUUUGAUUUAUGAAAUAGAUGCUUGUAAAAUUUAUGUCAAAUGAUAAUAUUUUUUAAGAAAAAAAAUAUUAUUUCCUUUUCUUUAAUAUUUAUCCUUUUGUCAUUACUACAAAGUGCAAUUAUCUUCAUCAUCUCUGAAAGUUUGAAUUCCAUAUGCAGUCAAUGUGGUAAAUAGAUGAUCAGUGAAAUUUCUGCGAGUAUCGCCGCCACCUCGAAAACUCAACACGUCAUAAUUACGAGAAUUAGAAGUAGUAGAAGAAGAGGCUCUAUGGAUGAUAGAAGAAGCCAUUUUUGGAUGACUUGAACCAAAAUUACAAGGGAGUUUGGAAUCCAAGAAAAUCAGAGAGAGGGUCCCACAUCGGUCAGCACAGAACUUAAAAACCUGCUCACAGACCCUUUGGCAGGUAGCAGUGUUUAACUGCGUGUGGUUGGCUGGGCCAUAGCUCACGUAAAAGUUUUCGAAAGGGCAAUUUAUCUCUUUGCAGAGAUAUCCACCUACUGCACCCUGGUUGCAAACUUUGCAACCCAUGGUUUAGUUUGAAAUAUCCGUACAUAUGUAUUUGGAUUUGACCGAUAUAUGGGUUAUUAAGGAAUAUAAAUUAUUUAAAAUUCAUAAAAAUAUUUAAAAACUAGAAUAUAUGGUAUUAAUAAUUUAUUAUUUAUGUUAUUAAAUUAAUUUUAAUUUAUAAAAUAUUAUAACUUCUUUAUUUUUUAUUUUAGUAAUUUUUAAAUAAAUUUAUACUUCUAAUAUUUAAAAUUUUAAAAUAUAAAUAUAAAAAAUUUAAAAGUAAAAUGAUAAUAAUUUUUAAAAAUAAAAUUAAUGAAAUAAAUGAUGAUACAUUUAAUAUUAAAAUUAUAAUUUAUUUAAUUUAAAUACAUUCAAUAAUGUAAAAUAAAUAUUGAUGCAUAUAUGAUUUUUUACAUAUUUAUAAUUUUUAUAUUUAAUUAUCACAUAAAUGAUAUAAAAAAAAGACUUAUUUUAAAAAUUAUAAUAAUGGUUUUUAUACUUUUCUUAAUUAAUUAAAAAAAUUAAAUAAAAUAAUUUGAGUUAAUUUAUUUAUUGUGAAUGCAUAUUAAUAAACAUUAAUUUGACCCAGUUGUAGCUGGACUAACAUCCAAGCCUUUUGCUUGGGUUCGAAUCCCUUUGGCAUCUUUUGGUGUGGAAUACUUUCAUCUAUGUAUGAUAUUCUUCUAUAUAAGAUUUUCUUGAAAAGUUUUUAAUUUCUUGUUUUCCUUACUUUUCCAACUAUUUAAUUCGUUUUAAAUACACCUUUGAGUCACUUCAAGGCAGCAAUAAUCCACCUCAUGAUUUUUACUUUUUGGCUUUAUAAUAUGUGUAUGGCCCAGAGACGGCAAGCAUGAUAAUGAGAAAUCUCAGAGUUGUUUUUUUUGGUAAUUGAUUAUUUACUUUGCCUUUCAUUUUCAUGUUUUACUUCUAAUAUAUCUGACAUUUUAGUUUGCUAUUCCCCUUGGACUUUGAUAUGUAGUUAAUUUUUAUAAUUAUUGGUAGGAAAUUUUCUAUGACCAUCAAGAAAUUUAAAUGUUACCCGGAUAUAGAAGUAGGCUAUUUCCAAAAGGUCAAUAGACCUCAAUGUCCUUUCACAUUGAAAGAUAACGAAAUUUACAUUAAAAAAAAGCCAUCAAGUCUUCCAUAUGAAGUUUUAUUUUCAACUUUUUUUUUUCCCUUGAGCAUUAUCUAUCUAUCUAUAUCAUAUAUACACCCAUUUCUACAACUUUUUCUUUUUGCCUAACUUUCAUUUUUUUACUUUUAUUUUAUUUUCAUUUAGUAAUAUGGGUCCAUUUGACAUUCAUUUCAAAACCUCCUUUUUUUUGUUCUCAAAUUAUUCAAAUGAUUUGCAUAUAAUUACUCAAAUUAUAUGACAUUUAUAAGGAAUUUUUUAAAUAGAUGCUUGUAAAAAUUAUAUCAAUUUAUAAUACUUUUAUUCUAAAAAAAAUAUCAACUCCUUUUAUUUAUCCUUUAAUCAUUAUUGCAAAUGAUAAAAUUGAAAUAAGUGCAUUUAUGCUUUAUUUCAUACUAAUAAGAAUUUCAAAAUAUCUUCACCUCAAGAUAUUAAAGUGUAGGUAAGAAAAUAGAUGGAUAAAAAGUGUGACAUAUAACUUUUCUUCUUUUUCCUUUUCCCAUUUGGAAGGUGUUUUGUAGUUGAAGUAAAAAAAUAUCAAGUGGCAUAACAAAAAUGUGGGAUCCGCAAAAAGAGUCAAAUUAAAGAUGACUAUCUUUUGCGUUUUGUUUUUUGCUUUUCUCCUUUCAACAUUCAAUAACCACUCUUCUCUUUUAGUAGUUGUCUUGAACUUUGAUGACAAUUGCGUAAAGGAAAAUUGCAUGAAAAUAUUUCAUAUCAUUUCUAUUAUUUCUCAUGUUUAGGUAACAUGAAAAAAAGUAAUAUAUCUUUUUUUUCAUUUUUCUUUUGGAUUUCUUUAACCUUUUUUUUUCCCAAAAUAAUAUUUGAGGAACCUUGAUUACACCCUUUUAUUAUAUUUUCUUCAGAAAAAAAAAAAAAAUCUUUUAUACAUAUUGAUAUUAUCAUGGUUUUAAAAAUCGGACCGGAUCAGUUGGACCACCGACCAAUCAUGGUUCUAGUUCAAUCCGAUCAAUUGGGUUGAAAAAUGGUUGGACUAGAAUUAGGCCGAUUAAACCGAUAAUCUAAUCGACAAAUCAAAUGAAUCAGAUGAUUCUCUCUAAAUAGUCUGAUUCAACCUUCUUUUUUUUUCCAGUGUCGUUGUCCCCCGCCAAUAAGACACCCGCCCCCCUCCCCCCCCCCCCUCUCUCGCUGUCCCUGUUGGCAAAACCCUCACCCUCCUACAAAGCCACCUACGCUGGAAAAGCUCUUCUCCUUUUUGCCCGUCCAUUUCCUCCCUUCUUCCUAAUAUUUUUUUUAAUUAUUUUUUACGUCAUCUCAUUAUUAUUUAUUUUCUUUUAUAUUUAUUAUUUUUUUACUUCAUGAUGUUUAAAACUUAUGAUUUUAAUUUAAAUUAAUAAAAACAUUACAAUUUUAAAUAAAUUAAGAUUUUAAAAUAAGUUUUUUUAUUUAAAAAUGAAUAUUAAAAUUUUAAAUUUAAAUUAUGAUUUUAAUUUAAAUUUCUAAUAUGAAACUUAUUUUUUGAUUUUCAAAUAAAAUUUUAAUUUUUAAAUAAUAUAUAAAAAUUUUUAUUUUUAUAAUUAUUUUAAAUUUUAAUAAUUUAUUAAUUAUGUAUUUAUGACAUCAUUGGUUCGACCGCAGUCCGAUCAUUGAACGGUGAACUCAUAACUUUUUCGGUUCAGUGACCGAUCCAGUUCUAAAAACAUUGCAUAUUAUACAUGAUAAUUUAAUUAAAUUUUAGUUACAACUUUGAGCCGCUUGAAGCCCACAAAAUCCAUUUAAUAAUGUUUUUUUUUCAAAAUAUUUAUAUAGCUAGAGAUGCAAUAUAACAAUAAGACAUCAAUGUGAUAUUUCAUCUUCCAAAUCUCUUUUAUCCCUUGGCAUUUAAUACUAUGCUAUUUAUAAUACUCUCUUUUUCUUCAUUGUUGUUAUUUGAAUUUCCAAAUCCUCCUUAUUUGUUCUCAAAUUAUUCAAAAGAUGAUAUUGAAUUUAUGAAAUAGAUGCUUGUCAAAUUUCAGUCAAAUGAUAAUAAUUUUGAAGAAAAAAUACUAUCUCCUUUUCUUUAAUAUUUAUCCUUUUGUUGUUACUACAAAGUAAGUGCAAUUAUGCUUCAUUUGAUGAUUAAUGAAGAAAAAUUACCUUUUUUCUUUAUUAAAUAUUUAUCCUUUAAUUAGUUUUGCAAAGUUAAAUUAGAGUUUCAUGAAUGCCUUUUCUACUACAAUUAUGAAAUUCAAAAUUUAUUGACUUGGUACAUUGAAAUCUCUCAAAGAAAUUAAGAUUGCAAUUGAGAAAGCAAUCUUUUAACUAACUCCUUCAUGAAGAACUUAUCAUAAAUAACUAUAGUGGAAAAGAAAAGUAUCAUGAUUGAAAUUCAAAAUAAUAUUUGUAACUUAAAGAUUUCUUUGAGCAUUAAAGUUUAGUGCUAUAUUAUAAUAGCAACUAAAAAGAUAUUUUUUUGCUCAUUUGUCCCAUUUAUUCUUUUGAAAGUGUGAAAAGAAAAUUACUAGUUGUACAAUUAAAGGAAAGAAAAAACUUUAAUCUUGAUAAGUGAGAAGAAAGAACAAAAUUUCUAUAAGAUUUUCAUGAAAUUUAUGUGAAAAAAAGAUAAUGCAUAAAAAUAAAUCAAAUCUGAAAUUCUAUGCAUACUUUAAAUUUAUACAAUUGGAUUGAUUGACAAUGUUGUCCUUGUCCUUCAUCAAAGCACAACCUCCUUUGUACACUUAUUGUACGAAUUCACACACCCACCCAUGUAAAUAUUAUCCGUUCUAAGUCUAGAAAGGGUCUCAUGGUUUUAAAAUGUGUCCAUAAAACUAAAAAAAAAACUCAUACAUAUUGUUAGGAAUUUGAGGCUAAUACAACCUAUGGUAUUCACCCUAAGGAGGGGGGGGGGGGGGGGGGGGUGAAUAAAAUUUAAACAAGUGAAUGCAAGAGAUAAUUAUAUGCAAGUAUAUAAUAAUCAAUAUAUAGACAAUUGCAUAUAUAUUAAAGAGUAGGGAAGAGAGAAUGCAAGCACAAGAGUUUAUAGUGCUUCGGCGCAACCCGGCCUACAUCCUCUCUCCUCUAGCUUCAAUCCUGAGCUUGAGGUUCCACUAAUCCAAGGCUUCCAAACUAAGCCUUUAAGUAAUACAAUUGGAUUAUGGUUCCAAUUCACCCUCUUGGACUUUUGGCUCCAAGCACCCUUUACACUUCUCAAGAGAUAUCCCACUCUUGAACAACCCCUCAAGUGAUACCCCACACUUGAAAAACUUCCUCUCAAAGAUUUACAAAUGAAUGAUCUCUCAAAAAUCCUAGCACAAGAACUUUAAGCUCAAAUGAUACAAGAAAAACUAGGAUUGAAUGGUGCACUAAAGAUAUGCAAGUUUUNNNNNNNNNNNNNNNNNNNNNNNNNNNNNNNNNNNNNNNNNNNNNNNNNNNNNNNNNNNNNNNNNNNNNNNNNNNNNNNNNNNNNNNNNNNNNNNNNNNNCCCUUUUUUUUAUGAUUUCCCCCCCCCCCCCAUUUAAUUUUUUCCCUUUUUUUUUCUAAAAAGGUUUCCUUGUUUUUAAAUUGUUUCCUUAAAACUAAAAAAAAACCCCUUAUUUUUUUUUGGAAUUUUGGGGUUUAUCCANCUUUUGGUUUUCCCCUUAGGGGGGGGGGGGGGGGGGGGGGGGUGAAUAAAAUUUAAACAAGUGAAUGCAAGAGAUAAUUAUAUGCAAGUAUAUAAUAAUCAAUAUAUAGACAAUUGCAUAUAUAUUAAAGAGUAGGGAAGAGAGAAUGCAAGCACAAGAGUUUAUAGUGCUUCGGCGCAACCCGGCCUACAUCCUCUCUCCUCUAGCUUCAAUCCUGAGCUUGAGGUUCCACUAAUCCAAGGCUUCCAAACUAAGCCUUUAAGUAAUACAAUUGGAUUAUGGUUCCAAUUCACCCUCUUGGACUUUUGGCUCCAAGCACCCUUUACACUUCUCAAGAGAUAUCCCACUCUUGAACAACCCCUCAAGUGAUACCCCACACUUGAAAAACUUCCUCUCAAAGAUUUACAAAUGAAUGAUCUCUCAAAAAUCCUAGCACAAGAACUUUAAGCUCAAAUGAUACAAGAAAAACUAGGAUUGAAUGGUGCACUAAAGAUAUGCAAGUUUUGAAAUAAUGGUGCACUAAAAAAAUACUCUUCCGAGGCUCAAAUAUAAUUAAGAAAGAUUUGGGAAUGUUAAGCUCCUUAAACAAUGAAGUUUGGAGCCUUUUUAUAGAAGAGAAAAACCAAACUAGCCGUUUGGGGUUUGACCGGUCGAGCUAGGGGUCGACCGAUUGACUAGCCAUUAGCAUUUAAUGUUUGACAAGUGACCGUUGGGCCUUAACCGGACCUCAACCGGACCUCGACUGGACCUCAACCGGUUGAGGUUCAACCUUGACCGGCAAAAGAAGGCCAUUAAGAGAGAGAGAAACUUUUUGGCCUCCCUCAACCGAUCCUCGAUCGGACGAGCACAACCGGUCGACCGGUUGAACAGGUUGAACCAUUUUUUGGCUCAACACCCAACCUUUUUCGACUUAAAACCUUUUAACACAAGUUUGAAAAUCAUUUAACACAAGGUUUUAGUUGAAAACAUGAAAUCAUCAAAUUCUUAAGAUAUUUAAAAUAAUAUUACUCUUGGAUGAUUUUGGUGCAUAAAUAAAUAAUGAAAUGCAUGAAAGUCCUAAUGUACCAACAACCUUACAAAGAGAUCUUAUGAAGCUUUGAUCUUGAAAAACUCUUCUCUUUGAGGUGGUCUCUUCUUCAUGAUUUCUCCUUGGCUUGAUUUGUCUUUGUGAUUGCCACUUUGGAAAUUGUUUUGCCUAAUCAUACUUGAAAUAUGAUCAUUAGUUCUAAACCUUGUUUUUUUAUCAUCAAAAUCAAGAUUAACCAAACCUUGGUUUCACACAUAUAUAUAUAGGCCUAAUAAUUUUAUCUCAUAUCCGAUGUGUGAUAUCACAAACACUUUCAUCCAAACAUAACAUCCUUGUUGUAUCUCAUAGAAUUGUGGAACCAAACAGACAAACAUCAUCAACGAGACAAAAAAACCUCCACAUCGGGUCAUAGCUUAGUUCUAAUGCCAUUUAUAAUGACUUGCACCCAACCAUGUAAAUGCAUUUUAAAGUCGUGAUGACCCCUUUAAACCCAGAGUGGAUAAUAUCUAUAUGAUUGAAAGUGAGUUGUUACACUUGUAGUUUAAUUGAUUUAAUUCGUUUGACAUUUUUAAUUUUUACAUUUUUUUGUUGCUUUGGUAUUCCUCGUCACCACUUUGCUUUUGCAUUUAAGGAGCAUCAUUUUUCAAUAUUUUUUCUUUUUUAAUUAAUUUUGUUAUUAUUGUUUGGCUUUUCACUCGCAUGUUUAUAAGAAUAAUACGAAGAUACUCUUUUAUGUAUAAUUGAUUUUAUAAACUAUGACUAAACUCAAGUAGUUAUAUAUCAAAUAGUAAGACUCUAUUUCUUAUCAUCUAAAUCAAAAUUUGAAGUUAUCCAAUUAGAGACAUUUCUAUGAAAGAGGAAUAUCAACAACUUUUUUUUUAAAGAAAGGCAUAAAAAUUAGAAAAUUGGAUGGAUGAAAGUUUUUUUUUUUCCUUUAAAAGUACUCGUAGUUAAGGUAAAAAAAAAAUCAAGUGCUAUAGCAAAAACAUAGAAUUUGCAAAAAGAACUUAAAAUAUAUUCAUUAUGUAAAUUGUCUACAUAUCUUCAAAUAAUAAUAUUAUGGGUUUUUUUAUUAUACUUAUUAACAUAAAUUUUAAAUUGCACAAACACCAAAAGGAAUUGAAAGCAAGAAAAUUAAAUGUAGAAAACGUAUUAAAUUAAUUACUCAAUAACCUAUAUUAGAAUAAUUUGAAUAAGCAACCCAUUUCUACAAGAGAAAAUUUGAAGUUUUUAGGAAUAUCAAAAGUAUAUAAUAACAACAUAUUAAAGAUUCAUUCCAAAUUUCUCCCAUGACAUCAUUUCAAUUCAUGGGAAAUUCAUAAUCAAUUUAGAAUAAUUUUAUAUGAAAUUUUAAUAUUUUAAAUUAAAUAAUGUUUUUCUACAUCUUUGUAGCCAGCAAUGACAUGAAGUUAGUGGCACUUCCCCCCUCUCUAAAAUACUUCUUUCUUGUCUCUUUUUGAAAGGCUUGGAUGAUUUACUGUCGUGAUAAUGAAAAUUGAUAGAAACUUAUAAAAAUAUUAAGAAAAAAACUUCAAAAUAUGACAUGAUAAAAAUACUUUGAAAAAUAUAAUACAUAUAAUAUUUUUUGUGAUAGUAUAUAGAAUUUAAAAACAUAUUAUUAUUAAAAUUAUAAUAUAUUUAAUUUGAUUAUAUAAAAAAAUAUAAAAUAAGUGAUACUAUAUGUAUAAAUAUUUUUAUUUAAAAAUAUUGAUAAUUUUAUUUUAUUUUUAUUUAAUUAUUAUACAAAAGAUACUAAUAUAAUUAAAAUUGAUUUUUAAUUUACAAUAUAUUUAUCUAUAUAUUUGUAUUAUAUAUAGACGUGUAAUAUAACCAAAGUAGUAGCUUUGGUCUAAUUAACGGUCGCACCAUUCACCCGUAAGCAUUGGGUCAUGGGUUCGAUUCAACAACCAAUCUUGUUGCUUCUAGUGGUUUUCUUAAGCUUUGAUGACAAUAUGCCAAAGCCUUAUUAGAAAUUUGCUUGAAGAAAAGCUACCAUCCGAAGUUUAAUGAUCCAAAGGUCAAUGAGCCAGGAAAAUUUACGUGAAUUUCACAUCAUUUCUUAAAAUUUAAUCUUGCUAAGAAAUUGGUUUGAAGGCAUGCUACUACCAAAGUUUAAUAAACCAAGAAAAAUGGAAGACAUUUCACAUUAUUUCUCGAAAUUUGGAUCCUGGUAGAAAAUUUCUAUCAAGAUAGGCCAAAAACAAAAUUGAAUAAACCAAGGAAAUUAGCAUGAUGACAUUUCACACUAUUUAGUUACAUGAUUGUUGGGUAUUACCUAAAAUUCGAAAGACCAAAGAAAAUUUCCUCUCUAUAGUUGGCUUUAUGUAGAAAAAGCAAUCCUUGGCAUUGUAUGUGUGUUAGUUUUUAUGAUAAAUUAGUGUCACAAAAUGGUUGAUGCUUCAAAAGUAAUAACUUAGUUGACAAAUACAAUGCCAUAAUUUUAUAUUUUUGCUCAUUUGAUGUAUGUGGGAACAAAAACUAACAUGGAUCUUAAGGUAUUCCAAAACAAAAUACUUGAAAUUGAAAUAUUCUUUCCCACCUAAUUUGAUUGCUCAUUCUAGGUUGGAGAUUCUAUCUCUUUACACAGAAUUAUGCAUAGUGCAAGAGUGUGAGUUUAAAUUGGCAUCACUUUAAUCAAAAUCUAAGACUGGGUUGAAGUAUUUGACUUGCCUUGAUUAAUAAGGACAUCCAUGGCUUAACUGAUGGAGGUUGGUAUGUACUAACUUAUCCAACAAAAUGUUUAAUCUGCAAAAAAAUUAACAACAAUCAAGCUUGUUCUAGAAAUGCCGAAAAACGAGUCCCAAUAAAAAUGGGUUUUGAAAAACAAAAAUUCAGUAAAAGGAAUUUCAGCCCCUUGGAAUCAGCAAGGCAUAUAUAAUAGAAACUAAGAAAAGGAGGGUGGCUUAAUUACCAAAAAGUUGAGAUAAAUGUUUGGUCAACAUCAACAAUUCUCUUACUUGAAAUUAGUGUCUUGUACAGCAUAUCCAAUGAACAAAUUUGCAAAGAAGCUCCAGCCAUCUAUGCAUAUGGUCCAUUUCAUGGUCUUGGGCAUCAACACCAUUACCAUCAAUAUUCAGGGUGGUGCCAUCACAGCUUCUCUCCACAUCAGUAUUAGUAUCUUCUACUGCUGAACUGGUGUCACAGCUUCUACGUUGUACAAUUGUGAGAUUGUUCUGUUCAUAAUCGUGGGCAUAUAGAAAGUGGAAGCCACACCUCGCCACUUUCACUGGUUUAACACCAAAGUAGACAUUAAAUGAAGCGUUCAAGGUUCUCCAUUCAUUUGAGUGAUAUCCCUCGGGAAUAUUUGACUUAGGAUAAUAUAUCAAGCACCCUUGACUUGAUGCAUCUUCAUCAUAGCAGAAUUCACAAAAUUGAUGAGAGUGACAGGAAAAAUAUGCACUGUCAUCAUCGAAAUUCAAUUUACAGUUGAAAUCCCUAUGUGGUGUGGUCUCAAUCUCAAGUGGAACAUAAAGAGAGCACAGAACAAAGCCCAAGAAGUCAUCAUUUUCAUACCAACUCCAGGGAAGUUUCAUUGUUAUUUUGAACCCGCUUUUCUGAUGGCAUAUCCACUCCGGAAUCCCAUUUCUUUCAGCAAUAAAAGUUCUGACAGGUCUUCUAAAGUCACGCGCCUGCACAAAAAUUACCCUCUGAAUUUUGUGUCCCCGUGAAAAGAAAGGUUAACUGAUAUAUGAAAACCAUACCUGAAUUUUGGAUUUAAAACAUUUGAAUAAAGAAGACCAGAGUAGAUUUGAUGGACUGGAUAAAUUUUCCAGGGAUGUGCAGUGAUGGACAUCUAGAUUAAUUAAACCUGAUGGAAGCUCUGGAAUUUGUUCAAGAUUGUUGCAGUGACUAAGGUUAAGGGCUUUCAGCCUGGAAAGCUGAUUGAUGGUAGGAGGUAUGCUACUAAAAUGGCCCCCUUCCAGAUUUAGUUUCUUUAAUGAUGAUAAAUAGCAAAUAUGACUAGGGAUUUGGUGGAGCUUUGAACACUCUUGAAGUAGGAGAGUUUGAAGACCAUUUAGAUGUGUAAUUGAUGACGGUAAGUCCAUUAUAGCUGUUCCACUCAAAUCAAGCACCCUUAGCUUUCUCAUAUUGGCCAUGAUUUCUGGAAAUCUCUCUAGCUUUGAACAGCCAUUGCAAGACAAAGUUUGAAGGUGUUUCAACUUGUAAAUGCCUCUUGGAAGAAGCUCCAGGUUUACACACCCUGCCAGAUUCAAGGGAAAAAGAAAAACCAAGUUAGUUUUAGUAAUUAUAAUACUGCUGCACCAAUCUUUUAAGAACCAUGCAUUGUACAACCUUCUAGAGUUAGAAUCUCCAAGUUUGGCACACUUGAUAAGUCUGGAAUUCUUAUGAGAUGGACAGAGUGACUGAGAUCAAUAACCCUCAACUUGUCAUGAAGCUGUAACAAAAUAAUUUUUUUCAAUAGAUAAAUUUACAUGUUAAAAAUUAAUAUAAAAUUACACUGUAACUAAAUAAUAAUAACAAUACCUUAUUCCCCCUCCAAACUUGCUUUAUAUUGCUGUCCCUUAAUGAGAGUUCAACAAGGUUCUUUGCAUGAAAAUUCAUUGGCAAAGAUUCUAAAGGGUAUCCAUCCCAAUGCAGAUAUCUUAACUCAUAAGCAGAGAAUUCAAAGUCCCUUGGAAGGUGGUUUUCAAGAAAUAGCUUUCUACGCGGGUUAUGGAUUUUGAGCAAUCUAAGUUUAUUCAUCUCUUUGAAAGAUUCCAUGGUAAGUUGUGAUGGAUUAAAUUUACAUCUAUCUAGGAAUAGUCCUUCAAUUGCUUGUGUCCCCUAAAAAAUAUAAGACAAGUAAGCGAAACAAAAGAUGCAUUAAACUUAAUUGAGUU